rnacentral:lncRNA from 1 species
UUCCCAGAGCUGCAUUCAUUUCAGCUGAUCUAUUUCAUUUCGUUUGCAAAGGAGUGACACAAAACCUCCUUUGUUAAGGGGAGAAUUUAGAGUGGCUUCAACGGUUAACAAAUAGCCUAAUGUAAGACUUAAUCAAUUUCCUGCCCGGUUGCUUACCACUACUUAUCACUUUAACGUAUGAAACCUAAUCAAGAUUCCUUUGAUGAUUUUUCUAUUUGCUAAUUGAUUGAUAAGCUCUUCAGUGAAGAUAUAGUGUCCGCAAGCCAUAUGUUGAUAGAGUUAGAGUUUGCAGAAGCUACUGUACCAUAUGUUGUUAGAGGCGGUAAAAACGGAGGCAGAUCAACACACAUUUAAAUUUCAAUGACAAUUUACUGGAAAUAAAUUUCCUAUGACCCUACAUGUGACUAAUUGAUGAGAACUUGACAAUGACAAAAGAAAGUGUAUGAGCUUUGCAGGCUGGCUUGCCAAUAUUGACUGUAUGGCACCAUCCGCAAGUAAGUAUCAUUACUGUUUAAUCAACUUGGUGGAGUCCACUGGGACCACCCCACAUGGUCAGUCUUAUCUCUACUCCUAAAUUUUCAAUAUUCCAUACAUCAAACCAAUUGCAGUUUUGAUAUCAAAUUCAAUUUUAUUGUUGGUGACGAUUCUGAUUCCUUUCAUUCUCACAAAACGGAACCAUGGUUGCUGUUGGAGAGAUCUUACUCAACGCCUUCCUUGAGGUGUUGUUUGACAGGUUGGCUUCUCGUAAUUUGCUCCGCUUUGUGCGUCAACUCCAAGGCGGGGUUGAUUCGGAGCUCAAGAAGUGGGAGAAAAAGCUGAAGAUGAUUCAGGCUGUGCUCUGCGAUGCAGAGGAGAAACAACUGACCGAUGAGGCUGUGAAGAUGUGGCUGGACGAACUCCAAGACUUAGCUUAUGACGCUGAGGACAUUCUUGAUGAGUUUGCUACUCAAGCUUUGGAAAGCAAGUUGAUGGCGCAAAACCAGGAUAGCUCUGGCCAGGUUCUCAGUCUCAUCCCGGCUAGUUUGAAUCCGAAUGCUAUUAUGUUCAAUUAUAGCAUGGGGUCCAAGAUUAAAGAUAUGACUAGCCGGCUGGAGCAACUCUGCCAAGAAAGAAUUGAACUUGGACUGCAACGGCUUACUGGAGGGGCGUCAUCAACCGCUGCUGCUGCACACCGGAGGCCACCCAGUUCGAGUGUCCGAACAGAACGUGAAGUAUUUGGAAGAGAAGAAGAUAAGGCCAAAAUUCUUGAUAUGGUCAAUACCCCAAGUGAUCACGCCAACUUUGUUGUAAUACCUAUUGUUGGAAUGGGCGGGAUAGGAAAAACAACUCUUGCUCGGGAGGUCUACAAUGACAAGGCAGUUGAGGAUUCCAAGUUUGACGUAAAAGCAUGGGUUUGUGUCUCCGACAACUUUGAUGUUUUCAACAUUUCAAAGGCACUUCUCGAGUCAAUCACCUCCGCAGCUAGUGAUCUCAAGACUUUAAAUGAAGUGCAGGUUCAACUGAAAAAAGCAGUGGACGGAAAAAGAUUCUUGCUGGUCUUAGAUGAUGUUUGGAACGAGGACUACAGCUUGUGGGUAGACUUAAAAGCUCCGUUCCUGGGUGCUGCACCAAACAGUAAGAUGAUCGUCACCACACGCAAUUUAAACGUUGCAUCAACAAUGGGACCAAUUGAACAUUAUAAUCUCAAGAGUCUGUUAGAUGAUGAUUGCUGGUCCAUUUUCAUACAGCAUGCAUUUGAAGGUAGAGAUCUUAACGCAUAUCAAAUUUCAGAAUCAUUCAGCAAGAAAGUUGUUGGCAAGUGUGGGGGCUUGCCUCUGGCAGCAAAAACGCUCGGGGGCCUUCUGCGCACAACAAGGCAUGAUGCGUGGGACGAUAUAUUGGAUAGCAAAAUAUGGGAUUUACAUCAACAAAGCAGCAUUCUCCCUGUGUUAAGAUUGAGUUACCAUCAUCUUCCGUCUCAUUUGAAAAGAUGUUUUGCUUUUUGUGCCAUCUUUCCAAAAGAUUAUGAAUUCACUGAGAAGGGGCUAACUUUCUUGUGGAUGGCUGGAGGUAUUAUUCGACAGUCAAGAAACAGUGAGCAGCUGGAAGAUUUGGGCAGCAAGUGCUUUCAUGAUCUAGUGUCAAGGUCUAUUUUUCAACAAACCAGCUCUGGUAGUUCUAAAUUUGUAAUGCACGACCUUAUCCAUGAUUUUGCUGAAUUGGUUUCUGGAGAGACCAUUUUAAGGUUAGAGGAAUCCACCAACUUGUCGUCAAGGAGAUUUGAAAGAGUUCGCCAUUCUUCCUAUGCCCGUGGUUGGCUUGAUGGUAAAAAUAAGUUUGAGGUUUUCUAUGAAAUUGAACAUCUGCGAACAUUCUUGCCAUUCUGCAUAAGAGGUGGCCCUAAUACUAGUUACGUAACUAGUUUACUUCUAUAUGAUUUGUUGCCGAAGUUUAAAAAGUUGAGGAUGCUAUCUUUAGAAGGAUACCAGAUUGGUGAGUUACCAAUUCCAUUUGAAGAUUUGAGACCUUUAAGGUUCCUCAACCUUGCCGACACUGACAUAAGAAGUUUACCCGAGUCAACAUGCAAAUUGCUGAACUUGGAAAUUUUGAUAUUACGAAAUUGUUCCCGUUUGAUAAAGCUUCCGCCCAAAAUGAGGAAUUUGAUCAAUUUACGCCAUCUCGAUAUAAAAGGUGCAAAGCUGCUGAAGGAGAUGCCAUUGGGAAUGAAAGCGUUGAGGAGUCUUCAAACAUUGUCCAAUUUUAUUGUAGGCAAGGGUGAAUCUGCAUCUGGUUUGGAAGAUUUAAAAAGUUUAAACUUUCUUUGUGAUGAACUCUGCAUUGCUGGAUUAGAGAGUGUGAAUAGUCCACAGAAUGCAAGAGAAACCGCAUUAUGCGAGAAGCACAAUCUUGAAGCAUUGACUCUAGAAUGGGGGUCUCAAUCUAACAGUCCUCGGGAUGCAGUACUAGAGGAGAAUGUACUUGACACUCUACAGCCUCAUAAACGUAUAAAAGAGCUGGCAAUCAGGCACUAUGGUGGUGCAAGAUUUCCACUUUGGAUCGGACAUCCUUCGUUCUCCGAGAUGAAGGUCCUUAAAUUGGAGAACUGUGACAAGUGUGUAUCUCUGCCAUCGCUUGGCCUGAUGAAUUCACUUAAGCACCUUGCUGUUAAAGGGCUGAAGAAACUAAAAAGCAUAGAGUCUGCGGUCUUUCCAUCAUUGGAGAUUCUAAGUUUUGAGAAUUUGCCAGAAUGGGAGCAUUGGGACACCAAUAUCAAUGGAAAUGUGCACGUUGAAAUAUUUCCUCAUCUCCAAGAACUUUCCAUUGCAGAAUGUCCCAAACUCUCUGGAGAACUGCCUGAGCUCCUGCCCUCCUUGGAGACACUUGUCGUUAGUAAAUGUGAACAGUUGGCAGUUCCAUUGUCUUGCUAUCCGAUGCUCUGCAGAUUAGAAGUUGAUGAGUGCAAAGAACUCGUGUGCGGGACUCCAAUUAAUUUUAAGUUGGUAAAGUCUUUGACCAUUUCAAAUAGUUCAUUAGACAUGAAUGGAUGCAAUGGGAUGCUAUACCAUGGUCCAGCUGGCUCUUCACUGUCUAAACGCAUGACUAUUACAAAUGUUUUGGAGUUUGGAAAAUUAUUGAAGCCUGGAUUUCAGAUAUUAGAAUAUUUGGUAAUUGGCAAUUCUGAACAGCUCAAGUCAUGGAGGCGGGCCAGGAGACCUAGACGUUUUAAUGAACCAGAACACGGGCUAAAAAUUCUCGCUUCCCCUGAAGAGGUAACAAUUGAAGAAAGUUGCGUAAAUCUUGUUUUGUUUGCAGAGAUCAAUUUCUUUCCCAGAAAUCUGCGCUCUCUUCUAAUUUUCAAUAACAUACCUUUAAAAUCCUUACCCGAGGAAAUGAUGGACAACAAUUCACAACUGGAAAGCUUGUGCAUCAGAAAUUGCGAUUCUCUAACAUUCAUCACAAGACACAAGCUACCUUCAUCUCUAAAAAGUAUAGCAAUUAAGAAUUGUGAGAAAUUGCAACGUCCGUUCGAUGAUGAAGAGGAUGCUUCUUCUUCUUCUUCUCCUUCAUCCUCGUCUUCCCCAGUGAUGCUGCAAUGCCUGACUAUAGAGAACUGCCCAGAGCUCACCAGUUUAUCAUCGGGAAUCCAAUUCCUUGAGGCGCUUGAAGUACUCGAGCUAAGGGAUUGUCGAAAGCUGGAGUCAUUACCGGAUGGCCUGCAAAAUCUUAACUGUUUACAGAGCAUUCAUAUAGAUGGAUGUCCAAGUCUUGUUUCCUUCCCAGAAAGAGGGCUUCCCAACACCAUUUCGAGAGUUUACAUUCGUGGUUGUGAGAAGCUUGAAGCCCUGCCCAACGACAUGCACAAACUCAACUCUCUCGAAACUUUAAACAUACGGAAAUGUCCAAAUCUUGUAUCGUUUCCAGAGGAAGGUUUUCCUACCAGUCUAGUAUCACUUACAAUUGGAUAUGUCAAAAUGUAUAAGACACUCGUCCAGUGGGGGUUGCAUAGGCUUACCUCUCUUACACACCUCGAGAUUAUUGGAUGUGAUGAUGAAGCAGAGUGUUUUCCAGACGAGGAGAUAGGAAUGAUGCUGCCCACCUCUCUCACUCAUCUGCAACUUUCGGAAUUCAAAAAAUUGAUAUCUCUCUCUUCGACGGGUUUUCAGAGCCUCAACUCUCUUCAAUCUUUGUGGAUAUUGGGUUGCCCAAAUCUCACAUCAUUCCCAGAGGUGGGCCUUCCAUCCUCACUUUUGGAAUUACACAUUGUCAAGUGUCCAAAGCUUAAAGAAGUUUGCAAAAGAGACCAAGGAGAAGAGUGGCCCAAAAUUGCUCACAUCCCUUGUUUUGAGAUAGACUGGAAAUUCAUAUACGAUCCAGAAUCAGAGGAGUAGAUUCUCCUAUUAAGGUCAGUUGAUUUUUUAUUAUCCGUUAUAACAAGCUCCUCCUUUUUUAUUUUUUUAAUAAUAAUUUAGCAGUUCUAUAUAAUUAUAAAUCCUCCGCCCUUAAUUGAAAAUGUCACUCAUUUGAUUCCAUUUUCACAAGUCAGAUCGUAUGUUGAGGUUAUUUGCAUUUUAUCGGUGUUUAUUAAGGUAAUUAGUGCGUUAUAGGUUGAUUACUCACAGAUUAAGUUAUAACAUUUAUCUUAAAAUUUAAUGUCAUAGACAGAGAUGAUUUUUUAAUCCAAAGUUUUCUUGAUUCACUUCAAUUAGCAUUUUCUUUUCCCCAGAUCAGGCACGCGGAGAGUUCCAAUCAAGAAUUGGAGCAUGUGAAUGGGAUUUUUGUGAAAACAUAAUGAUGCAGGAACUGGGAUCUCAAAGUCAACAGAAUUUUAUUUACUCAUUGACUUUUCAACUCCUGUGGUUAUUUAUGGGUGAAAGAAAGAUAAGGGCAAUUUCAAGAAAUUUGCAAACUCUGUCAAUUUCUUUUAAUUGUACCAAUUUGUCGUUUAUGCUUUGGUUUUAUUUUUUCAGUUUUGUUUAUUGCUUAGAUGGUAGCAUACUUGAAAUGAUACAUAGCCUUCACCGGCAGAAUUCUAGUCUUGGCUUUCACCUCUCUAACUCAUCUCAUCUGUUCCUAUUGGGAUUCCAGAAAUUGAAAUUUCUGUCAUCAAUGGGUUUCAAAGCCUCACCGCUCUCCGAUUUUUGUGGAUCGGGAAUUGCACAAAUCUCACAUCAUUUCCAGAGGUGGGCCUUCCAUCCUUGCUUUUUGGAAUUACAAAUUGGAAAAUGCUACUUUCCCCGGGUCAAAUCCCAGGUCAAACCCCGAAUUAAACCAAAACGACACCGUUUUGGUUUCUUUUUUUUGUCCUUUUUGCUUCCAUGAAACGUGGUCGUUUCAGCCAAACAAAAGCAAAUGUCUUCGUUUUUUACUUCCUCUCCUCUUCGAUUCUCCUCUUCGUUUUACCAACAGACCAACAGAGCACAAAUUGCAGAAGUCACUUGCACAUCAAUUCAUCACAAAAUGCAGAGUUUUACUAAAGAAAAAAACGAUGCCGUUUUUCUUGCCAAAUAUUUUCCAUUUCCUUCGUUCAUGGAGCUCCUGCCACCGCCAAAGCCAAAUAUUUCCCCUUUCAUUUCCUUCGUCAAUCAAGCUCCAGCCACUUGCUUCGUCGAUCGAGCUCUAGCCACAGCCAUUCGCAAAUCGCAGUCCACAAUCCGCGCCUGAAAUUGUCAUUCACAAUCCACAACUCACAACCAUGACUUCACACAGAGAACGACUCCCACAGCCUUCACGCGACAGCGAGAUCGAGCUCUUUAACAUUCGAAGAACAUAUCUGGUUGCGAAAGUUGAUUUUUAAUUUGCUUGCGAGCUGAGAUGCUUCGAAUUCUCUGUUUUUUUUUUUUUUUUGUAAAUUACUAAGCCAAAAGCUUUGCAUAAGCUUCUGCUUCGGUUUUGAAGAUUGUGAAGCUGGAAAUGUUUUUUCCCUUUUUAUAAAUGGAUAAUUGAAAGUUUGAACUUUACCUUCGUACUUUCUUUUUCAUAAAUUGCUCAUGGUGCAGUCUCAUUUUGCUAGUUGAAGAAACAGUUAAGGGGGUCUGUAGUUGGGAAGAAAGAGGAAACGAAAAUGAAAAGAAAAAGCUUAAGUCUCGGUGCGUUCAAGUAGCAUUUUUUCAAUUAAAAAAUUUAAUUCUCAAAACGGCGUCGUUUUCUAAAGUUUCGGGGUUUGACCCGGGAUUUGACCCGGGGUAAAUAGCAGAACUCUUACAAAUUUACAGUUGUCAGAAGCUUGAAAAAGUGUGUAAAAGAGAUCAAAAUUCUUGUCUUGGCUUUCACGUAGGGAUGGCAAAAAUCCCCACGGGGACGGGUACCCUCGGGGAUUUUCCCCAUUCGGGGAGGGUAUGGGGAUAAUUUCAUACCCAAUUUCUUAUUCGGGGAGGGGACGGGGAAAUUUUGUUACCCAAUUUCUUAUUCGGGGAGGGGACGGGGAUGAGGUGGAAUCCCCAUCCCCUACCCAUUUCCCCAUUUUAAUUUUUAAUUUUAUUUUAAUUUUUUAAAAUUACUAGUAAAUAAAUAAUAAAAUUUAAAUUAUAAAAUUAUAAAUAUUGGUAAAAAUAAAAAAUAUCAAAAUAUUUAUAUUAUUAAACUUUUAGGCUUAAUUAACUAAUUAAAGUCCUAAAUUUUUAUUUAGGACAUUAAAAAGACCGAGUAGAUUCUAUUAGCCCAAAAGUUUUUUAUUUUUAAUAUUCUUUAAAUAUUUUAAACUUAAAUCUAUUUUUUAUUUAUUUUUAGAUGUUAUAAUUGCCCACAUCGAAUCACAAUUUUAAUAUCUAAUCUAAUCUAAUCUAAUCUAAUAUUUACUCUUGAUUUGCUCCGAUUUAACUAUUGUGUUGUAAAGGGAAUAGUCCACAUUUAUAAAGUGCCCACGCCACCAUUAAAAAAGUUAAUUUUGAAUCUAAAUUCGAUUUUAUUUGUAACAAUUUUGUAUUAAACUAUUAAUUUGUUCAUGAUAGUUUGUAAAAGAAGUUUGUAUCCCUUGCAUGCUGUGUUACUUACUAAUUUAAUGUAUGUGACUUUUGUAAUGGAUAUUAAUGUAAGAUAUAUUUCAAAUUUUACUUUUAUUUGAAUUUUUUAUUUUAAUAUGAUUAACUCAAAAUCGAAAAAAAAAUAUUAGUUAUUCGGGGAUCGGGGACCCUCGGGGAUCCCCUGUUAUUAUUCGGGGAGGGGAUGGAGAUUCGCUCAAGUAAUUCUGACGGGAACGGGGAGGGGACGGGGACAUACGCAAAAUAUCGGGGAUGGGUACGGAGAGAUUGGUCCCCUCCCCUCCCCUCCCCAUUGCCAUCCCUACUUUCACGGAUAGUUUUUAUCACGUAACCACGUGAGGAAGCAUGUGCUGGAGCCUGAAUUCAGUUAGUUAAAGUUUGUUAACCACGUGUCAACAAACUGUAUAAUCUGGAAAAUAAGCUAGCUAUUGAAACAGGGUAUAAAGGCUGGUUUUUCAGGGACUAUCGAGAGCUGAUUCUAGAGUCUUGUAGAAAGAGGUUUGUGAGAGAGAAAGUGUCAUCUUGUUCUCUGUAAAAUCCGAUAUAGGGCUCUGUAACGAUCUCCAUUGUUGAAUCAAUAAAACUCAUCUAGAAGCUUCUCUCGUGGACGUAUUCUGAGCAAUCAAUGCACAGCUGAACCACGUAAUAUCUUGGUUUCUGUGGGUUCUUGUUUUGGUUCUUGAUAAAUUCUUGUUGUUGUAUUGAGGUGUGAUUUGAUCUGUCUAAACUUGUAUCUGUGCAACUUGAAUUGAUUUGAUGAUAAGAAUCUUGGGCAGUGAUCAGAUUCGUUUAGUUUAAAGAACAAGCUGAUUACUACCGUACCUAUGCAUGGACCUGCAACCUGUGCUGACAAAACUGAAACUGUGAGUUUGAGGUAAAAAGGUCCUGGACCCUCACAGUUUAACUUUGACUUGUUGCUUUCUGGAUAAACAUAUUUUAGAAAUUUGCAAUUUGUUGUUAAUUAUGGUAUGUGAUUUUCUUCUUUGUUUUCGCUUUUGUAGAAUCUACCGUAUUACAUAUUGGCAGUUGUAUCUGAGGUACCUUUUUUGCAUUUAACUUGCCUUUAUCUGUUUUGCCUGUUACUUAACAACACAAACACAUCAUUUCCCAAACAUUUGGAGAAGCAUCUCAAGAUGCUUAACAAACUUGACAAACUUCAAGAUGCUCCCAAGCCUUGAUUCUUCACAAUGGAAGACCUGUGAGUACACUUAUGCCCGCAAUUAUUGUGAAGUGAUUGCAACUUUGAUGCAGCGAAAUGGUUUGCUGAUGCAAAGCUUUAAAACUGUUAAGAAUUACCCUGCAGGCUUGUUGGAUGUUGUAUACUCCAAAAGCCACCAACACCAAGAACUAUAACAGCAAGACUAGGUUUGCAUUAAUUCAAUUAGCUGAAAUAAUGAUGCAAAUGGCACUAUCCAGCUCGACUUAGAGACUAGUCAGGUCAAUCAUCCAUUUCAUCAACAGUUAAUGUCAGGAUGGUGGCUAGCAGAGGAAACAAAGGAUAUGUUGGAAUCAAUAAGAACAGUGAGAAGCAUGAGAGGAGCUUUGAUUAUAAGUAGGCUCAAUGAACUAGUGUUGGUAAGUGGUAAUUAGAGCAAUUUGUGAGCUUAGUAGAGUUUCAAUAUUUUCUGUUUGGGAUAUAGUUGAUAAGUUGAUACUCUGAUUAAGAAGGCUGAUUAUAGUAGCUGACUAUAUUAACCGGGUUCUCUUUUUUGGUUUGCUGUUGUUUUUUCUUUCAAUAUCUUUUUCAACAUUAGGUUUAGCUGUUGAAGAACAAGCUUGGGUUUGAUUAUCAGGUAAGAACAAAUGAAUGCUUUAACCAUGUUUCUCACUUAUCACAAUGCACGGAUUGAAGGCGUCUGAGUUGAUCCUGAAAAUUUGAUGGAAACACUUCUCUGUUUUCAUAAAACAGGACAACCAGAAAUAUCUGAUCAUGCCUGAGAAUUCGUCGCAUUGAAAUUUUCUACCAUUGCCAAACAUAGAAUAAACCAGGGAUACAUUAGCUUAAGACUCAAUUUUGAGAAGGAAGUUUGUACUUGCAGACUAUAAAAUCAUGUCUACCUUGUAUGUUUCUGUGGGGAAUGAAAGAUUCUGUGUGUUCUUUUACUUCGGGUUUGCUGAAAUCACAUUUGUUUUCUCAGAUGCUUUCCGGAAGGUAACAACGUCAAUUUCAAAAAUGUUGGGGUAAGAUGCAUCAUGCAGUGCUGCUCAACAUGAGAAUUCCUGGCCGCAUUACCCGUAUGUGGAAUGAUCUCACACUACAACCUUGAGAAGGUUGUAAGGAGUACACAACUAGAUGCGAGUAGUUUCAAAAUGAAUUCACAUGGAAUUAUAUGUUGCCGCUUAUUACUAUCACGUCUAUCCGAAAAUUCUUGGAAUUUGUCACCGGCAUUGAAGGAUUGUAUACGUGAAGACAUAGCUGAUGGCCUUGCGAAAGCUCCAUCAGCACUUAUAUCGGAAACAGCUGGUUGUAGUUGCUCCUGAGUGAUAUGAUUAAUAGAUACUGUAAAAAUGAACUGUGCCACUCAUAUCGAAAACCAGCUGUUAUGAUGUGUUGGUAAUGUGUUUGAUGCUUGUUUGAUUUAUGUUGUAUUCGGCUAUAAAUCAAAGAUCAGAACAUGGGUGUGUUACUGGUUUCCAAAUCAAAAAAUGCCUUGUGAUGUUAGUGUUCACUGUUUUCACAGGAGACCAGGUUCCUUGUUAAUGAGUCAAGAAGAAGACAAGUGAAUCCAUGUCUGAGUUCAAAUGUGUCUUUUCUAUUUCUUUUACCGACACAUUUAUUUUGAUUUCUUUGACUAGAUGACUAAAGAGUAAAGAUAGAAGAAAUCAAAACAAAUGAGUCAGGUCCCACCUGGCCCAUUGGCCCAUCUCUCUUCCAGCCCAAAUCACUCUCAUUCGCUAUUUUGCCACCUUCAUUUCACUGCCCUCAUAGCUCCCCGUUCUCACGGUGGCUGCCAUCUUUCUGCUCACGCAUCUUUCAAAUUUCAAACCUAACAGCAUUCUGUUGCUCUGUCGUGGGUACUUCAACUUCUGUCACCUUCGGUAAGCUUAUCUCUGCCCCUCUGUGGCUGUCUCUCUCUUUACAAUGUUGUUUCUUAUUCAAUUUACAGAAUUGAAUUCACUGUUCAGUUUAUGGGUUAGAUUUUUAUUCAAAAUAAUAUUAAACCCACCUCAGAUUUUAUCCCGUAGUAUGUAAAGUUCAUGUAAAGUUUCCACCUUUACGACCGUCCGAUGUUUAAAGUUCUAAUUUUGUUCCGGGGUUUUAUCAGUGUAUUUAGAAAUUAUGUCCAUUGUUUUUAUGAAAAUGGAACUAUUUUCAUUUGUUUAUUUCUCUAUGGAUGAGAAAACCGGUCUUUAAGCUUUAUAAUCUUUAUUUGAUUAUUAGAUUUCUCUUUUGUUAUUCAGAUGAGUUCAGUUUUCCAAUUCUGUGCAAUUGUUUUGUUGCAUUUUUCAAUUUUAUCUUUUUCCAAUGCGACGUUUAUGUUUGUAUUUUCUUAAAAGUGGACAUGAAUUUUGAUUUGUUGUUGCUUUGUUGUGAUUGAGUAGCCAAUUUUAAGUCCAUAUUAAACUUUCUCAAUUAUUAGUUGAAUUAUUUGGAUUUGAAAUUUUAAGUUCUUAAAACCGCCAUUUUAACUUGUUUGUUAAUGGCUCUGUUGAGCUUCAACAUUUGUUUUCAAGAACAAAAUUGAUGGAACUAUAAACCUUCGUUUCUCACAUGCGGGCAACAUGUUAUGUUAGACAGAGUGAAAUCGACAGAAGAAACCAAAACAUUGGAAACAGAGACACAGAGAGAGAUCAGCAGAAAUGGCUUGGUGCAGAGUACGCUCAGCUUCAUCGACACUCUUCAUUAGGCUUCUCUGCCCUUUCAUUCUCAACAAUAACACUACUUAACGCUAUCAGUCCUGUGGUACUCUUGUUUCUAUACUUGUGGAAUCUCUUUUUUAAUCCUCAAAGUUUGAAUUAAAUUAUAUUGCCUCUGUAUUUCUGCAGAAACGGAAUCAGUUGGUGAUGACAUUAAUUCUCAAGUUGGAAGUUGCAUGCCACUUUCUUGUAUGCAUGUUGGGACCAUCAUCAACAACAUUGAGGUAAACUCAGCCAAGAUUUUGAAAAAGAAUCCACUUCAAGGUACUGCUUAGUUUCUGGAAAUGAGAAAUUGAUUGACACUAGACGUCAACCCACCAUUGAUACAGCGUCUAACCCCAGCCAUGAAGCUAAGAUGCUUAGGAAGGCUGGUCAGAGCCAUUGGUUGGGCCAAAGACCUGUGAUUAGAGGAGUACCCAUGAAUCCAGUUGAUCAUCCUCGUGGUCGAGGUGAGGGACAAGGCAAAAGUAGUGGUAAGCAUGGAAGGUGUUCACUUACACCUUGGGGCAAGCCUUGUAAGUGGUGUAAAACUGCAUCUCGUAAGAAGAAAAGGAAAUUUAGCCGUCUGAUAAUAUUGUCCUUCUGUGCUAUUUAGCCUUUUUAAUAUUGUUACAUUGUUUGUUAUAUCUUUGAUGUUAGUUUUGGACCAGCUUUUAACUGAUCCAUAAUGAAACUGAAGUUUAAUUUUCGAUUGAACUUUUACUGGUUUUACUCCUGUCAUUUCAAUUUAGCUUUGAUUUAAGAUGCUGAAUUCUGUGAUUGGAGUAUGUAGAUUGGAAAGAGAGAUAUUAUGGGAUAGAAUAUAGAUUUUGUGUUUUGGUUUCUCAUGUUUAGAGAUAUUCUGUUCUUUUUCAUUUAUUCAAUUUGGUUAGUGGUGAUCUCUUAAAGAGUUAAUGCAUGUGUGUUUAUGUACUUUUCUUUUGGCCUUGAUUCUAUUUCUUGGGGAGUUUAUACAGAUUCCUCUUUUAUGCUUCACAUGCCACAUGCCACAUGAAAGAUGAAAGCCUUUUGUGUGAUUAGAAUUGACUUGCAUCAUAGUAACUUUGAACCACUGUAACAUUUUUAUAAUAGCAGUCUGCGAUCUCCUUGAAGGAUUCAAAGCAUUUUUUUUGUUAGUCUUGGCUUGCAUUAAAAUCCUUUAUACCGAUUGGUUGGUCUCCUUUAAAGCAAUUCCUGUUUUAAGUAAUCAAAAUCUUGAUUCGGAAGUGUGUUUUAGCACUACUAAAGGUUCUUUUAAAUACUAAAUUGAUUGUGAGUCUUCUAUAUCAUCUGAUUGAAAUACAUGAAAGCGAUAUUGGCUACAAAAGUACACUUGGGGUUGUUUAUAAAGUCUUCAACAGGAUUUUUUUUUCCCCUUCCUCAUGGUUUAUUUUUUAGUUGUUGUUUAACAAAACACUUAAAAGGUUCUCUUUAUAGGUUUCUGAAAAUAAUUUUAACAUAACCAUUUUUCAGAAGCACUUUAGAUACCUGUGGCAUUUAGAAAAUUUUGUUCCAGCAUUCACAUAAUAUACAUAGAAAUUUGAAUUUAUUUAAUUAUGAGCAUGUGCUAGUGCCUAUUGGCAUCCACUUGUAUAUACAAAUGUAUUAUACAAUACAAUAUUAGCUUGACUGUAGCAUAGAGGAGAAUAGGGUCGGAAUUGGUCUGAAUUCUGAUCUUUGAAUAAAUAUAAUAGCUGAUUGAAGCUGCUCAUGUGACUCCAUUGUCAGCAGCUUACACAAGGUCUUUUAGCUUUUUAAAAAGUUUUGUGAUAUUUCAUAGUUCACAUGGAUUGCUACAGUAUAGAAUACCCAAUUAGGGCAUUUUUAAUUCCUAUGCAUAGGAGUCUUCCUUCAUGCGCACGCGCGUACACACAUAUAUUUCCCACUUCCGUUCACUCCAAAAGUGAAAAUUGCGGGCAAUUUUUAUCUUCAGUAAAAUUGGAGUAGAUGUUGUUCUUAUUGGCGCAAAUUUGCGUACCAUGUUUGUGGGACCCUUAACCUUGCGCCUUUGUUACAAUCAUAUGCAUUCAGGCUUUUGGUAGACCCUUGGAUAGUAUGAUCAGUGUAUUAGAAUUUAGAAUUCGUGUUUAUAAGGGUCAGUUUGGUAAUGUUAUAAUUUUUAAAAUAAUUACUGUUAGCUAUACUAUAGAAAUAAUCAGUUGUGAAUAAAAUCAGUUAAACAGUUGAUAAAUUUUGUUUUUAAGGUGUUGUGAGUUUUAAACAAUUUGUAUGUAUUUAGUAAAUCUCGCUUUUAAAGUAUUAUAAGAAUGCAAAGACUUAAAUAGAUAGAAAUCUAUAAAAUUUAUUUACAUGUGCAUUUAUACAAUAAUAUUUUAUGCAUGUAUAUAAUAAUUAAUAACAGAAAUAAAUAUUUUUAUUUUAUUAAUUAUAUAUUUUUCUUAUUAUCUCAAUAUAAUUGGUAAUAAUAAUCUUUUUAAUAGUACAUUUAUUAAUCAGUAAUCGAAAUGGGCUGGAAUCGGAAUGGGGAAUGAAAAUCAUAAUAAUUUGUUUACUUUAGCUGUAGGAAUCAAAAUCACAUGGAGCUAUAUUAUCAUUAAUAUAUUUAUUUUGUCUUGGAAUCGAAAUAGAUUGUUACAAAUUACUAAACUGAUUUUAUUAUUAUCAAUAUUAUUAUUAAACAAGGUAAAGGGAAUUUUUAAUUUUCACUAGGUGUAGAAAUGUCGAUUCACUUCUCAUUCUCAUUCUCUGUUCUCAUUCCCCCUCCUCAUAGGAUUACCAUUUCACAUUCUCAAAAAUUUAUAAUUGACUCACAUUUCAUUCUCAUUCCUCCUUAUUUUGGAAGUAAAUAAGUUAAAGAAUCAUAUUCCUUUAUUCUUGUUUUUCAUUCACAUUCCUUCUCCUUAUUUUGGAAGUAAAUAACUUAAAGAAUCAUAUUCCCUUAUUCUUGUUCUCGUUCUCGUUCUCAUUCUCAAUUAGUAAGCACACUACAAAUGCAAUGAUUUUGUUUCCUAAUUAAACAAGGAUAAUUUUUAGAUUUUUAUAAUAUAUGUUAAGAUAUAUGUAGAAUUGUAUUAAAUAUGAAACUGACUCCCAAAAUCAUAUUUUAAAAAACUAUUUUUUUCUUAUUUUUUGAAAUUUAUUGUAGGCUAGGGUGAUUUUAUCAAAGUAAUUUUUUUAAAAAUUUUCGGACCCAUUUGGGAUUGUUUUUGGAAGACUCAAAAAGGAUUUUGAAUAGCUAAAAUCUAAGUUUGGUGUUUUAUAAUUUUUUUUUAAAAAAAUUACUUCUGAUAAAAUUAUCUUAUCCACGUUAAAUUUUAAAAAGAAAGGAAAAAGUAAUUUUUUAAAAUCUGAUUUUAAGAAUCAUUUUUAUACUUAAUACAAUUUCAUAAAUAUCCUGAUAUAUAUCAUAAAAAUUCAAAAUUAUCUUUAUUAGUUAGGAAAUAAAAUCAAUAAUUUUAAAAAGAUUAUUAUUAUUUCUAAUUAUAUUGAGCUAACAAAAAGAAAUAAAAUUACUAAUAUAAAAUUUAUUUUAACUAUUAAUUAUUAUAUUUACCAAUAAAAAACAUUUUAUAUACACGUUUAUAAAUAUUUAAAUAAAAUUUAUUCAUGUCGAGUUCAACCAUUUAUAUUAUUACAGCAAUUUAACAACUGGUUGUCGUUGCUCGGGAAUUAUAGAAUUACCAUAUGUUGUAAAAAUGCACUAAGCCAUGCCAUGUGUUUGAUACAGGUUAUGCUUGUUCGAUUAAAUUGUACUCACCUAUAAAUCAAAGAUUCAGUACAUGUGCAUGUUAGUGGUCUUCAGAAUCCAGAAUAAUAAAUGCCUUGAAAUGCUUGAGUUCAAUGAUUUCGCAGAAGACCAAGUUCCUUGUUAAUGAGUCAGCAUGACUGAAUCCUUCACUAAGCCAAAUUUGUUUUCACUUUUAGUUUAGAAAUUGUCAUUAAUUAAGAAAGUGUUUGAUAAAAUGCUUUGGAAGGCACUGUUCGUUGGACGUUUGCCCAGAAUUUAUGAAAUCAUUGGUGUUUCAUCCUACUUGUAACACUCUUCUUUAUUUUCUAUUCUAACGAAGAAAUCUUUUAUUAGAAAAGUGACAAGAUUGCACCUUUCAUUUGUAUGUUAAGGAGGUGUAAAAUUUUCUCGUUAAAAUCCCAUCAUGAAAAAAACUCACGGGCAAAAACCUACUGCAAAUUAAAGAAAGAAGAGUAAAUCAUGAUAAAUACACUCUCUUUUACAAUGCAAGCGGAUGCUUCAAUGAGUGGAUCAUGCGCCAAACUUGUAUAUCGUUGUUGGUAGUGCUUUGUUGAAUCAAUAUGAUAGAUUUUCACUUUUCUUUUUUUUCUUUUCUUUUUUUUUUCCUUGUGGAUACGAAAAUGAUUUGGGUUAAACUAUACUUAAUGCCGGUUUGGUACGACUUCUCUACUAAUUAAAAGAGUUUUUUUUCUUAAAUGUUCAAAAAGAUUUUUUAUUAUAAAUUGUAAUUUGAGUGGAUUUCUUGGGAUUAAACAAGUUACAUUUUUGUCUCUAUAAAGAAGUUCAAGUUAUAGAUUUUGGCAAUAGAGAUGUAGAGGUUUUUUUUUUUUCAGAGAACUAAAUUGUGGAGACUAUCUUUAUUUGGUUAUACAACUUUUUUUUUUUUAAUUUCAUAACAUAAUUUUAAAAGACUUAUUUAAUAAAUUUGAUAUUUUUUUGUAAAAAUUAUCAUUCACGUCCAAACUACUGAAGAUUUUUUUGUUAAACGCACUACUUAAAAGUUAUAUUAAUUAUAAACUUUCUAAAAAAAAAAAACAAUUCAAAGAGUUAUAGCAAACAAAGUGCUAGUUAACUUCAGUCGAUAAUAAUCUUCUAAUCCGUCCUACAAAUGACUUUCGACAAGAGUGGUGCUACUCACAUCUCUUCAAAACCCAUUUGACACCCCGUUUUCUUUAUUUAAAAUUUUAUACAUUUGAAAAUUAUUUUUUCUUUUACUUGACACUCUUCAAAUUCUAAAACUAAGCUUCAAAGAACCUUCGUCAUUAAAUCUCAUUGCCUUCCUUUAUUCUUGUUACUUGAGAAGAAGAAUGAGAGUCUGGAAGAAUGAAAGAAAAUUCAGCGAGAUAGAAAUCUAGUAAUUUCAUACCAUGAUUCAGAAUUUUUUUUUUCUCAAAAGAAUCUACUAUUCUUCUAUAUUUUAUAUAAAAAAAAGAGGAAAAGAGGAAACUGAGAGACUCUUUGUUUAAUGCUUGAAAGUUAGAAAGAAAAGGUCAGGAAGCUGCCUGGUAAUGAGAGUGAUGCAUCAGCACUAAUUUCUAUCUCGAUAGCUACCAAUUACCACCCCUAGAAAGGCUGUUGAUCAACAAGCCAUAUCUACUGGUUUCCUUUCUUUAAAAGUUCUAAUGGUCCCCUUAAAAAUCUCUAUAUGCUCAGUCUUCUCAUGAUAUAUCUGAUUUUCGCUGAGAAUUAUAGCAAGCGCUUCAGAUAUCAUAAUACUUUGUGACUGACUACUGUGCAUGCUUAAUUAUAAGAUUAUUCCUUGUGGCCAAAUAAAAUGACCCCCUUUAGAGCCUCUGUAUUUGAAAAAGCAAGACAAUGAGCUUAAUUAUUGUCAAGGUCUCCAGUAGGAUACUCCUAAAUCCAUAUACCCACCCACCAGAACUCCAAUCUUGAAACUUAUAGAUCAAACCAUAACUUAAUGUGCCUGGCAACCAGGGAUAUGUCAGGCCUUUAAAAAACCACUACAUACAUUUGAGUCUGAAAUUGCUCCAAUUAGUAUUAUGAUUAUUAUUUUAAAAAACUCAACCUAAGCAAAGUGCCUCAGCAUACAAUAUUUAUUGACAACUAAAAAGUAAUAGUGGGUGGGGGUUGCCCUGGGUUUUGUUUAAAAAUUGAAGUAAAAAAUUUUCAAAUUUCAAAUUUCUAGUACAAAGAAAAUUGAUGACUAAAUUAAAUUCUGCAAAUUAAUUUCUAAUAUUACAUGAAAAUAUAUCAAGUUAAUUGGUAACAUUGUUAAUCACUUAAUCCUCAAUCUAAUACGUUAUGUAUUUGUUACUCUGUCUUAAAUCAAAAGUGGCGGUGAUUUAUUUUUAUUUUCACUAAUAAGAAAGGCAUGUUAGAGCUUUUAUUUUGUUGAAAAUGAACCAAAAAACUCCGAUUGGGAGAUUAUAAAUGUAUUUAACAAUAAUUUAACUUCCAUUUUGAAAGUCAUUAUAUUGUUUAUUCAGGAGAAGCGUUCUUUUAUAUUUUAUAGAUAUAAUGUUUGCUAAUCCUAAUUUAAGCUAAAGCAUAUGCAUUUCCUAAUUAAUUCUAAUUUAAGCUUAUUCAACUGCAUUCAAUUAAUGUUCGAUAAUACAAAUUCUAAAUACUAUAUACUCUAAGAAUUUUAAUCGUAAUGACAAGGUGAUCAUUUAAUUAUUACCGUUAAAUUAUAUAUGUAUGGUGGAGACGAGUCCACACGGUUUUGACGAGAAAUUAAAGACAAUAUUUAGUUAAGCUAGUAGUAUUUGUUCUGUUUAGUACGUCGUUUUACCAGCAAGCAUCCCGGCAAUGCACGCAUUAAUAAAAAAAUUUAUCUGUUUGGACUGAUUGGUAGUGAAAAAUUCCACAUACUUUAAAUUAAGAAAAUGCUAAGUAUCUUAAAGAAAACAAUUAAAAUAUUGUCACUUGAUGCUUGAAUCAUUAUUGUUAAAUAUCUCCGUUGAGUUGUAUUCCCCAGCUGUGAGUAUCAUUAUUGUCUUUGCUAUCUAAUCAAUUCAAUUUUCUUUCUGGAGACAAGAUUUUGAUUCCUUUCAUCGUUACAAAAACGGAACCAUGGUUGAUGUGGGAGAGAUCUUACUCAACGCCUUCUUUCAGGUGUUGUUCGACAGGUUGGCUUCCCGUGAUUUGCUCAGCUUUGUCCGUCAACUUGGAGGGGGGGUCGAUUCCGAGCUCAAGAAGUGGGAAAGAAAGCUGAAGAUGAUUCAGGCGGUGCUCAACGAUGCAGAGGAGAAGCAACUGACUGAUGAGGCUGUGAAGAUGUGGCUGGACGAUCUCCAAGACUUGGCUUAUGACGCUGAGGACAUUCUUGAUGAGUUUGCUACUCAAGCUUUGGAAAGCAAGUUGAUGGAGCAAAAUCAGGAUAGCUCUGGCCAGGUUCUCAGUUUCAUCCCGGCUAGUUUGAAUCCGAAUGCUAUUAUGUUCAAUUAUAGCAUGGGGUCCAAGAUUAAAGAUAUUACUAGCCGGCUGGAGCAACUCUGCCAAGAAAGAAUUGAACUUGGACUGCAGCGGAUUACUGGAGGGGCAUCAUCAACUGCUGCUGCUACACAGCAGAGGCCGCCCAGUUCGAGUGUCCCAACAGAACGUGAAGUAUUUGGAAGAGCAAAAGAUAAGGCCAAAAUUCUUGAUAUGGUAUUGGCCGAUACCCCAAGUGAUCAUGCCGACUUUGUUGUAAUACCCAUUGUUGGCAUGGGCGGGAUAGGAAAAACAACUCUCGCUCGGGAGGUUUACAAUGACAAGGCCGUUGGCGGUUCCAAGUUUGAUGUAAAAGCAUGGGUUUGCGUAUCUGACGUCUUUGAUGUUUUGGGCAUCUCAAAGGCACUUCUCGAGUCAAUCACCCGCAGGCCAUGUCUUCUAAACAGUUUAAAUGAAGUGCAGGUUGAAUUGAAAGUAGCUGUGGAUAAAAAAAGAUUCUUGCUGGUCUUAGAUGAUGUUUGGAACGAGGAGUACAGCUUGUGGGUAGACUUAAAAGCUCCGUUCCUGGUUGCUGCACCAAACAGUAAGAUGAUCGUCACCACACGCAAUUCAAAUGUUGCAUCAACAAUGGGGCCAGUUGAACAUUACAAUCUCAGGAGUCUAUCGGAUGAUGAUUGCUGGUCCAUUUUCAUAAAGCAUGCAUUUGAAUCUAGAGAUCUUAACGCACAUCAAAUUUCAGAAUCAUUCCGCAAGAAAGUUGUUGCCAAGUGUGGAGGCUUGGCCCUGGCAGCAAAAACACUCGGAGGCCUUCUGCGUACGACGAGGCAUGAUGCGUGGGAUGAUAUAUUAGAGAGCAAAAUAUGGGAUUUACCACGACAAAGUGGGGUUCUCCCAGUAUUAAGAUUGAGUUACCAUCAUCUUCCUUCUCAUUUGAAAAUGUGUUUUGCUUUCUGUGCAAUCUUUCCAAAAGAUUAUGAAUUCAAAGAGAAGGAGCUGACUUUUUUAUGGAUGGCCGGAGGAAUUAUUCGACAGUCAAGAAGCAAAGAGCGGCUAGAAGAUUUGGGCAGCAAGUGCUUCCAUGAUCUGGUGUCAAGGUCAAUUUUUCAGAAAUCAGCAAUCUCUGCUAGUUCUAAAUUUGUAAUCCAUGACCUUAUCCAUGAUCUUGCUGAAUUGGUCUCUGGAGAAACCAUAUUUAGGUUAGAGGAGGCCAAUACUCUGUCAAGAAGAUUUGAAAGGGUUCGCCAUUCCUCCUAUGCUUGUGGUGGAUAUGAUGGUAAAAAUAUGUUCGAUGUUUUCAAUGAAAUUGAACAUCUACGAACAUUCUUGCCAUUACGCUUACGCAUAAGAGGUGGCUUUAGUUCUGGUUACAUAAGUCGAACGGUCCUAUCUGACUUGCUGCCAAAGUUCAAAAGGUUGAGAAUGCUAUCUUUAGAAGGAUACUGUAUUGGCGAGUUACCAAUUCCAUUUGAAGAUUUGAGACUUUUAAGGUUUCUCAACCUUGCUGACACUGACAUAAGAAGUUUACCCGAGUCAACAUGCAAAUUGCUGAACUUGGAAAUUUUUAUAUUAAGAAAUUGUUCCCGUUUGAUAAAGCUUCCAGCCAAAAUGAGGAAUUUGAUCAAUUUACGCCAUCUGGAUAUAAGAGGUGCGAAGUUGCUGAAGGAGAUGCCAGUCGGAAUGAAAGAGCUGAAGAAGCUUCAAACAUUGUACAAUUUCAUUGUGGGCAAGGGUGAAACUGCAUCCGGUUUGGAAGAAUUAAAAAGUUUAAACUUUCUUUGUGAUGAACUUUGCAUUGCUGGAUUAGAGAAUGUGAAUAAUCCACAGAAUGCAAGAGAAGCGGCAUUAUGCGAGAAGCACAAUCUUGAAGCACUGACUCUAGAUUGGGGGUCUCAAUUUGACAAUUCUCGAGAUGGAGUAGUAGAAGAGCAUGUACUGGAAAUUCUACAGCCUCAUAAACGUAUAAAAAAGGUGGCAAUCAGGAACUAUAGAGGUGCAAGAUUUCCACAUUGGAUAGGAGAUCCUUUGUUCUCCAAAAUAGAGUUCCUUGAAUUGGAGAACUGUGACAAUUGUGUAUCUUUGCCAUCGCUUGGCCGUUUGAGUUCACUUAAACACCUUGCUGUUAAAGGGCUGAAGAAACUAAAAAGCAUAGAGUCUAAGGUUUAUGGGGAGGGUUUCUCAAUGCCUUUUCCAUCAUUGGAGAUUCUAAGUUUCGAGAAUUUGCCAGAAUGGGAGCAUUGGGACACCGAUAUCAAAGGAAAUGUACUUGUUGAAAUAUUUCCUCGUCUCCAUAAACUUUCCAUUGUGGAAUGUCCCAAACUCUCCGGAGAACUGCCUGAUCUCCUGCCCUCCUUGGAGACACUUGUUGUUAGUAAAUGUGAAAAGUUGGUAGUUCCAUUGUCUUGCUAUCCGAUGCUCUGCAGAUUAGAAGUUGAUGAGUGCAAGGAACUAGCGUGCGCGACUCCAAUUGAUUUUAAGUUGAUAAAGUCUGUGACUAUUUCAAAUUGUUCACUAGACAUGUAUGGAUGCAAGGGGAUGCUAUACAAUGGUCCAGCUGGCUCUUCACUGCCGAAAUCCAUGACUAUUACAAAUGUUUUGGCGUUUGGAAAAUUAUUGAAGCCUGAAUUUCAGAUAUUAGAAACUUUGGUAAUUGACAAUUCUGAACAGCUCAUGUCAUGGAGGCAGCGUGGGAAUUUCCGAGAAGAAUAUUUGGCCGUUCGCCGAAGGCUUAUCAAACCAUUACAAGGGCUAAAUAUGCUCGCUUCCCCAGAAGAGGUAACAAUUGAAGAAAGUUGUGUGAGUUUUGUUUUAUUUUCAGAGAUCAAUUUCUUUCCCAGAAAUCUGCGCUCUCUUCUAAUUUGCAGCAGCACAGCUUUAAAAUCCUUACCCGAUGAAAUGAUGGACAACAGUUCACAACUCAAAAGGUUGUAUAUCAGAGAUUGCGAUUCUCUAACAUUCAUCACAAGACGCAAGCUACCUUCAUCUCUAAAAAGUAUAGAGAUUCAGAAUUGUGAGAAACUGCGACAUUUGUUCGAUGAUAAAGAGGAUGCUUCUUCUUCUUCUCCUCCUUCAUCCUCGCCCUCCCCAGUGAUGCUGAAACACCUGAGUAUAAAUAAUUGCCCAGAGCUCACCAGUUUAUCAACAGGAAUCCAAUUACUUGAGGCGCUUGAACACCUCGACAUACGGGAUUGUCGAAAGCUGGAGUCAUUACCAGAUGGCCUUCACAAUCUUAACUGUUUACAGGAGAUUACUCUAAACAGUUGUCCAAGUCUUCUUAGAGGGCUUCCCAACACGAUUUCAAGGGUUGACAUUUACAGCUGUCCAAGUCUUGUUUCCUUCCCAGAAAGAGGACUUCCCAACACGAUUUCAAAGGUUGACAUUUUUAAUUGUGAGAAGCUCGAAGCCCUGCCCAAUGACAUGCACAAACUCAACUCUCUUCGAGAUUUAAGCAUAUUGGGGUGUCGAAAUCUUGUAUCCUUUCCAGAAGAAGGUUUUCCUACCAGUCUAACAUCACUUAGAAUUGGAGAUUUCAAAAUGUAUAAGACACUCAUCCAGUGGGGGUUGCACAGGCUUACCUCUCUUAGACGCCUCUAUAUCGUUGAUUGUGAUGACGAAGCAGAGUGUUUUCCAGACGAGGAGAUAGGAACGAUGCUGCCUACCUCCCUAACUCAUCUAUCCUUUCGGGGAUUCCGAAAUUUGAUAUCUCUGUCUUCGACGGGUUUUCAGAGCCUCAACUCUCUUCAAUACUUGUGGAUCAGGGAUUGCCCGAAUCUCACAUCAUUCCCAGAGGUGGGCCUUCCAUCCUCACUUUUGGCAUUAUGCAUUAUCGAUUGUCCAAAGCUUAAAAAAGCGUGCAAAAGAGAUCAAGGAAAAGAGUGGUCCAAAAUUGCUCACAUCCCUCGCAUUGACAUAGACAGGAAAUUCAUAUACGAUCCAGAAUCAGAGGAGUAGAUUCUACUAUUAAGGUCAGUUGAUUUGUAUUAUCCGCCAUAACAAGCUCCUCCUUUUUUUUUAAAUAAUAAUAAUAAUUCUUACCAAUUAAUGAUGGUAAGAUGUGUACUUAUUCUUUCUUCCGGACAACCUUGCCUUCUUUCUUCGGUAGCAUAUCUAAUGAAUAUUUCUCUGUUUAGUUAAGGAUGAAUGCUUGGAGUGGAGUAUUUGGUAACAUUUCUGCCGUAGAUGAAACCUUGAAGAAAUGCCUGCACUUCCUGAGACCAAAUACAGGUCUGAUUCACAACAACACCUGUCCCAGAAAAUAUGAUACAAGCCAAAGCCAUGUUCUGAAGCAGAAAUAACGCAUUUCAAUUUUUAUCUGGUAAAAAUACACAGCCCUCGCCUACAAAAUUCUUAUCUUGGCUUUCACGGAUAUUUUUAUCACGUAACCACGUGAGGAAGCAUGUGCUGGAGCCUGAAUUCAGUUAGUUAAAGUUUGUUAACCACGUGUCAACAAACUGUAUAAUCUGGAAAAUACGCUAGCUAUUGAAACAGGGUAUAAAGGCUGGUUUUUCAGGGACUAUCGAGAGCUGAUUCUAGAGUCUUGUAGAAAGAGGUUUGUGAGAGAGAAAGUGUCAUCUUGUUCUCUGUAAAAUCCGAUAUAGGGCUCUGUAACGAUCUCCAUUGUUGAAUCAAUAAAACUCAUCUAGAAGCUUCUCCCGUGGACGUAUUCUGAGCAUUCAAUGCACAGCUGAACCACGUAAUAUCUUGGUUUCAGUGGGUUCUUGUUUUGGUUCUUGAUAAAUUCUUGUUGUUGUAUUGAGGUGUGAUUUGAUGUGUCUAAACUUGCAUCUGUGCAACUUGAAUUGAUUUGAUGAUAAUAAUCUUGGGCAGUGAUCAGAUUCGUUUAGUUUAAAGAACAAGCUGAUUACUACCGUACCUAUGCAUGGACCUGUAACCUGUGCUGACAAAACUGAAACUAUGAGUUUGAGGUAAAAAGGUCCUGGACCCUCACAGUUUAACUUGGACUUGUAGCUUUCUGGAUAAACACAUUUUAGAAGUUUGCAAUUUGUUGUUAAUUACGGUAUGUGAUUUUCUUUUUUGUUUUCGCUUUUGUAGAAUCUACCGUAUUACAUAUUGGCAGUUGUAUCUGAGGUACCAUUUUUGCAUUUAACUUGCCUUUAUCUGUUUUGCCUGUUACUUAACAACACAUCAUUUCCCAAAGAUUUGGAGAAGCAUCUCAAGAUGCUUAACAAACUUGACAAACUUCAAGAUGCUCCCAAGCCUUGAUUCUUCACAAAGGAAGACCUGUGAGUACACUUAUGCCCGCAAUUAUUGUGAAGUGAUUGCAACUUUGAUGCAGCGAAACGGUUUGCUGGUGCAAAGCUUUAAAACUGUUAAGAAUUACCCUGCAGGCUUGUUGGAUGUUGUAUACUCCGAAAGCCACCAACACCAAGAACUAUAACAGCAAGACUAGGUUUGCAUUAAUUCAAUUAGCUGAAAUAAUGAUGCAAAUGGCACUAUCCAGCUCGACUUAGAGACUAGUCAGGUCAAUCAUCCAUUUCAUCAACAGUUAAUGUCAGGAUGGUGGCUAGCAGAGGAAACAAAGGAUAUGUUGGAAUCAAUAAGAACAGUGAGAAGCAUGAGAGGAGCUUUGAUUAUAAGUAGGCUCAAUGAACUAGUGUUGGUAAGUGGUAAUUAGAGCAAUUUGUGAGCUUAGUAGAGUUUCAAUAUUUUCUGUUUGGGAUAUAGUUGAUAAGUUGAUACUCUGAUAAAGAAGGCUGAUUAUAGUAGCUGACUAUAUUAACCGGGUUCUCUUUUUUGGUUUGCUGUUGUUUUUUCUUUCAAUAUCUUUUUCAACAUUAGGUUUAAGAACAAGCUUGGGUUUGAUUAUCAGGUAAGAACAAAUGAAUGCUUUAACCAUGUUUCUCACUUAUCACAAUGCACGGAUUGAAGGCGUCUGAGUUGAUCCUGAAACGUGCCUCAGCAAGUAUUAUGAUUAUUAUUUUAAAAAACUCAACCUAAGCAACGUGCCUCAGCAUACAAUAUUUAUUGACAACUAAAAAGUAAUAGUGGGUGGGGGUUGCCCUGGGUUUUGUUUAAAAAUUGAAGUAAAAAAUUUUCAAAUUUCAAAUUUCUAGUACAAAGAAAAUUGAUGACUAAAUUAAAUUCUGCAAAUUAAUUUCUAAUAUUACAUGAAAAUAUUAUCAAGUUAACUGGUAACAUCGUUAAUCACUUAAUUCUCAGUCUAAUACGUUAUGUAUUUGUUACUCUGUCUUAAAUCAAAAGUGGCGGUGAUUUAUUUUUAUUUUCACUAAUCAGAAAGGCAUGUUAGAGCUUUUAUUUUGUCGAAAAUGAACCAAAAAAACUCCGAUUGGGAGAUUAUAAAUGUAAUUAACAAUAAUUUAACUUCCAUUUUGAAAGUCAUUAUAUUGUUUAUUCAGGAGAAGCGUUCUUUUAUAUUUUAUAGAUAUAAUGUUUGCUAAUCCUAAUUUAAGCUAAAGCAUAUGCAUUUCCUAAUUAAUUCUAAUUUAAGCUUAUUCAACUGCAUUCAAUUAAUGUUCGAUAAUACAAAUUCUAAAUACUAUAUACUCUAAGAAUUUUAAUCGUAAUGACAAGGUGAUCAUUUAAUUAUUACCGUUAAAUUAUAUAUGUAUGGUGGAGACGAGUCCACACGGUUUUGACGAGAAAUUAAAGACAAUAUUUAGUUAAGCUAGUAGUAUUUGUUCUGUUUAGUACGUCGUUUUACCAGCAAGCAUCCCGGCAAUGCACGCAUUAAUAAAAACAUUUAUCUGUUUGGACUGACUGGUAGUGAAAAAUUCCACAUACUUUAAAUCAAGAAAAUGCUAAGCAUCUUAAAGAAAACAAUUAAAAUAUUGUCACUUGAUGCUUGAAUCAUUAUUGUUAAAUAUCUCCGUUGAGUUGUAUUCCCCAGUUGUGAGUAUCAUUAUUGUUGUUUGUGCGAUAUGUUUCGACGAAGACCAGCAGUGAUGAGCAGGCGUCUGGUAGCAGGGUUCCUCGAACAGGUAUAUCUUGCAAGAGUCUGGUAGCAGGGGGAGCAAGAGCAGGAGUAUCCUGCUCGUCCACGAGUACGUCAUCCACGAGGCCGGUCUCCUGUUGGGAGCGUAAAGCCAUUCCUGCUAUAUUCCUGCUAGCGGUUGAGUCGAGGAGACCCGGUCAACGACAGUUGACGAGACAUGCUCUCCAGUCCGAGAAUCAAGGCGCGAAGGCCACGCAACCACCCACGACUACGGAAAUGGAGCAUCCACUUUCGAGAAGUGGGAGGAUGACAAGCGCAAAGGGAGGAAAUGCAUGGGCUCAGAAGUGGCCUAUAAAAAGGUAACCAACGAAGGUAAAAGGGUUAGCAAUUUUGAGAUUAUAACAGAGACUAAGGAAAUUCUAAAGAAGAGAAAACUAUUAAAAAGCCAUAAGAUCUGUGGCAAGCGUUCCCAGAGCCUUCAUAUCUGACUUGAGCGUCGGAGGGUUUACGCCGGGAAAACAACCGGCGUGCUCUGACUUGUUUCUGUGGACGCAGGAAUACUUGGAGAAGAAAGCAUACAAGGAGAGAUCCUGGUCGAGGUGAGGUUGAUUGAGCAGAUAUCCUGGUCGUAGGAAGAGCGUAACCAGAAUCUCGCAUCAAUAUUUUGGCGCCGUCUGUGGGGAGCUGAGCAAAAAGUUUCUGUUGAUAGCAAAGAAGAGGAGUGAAGCAAGUGAAAAGCAAUGGAGACAGGAGGAAGUAGUGCACAAGGGGGUGAUAUGAGGCUUAACGAUUCCGUGACGCUGAGGGAGAUAGCCAGUGAAGCACGGGAAAAAGCCAUGUUCGACCGGAUGGAACGGAUGGAAAAGCAGAUGGAGACCUUGACAACCAUCCUACAUGAGCUGCGGAGCGAACGAAGGGUAACCCAGGAGGAAAGGGUGAGAGGUGGUGGAGUGGCACCAGGUCCCGAUAGUGCGAGGAGAAGUCAAACCACCGGGAGAUUUGGUGGUGAGAGAGGUAACAUACCUCUGCAGGGAAAUUGCAUAGAGAGGAAGAGCAGUCCCCGGCAAGACAGAUUUUUGACGAGGACGACGGGGUGGCGAAUGCAGAGGAAGCAGAGUUGAGGCAAUACUUGCAUGAUGUAGUGCAAGAGCGGGAUCAAGUCGCAGCACGUGACCCUGGUCGUGCAGAGCAGCUGGAGGAGGAAGUGUGCAGGCUAGCGCAGAUAAUUGACGACAUACAAGGAAGGAGCAGAGCUCCUGGUUGGAGGAUAAUGCUGGACGGAGAAUCACCGCUCGCAGCAGAGAUCAUGAGGGCAGUUAUUCCAAGAGAUUUCCGCCUCCCAGACCUUAGAUAUUCGGGAUGAACUGAUCCGCUGGUGCACAUAGAGCGCUUCAACGACAUAACUGGGGUACAAGGAUUAUCUCAAUCCUAAAGGUGCAGGGUGUUCCCACUAUCCCUUGAGGGACGCGCACGAGAGUGGUACAGGAAACUUCCUCGGGGGAGCAUUAAAACCUUCGAGCAGAUGUGCCAGGAAUUUGCAGAACAGUUCCGUGGGGCAAUGGCACCAGAAGAUGACAUGAUGGAGUUGAAAAACAUGAAGCAGGGGGAACAAGAAACACUUCGGGAAUUCAUCAAGAGGUUUCACCGUGCUGUCCUCGACUUGGGAGCCUUCAACCACCCUCAAACGUUAAGGGGAUUGAAAGAAGGGGUGAAGAUAGGAAGGCUGUGGUACAACUUGAGAAGCCCAGUUAUUCAGACGUAUGCGGCCGCAUACGAGCAGGCUAAGAGAGACAUUGAGAUUGAAGAGGAGAAGGCAGCACAGAUUAAGACAGACCAGUUAGAAGGGUGGGGGAGGAAAGAGAAGAAAGCAUUACCGGGGAAUGGGCCGAUCAGGAGGAGGAACCACCAGGCCUCGAGUAGUGGAGCAGAAGGUCGGGUAACUGCUUACCAGCCUCAUCAGAGGCCACUACAGUAUCAGCACAGCAGGGCGCAACCUCCUCGUUCCCCAGCUGGGGAGCCUUGGAGAAGGCAUGACUCGGCGUAUGGUGGUCUUCAUCAACACUCCCACGGUAGUAGAAGGGGCAGACCAGAAGCGCUGCCACCGCCUCCAACUCAGAACGGAGCAAAUAGAGAAAGGGCAGUGCACCUGAUCGACCAGAACCAGGACUAUGGGCGAUAUACUUCCUUGAAGAUGUCCCUGGCCGAGGUGUACGAGGCCAUAAAGGAUCGAGGGUCGUUAUACCUCCCUGCCCCAAUAACAAAGCUACCCAGCAGGAGGGAUAGGGGACGCUAUUGUAAGUUCCAUGGCACUCAUGGCCACACCACAGCAGAUUACAGGGAUCUCAAGACCCAGGUUGAAGAUUUGGUGAGAAAUCGGUAUCUGGACGAGUUUAUAGAUGGGACCUUCCCAAUGGUAGCCUCGACCAGCGAAUGGGAGCAGAGUGACAGGAACUUGAGGCGCGAGCAGCCUGCAGUAAGGGUGAUAGCUGGGGGCCCAACAUUGGCCGGAGAUUCCAACAGGUUGAGGAAGAAUUACGCUAGAUACGCCAUGACCAGCAAAGAUGUAUUCUUCACCACCCCAGCAGCCAAACGUGCAAGAGUCAGGCAAGUGCCAAUUAUGUGGACAGAUGAGGAUGAAGAAGGGAUUCUAUACCCCCACGAGGAUGCUUUGGUCAUCAAGGCCACUGUUGCCAGCAAGAAGUUUGACAGGAUACUGGUUGACACAGGGAGCUCAGUUGAUGUGUUGUUUAAGUCAACCCUGGAGGAGAUGGGAAUAGCAGACCUGAAGUUGGAUUACACCAAUACCUCCUUGAAGGGGUUUGGAGGAGGAAAGUUGGUCCCUCUGGGCGUGGUCGAGCUGCCUAUCACGAUUGGGAGCUCCCCGACAGAAGGGACAAUGAUACUGGACUUUGUGGUAGUGGAUGAGGAAGGUCCUUAUCAGAUGAUCCUAGGCCGGCCAUUUCUGACGAUGAGCAAAGCGGUGCUGUCCAGCCAUUAUCUGGCUCUCAAGUACCGGGUGAAUGGGGUAGUUGGAGUGGUACGAGGAGACCAGAGGAUCGCAAGAAGCUGCUACUCCUCGGCAGCAAAGGAAGCAAUGCAGAUAACAUCCCUUGAUACCCGAGUGGAAGCCAGGAAUGGCAGCUAGUUGGACCCGGAGUUUACAAGCUGGUUCGCACGGAUGGCCACAAGGUGAAACGCCCAUGGAGCGCGACACACCUCAGGAAAUAUUUCUAGUAAGACUUACUCAUCUUUUAAAGUUAUUUCUGUUCGUGCCCGUUGUUUUCUAUUUUUCAUUUCUUAUUUCAAAGCAAUCUCAUGUAAGCCGAAUUCAAUAAUAAAUGAAUCAAUGAGGAGUUUCAGUCAACUACACUGUUCAAGAAAUUAUCAAAGGCAUGCAAAGGCUAGUCAAGUCUCAAAGCCUGUUUAUGGCGAGACCAGAAGCCAAGCGUGCCAGGAUCUGCUCGACCACGAGAAGGCGAGCAGAGUCCCAAGCUUUCAAGAAAUUAUCAAUGGCAUGCAAAGGCUCACCAAGUCUCAAAGCCUGUUUAUGGCGAGACCAGAAGCCAAGCGUACCAGGAUCUGCUUGACCACGAGAAGGCGAGCAGAGUCCCAAGCUUUCAAGAAAUUAUCAAAGGCAUGCAAAGGCUCACCAAGUCUCAAAGCCGGUUUAUGACGAGACCAGAAGCCAAGCGUUCCAGGAUCUGCUCGACCACGAGAAGGCGAGCAGAGUCCCAAGCUUUCAAGAAAUUAUCAAAGGCAUGCAAAGGCUCACCAAGUUUCAAAGCCUGUUUAUGACGAGACCAGAAGCCAAGCGUGCCAGGAUCUGCUCGACCACGAGAAGGCGAGCAGAGUCCCAAGCUUUCAAGAAAUUAUCAAAGGCAUGCAAAGGCUCACCAAGUCUCAAAGCCUGUUUAUGGCGAGACCAGAAGCCAAACGUGCCAGGAUCUGCUUGACCACGAGAAGGCGAGCAGAGUCCCAAGCUUUCAAGAAAUUAUCUAAGGCAUGCAAAGGCUCGCCAAGUCUCAAAGCCUGUUUUAUGGCGAGAUAGAAGCCAAGCGUACCAGGAUCUGCUCGACCACGUGAAGGUGAGCAGAAUCCCCAAGCAUCGGAAUAUUUUCCAAGGCAUGCAAAGGCUCGCCAAGUCUCAAAGCCUGUUUUAUGGCGAGACAGAAGCCAAGCAUGCCAGGAUCUGCUCGACCGCGCGAAGGCGAGCAGAAUCUCAAGCAUUGAAGAAUUUUCCAAGGCAUGUGGCAAAACCAUAUGCCGAGCCAGAACCUGCUAAACUAGACGAAGACGAGCAGAUUCUCAGACGAAAAAUAACUCAUGAUUACAACACAAGAAAGUAAUCAAAAACAUUUUUAUUAAUUUGUUAAUAAUUAACAGAGGAGAUAAUCUUCACAAACAUUGUUCAUUACAAUACAAGAAAUAUAUUAAGAGGACGGUGGAUCCGUAAGCCGAGCAGCCUCAGUCGGUUGGUCCACCUCAGGUGCUGGGGGAGUAUCACCGGUCGCGUCCGGGGGGGUGCUUGCCUCACCCACAUCAACAGGAACGGCACGAGGAGGAGAGUUUUCCUCAACUACGAUUGGUUCCACCGUUUCGGCAUCUUCCUUUGCAGCCUCCUCGUCCAUAUGUUGGGCGACACCAGUUGCAAGGUCGUCCAUCUUCAGAUCAGGAUGCUGCUUCCCGAGGACGACCAUGAUGCAACGAUAGGAAUGCCGAAGCCCCUAGUCGUACUGGUUGUCGGCCUCCCUCUCCAAGUUCUCGACCUGAGCUCGGUGGGAAUCGCGGAGAGAUUCGAGCUGAGCCUCAUAUAUAGCCUUCUGCCUUUGCAGAUCCUCCUCGACCUUGGUCAGCUCCUCCUCGAGGGUAAUGGCUUUUGCUUGAGCAAGAGAUUCUUGCUCUAUCAGCUUGAGGUUCUCAACAUUCAGCUCCCCUGCUUUCUUCUCGGCAGCGUCAGCUCUGGUCGUCGCCGAUUGAAUGUCCUCCUUAAUCUUGCGGUCGUAGCGGCCAACCUUCGCCUUGUAAUAGGUGGUCAUGCAGCUGAGGUAGAAAGCGCUAUACUGCAUGGCCCCCACCAGCUCACCCAAGGUGCAGCCGUCAAAGUCCUCCAGGUCCUUCUUGCUCACGAGUUUAGAUAACUCAUUGAGGUAGGGGACCAAGUGUUCUGCUUGGCUGUCAGGUAAGCGAGAUCGAGGCCCGACAGGAGGAGAAGAGGAAGCAGGAUCCGUGGCUGCUCCACUAGUUUCCCCAACUUUGGCAGGAGCAGGAGGUAAAGUCUUCAAGGGAGAGACUUGCUGUACGAUGUUGGCCUGCUUUGCAGAAGGGGCGUCCUUGUUCUGGUCCCUCUUCGUGGCUUGAGGUUGAGAACGUUUCCUGUUCAGAGCCCCAAUCACAGCGUCCUCCAUCUUAUGGCCAGGGAGUACCAAGCGAGACUCGAGCAAGUUGUAAACAGUUAUCAAUUCUCGGCUCGGGCAAGAGUUGGCUAGUAUAGCCUCGACCCGUUUGAGCUGAUCAGGUUGGAGCGAGAAGUGAACACCCCAAGAACCUGCAACACAAACAAACAUUUGAUUAGAGACAAACCAGUAAAGUGCAAACAACAAGGGAGACAAGACAUCUAAUACGAGCAGGCAACCUGGGACCAUGAAACGGGGUGGGACGCGACAAUCCUUCCCGUCUAUUUGUGCAACUUGACCCCAAGGACCCCCAGCAAAAAAGAAUUUCCUCUUCCAAGUCCCACCACCACCAGUUGGAAGAUCAGUUAUGGGUUUCUUGCUCUUGGUACUAGAUUGGAAGUAGUACCAGCCGGCAUCUUUGGGGCUGCUCUUUAGCUGGUACAGGUGCUUCACCUCAUCAACCGUGGGCUCGCUUUGGCAACAUCUGUCCCACAAUAUGAACAGACCAGAGAGCACCCUCCACCCAUUGGGGUUCAGUUGACCAGGAGCUAGAUUGAGCCCGUGGAGUAUGCGAGCAAAAUAGGGUUGCAAGGGGCACCUUAACCCGUACUUAAAACUCUCCUGGAACAAGGUGACAUAUCCCCUAGGAGGCCUGCUAGGACUAUCUUUUUUUCCUGGGAUCCUAAGGAGUACUUCACCAGGAAUAUGAUACCUGAGCCAGAGGUCAUCCAGCUCGUUGAAUGUGGUCGUGCAGGUCAUGUAAUCAAUAGCAUAAUCCCGCAACAAGGCUCUACCUCCUACUGUACUACGCCCUUCUGGUCGCAGUGUUCCCGGUGAAGAUCCCUCACCAGAGUCACCUCCUUGAUCCUCACUUAGGGUGUCUUCCGAGCCAGAAGGUCCUUCCUCGCCACUACUUCCGCUCGUGGAGGUUGUUUGGGGGGACAUCCUCCUAGCGCUAGUCCCGACACUAGACCUAGUGGGCUCUAAGGGGAUCCCGGGGUCAAAAGCAGAAUCAGUGAGCAGACUAGGCAAGAAACCUAGUUCGUCGUCAUCAGUCUCAAUGACUUUCUCCUUACCCUUCGACAUUCCCUAAGUUCUAACCAAAACACCACCACCGACUACAACCCCAAGUAAAGCAAAGAGAAAAGAAAUUAUCUACAACUAUCCGAGACCGAGGAGAUAGAAGUAAUACCUGAAGUAAUGGUUCAGUUAGAGAAAGGCAGGGGAGGAGACUUUUAUGCCGAGACUUCUUUGCCGGAGAGACAGAGACAGAGAUGGAGUAAAUGACGAAUUUUCCCUUUGAGAGGUUUUGGGUUUUCCUAAUGGAGAAUGAACUUUUGGAUUGCCAGCAUUUAAUAGCAUCGAAUCCCAAGGGUCUCGUAACCGUCGGUUUAAAAUUCAAAUAGAUGGGUAGAUUUCUGCCACAUCACCUGGUCCACAAUUAAAUGCGACACGACUCUUGGCAGCCUUUUCCUAUCCCGCGCGAGCAAGAACUGUCGAGUUUCUACUGUUGGCUCACUACGCUACCCAACACAAGAAACUGGGGGACUGGUGUUUGUGCGAUAUGUUUCGACGAAGACUAGCAGUGAUGAGCAGGCGUCUGGUAGCAGGGUUCCUCGAACAGGUAUAUCUUGCAAGAGUCUGGUAGCCGGGGGAGCAAGAGCAGGAGUAUCCUGCUCGUCCACGAGUACGUCAUCCACGAGGCCGGUCUCCUGUUGGGAGCGUAAAGCCAUUCCUGCUAUAUUUCUGCUAGCGGUUGAGUCGAGGAGACCCGGUCAACGACAGUUGAUGAGACAUGCUCUUCAGUUCGAGAAUCAAGGCGCGAAGGCCACGCAACCACCCACGACUACGGAAAUGGAGCAUCCACUUUCGAGAAGUGGGAGGAUGACAAGCGCAAAGGGAGGAAAUGCAUGGGCUCAGAAGUGGCCUAUAAAAAGGUAACCAACGAAGGUAAAAGGGUUAGCAAUUUUGAGAUUAUAACAGAGACUAAGGAAAUUCUAAAGAAGAGAAAACUAUUAAAAAGCCAUAAGAUCUGUGGCAAGCGUUCCCAGAGCCUUCAUAUCUGACUUGAGCGUCGGAGGGUUUACGCCGGGAAAACAACCGGCGUGCUCUGACUUGUUUCUGUGGACGCAGGAAUACUUGGAGAAGAAAGCAUACGAGGAGAGAUCCUGGUCGAGGUGAGGUUGAUCGAGCAGAUAUCCUGGUCGUAGGAAGAGCGUAACCAGAAUCUCGCAUCAACAAUUGUCUUUGCUCUCUAAUCUAUUCAAUUUUCUUUCUGGAGACAAGAUUUUGAUUCCUUUCAUCGUUACAAAAACGGAACCAUGGUUGAUGUGGGAGAGAUCUUACUCAACGCCUUCUUUUAGGUGAUGUUCGACAGGUUGGCUUCCCGUGAUUUGCUCAGCUUUGUCCGUCAACUUGGAGGGGGGGUCGAUUCCGAGCUCAAGAAGUGGGAAAGAAAGCUGAAGAUGAUUCAGGCGGUGCUCAACGAUGCAGAGGAGAAGCAACUGACGGACGAGGCUGUGAAGAUGUGGCUGGACGAUCUCCAAGACUUGGCUUAUGACGCUGAGGACAUUCUUGAUGAGUUUGCUACUCAAGCUUUGGAAAGCAAGUUGAUGGCGCAAAAUCAGGAUAGCUCUGGCCAACUUCUCAGUUUCAUCCAGGCUAGUUUGAAUCCGAAUGCUAUUAUGUUCAAUUAUAGCAUGGGGUCCAAGAUUAAAGAUAUCACUAGCCGGCUGGAGCAACUCUGCCAAGAAAGAAUUGAACUUGGACUGCAACGGAUUACUGGAGGGGCAUCAUCAACUACUGCUGCUGCACACCAGAGGCUACCCGGUUCAAUUGUCCCAACAGAACGUGAAGUAUUUGGAAGAGAAGAAGAUAAGGCCAAAAUUCUUGAUAUGGUAUUGGCCGAUACCCUAAGUGAUCAUGCCAACUUUGCUGUAAUACCCGUUGUUGGCAUGGGCGGGAUAGGAAAAACAACUCUCGCUCGGGAGGUUUACAAUGACAAGGCCGUUGGCGGUUCCAAGUUUGAUGUAAAAGCAUGGGUUUGCGUAUCUGAUGUCUUUGAUGUUUUGGGCAUCUCAAAGGCACUUCUCGAGUCAAUCACCCGCAGGCCUUGUCUUCUAAACAGUUUAAAUGAAGUGCAGGUUGAAUUGAAAGUAGCUGUGGAUAAAAAAAGAUUCUUGCUGGUCUUAGAUGAUGUUUGGAACGAGGACUACAGCUUGUGGGUAGACUUAAAAGCUCCGUUCCUGGCUGCUGCACCAAACAGUAAGAUGAUCGUCACCACACGCAAUUCAAAUGUUGCAUCAACAAUGGGACCAAUUGAACAUUACAAUCUCAAGAGUUUGUCAGAUGAUGAUUGUUGGUCCAUUUUCAUAAAGCAUGCAUUUGAAUAUAGAGAUCUUAACGCACAUCAAAUUUCAGAAUCGUUCCGCGGGAAAGUUGUUGCCAAGUGUGGAGGCUUGGCCCUGGCAGCAAAAACACUCGGAGGCCUUCUGCAUACGACGAGGCAUGAUGCGUGGGAUGAUACGUUAGAGAGCAAAAUAUGGGAUUUACCUCAACAAAGUGGGGUUCUCCCCGUAUUAAGAUUGAGUUACCAUCAUCUUCCUUCUCAUUUGAAAAGAUGUUUUGCUUACUGUGCAAUCUUUCCAAAAGAUUAUGAAUUCAAUCAGAAGGAGCUGACUUUCUUAUGGAUGGCUGGAGGAAUUAUUCGACAGUCACGAAACAGUGAGCAGCUGGAAGAUUUGGGCAGCAAGUGCUUUCAAGAUCUAGUGUCAAGGUCUAUUUUUCAACAAACCAGCUCUGGUAGUUCUAAAUUUGUAAUGCCCUAUCUUAUCCAUGAUCUUGCUGAAUUGGUUUCUAGAGGGACCAUUUUCAAGUUAGAGGAGUCCACCAACUUGUCGUCGAGGAGAUUUGAAAGAGUUCGCCAUUCUUCCUAUGCCCGCGGUUGGCAUGACGGUAAAAAUAAGUUUGAGGUUUUCUAUGAAAUUGAACAUCUACUAACAUUCUUGCCAUCACGCAUAAGAGGUGGCACUAAUACGAGUUACAUAACUCGAACGGUUCUAUCUGAUUUGUUGCUGAAUUUCAAAAGUUUGAGGAUGUUAUCUUUACAAGGAUACUGUAUUGGUGAGUUACCAAUUUCAUUUGAAGAUUUGAGACUUUUAAGGUUUCUCAACCUUGCUUACACUGACAUAAGAAGUUAUCUGAGUCAACAUGCAAAUUGCUGAACUUGGAAAUUUUGAUAUUAAGAAAUUGUUCUCGUUUGAUAAAGCUUCCACCCAAAAUGAGGAAUUUGAUCAAUUUACGCCAUCUCGAUAUAAGAGGUGCGAAGUUGCUGAAGGAGAUGCCAUUCGGAAUGAAAGAGUUGAAGAAGCUUCAAACAUUGUCCAAUUUUAUUGUGGGCAAGGGUGAAACUGCAUCUUGUUUGGAAGAUUUAAAAUGUUUAAACUUUCUUUGUGAUAAACUUUGCAUUGCUGGAUUAGAGAAUGUUAAUAAUCCACAGAAUGCAAGAGAAGCCGCAUUAUGUGAGAAACACAAUCUUGAAGCAUUGACUCUGGAUUAGGGGUUUCAAUUUGACAAUUCCUGAGGAGUAGUAGAAGAGCAUGUACUGGAAAAUCUACAGCCUCAUAAAUGUAUAAAAAAGGUGGCGAUCCGGAACUAUGGUGGUGCAAGAUUUCCCCUUUGGAUAGGAGAUCCUUUGUUCUCCAGGAUAGAGCUCCUAAAAUUGGAGAACUGUGACAAUUGUGUAUCUUUGCCAUCGCUUGGCCUAUUGAGUUCACUUAGACGGCUUGCUGUUAAAGGGCUGAAUAAACUAAAAAGCAUAGGGUCUGAGGUUUAUGGGGAGGGUUUCUCAAUGCCUUUUCCAUCAUUGGAGAUUCUAAGUUUCGAGAAUUUGCCAGAAUGGGAGCAUUGGGACACCGAUGUCAAAGGAAAUGUGCUUGUUGAAAUAUUUCCUCGUCUCCAUCAACUUUCCAUUGUGGAAUGUCCCAAACUCUCGGGAGAACUGCCUGAGCUCCUGCCCUCCUUGGAGACACUUUUUGUUAGUAAAUGUGAAAAGUUGGUAGUUCCAUUGUCUUGCUAUCCGAUGCUCUGCAGAUUAGAAGUUGAUGAGUGCAAGGAACUAGCAUGCGGGACUCCAAUUGAUUUUAAGUUGAUAACGUCUGUGACUAUUUCAAAUAGUUCCUUAGACAUGAAUGGAUGCAAGGGGAUGCUAUACGAUGGUCCAGCUGGCUCUUCACUACCAAAGCCUAUGAUUACUACAAAUGUUUCGGAGUUUGGAAAAUUAUUGAAGCCUGGAUUUCAGAUAUUAGAAACUUUGGUAAUUGCCAAUUCUGAACAGCUCAAGUCAUGGAGGCAGAAUGGGGAUUUUCCGGAAAAAUACACGGCCCCUGAACAUAGGUUUAAGAAACCAGUACGAGGGCUGAAUAUGCUCGCUUCCCCUGAAGAGGUAACAAUUGAAGAAAGUUGCGUACGUCUUGUUUUGUUUCCAGAGAUCAAUUUCUUUCCCAGAAAUCUGCGCUCUCUUCUAAUUAACAACAACACUGCUUUCAAAUCCUUACCCGAGGAAAUGAUGGAAAACAAUUCACAACUCGAAAGGUUGUAUAUCAGAGAUUGCGACUCUCUAACAUUCAUCGCAAGACGGAGGCUACCAGCAUCUCUUAAAAGGCUUGAGAUAGAAAAUUGUGAGAAAUUGCAACGUCUGUUCGAUGAUGAAGAGGAUGCUUCUUCUUCUUCACCUUCACCCUCGUCUUCCCCAGUGAUGCUGCAACACCUGAGUAUAGAGAACUGCCCAGAGCUCACCAGUUUAUCAUCGGGUGUCCAAUUCCUUGAGGCGCUUGAAGACCUCGACAUACAGGGUUGUCCAAAGCUGGAGUCAUUACCGGAUGGCCUGCCCAAUCUUAAAUGUUUACAGAGCAUUUAUAUACGGGGAUGUCCAAGUCUUGUUUCCUUCCCAGAAAGAGGGCUUCCCAACACGAUUUCAAGGGUUGACAUUUGCAGUUGUGACAAGCUCAAAGCCUUGCCCAAUGAUUUGCACAAACUCAACUCUCUUCGAGAUUUAAGAAUACGGCUGUGUCGAAAUCUUGUAUCGUUUCCAGAAGAAGGUUUUCCUACCAAUCUAACAUCACUUACAAUUGGAAAUUUCAAAAUGUAUAAGACACUCGUCCAGUGGGGGUUGCACGGGCUUACCUCUCUUAAACGCCUCUCGAUCAGUGGAUGUCAUGAAGCAGAGUGUUUUCCAGACGAGGAGAUAGGAAUGACGCUGCCCACCUCUCUCACUCAACUGCUCCUUUAGGGAUUCGAAAAACUGAUAUCUCUGUCUUCGACGGGUUUUCAAAGCCUCAACUCUCUUCAAUACUUAUUGAUCUGGGGUUGCCCAAAUCUCACAUCAUUCCCAGAGGCGGGUCUUCCAUCCUCACUUUUGGAUUUAGGCAUUUACAAUUGUCCAAAGCUUAAAAGAGCGUGCAAAAGAGAUCAAGGAAAAGAGUGGCCCAAAAUUGCUCACAUCCCUCGCAUUGAGAUAGACAGAAAAUUCAUAUACGAUCCAGAAUCAGAGGAGUAGAUUCUAUUACAAAGGUCAGUUGAUUUCUAUUAUCCUCUAUAACAAGCUCCUCUUAAUUUUUUUUUUCUAAGUAAUAAUUUUGCAGUUCUGUAUAAUUAUUAAUCGUCUGCUCUUAAUUGAAAAUGUCACUCACUUGAUUCCGUUUUCACUAGUCAAAUUGUAUGUUGAGGCUAUUUGCUUUUUAAUUAUAACACUUAUCUUAAAAUUUAAUACCAAAUUUUUUUGAUUCACUUCAAUUAGCAUUUUGUUUUCCCCAAAUUAGGCAAGCCGAGAGCUUCAUUAACUAGAGUUUUUUAUUUUUCGGACCUUGCAUCUGAAAGGUUCAGUGUAUUUUUUUUUUUUUCAAAUUUAUUGUUCAGAUCUCAGACGAGUAUACGGUUUAGAUUACAAAACACCUAUGAUUAAUUUCUUUUUUUUUUUUUUAAUUUCAGGGAGAAGAAGUGGUCAGUUUCAAUCCGGAAUUGGAAUAUGGCAAUUUGGUUCAAGCACACACACCUGGUCACUUGGUCAGUGAACCUGAACUUUACGCAGUUUUUUCAACUCAGUGAUUUUUGGAACGCAUAUUGGUGUAAGGAAAUCAAUAGAAAUUUAUGCAUAGUCAAAUUCUGAUAUUUGCUAUAAUAUUAUACAUUCUAAAGUUUCUCCAGUUUGUUCUCAGAUUACCAUCAUUUUUUGCCUUCACCAAAAAAAAAUCGAGUGGCUUUCCAGUGGAUAUUUAAUCGGAGGUAUGACUGGAUUUUUUUCACUUCUGUAAAUCUUGCAUUUUAAACUGGCAAAUUUAACUUUAAUUUUAAUACGACUUGUUUGAGGGAAAUACUCCGACGAGACCAGACGUGAUGAGCAGAUGUUUGGUGGCAGAAGUCUGCGAGCAGGUGUGUCCUGUAAGAGCCAGGUAGCAGGGAAACAGGGGCAGAAAUAUCCUGCUCAUCCACGAGCAUGUCAUCCGCGAGGCCAAUUUCCUGUAAGAAACAUAAAGCCAUUCCUGCUGUAUUCUUGCUAAGGGUUGAUUCGAGGAGACCCGGUCAACGACAGUUGGCGAGGCAUGCUCUCCAGCCCGAGAAUCUAGGCACGAAGGCCACGCAACCACCCACGACUACGGAAAUGGGGAAUCCACGUUCGAGAGGUGGGAGGAUAACAGACGUAGACUGCGGAAAACUGGGAUUCAGAGGAAGCCUAUAAAAAGGUAGCCAACGAAGGUAAAAGGGUUAGCAAUUUUGAUUCUAAAAGAGAGAAAACAACCUAACAACCAUAAGAUUUUUGGCAAGCGUUCCCCGAACCUUCAUAUCUGACUUGAGCGUCGGAGGGUUUGCGCCGGGAAAACAACCGGCGUACUCUGACCUGUCUGUGUGCGCAGGAACCUCUGGAGAAGAAGCUUUACGAGGAGAGAUCCUGGUCGUGGUGAAGUUGAUCGAGCAGAGACCCUGGUCGUAGAACGAGGAGAACCAGAAUCUCGCAUCAACACGACUUUGUUGGUGCCUUGUGUUCCAGAAACUAGAAUGAUGUGUAGUUUUCAGAUUAAGGGGCUUGUAAAUUCUCUAGUAAGAAUCCAAUAAUUUGCUUUUGCACAUUCAUUUUAUUUGUGGAUCCUUGCAUCUGAAUUUGAUCAAUCCAAAAGGAAUUGCUUUUAGACAGAAGAAGAAUUGCAGUACCUAGCCUACGACAUAGUAAAUGGACCUGCAAACCUGUAACUAUUAGUUUGAGGUAAAAAAUUCAUGACCCUCACAUGUUAACUUCUUCUAGUUACUUUCAUCAAAAACACAUUUAAGAAAUUUGCAAUUUUUUGUUAGUUUUGUAUACCGAUGUUGUUUUCUGUUUUAGCAUUUGUAUAAUCUACUGUAUUAUAUUUUGGCGGUUGCAGUAUCUGAGGUAUCUUUUGCAUUUAACUUGCUUUAUUUGUUUUGCUUGUGACUUAAGAACACCAAUAUUUGCCAGAGAUUUAGAGAAGCAUAUCAAGAUGCUUGGCAAACUUGACAAACUUCAAGAUCCUUCAUUCUUCACGACCCAAAACUUGUGAGUACACUUAUGCCCGCAAUUAUUGUGAAACGCUUGCAAUUUUGAUGCAGCGAAAUGGUUUGUUGAUGCAAAGGUUUAAACUUUUAAGAUUUACACUGCAGGGUAGUUGGAUGCUGUAUAGUCGAACGGCCACCAACAUCAAGAACUAUAACUCCAAGACCGGGUUUGCAUUAAUUCAAUCAGCUGAAAUAAUGAUGCAAAUGACACUAUCAGCUGGACUUAGAGACCAGUCAGAUCAAUCAUCCUUUUAUCAACAGUUAAUGUCAUGAUGGUGUCUAUCGGAGGAAACAAAGGAUGUGUCGGAAUCAAUAUGAACAGUGAGAAGAAUGAGAGGAGCUUUGAUUAUAAGUAGGCUCAAUGAACUCAUGCUGGUAAGUGGUAAUUAAAGAAAUUUGUGCGCUUAGUAGCAUUCAAUAUUUUCUGUUUGGGAUAUAGUUGAUGAGUUGAUACUCUGAUUAAGAAGCCUGAUUAUAGUAGCUGACUUUUUUUUUGUGGUUUGCUGUUGUUUAUUCUUUCGAUUAAUUUCAACAUUAGGUUGAUCUGUUGAAGAACAAACUUGGGUUUGAUUAUGCUUUAACUACAAGGAAGAGCCAGACUUGGAUGCAGGCGUUCAGCUUUUAAUGGGUAAGAACAAAUGUAUGCUUUAACCAUGUUUCUCACUUAUUACAAUGCACACAUUGAAGGCAUCUGAGCUGAUCCUGAAAAUGUGAUGGAAAUACUUCUCUGUUUACAUAAAACAGACAAAUAGAGAUCUCUGAUCAUGCCUGAGAAUUCGUUGCAUUUAAAAUUUCUACCAUUGCCAAAAAUAGAAUAAACUACGGAUACAUUAGCUUAAGACUCAAUUUUGAGAAGGAAGUUUGCACAUGCAGCCUAAAAAAUCACGUCCGUGUUGUAUACUUGUAUGUUUCUUUGGGAAAUGAAAGAUUCUGUGUUCUUUUAUUUCAAGUUUGCUGAAAUCACAUUUGUUUUCUUAGAUGCUUUUGGGAAGGUAACAACAUCAAUUUCAUAAAUGCUGGGGUAAGAUGCAUCACGCAGUGCUACUCAACAUGAGAAUUCCCGGCCGCAUUACCUGUAUGUUGAGUGAUCGCACAGUACAACCUUUAGAAGCUUGUAAGGAGUAGACAACUAGAUGCGAAUAGUUUCAAUAUGGAUUCGCAUCAAAUGAUCUCUUGCCAGUGAUUACUAUAACCUCUAUCCCAAAAUUCUUGGAACUGGUCAUACCAAUAAUGAAGUAUUGUGUACGUUGAAGACGUAGCUCAAGGCCUUGCGAAAGCUCCGUCAGCCUUUGUAUUGGAAAACAGUUGGUUGUAGUUGCUUCUGAAUGAUAUUAUUAAUAGAUACUGUAAAAAUGAAGUGUGCCACUCAUUUUCAGAGCCCUGUUAAGAUGUGUUGGUAAUGUGUUUGAAGGUUGUUUGAUUUGUGUUGUAUUCAGCUAUAAAUCAAAGAUUCAGAACAUGGUUAUGUUACUGGUUUCCAAAUAAAAAAAUUGCCUUGUGAUGUUAGUGUUCAUUGUUUUCACAGGAGAUCAGGUUCCCUGUUGAUGAAUCAAGAAGGCAAACGCAUCCAUGCCUUAAGUUCAAAUGUGUCUCUUCUAUUUUCUAUUACUGACUCCUUUAUUUUGAUUUCUUCAUUGUAAUGGAAUUGGUUUUCAUUCCAAAUUAGUCAAAACCUCCUAGAGUCAUUAAGUUCUGUUAGCAUUUGAAGAUAGAACUAGAACUAAAUGAUUGACUGGAUUAAAUUCCGAUAAAGAAUUAAGUUAUGUAUUUAGAGAUAUUUUGUUUUUUUUUUCAUUUGUUCAAUUUGGUUAGUGGUGAUUUCUUAAAGACUCAAUCCAUGUGCGUUUAUGCAUUUUUCUUUUGCCUUAAUUUCUGUUUCUUGGGGAGUUUAUACAGAUUCUUAUUUUAUGCUUCACAUGCCACAUGAAAGAUCGAAGCAUUUUGUGUGAUUAGAACUGACUUGCAUCACAGUAACUUUAAACCACUGCCACAUUUUUAUAAUAACAGUCUGAGAUCUCCCUGAAGGAUUCAAAGCAUUUUAUUUUAUAUUAACCUCCUUUAAGUGGGUUUCGACACUACCACAAGUUCUUUAAAUACUAAAACGAUUUUGAGUCUUUUGUAUCAUCUGAUUGAAAUACCUGAAAGCACUCGUGGCUGCAAAAAUAUAUCGAUUUUGAGUAUGGCGUGCAUGUAAAUUAUAUCGAUUUUUUCUAUAUGACAAGUAAGACUCUCUUUUACAAUGGCACGGAUGCGUCAUUGAGUAAUCAUGAUUCUUGCUGGUAGUGCUUUGUUGUAUCAAUCUGCUAGCUAUUCAGCUUUCUUUCUUUCUUUCUUCUUUUUUUUUUUUUUUUUUUGUUUUCAAAUAGCUUGUGGUUGUAGAAAUAUUUCAAUUAAACUAUACUUAAGUACUUAUUUAGUAUAACUUCUUUACUAGCCAAAAUAAUUUUUUUUUGGUUUUUUAUAAUUUAAUUAUACUUUAACUAGAGUUUUUGGGAUUAAACAAGUGAUAAUUUCUCUCUAUUAAGAAAAACUCAAAAUUUUUUAAUUACUAGAAUGCGUCUAAAUUAAAUUACAAUUAUAGACACUAAAAUAUAGUAAAUUUUUUUUUUUACUCUUUAAAACUGUCUUUACAUUCGAUAUCAUAUUUUUUUCUUAAAAUCUAAAUUGAUAUUUUUAUUUUAUUUUUGAUUAAUCUUAGAACACAUAUAAAGUGAUUCAUAUUGAUUUUAUACUAACAAACUAUCAUAGCACAUUCGAAAAUAAUUAACUCGUUCUUAUUUGCAUAGUGAAAAAGGCAAAUAGCUCACCCAAAUGUUAAGGAACUGGAGAGCUGCUGCUGGAGACGAAAGGAUGUGAAAAGCAUGGUAAAGAAAAAUUGCAUAAUUCUCACUUAGAAGAGGAAGAAAAAAAAAAUACAAUUAGAAUGAGAGGUAGCCAGUAGCCAGUAGCCGCCACCACCACCAGUCAAACUAUUUCGACACACUAAUACUGUAAUACAUAUCAAAAUGCAAUAUCGGUCCUAACAAAAUGAAAAUAAAAAUUCAUUACGAAUAUGUGUUAAAGAUAUCCCAAGUAUUGAUGUGAUUGAAAUAUUUGAGAUUGAAGUAGAAAUAAGACUCAAAAUCAAUUGAGAGGAAUAAAUGAGAAACUCUAAUACUAAUAAAAUAUAUUCACAAAUCCUAAUGCUAAUUAAAAUCACGGAUUAAAAAAAAUAAUAUGAAUGAAUUACAGGCGCAACUGUUUCAUUAAAAAAUUAAUAAAAUCGUGUAUUAAUAUUUUGUACACAUACAUUUUUCCAUAUAUAACUUUUGGUAAUUUAGUUUUCCACUUAUCAUUUUUACUCCAAAAAAAUAAUUGAGAAUAUUAUUUAUGUUUUGGUGCAAAAUAUUUAAACAACAUAAAAAUUUUCAGUUUAAUAAAUCUAAACAAUUCUCAAGUUAUAAAUGAAUUUAAUGGGUUUAAUUAGUAAAAAUACUAUUAUUUUAUAAAUUGGGUUUAGUAAUGGUAUAUUGGGUAUUUAAAUGGGUUUGUUGAGUAAAUUUUAAAAUUUUAAAGUUCAAGGGUAGGUUUAUUUAGUAAAUGGGUUAAUGCAGCAAUUUUCAAACUAAAUUUUUGGAAAAAGAGGCUAUUGAGUUUUUUUUAAGAAAAAGAAUUAAAAUGUUGAGAAUACCUUUAUUUAAUUUUAUAAUCUAAUUUUAAAAAAUUUACCCAAUAAAUUUUAUAAUUUUUUAUAAAAAUUAUCAUUAACAUCCAAACAGCUGAAGAUUAAAAAAAAAAAAAGAAGGGAACUGUACUAGCAAAAGUUAGAUUAACAAUAAAUUUAGUCCAAAGAAUAAAGUUAUAGCUAAAAAGUGCUCCUAUCCUAUUUUUCUCUAUUUUAACAAUAAUCUUCCAAUCCAUUUUACAAUGGACUUAACAAAUGGGCUCAAUCUCUAAACUUCAUUUUCUUUUGCUAACCCAUGGCCAUUAGCCAGAAAGCCUAAAACAAUUUUAGGAUCACAUGUGUAAAUGGAACCCCAAGAUUGAUCAAGAAUUAACAAGACAAGAUGAAGAGAUGAUCUUGUAACUAAGAAUGAAGAAAUUGAAUCAAGACAGUACUCUAGUAAAACCCAGAAAACAGAGCUUGAAGAAUCACGCACAAAGCAGUAAAUUUGUAAAACCAGAAUUGGAGCUUCACUUCUCAAGAUAGACGAAACAGGAUACAAUCUAGCUUUGGUCAACUUCGUUUGGCCACGUCAUAAAGUCUUCCCCCACAGUCUUUCCCGCCAAAACAGAAAAGCUUUAAAAGCCAUUUACCCUCCUGAGUUACUUGCUCCUAUUACAUCAAGGCCCUGUAAGUCUAUAUUUAUUAUUACAAAAGCACCCUUAAACCGAGAUUUGAGAUAUUUUUUCAAAGAUCGAAGCGCAUGAUUUCACGGCUAUGUUGCAUAGUGAAUUUUAGUGCUUUACAGUUAAGGGAUAGUUUAAAUUCAUUACAAAGCAUUCGCAAAGAAAUUGUUUUUAAAUGAAACUCCUCGUCUUGACCAGAUUAUUUAUUAUUAUUAAAAAAAAAAUGUUCAAAACUUAGCCAAAGUGAUAAACUCGUAAUUAUUCUACAAAGGGAACAAUUUUGAACGGUGGGAAAUUCCAUAAUUAUGCUUUUCUGUGAAUUAUUUUAAAUAAAAUUAUAAAAAUUAAUAUAAAAUUAUAAUAAUGAUAGAGCCACAAACUCUUGUACAAAUUUAUUUUAUACAAACUCAUGUGGCAUGAUAAGAUUGGUUGAAUUAAAUAUUACUUGGCCCACAUGAUUUGUUUUUAUUAUUUUAUAUUUUUAUUCAACCAAUAAAUUAAUACCACGUCAGUUUGUACAAAAUAAAUUUAUACAAAAAUUUGUGACUCGAUCAUCACUCAUAAAAUUAAUACCCGGUAAAGACUGUAGAGAGACAAGUGCCCCCAACAGAAUCAAGUGAAUAUGCCCCACAAAGAUCACAUGAUCAUUUCUGUUCUUUUUCUUUUUGAUAAUUUUAUCUGUGGUUUCAACUUUUAUGCUUUAUUGUCGUAUCCCGUUGAGGGCUCCGCUGCACCCAUUACAACUUACCCCUAAAUUGCCUCUUACUAACUAAACCGUUAGAUUUUAUGGAAGCACGUUCAAUGUUGAAUUUUAAUUAUGUCAUCGAAUUUCGUUUAGCUCCUUAAACUCCAUUUUAUUUGUAAUUUCUUCAUAAAAUAUUCAAAGCUUCAUCAAGCUCCUGAUGGACCAUCAUGGCUAGGGGUGCAUUAGAGCCGAACUGAAAUAUGUUAGUUCAGUUCAGUUUGGUCAGUUUAAAUCGAAUGGUUUAGAAUAUAUAAACUGAUCAAUUUUAAUUUUGAAUUGAACCGAACCGAAAAUCAAUUGGUUCACUAUUAGUAUUUUUGUAUAAACAAGAAUGAUUAGUGAUUAUAAUUAAAUUGGACUAAAAAAAAUUCAAACUAAGGUGAAAAAUAUCAAAUCUUAGACAAUAUAAAAAAAAAUAUUAAAUUUUUUUAACCGAAACGAACCGAAUUAUUUUGACUCAGUUUGGUUCAUAAUUUUUUAAACCAAACUGAUUUAUUCCCACCCCCUAAUCGUGGCUCUCUAUCUUUAGUCAUUCACCCUUGAGUUUGAUGCCAAUUGUUGGGUUUCAAAUGAUUAUACACUCAAAUGGAACCCUCAUAACAAAAAACUAACAGAAACAAUAAGAACACGAUGUUAAAAUCUUAAAUCAAUCGCAAAAAAGCACCCAAAACAGAUCGAUUAGGAACAGUUAAGAACAAAAGAUUUGAUGGUUCAAAAUCAUAAUGUGACCUACGUACUUUCAUCCAAGAAUCAUACUAAUUGCUUUACUAGUUGUCAAACUCAAGAUCACAAGAUUGUUUAUCACUCUACAUAAAAAUUUUUUUUAGAAGAAAUACUCCCCAAUUUUUCUCUUAAUAGUUAUGAAUCAACACCCCUAGGAAGCCUGUUGAUUUACUUUUCCUUAUUUCCUAUGAUCGGUUGCUGCAACUUAAUCCUUGCCAAGCUCCAACAUAGUCCAAACACUUUUAACGGUACAGGCAUAGUGCACCUUCAGAAACUUUACAGCUCCUCUUAAAACCUCAGGCAUCGUAAGCACAUUAAGCAGCCGACAACACUCUUCUUCAUUUCUUCAUUGUCAAUUUCCUUCUUGGAACAUUGCUCCAUUGAGAGUCUGCUAGAAUUGCUCCAAUUAUUAUUAUUAUUUAAAAAAAAAAGAAAACCCUGCAAUAAGAGUAUAAGACUAAGCAACGGUCCUUUUUUUUUCCCCAUUCUUGAACCUAAAGUAUUUGAGUAUGCAAAUUAAUAAAUAAAUUCAUUUAUUUUUAUUAAAAUUUUGUAAAAUUAUAAUUUUUAAUAAAAAUAAUUAUUAAAAUUUUGUAAAAUCUAAAUUUAGAAAAAUUCAGUUGGGCACCUCUAUUUGAGAUUUAUUUUUUAUUAAAUUUAGGGAUAUUUUUAUAAUUAUAAUUUUUAAUUUUAAAAGUUUUUAUAAGAUAAAAUAGUCUUUUAAUUUAUUUAGGGGGUAAAAUUGGUGUUUUAUUAAAAUUAUUUAAUUGUGUUAAUGCAAAAGUGGCUAUUUGAUACAAAUGUGAAAAGAAAGGUGGUGCAAAAUAUAUGUUAAAAUUUUAUAUUGGUUGGAUGAACAUAAGCUAAAAUAAAGGUGGUGCAAUGAUAAUUUCCCUAUCCUAAAACUUAAUUGACUUAAUUCUUACGGUGCAAGGAAGAGGUUUCCAAGUUUAAAUCUAAAGGCUUGUAUUUAAUUUGGGGUUGGGAAAGCACUGAGAAAUAAAUGUAACUAAGGAAAAAAAAAAAGUCACGCAGUCCAAAUAAGUAGAUAUAUUUAAUAUGAGGUGGGGAUGGGUGAACUGUAAUUCAGAAAAAAAUAAAAUAAAAUUUUAUAUAAAGUUGAGGGUGUGUUUUAAUGGUUUCUUAUGCUGCGUUUAUUUUUUGGACUAGAGUGAGAAUUCUAAAAAGUGAGAAUCCUAUGAUUAGGUGUGUGGAGUGGGAGUGGGAGUAUGGUAUUUACUUAGACUAAAUAAAAGUAUGGAUUGUCAAUCAGAAUCUCAAUUAUUUGUUACUUUGUCUUGGAUUGAGAGUAAAUUAUUUUAAAUUACAAUUUUAUCCUUAUGUAAAGAAUUAUAAUUUGUAAUUAAAAAAUUAAUAAAAAUAUAUUGGAAAAUAAAAUAAAUAUUUUAUUAUAUUUAUAAAAUAAUAAUAAUUAAUAAAAUUCUUAAUUAUGUAAAUCAUAAUUUUUUAUUAAUUUAAAUUUAAAUUAUGUGAAUAAAAUUAUUAAUAAUAGCAACACAAAUGAAACAUUAUUAUUAAUAAUAUAGUAUAAAAUUAAUAUUUUUUUAGAAUAAAAUAUUUAUUAUUAUUAAAUAAAUAAAUAAUAUUUAUUAAAAUUAAUGUUUAAUAUUAUUAAUUUAAAUAUAAUAUUUAUUUAUUUUUAUUUUAUUUUAUUAAAUUUAAUAAAAUAAAUAUGUUAUAAUUAUUAUUUUUAAUAAAUAUGAUAUUAUUUAUUUUAUUAAAUAUUAUUUAUUUAUUUUAAUUAUGAGGGUAAAAAUGGAAGAGGGGGAGUGGAUUCCCACUCCCACCUCCCCCCAUGGGAGUGGGAAUCCCACUCUCCCCUUAAAAAUGGUAAGUAAAUAUUAGAAUGGGAAGAAUCUACACUCUACACUUUCUAGAAAAUAAACACUACCUUUAUUUAAAUCGAUUUGUUGGAUAUUUAGCUAAAAUGAGAGUAGCUCUCUAAUAAUUAUUGCAUUAUUACAAACAUAUCCAACGGUUAUAAUAGCGCGCUGAAUCAAUGCUUCAGAAGGAUGACAGUCUGAGUGAAAAGGAAAUAAACGCUUUCAAUUGAAUUACUACCACUACACUCCAAUACUCUAUUAUUGUUUGUGUGCUUGCUUGUGGACCUUUUUACUUCUUACUAUCAUUAUUGAAUUCCAUUUCCAAAUUUUCAGCAUACUUUUGCUUUCUUUCAGUAUCUUCAGUUUCUCUUUUGCUUGCUAUCAAUUCAGUUUUCUUCUUGUGAAGAUCGAACGGAACCAUGGUUGCUGUGGGAGAGAUCUUACUCAACGCCUUCUUUCAGGUGUUGUUUGACAGGUUGGCUUCCCGUGAUUUGCUCAGCUUUGUCCGUCAACUUGGAGGCGGGGACGAUUCCGAGCUCAAGAAGUGGGAAAGAAAGCUGAAGAUGAUUCAGGCGGUGCUCAACGAUGCAGAGGAGAAGCAACUGACCGACGAGGCCGUGAAGAUGUGGCUGGACGAUCUCCAAGACUUGGCUUAUGACGCUGAGGACAUUCUUGAGGAGUUUGCUACUCAAGCUUUGGAAAGCAAGUUGAUGGCGAAAAAUCAGGAUCGCAUUGGCCAGGUUCUUAGUUUCAUACCGGCUAGUUUGAAUCCGAAUGCUAUUAUGUCCAAUUAUAGCAUGGGAUCCAAGAUUAAAGAUAUUACUAGCCGGUUGGAGCAACUCUGCCAAGAUAGAAUUGAACUUGGGCUGCAACGGAUUGCUGGAGGGGCAUCAUCAACUACUUCUGCUGCACAUCAGAGGCGAGACAGUUCGAGUGUCCCAACAGAACGUGAAGUAUUUGGAAGAGAAGAAGAUAAGGCCAAAAUUCUUGAUAUGGUAUUGACCGAUACCCCAAGUGAUCGUGCCAACUUUGUUGUAAUACCCAUUGUUGGCAUGGGCGGGAUAGGAAAAACAACUCUUGCCCGGGAGGUCUACAAUGACAAGGCCGUUGAAGAUUCCAAGUUUGAUGUAAAAGCAUGGGUUUGUGUCUCUGAUGUCUUUGAUAUUUUGGGCAUCUCAAAGGCACUUCUCCAGUCAAUCACCUCCGCAGCUAGUGAUCUCAAGACUUUAAAUGAGGUGCAGGUUCAACUGAAAAAAGCAGUUGACGGAAAAAGAUUCUUGCUGGUCUUAGAUGAUGUUUGGAACGAGAACUACAACUUGUGGGAAGACUUAAAAGCUCCGUUCCUGGAUGCUGCACCAAACAGCAAGAUGAUCGUCACCACACGCAAUUCAAGUGUUGCAUCAACAAUGAGACCCAUUGAACAUUUCAAUCUCAAGAGUCUGUUGGAUGACGAUUGCUGGUCCAUUUUUAUAAAGCAUGCAGUUGAAGGUGGAGAUCUUAACGAGGAUCAAAUUUCAGAAUCAUUCCGCAAGAAAGUUGUUGGCAAGUGUGGAGGCUUGCCUCUGGCAGCAAAAACUCUCGGGGGCCUUCUGCGUACGACGAGGCAUGAUGGGUGGGAUGGUAUAUUGGAUAGCAAAAUAUGGGAAUUACAUCAACAUAGCAGCAUUCUCCCUGUGUUAAGAUUGAGUUACCAUCAUCUUCCGUCUCAUUUGAAAAGAUGUUUUGCUUUUUGUGCCAUCUUUCCAAAAGAUUAUGAAUUCACUGAGAAGGAGCUGACUUUCUUAUGGAUGGCUGGAGGUAUUAUUCGACAGUCAAGAAACAAUGAGCAGCUGGAAGAUUUGGGCAGCAAGUGCUUUGGUGAUCUAGUGUCAAGGUCAAUUUUUCAACAAACAGCAAUCUCUGAUAGUUCUAAAUUUGUAAUGCACGACCUUAUCCAUGAUCUUGCUGAAUUGGUCUCUGGAGGAACCAUAUUUAGGUCAGAGGAGGCCAAUACUCUAUCAAGAAGAUUUGAAAGGGUUCGCCAUUCUUCCUAUACCCGUGAUUGGUAUGAUGGUAAAAAUAAGUUCGAGGUUUUCAAUGAAAUUGAACAUCUACGAACAUUCUUGCCGUUAAGAGGUAACUAUUGUACUAGUUACAUAACUCGACCGAUUCUAUCUGAUAUGCUGCCAAAGUUCAAAAGGUUGAGAACGCUAUCUUUACAAGGAUACUGUAUUGGUGAGUUACCAAUUCCAUUUGAAGAUUUGAGACUUUUAAGGUUCCUCAACCUUGCUGACACUGACAUAAGAAGUUUACCUGACUCAACAUGCAAAUUGCUGAACUUGGAAAUUCUGAUAUUAAGAAAUUGUUCCCGUUUGAUAAAGCUUCCGCAGAAAAUGAGGAAUUUGAUCAAUUUAUGCCAUCUGGAUAUAAGAGGUGCGAAGUUGCUGAAGGAGAUGCCAGUCGGAAUGAAAGAGCUGAAGAAGCUUCAAACAUUGUCCAAUUUUAUUGUAGGCAAGGGUGAAUCCGCAUCUGGUUUGGAAGAUUUAAAAAGUUUAAACCUUCUUUGUGAUGAACUUUGCAUUGCUGGAUUAGAGAAUGUGAAUAAUCCACAGAAUGCAAGAGAAGCCGCAUUAUGUGAGAAGCACAAUCUUGAAGCAUUGACUCUAACAUGGUGGCCUCAAUUUGACAGUCCUCGAGGUGUAGUAGUGGAAGAGAAUGUACUUGACGUUUUGCAGCCUCAUAAAUGUAUAAAAAAGGUGGCAAUCAGGAACUAUGGUGGUGCAAGAUUUCCACCUUGGAUAGGAGAUACUUUAUUCUCCAAGAUAGAGCUCCUUGAAUUGAAGAACUGUGACAAUUGUGUGUCUUUGCCAUCGCUUGGCCUAUUGAGUUCACUUAAACACCUUGCUGUUAAAGGGCUGAAGAAACUAAAAAGCAUAGAGUCUGAGGUUUAUGGGGAGGGUUUGUCAAUGCCUUUUCCAUCGUUGGAGGUUCUAAGUUUUGAGAAUUUGCCUGAAUGGGAGUAUUGGGACACCAAUAUCAGAGGAAAUGUGCUCGUUGAAAUGUUUCCUCGUCUCCAUAAACUUUCCAUUGUGGAAUGUCCAAAACUCUCUGGGGAACUGCCUGAGCUCCUGCCCUCCUUGGAGACACUUGUUGUUAUUAAAUGUGAAAAUUUGGUAGUUCCAUUGUCUCGCUAUCCGAUGCUCUGCAGAUUAGAAGUUGAUGAGUGCAAGGAACUAGCGUGCGGGACUCCAAUUGAUUUCAAGUUGAUAAAGUCUGUGACUAUUUCAAAUAGUUCCUUAGACAUGGAUGGAUGCAAGGGGAUGCUAUACGAUGGUCCAGCUAGCUCUUCACUGCCAAAGCCCACGAUUACUACAAAUGUUUUGGAGUUUGGAAAAUUAUUGAAGCCUGGAUUUCAGAUAUUAGAAACGUUGGUAAUUGGCAAUUCUGAACAGCUCAAGUCAUGGAGGCAGCAUGGGGAUUUUCUAGAAGAAUAUAUGGUCGCUCGCCAAAGGUUUAAGAAACCAGUACAAGGGCUGAAUAUGCUCGCUUCCCCUGAAGAGGUAACAAUUGAAGAAAGUUGCGUACGUCUUGUUUUGUUUCCAGAGAUCAAUUUCUUUCCCAGAAAUCUGCGCUCUCUUCUAAUUAACAACAACACUGCUUUCAAAUCCUUACCCGAGGAAAUGAUGGAAAACAAUUCACAACUCGAAAGGUUGUAUAUCAGAGAUUGCGACUCUCUAACAUUCAUCGCAAGACGGAGGCUACCAGCAUCUCUUAAAAGGCUUGAGAUAGAAAAUUGUGAGAAAUUGCAACGUCUGUUCGAUGAUGAAGAGGAUGCUUCUUCUUCUUCUUCUCCUUCAUCCUCGUCUUCCCCAGUGAUGCUGCAACGCCUGAAUAUAAAGAACUGCCCAGAGCUCACCAGUUUAUCAUCGGGUGUCCAAUUCCUUGAGGCGCUUGAAGGCCUCGAGAUAUGGGAUUGUCCAAAGCUGGAGUCAAUACCGGAUGGCCUGCACAAUCUUAAAUGUUUACAGAGCAUUCAUAUAGAUGGAUGUCCAAGUCUUGUUUCCUUGCCCAAUGACAUGCACAAACUGAACUCUCUUCGAGAUUUAAACAUACGGGCGUGUCCAAUAUCGUUUCCAGAAGAAGGUUGUCCUACCAAUCUAACAUCACUUACACUUGGAUAUGUCGAAAUGUAUAAGACACUCGUCCAGUGGGGGUUGCACAGGCUUACCUCUCUUAGAAGCCUCGACAUUUUUGGAUGUGAUGAUGAAGCAGAGUGUUUUCCAGACGAGGAGAUAGGAAUGACGCUGCCCACCUCUCUCACUCAUCUGCACCUUUUUGAUUUCGAAAAAUUGAGAUCUCUGUCUUCGACGGGUUUUCAGAGCCUCACCUCUCUUCAAUCUUUGGAUAUCUGGUUUUGCCCAAAUCUCACAUCAUUCCCAAAGGUGGGCUUUCCAUCCUCACUUGUGGAAUUACGCAUUAGAGAUUGUCCAAAGCUUAAAAAAGCGUGCAAAAGAGAUCAAGGAAAAGAGUGGCCCAAAAUUGCUCACAUCCCUUGCGUUGAGAUAGACGAUAAAUUCAUAUACCAUCCAAAAUCAGAGGUGUAGAGUGUAUUAUUAAGGUCAGUUGAUUUAUGUUAUCCACCAUAACAAGCUCCUCCUUUUUUUUUAAAUAAUAAUUUUGCAGUCACUCGCGUGAUUCCGUUUUCACAAGUCAGAUUGUAUGUUGAGGCUAUUUGCCUUUUAAUCGCAGAUUAAAUUAUAACACUUAUCUUAAAAUUUAAUACCAUAGACAGAUAGACGAUUUUUUAAUCCAAAGUUUUUUUAUUCACUUCAGUUAGCAUUUUUUUUUUCCCCAAAUCAUGCAAGCCGAGAGUUUCAAUCAACAGAAUUUUAUUCACUCAUUGACUUUUCAACUGCUGUGGUUAUUUAUGGGUGAAAGAUAAAUUUCUUAGAUGGUAGAUAUAUCGACAUUUUAGAUUUCAGAUAUUUGUCACCAAUUUCAUUCCUUUUUUUAAAAUUUUUUUUAAGCAAGUUUGACUAAUUUUAACCAGAAUUGGAGUAUAAUAUUUUGGAGCAAGCAUACUUGAAAUUUCUGUCUUCAAUUUUUUUGAUGCUUUUUUAAUUUUGAUCUAGUAAAAAUACAUAGCCUUCACCGGCAGGAUUCUAGUCUUGGCUUUCACCUCUCUAACUCAUCUGUCCCUAUUGGGAUUCCAGAAAUUUAAAUUUCUGUCUUCAAUGGGUUUUCAAAGCCUCACCUCUCUUCGAUUUUUGUGGAUUGGGAAUUGCACAAAUCUCACAUCAUUUCCCGAGGUCGAGGAAAAGAGCGGCCCAAACUAUCAGCGGUGUUGAUUCUCUUAUUAAGGUCAGCUGAUUUCUAUUAUCCACUCUGACAAUCUCCUAUUAGUGUUUUUUUUUUAAAAAAUUUGCAGUUCUGUAUAAUUGAAAUGCCACUCACUUGUUUCCUUCUUCACAGGUCAGAUAGUAUGUUAAAGCUAUUAGUGCUGCCUCAUAGGUUGAUUACUCACAGAUGAAAUCAUAACUUUUAUCUUAAAAUUUAAUAGCAUACACAGAUAGACGAUUUUUAGUCCAAAGUUUUUUUUAUUCACUUCAAUCAAAAUUUUAGAUUGCAGAUUUUUGUCGAGUAUUUUCAUUCCAAUUUUUUCAUUUUUUAUUUUAAACCAGAAUUGGAGUAUAAAAUUUUGGAGCGCGCAUACUCUGAUGCAUGCAAUUAACUGUUUUUAAUCGUUGGAUUUUGAAAUUAAUGAUGGUAAGAUGUGUACUUAUUCUUUCUUCCAACAACCUUGCCUUCUUUCUUCGGUCGCAUAUCUAAUGAAUAUUUCUCUGUUUAGUUAAGGAUGAAUGCUUGGAGUGGGGUACUUGGUAACAUUUCUGCCUUAGAUGAAUCCUUGAAGAAAUGCCCGCAGUUCCUGAGACCAAAUACAGGUCUGAUUCAAAACAGCACCUUUCCCAGAAAAUAUGAUCCAAGGCAAAGUCAUGUUCUGAUAAUGUUUCCUUAAGUACUAAGUUGCAAGGAAACUUGAUUCAUUAACUACAGUUUUUUAUUUUUAGGACCUUGUAUCUGAAAGGUUCAGUGUUUUUUUUUUUCAAAUUUAUUGUUCAGAUCUCAGAGGAGUAUAUGGUUUAGAUUACAAAACACCCAUGAUUAAUUUCAUUUUUUUUUUAAUUUCAGGGAGAAGAAGUGGUCAGUUUCAAUCCGGAAUUGGAAUAUGGCAAUUUGGUUCAAGCAAACACACCUGGUCACUUGGUCAGUGGUCACUUGGUCAGCGAACCUGAACUUUACGCAGUUUUUUCAACUCAGUGAUUUUUGGAACGCAUAUUGGUGUAAGGAAAUCAAAAGAAAUUUAUGCAUUGUCAAAUUCUGAUAUUUGCUAUAUAUUAUACAUUCUAAAGUUUCUCCAGUUUGUUCUCAGAUUACCAUCAUUUUUUGCUUUCACCAACCAAACAAAAACAAAAUGAGUGGCUUUCCGGUGGAUAUUUAAUCGGAGGUAUGACUGGAUUUUUUUCACUUCUGUAAAUCUUGCAUUUUAAACUGGCAAAUUUAACUUUAAUUUUAAUAGGACUUUGUUGGUACCUUGUGUUCCAGAAACUAGAAAGAUGUGUAGUUUUCAGAUAAAGGGGCUUGUAAAUUCUCUAGUAAGAAUCCAAUAAUUUGCUUUUGCACGUUCAUUUUAUUUGUGGAUCCUUGCAUCUGAAUUUGAUCAAUCCAAAAGGAAUUGCUUUUAGACAGAAGAAGAAUAGCAGUACCUAGCCUAUGACAUAGUAUAUGGACCUGCAAACCUGAAACUAUUAGUUUGAGGUAAAAAAUUCAUGACCCUCACAUGUUAACUUCUUCUAGUUACUUUCAUGAAAAACACAUUUAAGAAAUUUGCAAUUUUUUGUUAGUUUCGUAUCCGAUGUUGUUUUCUGUUUUAGCAUUUGUAGAAUCUACUGUAUUAUAUUUUGGCAGUUGCAGUAUCUGAGGUAUGUUUUGCAUUUAACUUGCUUUGUUUGUUUUGCUUGUGACUUAAGAACACCAAUAUUUGCCAGAGAUUUAGAGAAGCAUAUCAAGAUGCUUGGCAAACUUGACAAACUUCAAGAUCCUCCAUUCUUCACAACGCAAAACUUGUGAGUACACCUAUGCCCGCAAUUAUUGUGAAAUGCUUGCAAUUUUGAUGCACUGAAAUGGUUUGUUGAUGCAAAGGUUUAAACUUUUAAGAUUCACCCUGCAGGGUAGUUGGAUGCUGUAUAAUCGAAAAGCGACCAACAUCAAGAAUUAUGACUCCAAGACCGGGUUUGCAUUAAUUCAAUCAGCUGAAAUCAUGAUGCAAAUGACACUAUCAGCUGGACUUAGAGACCAGUCAGAUCAAUCAUCCUUUUAUCAACAGUUAAUGUCAUGAUGGUGGCUAUCGGAGGAAACAAAGGAUGUGUCGGAAUCAAUAUGAACAGUGAGAAGAAUGAGAGGAGCUUUGAUUACAAGUAGGCUCAAUGAACUCAUGCUGGUAAGUGGUAAUUAAAGAAAUUUGUACGCUUAGUAGAGUUUCAAUAUUUUCUGUUUGGGAUAUAGUUGAUAAUUUGAUACUCUGAUUAAGAAGCCUGAUUAUAGUAGCUGACUUUUUUUUUGUGGUUUGCUGUUGUUUAUUCUUUCGAUUAAUUUCAACAUUAGGUUGAUCUGUUGAAGAACAAACUUGGGUUUGAUUAUGCUUUAACUACAAGGAAGAGCCAGGCUUGGAUGCAGGCGUUCAGCUUUUAAUGGGUAAGAACAUAUGUAUGCUUUAACCAUGUUUCUCACUUAUUACAAUGCAUGCAUUGAAGGCAUCUGAGCUGAUCCUGAAAAUGUGAUGGAAAUACUUCUCUGUUUACAUAAAACAGGACAAGAGAUCUCUGAUCAUGCCUGAGAAUUCGUUGCAUUUAAAAUUUCUACCAUUGCCAAAAAUAGAAUAAACUAGGGAUAGAUUAGCUUAAGACUCAAUUUUGAGAAGGAAGUUUGCACAUGCAGCCUAAAAAAUCAUGUCCGUGUUGUAUACUUGUAUGUUUCUUUGGGAAAUGAAAGAUUCUGUGUGUUCUUUUGUUUCAAGUUUGCUGAAAUCACAUUUGUUUUCUUAGAUGCUUUUGGGAAGGUAACAACAUCAAUUUCAUAAAUGCUGGGGUAAGAUGCAUCACGCAGUGCUACUCAACAUGAGAAUUCCCGGCCGCAUUACCUGUAUGUUGAGUGAUCGCACAGUACAACCUUUAGAAGCUUGUAAGGAGUAGACAACUAGAUGCGAAUAGUUUCAAUAUGGAUUCGCAUCAAAUGAUCUCUUGCCAGUGAUUACUAUAACCCCUAUCCCAAAAUUCUUGGCAUUGGUCAUACCAAUAAUGAAGUAUUGUGUACGUUGAAGACAUAGCUCAAGGCCUUGCGAAAGCUCCGUCAGCCUUUGUAUUGGAAAACAGUUGGUUGUAGUUGCUUCUGAGUGAUAUUAUUAAUAGAUACUGUAAAAAUGAACUGUGCCACUCAUUUUCAGAGCCCUGUUAAGAUGUGUUGGUAAUGUGUUUGAAGGUUGUUUGAUUUAUGUUGUAUUCAGCUACAAAUCAAAGAUUCAGAACAUGGUUAUGUUACUGGUUUCCAAAUCAAAAAAAUGCCUUGUGAUGUUAGUGUUCAUUUUUUUCACAGGAGAUCAGGUUCCCUGUUGAUGAAUCAAGAAGGCAAACGCAUCCAUGUCUUAAGUUCAAAUGUGUCUCUUCUAUUUUCUAUUACUGACUCCUUUAUUUUGAUUUCUUCAUUGUAAUGGAAUUGGUUUUUUAUUCCAAAUUAGUCAAAACCUCCUAGAGUCAUUAAGUUCUGUUAGCAUUUGAAGAUAGAACUAGAACUAAAUGAUUGACUGGAUUAAAUUCCGAUAAAGAAUUAAGUUAUAUAUUUAGAGAUAUUAUGUUUUUUUUUUUUUCAUUUGUUCAAUUUGGUUAGUGGUGAUUUCUUAAAGACUCAAUCCAUGUGCGUUUAUGCAUUUUUCUUUUGCCUUAAUUUCUGUUUCUUGGGGAGUUUAUACAGAUUCUUAUUUUAUGCUUCACAUGCCACAUGAAAGAUCGAAGCCUUUUGUGUGAUUAGAACUGACUUGCAUCACAGUAACUUUAAAUCACUGCGACAUUUUUAUAAUAACAGUCUGAGAUCUCCCUGCAGGAUUCAAAGCAUUUUAUUUUAUAUUAAACUCCUUUACGUGGGUUUGGACACUACCACAAGUUCUUUAAAUACUAAAACGAUUUUAAGUCUUUUGUAUCAUCUGAUUUAAAUACAUGAAAGCACUCGUGGCUGCAAAAAUACAGUUGGGGCUAUUUCUAAAGUCUUCAACAGCAUUUUCUUUUUAACCUUUAUCCUCAUGGUUGUUUUUGCAGUUGUUCUUUAAGAAAACAUUUAAAAGGUUCUCUUUAUGGAUUUUUGAAAAUAAUUUUAACAUGAGCAAUUUUCAGAAGCACUUUAGAUGUCUGGCAUUUAGGAAAUUUUAUUUCGGUGUCACAUAAAAUACUUAGGAAGUUAAAUUUAUUUAUUUAUGAGCAUGUGCCAGUGCCCAGUGGCAUCCUCUUCACUUGUGAUAGUCAAAUGUAUUAUACGAUACAAUAUUAGCUUGACUGUAGCACAGAGGAGAAUAGGGUUGGUGUUGGUCUGAACCAGCUUAUGUAACAGCUGCCAAAGGAUAAUUUAAUUGUACUUUGAGUAAAGCUUUUGCGAAUUAAACAAGUGAUAAUUUGUUUUUAUUAAGAAAAACUUAAGGAAUUAGGCUAUUUUAACUGACCAAAUUACACAUUAAAAAUUCAUUUACAAAAAUAGUUUUUAGUUAUUAAAAUAUUCCUAAAUUAAAUUAUAAUUAUGGACACUAAAAUAUUUUUUUUAUAUUUUACUCUUUGAAACUGUCUUUAUAUUCGAUAUUAUAUUUUUUUCUUAAACUCUAAAUUGAUUUUUUUUUUUGAUUAAUUUUAAAACACCUAUAAAGUGAUUCAUAUUGAUUUUAUACUAACAAACUAUUAUAGCACAUUCGAAAAAUAAUUAAAUCGUUCUUAUUUACAUAGUGAAAAUGCAAAUAGCUCGUUCAAAUGUUAAGGAAUUGGAGAGCUGCUGCUGGAGAUGAAAGAUGUGAAUUAAACAUCAGAAAAAAAAUUAUGUUUACUAUCUUGCCAGACCAAGCACCGAAAAGCAUCGUAAAGAAAAAUUAGAUAAUUUAGAAGAUAAAGCACGUGGAAUGGAGGCAGAAAGCAAGUAAUGAUAACUCUUUCGACAAACUAAUAUAUACCAAAAUGCAAUAUCAAAAAUGAAAAUAAAAAUUCAUUACGAAUACGUGUUAAAGAUAUCCCAAGUAUAGAUGUGACUGAAAUAUUUGAGAUUGAAGAAGAAUUAAGACUCAAAAUCAAUUGGGAGGAAUAAAUGAGAAACCUCAAUACCAAAAAAUACACGCGCAAAUCCUAAUACUAAUUGUAAUUGCAGAUAAAUAGCAUAAUACGAAUAAAUUCCAUGGGCAACUAUUUCAUUGAGAAAUUAAUUAAAUCGUGUAUUAAUAUUUUGUAUACAUAUAUUUUUCUAUAUAUGACUUUCGGUAAUUUAAUUUUCCACUUAUCAUUUUUACUCCAAAAAAAUAAUUGAGAAUAUUAUUUAUGUUUUGGUGCAAAAUAUUUGAACAAUAUACAAAUUUUCAGUUUAAUAAAUCUAAACAUCUAUUAAGUUAUAAAUGAAUUUAAUGGGUUUAAUUAAUAAAAUUACUAUUAUUAUAUAAAUUGGAUUUAGUAAUGGUACAUUGGGUGGGUUUGUUGAGUAAAUUUUAAAAUUUUGAAAUUUAAGGAUGGGUUUAUUUAGUAAAUGAGUUAAGGGAGUAGUUUGUUGGGAUUCACAUAACGCCACCAAAUUCAAAUGUAAAAUUUAUGGAAAAAGAAGCUAUUGAGUUAUUCUUUUUAAAAAAAGAAUUAAAAUGUCAAGAAUACCUUUAUUUAAUUUUAUAAUCUUAUUUUAUAGUCAUAUUUUAUUUCCACCUUAACAUAAUUUUAAAAAACCUUAACUAAUAAAUUCUAUAUUUUUUUUAUAAAAGUUAUCAUUAAUAUCCAAACGGCUAAAGAUUUUUUUUUUUAAAAAAAAAGAAACUAUGCUUACAAAAGUUGUAUACAUUAACAAUAAAUUUAGUCCAAAGAAUAAAGUUAUUCCAAACAAGCACUCCUAUUCAUCUUGCUAAUGAAUCAAGAUGACUGAAUCCAUUCUCUAAGCCAAAUCUAUUUUCACUUCUAGGUCAGAAAUUGUCAUUAAAAAAGUGUUUGAUAAAAUAUGCUCUGGGAACACUAAUUCGUCAGAUGGUUACUCCAAGUUUAUGAAAUCAAUGGGGUUUCAUCAUAUUCAUAACAUUCUUCUUUAAUGUCUAUUCUAACAAAGAAAUUACUAGAAAACUUUUACUAGAAAAACUAACCACAAUUCAUCAUUCAUUUAUAUCUUAAGUAAGCGUAAGAUUUUAUCAUUAAAAUCUCAUCAUGAAAAAACUCAUGGGAGAAAAACUAUAAAAAUUGAAGAAAAAAGAGUAUGGCGUGCAUGUAAAUUAUAUCGAUUUUAUCUAUAUGACAAAUAAGACUCUCUUUUACAAUGGCACGGAUGCUUCAUUGAGUAAUCAUGAUUCUUGCUGGUAGUGCUUUGUUGUAUCAAUCUGCUAGCUAUUCAGCUUUCUUUCUUUCUUUCUUCUUUUUAUUUUUUUUGUUUUCAAAUAGCUUGUGGUUGUAGAAAUAUUUCAAUUAAACUAUACUUAAGUACUUAUUUGGUAUAACUUCUUUACUAGCCAAAAGAUUUUUUUUUUGGUUUUUUAUAAUUUAAUUAUACUUUAACUAGAGUUUUUGGGAUUAAACAAGUGAUAAUUUCUCUCUGUUAAGAAAAACUCAAACGGUAGGGUUAUCUCAAUCCACCAAACUAUUUAUUAAAAAUCCACUUAUGAAAAUAAUUUUUAAUUAUUAGAAUGCCUCUAAAUUAAAUUACAAUUAUAGACACUAAAAUAUAGUAAAAAAAAUUUUUUUUUACUCUUUAAAACUGUCUUUACAUUCGAUAUCAUAUCUUUUUCUUAAAAUCUAAAUUGAUUUUUUUUUUAUUAAUCUCAGAACACAUAUGAAGUGAUUCAUAUUGGUUUUAUACUAACAAACUAUCAUAGCACAUUCGAAAAUAAUUAACUCGUUCUUAUUUGCAUAGUGAAAAGGCAAAUAGUUCAUCCAAAUGUUAAAGAAUUGGAGAGCUGCUGCUGGAGAUGAAAGAUGUGAAAAGCAUGGUAAAGAAAAAUUACAUAAUUCUCACUUAGAUGAGGAAGAAAAAAAAAAGAAUACAAUUAGAAUGAGAGGUAGCCAAUAGCCACUAGCCGCCGCCACCGCCACCAGUGAAACUAUUUCACAUAAUAGAAGAUAAAGCACGCGUAAUGGAGGCAAAAAGCAAUUAAUGAUAACUCUUUUCGACACACUAAUACAUAUCAAAAUGCAAUAUCGGUCCUAACAAAAUGAAAAUAAAAAUUCAUUACGAAUAUGCGUUAAACAUAUCCCAAGUAUUGAUGAUGUGAUUGAAAUAUUUGAGAUUGAAGUAUAAAUAAGACUCAAAAUUAAUUGAGAGGAAUAAAUGAGAAACUCUAAUACUAAUAAAAUACAUUCACAAAUCCUAAUGCUAAUUAAAAUCACGGAUUAAAAAAAAUAAUAUGAAUGAAUUACAGGCGCAACUGUUUCAUUAAGAAAUUAAUUAAAUCGUGUAUUAAUAUUUUGUACACAUACAUUUUUCCAUAUAUAACUUUUGGUAAUUUAGUUUUCCACUUAUCAUUUUACUCCAAAAAAAUAAUUGAGAAUAUUAUUUAUGUUUUGGUGCAAAAUAUUUAAACAACGUAUAAAUUUUCAGUUUAAUAAAUCUAAACAUUUCUCAAGUUGUAAAUGAAUUUAAUGGGUUUAGUUAGUAAAAAUGCUAUUAUUAUAUAAAUUGGGUUUAGUAAUGGUAUAUUGGGCAUUUAAAUGGGUUUGUUGAGUAAAUUUUAAAAUUUUAAAAUUUAAGGGUGGGUUUAUUUUAGUAAAUGGGUUAAGGCAGCAAUUUCCCAAACUAAAAUUUUUAGAAAAAGAGGCUAUUUAGUUUUUUUUUUUAAAAAGAAUUAAGAUGUUGAGAAUACCUUUAUUUACUUUUAUAAUCUUAUUUUAAAAAAUUUACCCAAUAAAUUUUAUAAUUUUUUACAAAAAUUAUCAUUAACAUCCAAACAGCUAAAGAUUAAAAAAAAAAAAAAAGAAGGGAACUGUACUAGCAAAAGUUAGAUUAACAAUAAAUUUAGUCCAAAGAAUAAAGUUAUAGCUAAAAAGUGCUCCUAUCCUAUUUUUCUCUAUUUUAACAAUAAUCUUCCAAUCCAUUUUACAAUGGACUUAACAAAUGGGCUCAAUCUCUAAACUUCAUUUUCUUUUGCUAACCCAUGGCCAUUAGCCAGAAAGCCUAAAACAAUUUUAGGAUCACAUGUGUAAAUGGAACUCCAAGAUUGAUCAAGAAUUAACAAGACAAGAUGAAGAGAUGAUCUUGUAACUAAGAAUGAAGAAAUUGAAUCAAGACAGUACUCUAGUAAAACCCAGAAAACAGAGCUUGAAGAAUCACGCACAAAGCAGUAAAUUUGUAAAACCAGAAUUGGAGCUUCACUUCUCAAGAUAGACGAAACAGGAUACAAUCUAGCUUUGGUCAACUUCGUUUGGCCACGUCAUAAAGUCUUCCCCCACAGUCUUUCCCGCCAAAACAGAAAAGCUUUAAAAGCCAUUUACCCUCCUGAGUUACUUGCUCCUAUUACAUCAAGGCCCUGUAAGUCUAUAUUUAUUAUUACAAAAGCACCCUUAAACCGAGAUUUGAGAUAUUUUUUCAAAGAUCGAAGCGCAUGAUUUCACGGCUAUGUUGCAUAGUGAAUUUUAGUGCUUUACAGUUAAGGGAUAGUUUAAAUUCAUUACAAAGCAUUCGCAAAGAAAUUGUUUUUAAAUGAAACUCCUCGUCUUGACCAGAUUAUUUAUUAUUAUUAAAAAAAAAUGUUCAAAACUUAGCCAAAGUGAUAAACUCGUAAUUAUUCUACAAAGGGAACAAUUUUGAACGGUGGGAAAUUCCAUAAUUAUGCUUUUCUGUGAAUUAUUUUAAAUAAAAUUAUAAAAAUUAAUAUAAAAUUAUAAUAAUGAUAGAGCCACAAAUUCUUGUACAAAUUUAUUUUAUACAAACUCAUGUGGCAUGAUAAGAUUGGUUGAAUUAAAUAUUACUUGGCCCACAUGAUUUGUUUUUAUUAUUUUAUAUUUUUAUUCAACCAAUAAAUUAAUACCACGUCAGUUUGUACAAAAUAAAUUUAUACAAAAAUUUGUGACUCGAUCAUCACUCAUAAAAUUAAUACCCGGUAAAGACUGUAGAGAGACAAGUGCCCCCAACAGAAUCAAGUGAAUAUGCCCCACAAAGAUCACAUGAUCAUUUCUGUUCUUUUUCUUUUUGAUAAUUUUAUCUGUGGUUUCAACUUUUAUGCUUUAUUGUCGUAUCCCGUUGAGGGCUCCGCUGCACCCAUUACAACUUACCCCUAAAUUGCCUCUUACUAACUAAACCGUUAGAUUUUAUGGAAGCACGUUCAAUGUUGAAUUUUAAUUAUGUCAUCGAAUUUCGUUUAGCUCCUUAAACUCCAUUUUAUUUGUAAUUUCUUCAUAAAAUAUUCAAAGCUUCAUCAAGCUCCUGAUGGACCAUCAUGGCUAGGGGUGCAUUAGAGCCGAACUGAAAUAUGUUAGUUCAGUUCAGUUUGGUCAGUUUAAAUCGAAUGGUUUAGAAUAUAUAAACUGAUCAAUUUUAAUUUUGAAUUGAACCGAACCGAAAAUCAAUUGGUUCACUAUUAGUAUUUUUGUAUAAACAAGAAUGAUUAGUGAUUAUAAUUAAAUUGGACUAAAAAAAAUUCAAACUAAGGUGAAAAAUAUCAAAUCUUAGACAAUAUAAAAAAAAAUAUUAAAUUUUUUUAACCGAAACGAACCGAAUUAUUUUGACUCAGUUUGGUUCAUAAUUUUUUAAACCAAACUGAUUUAUUCCCACCCCCUAAUCGUGGCUCUCUAUCUUUAGUCAUUCACCCUUGAGUUUGAUGCCAAUUGUUGGGUUUCAAAUGAUUAUACACUCAAAUGGAACCCUCAUAACAAAAAACUAACAGAAACAAUAAGAACACGAUGUUAAAAUCUUAAAUCAAUCGCAACGGUCCUUUUUUUUCCCCAUUCUUGAACCUAAAGUAUUUGAGUAUGCAAAUUAAUAAAUAAAUUCAUUUAUUUUUAUUAAAAUUUUGUAAAAUUAUAAUUUUUAAUAAAAAUAAUUAUUAAAAUUUUGUAAAAUCUAAAUUUAGAAAAAUUCAGUUGGGCACCUCUAUUUGAGAUUUAUUUUUUAUUAAAUUUAGGGAUAUUUUUAUAAUUAUAAUUUUUAAUUUUAAAAGUUUUUAUAAGAUAAAAUAGUCUUUUAAUUUAUUUAGGGGUAAAAUUGAUGUUUUAUUAAAAUUAUUUAAUUGUGUUAAUGCAAAAGUGACUAUUUGAUACAAAUGUGAAAAGAAAGGUGGUGCAAAAUAUAUGUUAAAAUUUUAUAUUGGUUGGAUGAACAUAAGCUAAAAUAAAGGUGGUGCAAUGAUAAUUUCCCUAUCCUAAAACUUAAUUGACUUAAUUCUUAUGGUGCAAGGAAGAGGUUUCCAAGUUUAAAUCUAAAGGCUUGUAUUUAAUUUGGGGUUGGGAAAGCACUGAGAAAUAAAUGUAACUAAGGAAAAAAAAAAAGUCAUGCAGUCCAAAUAAGUAGACAUAUUUAAUAUGAGGUGGGGAUGGGUGAACUGUAAUUCAGAAAAAAUAAAAUAAAAUUUCAUAUAAAGUUGAGGGUGUGUUUUAAUGGUUUCUUAUGCUGCGUUUACUUUUUGGACUAGAGUGAGAAUUCUGAGAAGUGGGAAUCCUGUGAUUAGGUGUGUGGAGUGGGAAUGAGAGUAGGGUAUUUACUUAGACUAAAUAAAAAUAUGGAUUGUCAAUCAGAAUCUCAAUUAUUUGUUACUUUGUCUUGGAUUGAGAGUAAAUUAUUUUAAAUUACAAUUUUAUCCUUAUGUAAAGAAUUAUAAUUUGUAAUUAAAAAAUUAAUAAAAAUAUAUUGGAAAAUAAAAUAAAUAUUUUAUUAUAUUUAUAAAAUAAUAAUAAUUAAUAAAAUUCUUAAUUAUGUAAAUCAUAAUUUUUUAUUAAUUUAAAUUUAAAUUAUGUGAAUAAAAAUUAUUAAUAAUAGCAACACAAAUGAAACAUUAUUAUUGAUAAUAUAGUAUAAAAUUAAUAUUUUUUUAGAAUAAAAUAUUUAUUAUUAUUAAAUAAAUAAAUAAUAUUUAUUAAAAUUAAUGUUUAAUAUUAUUAAUUUAAAUAUAAUAUUUAUUUAUUUUUAUUUUAUUUUAUUAAAUUUAAUAAAAUAAAUAUGUUAUAAUUAUUAUUUUUAAUAAAUAUGACAUUAUUUAUUUUAUUAAAUAUUAUUUAUUUAUUUUAAUUAUGAGGGUAAAAAUAAAAGAGGGGGAGUGGAUUCCCACUCCCACCUCCCCCCAUGGGAGUGGGAAUCCCACUCUCCCCUUAAAAAUGAUAAGUAAACACUAGAAUGGGAAGAAUCCACACUCUACACUUUCUAAAAAAUAAACACUACCUUAAUUUAAAUUGAUUUGUUGGAUAUUUAGCUAAAAUGAGAGUAGCUCUCUAAUAAUUAUUGCAUUAUUACAAACAUAUCCAACGGUUAUAUAUGCUUGCCUGUGGAAAUAAAAGUCCCAAGUUUCUUUGAAAGGUAAGCUAGUGUGAAUGUUUUCAUCCGUGCAACUUACUUGAUGAAUGAAGUUUUCAUCCCUGACCUUGAUGUUUCUGGUGGCUACAAUCAUUUCAGCUGAUCUAUUCCAUUUUGUUAAGGUGAGAAUUUAGAGUGGCUUUAACUGUUAGCAAAUAGCCUAAUGUAAGACUUGAUCAACUUCCUGCCCUGUUGUAUGCUUAUGAAUUUUGAUAGAGUUAUGAGUUUGCAGAAGCUACUGUAUUAUAUGUUGUUAGAGGCUGUAAAAAUGAGGCAGAUCAAACACACAUUUAAAUUUCAAUGACAAUUUACUAGAAGUAAAUUUCCUAUGACCCUCCAGGUGACUAAUCAAUGAGAACUUGACAAUAACAAAAGAAAGUGUAUGAGCUUUGCAGGCGGGCACGCCAAUCUUGACUGCAUGGCACCAUCCGCCAUUUGCAAGUGAAUAUCAUUAUUGUUUAAUCAACAUGGUGGAGUCCACUGGGACCACACCACAUGGUCAGUCUUAUCUCUAUUCCUCAAUUUUCAGUAUUCCAUACAUCAAAACAAUUUCAGUUUUGUUAUCAAUUAUAAUUUCAUUGUUGGAGACGAUUCUGAUUCCUUUCUUUCUGACAAAACGGAACCAUGGUUGCUGUGGGAGAGAUCUUACUCAACGCCUUCUUUCAGGUGUUGUUUGACAGGUUGGCUUCCCGUGAUUUGCUCAGCUUUGUCCGUCAACUUGGAGGCGGGGUCGAUUCCGAGCUCAAGAAGUGGGAAAGAAAGCUGAAGAUGAUUCAGGCGGUGCUCAACGAUGCAGAGGAGAAGCAACAGACUGACGAGGCUGUGAAGAUGUGGCUGGACGAUCUCCAAGACUUGGCUUAUGACACUGAGGACAUUCUUGAUGAGUUUGCUACUCAAGCCUUGGAAAGCAAGUUGAUGGCGCAAAAUCACGAUAGUUCUGGCCAGGUUCUCAGUUUCAUCCCGGCUGGUUUGAAUCCGAAUGCUAUUAUGUUCAAUUAUAGCAUGGGGUCCAAGAUUAAAGAUAUCACUAGCCGGCUGGAGCAACUCUGCCAAGAAAGAAUUGAACUUGGACUGCAACGGAUUACCGGAGAGGCAUCAUCAACUGCUGCUGCUGCUGCACACCAGAGGCCACCCAGUUCGAGUGUCCCAACAGAACGUGAAGUAUUUGGAAGAGAAGAAGAUAAGGCCAAAAUUCUUGAUAUGGUAUUGGCCGAUACCCCAAGUGAUCAUGCAAACUUUGUUGUAAUACCCAUUGUUGGCAUGGGCGGGAUAGGAAAAACAACUCUUGCCCGGGAAGUCUACAAUGACAAGGCCGUUGAAGAUUCCAAGUUUGAUGUAAAAGCAUGGGUUUGCGUAUCUGACGUCUUUGAUGUUUUGGGCAUCUCAAAGGCACUUCUCGAGUCAAUCACCCGCAGGCCUUGUCUUCUAAACAGUUUAAAUGACGUGCAGGUUGAGCUGAAAGCAGCUGUGGAUAAAAAAAGGUUCCUGCUGGUCUUAGAUGAUGUUUGGAACGAGGACUACAGCUUAUGGGUAGACUUAAAAGCUCCGUUACUGGUUGCUGCACCAAACAGCAAGAUGAUCGUCACCACACGCAAUUCAAGUGUUGCAUCAACAAUGAGACCCAUCGAUCGUCACCACACGCAAUUCAAGUAUUACGAUCUCAAGAGUCUGUUAGAUGAUGAUUGCUGGUCCAUUUUCAUAAACCAUGCAUUUGAAUCUACAGACCUUAGCGCACAUCGAAUUUCAGAAUCAUUCCGCGAGAAAGUUGUUGGCAAGUGUGGGGGCUUGCCUCUAGCAGCAAAAACACUCGGGGGCCUUCUUCGUACUAAAACGCAUGCUGAGUGGGACGGUAUAUUGGAUAGCAAAAUAUGGGAUUUACCUCGGCAAAGCAGCAUUCUCCCCGUGUUAAGAUUGAGUUACCAUCAUCUUCCUUCUCAUUUGAAAAGAUGUUUUGCUUUUUGUGCCAUCUUUCCAAAAGAUUAUGCAUUCACUGAGAGGGAGCUGACUUUCUUAUGGAUGGCUGGAGGUAUUAUUCGACAGUCAAGAAACAAUGAGCAGCUGGAAGAUUUGGGCAGCAAGUGCUUUGGUGAUCUAGUGUCGAGGUCAAUUUUUCAACAAACAGCAAUCUCUGAUAGUUCUAAAUUUGUAAUGCACGACCUUAUCCAUGAUCUUGCUCAAUUGGUCUCUGGAGAAACCAUAUUUAGGUUAGAGGAGGCCAAUACUCUGUCAAGAAGAUUUGAAAGGGUUCGCCAUUCCUCCUAUGCCCGUGAUUGGUGUGAUGGUAGAAAUAAGUUGGAGGUUUUCAAUGAAAUUGAACAUCUACGAACAUUCUUGCCAUUUUGCAUAAGAGGUGGCGUUACUUCUGGUUGGAUAACUAGCACGGUUCACUACGAUUUGUUGCCGAAGUUCAAAAGGUUGAGGAUGCUGUCUUUAGAAGGAUACCAUAUUGGUGAGUUACCAAUUCCAUUUGAAGAUUUGAGACUUUUAAGGUUCCUCAACCUUGCUGACACUGACAUAAGAAGUUUACCUGAGUCAACAUGCAAAUUGUUGAACUUGGAAAUUCUGAUAUUAAGAAAUUGUUCCCGUUUGACAAAGCUUCCCCAGAAAAUGAGGAAUUUGAUCAAUUUACGUCAUCUGGAUAUAAGAGGUGCAAAGCAGCUGAAGGAGAUGCCAUUUGGAAUGAAAGAGUUGAAGAAGCUUCAAACGUUGUCCAAUUUUAUUGUAGGCAAGGGUGAAUCUGCAUCUGGUUUGGAAGAUUUAAAAAGUUUAGACCUUCUAUGUGAUGAACUCUGCAUUGCUGGAUUAGAGAAUGUGAAUAGUCCACAGAAUGCAAGAGAAGCCACAUUAUGUGAGAAGCACAAUCUUGAAGCAUUGACCCUAGAAUGGGGGUCUCAAUCUGACAGUCCUCGGGAUGCAGUACUAGAAGAGAAGGUACUUGACACUCUACAGCCUCAUGAACGUAUAAAAGAGCUGGCAAUCAGGAACUAUGGUGGUGCAAGAUUUCCACCUUGGAUCAGAGAUCCUUCGUUUCCCGAGAUGAAGGUCCUUAAAUUGGAGAACUGUGACGAUUGUGAAUAUCUGCCAUCACUUGGCCUGUUGAGUUCACUUAAGCACCUUGCUGUUAAAGGGCUGAAGAAACUAAAAAGCAUAGGGUCUGAGGUUUAUGGGGAGGGUUUGUCAAUGCCUUUUCCAUCAUUGGAGGUUCUAAGUUUUGAGAAUUUGCCUGAAUGGGAGUAUUGGGACACCAAUAUCAGAGGAAAUGUGCUCGUUGAAAUGUUUCCUCGUCUCCAUAAACUUUCCAUUGUGGAAUGUCCCAAACUCUCUGGGGAACUGCCUGAGCUCCUGCCCUCCUUGGAGACACUUGUUGUUAGUAAAUGUGAAAAGUUGGUAGUUCCAUUGUCUCGCUAUCCGAUGCUCUGCAGAUUAGAAGUUGAUGAGUGCAAGGAACUAGCAUGCGGGACUCCAAUUGAUUUUAAGUUGAUAGAGUCUGUGACUAUUUCAAAUAGUUCCUUAGACAUGAAUGGAUGCAAGGGGAUGCUAUACGAUGGUCCAGCUGGCUCUUCACUGCCAAAGCCUAUGAUUACUACAAAUGUUUCGGAGUUUGGAAAAUUAUUGAAGCCUGGAUGUCAAAUAUUAGAAACUUUAGUAAUUGGCAAUUCUGGACGGCUCAAGUCAUGGAGGCAGCAUGGGGAUUUUCUAGAAGAAUAUAUGGUCGCUCACCAAAGGUUUAAGAAACCAGUACAAGGGCUAAAUAUGCUCGCUUCCCCUGAAGAGGUAACAAUUGAAGAAAGUUGUGUGAGUUUUGUUUUGUUUCCAGAGAUCAAUUUCUUUCCCAGAAAUCUGCGCUCUCUUCUAAUUUGCAACAGCACUGCUUUGAAAUCCUUACCCGAGGAAAUGAUGGAAAACAAUUCACAACUGGAAAGGUUGUAUAUCAGAGAUUGCGACUCUCUAACAUUCAUCGCAAGACAGAGGCUACCAGCAUCUGUUAAAAGGCUUGAGAUAGAAAAUUGUGAGAAAUUGCAACGUCUGUUCGAUGAUGAAGAGGAUGCUUCUUCUUCUUCUUCUUCUCCUUCAUCCUCGUCUUCCCCAGUGAUGCUGCAACACCUGAUAAUAGGGAAAUGCCCAAAGCUCACCAGUUUAUUAUCGGGUGUCCAAUUCCUUGAGGCGCUUGAAUUCCUCAAGAUAGAGCAUUGUCCAAAGCUGGAGUCAAUACCGGAUGGCCUGCCCAAUCUUAAAUGUUUACAGAGCAUUUAUUUACUCAAUUGUCCAAGUCUUGUUUCCUUCCCAGAAAGAGGGCUUCCCCACACCAUUUCAUUUGUUUGCAUUUGCGGAUGUGACAAGCUUGAAGCCCUGCCCAAUGACAUGCACAAACUCAACUCUCUUCGACAUUUAAGCAUACAGCUCUGUCCAAAUCUUGUAUCGUUUCCAGAAGAAGGUUUUCCUACCAAUCUAACAUCACUUACAAUUGGAGAUUUCAAAAUGUAUAAGAUACUCGUCCAGUGGGGGUUGCACAGGUUUACCUCUCUUAGACGCCUCUAUAUCGUUGAUUGUGAUGACGAAGCAGAGUAUUUUCCAGACGAGGAUAUAGGAAUGACGCUGCCCACCUCUCUCACUCAACUGGAACUUUCGGGAUUCAAAAAAUUGAUAUCUCUGUCUUCGACGGGUUUUCAGAGCCUCACCUCUCUUCAAAGAUUGCGGAUCUGGGAUUGCCCAAAUCUCACAUCAUUUCCAGAGGUGGGCCUUCCAUCCUCACUUUUGGAAUUACACAUUUACAAAUGUCCAAAGCUUAAAAAAGCGUGCAAAAGAGAUCAAGGAAAAGAGUGGCCCAAAAUUGCUGACAUCCCUUGCGUUGAGAUAGACAAUAAAUUCAUAUACGAUCCAGAAUAAGAGGAGUAGAUUCUACUAUUAAGGUCAGUUGAUUUGUAUUAUCCGCUAUAACAAGCUCCUCCUUUUUUUUUUUUAAAUAAUAAUUUUGCAGUCACUCACGUGAUUCCGUUUUCACAAGUCAGAUUGUAUGUUGAGGCUAUUUGCCUUUUAGUCGCAGAUUAAAUUAUAACACUUAUCUUAAAAUUUAAUACCAUAGACAGAUAGACGAUUUUUUAAUCCAAAGUUUUUUUUAUUCACUUCAGUUAGCAUUUUUUUUUUUCCCCAAAUCAUGCAAGCCGAGAGUUUCAAUCAAGAAUUGGAGCAUGGGAAUGGAAUUUUUGUGAAAACAUAAUGGAUGAACGAACAUUUCAUCUGUGAUCUCAAAGUCAACAGAAUUUUAUUCACUCAAUGACUUUUCAACUGCUGUGGUUAUUUAUGGGUGAAAGAAAGAUAAGGGCAAUUACAAAAAAUUUGCAAAAUUUGUCAAUUUCUUAGAUGGUAGAUAUAUCGACAUUUUAGAUUUCAGAUAUUUGUCACCAAUUUCAUUCCUUUUUUUUUAUUUUUUCAAGCAAGUUUGACUAAUUUUAACCAGAAUUGGAGUAUAAUAUUUUGGAGCAAGCAUACUUGAAAUUUCUGUCUUCAAUAUUUUGAUGCUUUUUUAAUUUUGGAUCUAGUAAAAAUACAUAGCCUUCACCGGCAGGAUUCUAGUCUUGGCUUUCACCUCUCUAACUCAUCCGGCCCCAUUGGGAUUCCAGAAAUUGAAAUUUCUGUCUUCAAGGGGUUUUCAAAGCCUCGCCUCCCUUCGAUUUUUGUGGAUCGGGAAUUGCACAAAUCUUACAUCAUUUCCCGAGGUCGAGGAAAAGAGCGGCCCAAACUUGCUCGCAUCCCUUGGGUUAUGAUAGAUGGAAAAUUCAUAUACGAUCCAGAGUCAGAGGUGUUGAUUCUCUUAUUAAGGUCAGCUGAUUUCUAUUAUCCACUCUGACAAUCUCCUAUUAGUGUUUUUCCCUUUUUUUUUUUCAAAAUUUUGCAGUUCCGUAUAAUUGAAAAUGCCACUCACUUGUUUCCUAUUAGUAUGUUGAGGCUAUUUGCUUUCUAUCGGUGUUUGUUAAGGUAAUUACUCACAGAUGAAAUUAUAACUUUUAUCUUAAAAUUUAUUGCCAUUGACAGAUGGACGAUUUUUAGUCCAAAGUUUUGUUAUUAACUUCAAUCAAAAUUUUAGAUUGCAGAUUUUUGUCAAUUAUUUCAUUUUUUAUUUUUAUUUUAAAGCAGAAUUGGAGUAUAACAUUUGGAGCGCGCAUACUCUGAUGCAUGCAAUUAACUGUUUUUAAUCGUUGGAUUUUGAAAUUAAUGAUGGUAAGAUGUGUACUUAUUUUUUCUUCCGGACAACCUUGCCUUCUUUCUUCGGUAGCAUAUCUAAUGAAUAUUUCUCUGUUUAGUUAAGGAUGAAUGCUUGGAGUGGUCUGAUUCACAACAACACCUCUUCCAGAAAAUAUGAUACAAGGCAAAGCCAUGUUCUGAAGCAGAAAUGAUACAGCAGUUGCGGUACCCGAGGUACCUUUUGCAUUUAACUUGCCUUUAUUUGUUUUGCUUGUGACUUAAGAACACAUCAUUUCCCAGAGAUUUGGAGAAGCAUCUCAAGAUGCUUAACAAACUUGACAAGCUUCAAGAUGCACUUGCUCCCAAGCAUUGAUUCUUCACAAUGGAAAACCUGUGAGUACACUUAUGCCCGCAAUUAUUGUUAAGUGUUUGCAAUUUUGAUGCAGCGAAAUGGUUUGUGGAUGCAAAGCUUUAAAACUGUUAAGAACUACCCUGCAGGCUUGUUGGAUGUUGUAUACUUCAAAAGCCACCAACACCAAGAACUACAACAGCAAGACUAGGUUUGCGUUGCUUCAAUCAGCUGAAAUAAUGAUGCAAAUGACACUAUCAAGCUGGACUUAGAGACUUGUCAGGUCAAUCAUCCAUUUCAUCAACAGUUAAUGUCAUGAUGGUGGCUAUCAGAGGAAACAAAAGAUCUGUUGGAAUCAAUUCAAACAGUGAGAAGCAUGAGAGGAGCAUUGAUUAUAAAUAGGCUCAAUGAGCUCAUGCUGGUAAGUGGUAAUUAAGAAAUUUGUGAGCUUAGUAUAGUUUCAAUUUUUUUCUGUUUGGGAUAUAGUUGAUAAGUUGAUACUCUGAUUAAGAAGCCUGAUUAUAGUAGCUGACUGUGCUAACUGCGUUCUUUUAUUUUUUAUUUUUUUGGUUUGCCGUCGUUUUUUCUUUUGAUUAUUUGUUCAACAUUAGAUUGAUCUGUUGAAGACUACGAGGAAGAUCCAGACUUGGAUGCAGGCGUGCAGCUCGUAAUAGGUGAGAACAAAUGAAUGCUUUAACCAUGUUUCUCACUUAUGACAAUGCACGGAUCAAAGGCAUCUGAGUUGAUCCUGAAAAUGUGAUGGAAAUAGGUCUCUGUUUUCAUAAAACAGAACAAAUAGAGAUCUCUGAUCACGCCUGAGAAUUCAUUGCAUUGAAAUUUCUACCAUUGGCAAACAUAGAAUAAACUGGGGAUACAUUAGCUUUAGACUCUAUUUUGAGGAGGAAGUUUGUACUUGCAGCCUAUAAAAUCAUAUCCCUGUUGUAUGUUUCUUUGGGAAAUGAAAGAUUCUGUGUGUUCUUUUAUUUCAAGUUUGCUGAAAUCACAUUUGUUUUCUAAGAUGCUUUACAGAAGGUACCAACAUCAUUUUCAAAAAUGCUGGGGUAAGAUACAUCGUGCAGUGCUCCUCAACAUGAGAAUUCCUGGCCGCAUUACCCAUAUGUGGAAUGAUCUGAGAGUACAACCGUGAGAAUGUUGUAAGGAGUACACAACCAGAUGUGAGUAGUUUGAAAAUGAAUUCGCAUGGAAUGAUUUCUUGCCAGUGCAGAAAUGGCUUGGUUCAAAAUAUGCUCAGCUUCAUUGACACUCUUCGGUAGGCCUCUCCGUCCUUCCAUUCUUAACUACAAUACUACUCUUGUCUGUCUAGUUAUGGAAUCUCUCUUUUAAUCCUCAAAGUUUGAAUUAUAUUAUAUUGCCUCUGUGUUACCGCAGAAACUGAGUCAGUUGGUGAUCCUUCAAAACAAGAAAAACCAAAAACAGAUACAGCGCGCGAUAAGAUAAUGAGACAGAUGGCUCCCGUUGCUGCAUGCCACUUGCUUGUGUGCGUAUUGGGACCAUCAUCAACAACAUUGACGUAAACCCAGCUCAAGGUGGGAAGCUAGUUCGAGCUGCAGGGACGUUAACCAAGAUUUUGAGAAAGAACCCACUUCAAGGUGUUGCUUAGUUAGGCUACGUUGUGGAAAUGAGAAAGUGAUUGACCCUAGAUGUCGCGCCACCAUUGGUACAGUGUCUAACCCCAGCCAUGGAGCUAAAAAGCUUAGUAAGGCAGGUCAGAGAAGUUGGUUGGGUCGAAGAGCUGUGGUUAGAGGAGUAGCCAUGAUUCCAGUUGAUCACCCUCAUGUUGAACAAAGCAAAAGUAGCGGUAACAAUGGAAGGUGUUCACUCACACCUUGGGGCAAGCCUUGUAAGUCUGGGAAUUAAACUGCAUCUCCUAAGAAGAAAGAGAAAUCAGCUGUCUGAUAAUAUUGUCCUUUUCUGCUAUUUGGUCUUUUUAACAUUGUUACACUGUUUUUACAUCUUUGAGGUUAGUUUUAGACCAAUUUUUAACUGAUCCAUAAUGAAACUGAAGUUUAAUUUUUGAUUAAACUUUCACUGGUUUUACUCUUCUGUCACUUCAAUUUAGCAUUGAUUUAAGAUACUGAAUUCUGUGCUUGGAGCUUGUAAAUUGGAAAGAGAUAUUUUGGGAUAGAAUGUAGAUUUUGUGUUUUGCUUUCUCAAGCUAGUUGUGACUUCUUAAAAGAGUCAAUCCAUGUCUUUAUAUAUUUUUCUUUUGUCUUGAUUCUGUUUCUUCAUACAGAUUCUUAUUUUAUGCUUCACAUACCACAUGAAAGAUGAAAGCCUUUUCUGUGAUUAGAAUUGACUUGCAUUAUAGUAACUUUAAACCACUUGGAUAUUUUUAUAAUAGCAGUCUGAGAUCUCCUUAAAGGAUUCAAAAGCAUCCACUGGCAUCCACUUUACUCGUAUCGGUCAAAAGUUUUGUGCAAUACAAUAUUAGCUUGACUGUAGCGCAGAGGAGAACAGGUUGGUGUUGGUCUGAAUUCUGAUAUUUGAAUAAAUAUAACAGCUCAUGUGACUCCACCACUUUUUACUUGUUCUGUAGUCUGUACCUACCUCCAUUGUCGGCACUGCCCAUACAAGGUCUUUUAGCUUUUUAAAAAGUUUCAUGAUAUUCCAUAGUUCACAUGGAUUUCUACAGUUUGUAGAAAACCUAAUUAGGGCACAUUUAAUUACUAUGCAGAAGAUUCUUUUAUCUUGCUCACCAAUAAUUCUUUGUACUUAUUUGAAAGAUGUGUUUCAAAAAAAUAAAAAAAAACUAUUUGAAAGAUGAGAAAUCCCUUAGCCGAACGACAAACUCAUCUAUCAGUCCUAUCAAAAAAAAAAAAACUCAUGUUUUAGUGGUUUUUUUUUUUCACUUGUAUUCAGUCGCACAAGUGAAGAUUGUGGGCAAUUUUUUCCUUGAGUAAAAUUGGAAUAGAUGUUUUUAUUGACACAAAUUUUUGAGCUAUGUUUGGGAAACCCUUAGACUUAAGACUUUGUUACGAUGAUAUGUAUCUAAGCUUUCAACAGACCGUUGAGGUCUUAUUAUCAAAAUACUAGAAAUUUACAAUUCAAUUUUGGUAAGGACCAAUUUAAUAAUGCUGUAAUUUUUAAAAUAAUUACCGUUAACUGUGUUGUAAAAAUAAUCAAUUAUGAAGAAAAUUAAUUAAACAUUUAGUAAACUUUAUUUUUACAAGUGCUUUGAAUUUUAAAAAUAGUCAUAUGUGUUCAGAAAAUCUCACUUCUAAAAUAGUAUAAGAAUGGAAAAAACUUAAAAAGACAAAUGUAUAAUAUUUAUUUACACAUGCAUUUAUAAAUAUGUGUAUAUAAUAACAUUUUAUGUGUACAUAUAAUAAUUGAUAACUAAAAUAAAUAUUUUUAUUUAUUAAUUAUUUUUUUGUCUCAAUGUAAUUGGUAAUACUUUUUUUUAAUCUUCUCAUCCUAAGUUUUUUUAUUGUUUUGUACAAAAUUCAAGGUUUGGACUUUUAUAAAAUGUCCACUCAAAAAUAAAUUGUUUUCUAACUAAGAUUUGUUGCUAAUGUAUAACUCAAAGUAAUACUAGCUAUUUGUAAUUUUAUUUCAAAAUUUUUAUUCAAAUGAUAUGGUAACUAAUGUACAUUAGUUGAUAGCAAUUUUUUUUUUUUUACAAUAUUCAAAUCAAUCAAUUGCAUCAUCUCAACAUUUUUAUGAUGUCGUGUUAUUUUAAACGAAUUUUUUAUUUUUAUAUAAAAUUUAUUAUGUUUAACAUCAUUUGCAUAACUUGACCUUUUUUUUUUCCUACAAAUAUUAAGUCAAAUUUACUCACCCUAUAUUUCUAUCUAAAAUCUACCUAAAACUCAUGCAUCACUGUAAAACAAAUCCAAAGAUUGCGGUACGUUUUUCUUGGUAACAAAUCAAUAAUUAGGUCAAGUACUACUACUAAGCGUGCUCAAUUAAUUCUAAAAUACUACGGUGAUCAAAAUCAUACUUGACGCAAGAGGAUAAGGGCUAAACCUCAAUUAGGCAUUAUUCAUCCAAAAUUCGUUGACCCGGCAUUCUUUGCAAGUUGUAGCACGGGACAGCUAAGAUUAGCAAAUGCUGUGGACCAUAUGCCCCCAUACAUUUGUGACAUGUGAAACUUGGCAUUAAAGGAAAGGCAACGUGUUAAAAUUUAAUAGCGCCCAAUUCUUCAUUGAAUGAUUAUCAGAUCCAAUGAGCAUCCUUUGAUUGGAUUAUUUUAAGUCAAUUAUUGGUGGAUUGGGGCCCACUUGACUCUACCAAAUCGGGCUCCACCAUAUCACCUAUUAACGACCACCUGUCCUUAUCAUAAAUAGCAAAUGUCACUUGUUUUAUUUUGUAUUUUACCAAAAGCAAAGUCACUAUGAACCCAAAUGAAAGUGACCCCAAUUUUGGGGGUCAUGAGCUUUGGAUUAUUAUGGACACAAGAGACAAGCGCAAAGUUUCUCAUUUAUCACCGGAUAAGAUUUAAGUUAUCAACCCAACAUUAAUAAAUUCUGCUUAAAGUAAAGUUUGAAGCUUCAUUUUGCGAAUAUUCAAUGGUUAACAUUUAAGUAAUUAACCUGAUAUUAAUCCAAUUAAACUUUUUAUGUAAUCCAAGUCAAAAAUAUGUUGAUAAACCUAAAUUAAUCUAAUUGGACAUAUUAUUUCAACUUGAAAAGGCGAAUCUAUCAUUUUUCAAUUAAUUUUGAAUCAAGCUAUGUAAAAUAUAAGCUUAUUAAAGACAUAUUUUUAUCAUGUUAAAAUAUCGAAAUACUUCUUACUCGUUUCGUAAUAACAUUAACAAACCUUUUGGUAAAUUUGACAGUCCAAUCAAUUCAGUUGGUUUUUUGUUAUUGAAACUCCAACAAAAUUCAUCACGAUUAUUAAAAACCCAUUAAAAAAAAAUGAAGGUAACUAUUUAAAAAAUUCUAAUUGAAUUAUUUAACAACUACAUUUCAACUAAAUUGUGUUGCUAAUUAACUUCCUCAACUUAAACUAUAUUUUUCUCAAUUAAUUCAUAACAAAUAAUGUUAGAUAUUUUAUUCGAAUAAUAACAUUCAACAUCCUUAUUCUUUAUGAUUAUUGCAUAAAAACAUAUUUUAUCCAUUUACAUCACAUAUGUUCCUAAAUUGUAUAAGAAAAUCACCAAAUUUACUCUUGUAAGUUACUAUAUCAAUGAACAUGAAAUUCACUAAUCAUUAAAGUCUCGGAAUGACAUCAUGAGAGGGAUUCAGUUACAUUUAUUGAUAGGAUUAGAUAUAUGUCUUCUCAAAUAUUAGUAGGAGCAAUUUAACAGAUGCAGCUACUAAAAAUAUAGAAUUACUUAUCUCGUCAAUAACUAACGAUAUUUUUUAUCUAUGCUCAAUAAAUUGUAAUAUUUGUAGAUUGUAACAAUUGUUAAAAAAAAAGAGCUCCCUGAGACUAAAUGACAAAAGGACUGUUUUGAAAUAGAUAGAUAAAAUAUGCCCUUAUUUGAGAAAAUGUAAAACACUAGGGAUCUAAAUGUUAUUAUAAUCCCAUGCACAAAAAUACCAAAAAUAACUAAUAACAACUAACCGAAAAUCCCAGGCGUCAUAUUCCUUUUUUCCGCGUUUUAAAAUGCCCUCUGAUUCAUUCACAGUCAGACGCUGUCGGCAUUUCUCUUCUCUCCCUCUCUCUCCACGUAUUAAAACAUGUAAAGUACGGAAAAAUUUAAAAAAAAUUUUAAAAUUACAUAAUUUAAAAGAUAUAAAAUUAUAAAUUUUUAAAAUUAUACGGUUUUAAAAUUUUUUUAAAUUUUUUCGUAUUUUAAAAUUUCAGACUAAAAAAUUAUUAUACGAAUACUUCGUAUAACCGCUUUGCGCUUAAAAUCUGUGCCUAACAAACUCACGAAAUCACUCCUCAUUUUCCUCUCUCCCUCUCCUCCUCUCAUUCCCUUUCAAAUCCUUCCACCACCUUCCCCGCCUCUCUCUCUUUCUCUCUCCCCUCACCGCCACAGCUCAACUUUUCCAUGUAAACCACCACGGGCGCCGUCGUUUCAACCUCCCACUCAUCCGACGUCGUUUUGUGUGAAUAAGAUAACGAUUUAAAUUAAAAUACGAAAAUGGAGAACUUAACGGCGCAGUUGAAGCGAGGGAUAUCGCGGCAGUUCUCGACGGGAUCGCUGCGGCGGAGCCUGACGAGGCAGAUGUCGAGGCAGUCGUCGUUCGAUCCGAGGAGGAAUAACAUGAGGUUUAGCUUCGGGAGGCAGUCGUCGUUGGAUCCGAUACGCAGGAGUCCGGUUCAGGACGAGUUGACGGUGCCGGAGAACCUUGACUCGACGAUGCAGCUGUUGUUUAUGGCAUGCAGAGGUGACGUCAAGGGAGUCGAGGAUUUGCUGAACGAAGGCAGUGAUGUCAACAGCAUUGAUCUUGACGGACGGUUUUGGCGAGAAAUCAAAGAAUUAAGAGACAAUAUUUAGUUAAGCUAAUAGUAUUUGUUCUGUUUAGUACGUCGUUUUACCAACAAGCAUCCCGGCAUUGCACGCAUUAAUAAAUUUUUUUUAUCUGUUUGGACUGAUGGUGGUAAAAAAUUCCACAUACUUUAUAUUAAAAAGGAAAAAGGACAAACACACCCCUAACGUCAACUUGGAGGGGGGUCGAUUCCGAGCUCAAGAAGUGGGAAAGAAGAAAGCUGAAGAUGAUUCAGGCGGUGCUCAAUGGUGGGUAUGACGGCAAAAAUAAGUUGGAGGUUUUCUAUGAAUUUGAACAUCUAAGAACAUUCUUCCCAUUACACAUAAGAGGUGGCUCCAAAACUGGUUACAUAACUCGUAUGGUUCUAACUGAUUUGUUGCCGAAGUUUAAAAGGUUGAGGGUGCUAUCUUUACAAGGAUACCAUAUUGGACCAAUUCCAUUUGAAGAUUUGAGACUUCAAAGUAUAAUUACCCAAAGUGUAUACAAUAAAAGCCAAAUUUAAGAAAUUCCUGAACCUUGCUGACACUGACAUAAGAAGUUUACCAGAGUCAACAUGCUCAAUGUUGAACUUGGAAAUUUUGAUAUUAAGAAAUUGUUUCCGUUUGAUGAUACUCCCACCCAAAAUGAGGAACUUGGUUAAUUUACACCCAGACUCUUUUCUUUUGACAUGGGGUUAACGAUCAAAGUUGGUUUCGUGCGGUAUAUAUUUACAAAUUGAUAGGUAUGCCUGGUGUUGAUGCAGGAUUCCGGUUCUUCUCGUUCUACGACCAGGAUCUCUGCUCGAUCAACUUCGUCACGACCAGGAGGUCUCCUCGCAAGACUUUUUCUCCAGAGAUUCCUGCGCACACAGACAAGUCAGAGUACGCCGGUUGUUUUCCCGGCGCAAACCCUCCGACGCUCAAGUCAGAUAUGAAGGUUCGGGGAACGCUUGCCACCGAUCUUAUGGCUUUUUCGUGGUUUUCUCUUCUUUUUAAUUCCUUUUCUAAUGAGAAAAAUGCCAACCCUUUUACCUCGUCGGCUACCUUUUUAUAGGCUUCCUCUGAAUCCCAGUUUUCCGCUCUUUUCGAGACGGUAUGGGACUCUGACUGCUGUGUUAUGGGCAAACGUGGGAUCUUGCGUGUUACGCCACCGUUCUGGGAAAAGCGCGGCAGUCGUGGUUCUGUGAGAUCUUGCGUGUUACGCCACGGUUCUGGGGAAAGCGUGGCUGUCGUGCUUAGGUUCUCGGGCUGGAGAGCAUGUCUCGUCAACUGCCGUCGACCGGGUCUCCUCGCCUCUCGACCUCUAGCCGGAAUGACCUUAUGCCUCUUACAGGAAAUUGGCCUCGCGGAUGACCUGCUCGUGGACGAGCAGGAUAUUUCUGCUCCUGUUCCCCCGCGUACCAGGCUUUUACGGGACACACCGGUUCGCAGAACUCUGCCAUCAGAUAUCUGCUCACCGUGCCUGGUCUCGUCGACGUAUUUCUCCCAAACACCGGUCCCCCAGUUUCUGGUGUUGGGUAAUGUAGUGGACCAGCAGUAGAAACUCGUUAGUACUCGCCCGCGUGGGAUUGGAAAAGGCUGCCAAGAGUCAUGUCGCAUUUAAUUGCGGACGAGGUGACGUGGCAGAAAUCCCCCCCUCCAUUUGAAUUUCAAACCGACGGUUAUGAGAUCCUCGGGAUUCAGCGCCGUUAAAUGCUGGCAACCCAAGAGUCCGUCCUCAUUAGGAAAACCAAAUCCUCUCGAACGGCAUAUUCGUCAUUCACUCCGUCUCCGUCUCUGUCUCCCCGGCAAAGAGGUUCCGGCAUAAAAGCCCUCCAUCUCUGAUUUUCACCGACUGAACCGUUACUUCAGGUAUUUCUUCUAUCUCCUUGGUCUCGGAUAGUUGUAGAUAAUUUCUCUUCUCUUCUGUUGGGUAGUAGUUGGUGGUGUUGUGGUUAGAGCUUAGGGAAUGUCGAAAGGCAAAGAGAAGGUCAUUGAGGUUGGUGACGACGAGUUGGACUUCCUGCCUAGUCUGCUCACCGAUCCUGCUUUUGACCCCGGGAUCCCCUUAGAGCCCAUUAGGUCUAGUGUCGGGACUAGUGCUAGGAGGAUGUCUCCCCAAACAACCUCUACGAGCGGAAGUAAUGGUGAGGAGAGAUCUUCUGGCUCCGAGGAUACUUUGAGUGAGAAUGGCGAAGGUGACUCUGGUGAGGUGUCUCCAUCUGGAACAUCACGACCAGAAGAACGGGGUAUAGUAGGAGGCAGAGCCUUGUCGCGCGAUUAUGCCAUUGAUUACAUGACGUGCACGACCUCGUUUGACGAGCUCAAUGACCUCCGGCUUAGGUAUAGCAUUCCUGGUGAGAUACCUCUCAAGGUCCCAGGAAAGAAGGAUGCUCCCAGCCGGCCUCCUAGGGGAUAUGUUACCCUGUAUCUGGACAGCUUUAAGUACGGGCUGAGGUGUCCCUUGCAACCUUACUUUGCCCGGAUACUUAACGGGCUAAAUCUAGCUCCUGGUCAGCUGAAUCCCAAUGGGUGGAGAGUGCUCUCUGGUCUGUUCAUAUUGUGGGACAGAUGUUGCCAAAGCGAGCCCACGGUUGAUGAGGUGAAGCACCUGUACCAGCUAAAGAGCAGCCCCAAAGAUGCCGUCUGGUACUACUUCCAAUCUAGCACCAAGAGCAGGAAACCUAUAACCGACCUCCCUACUGGUGGUGGUGGGAAUUGGAAGAGAAAAUUCUUUUUUGCUGGGGGUCCUUGGGGUCAGGUUGCACAAAUGGACGGGAAGGAUUAUCGGGUCCCACCCCGUUUCACGGUCCCAGGUUGCCUGCUCGCUUUAGAUGUCUUGUAUCCACAAUUGUUAUUGCUUUAUUGGCUUGUCUCUAACCAAGUGUCUGUUUGCGUUGUAGUUUCUUGGGGUGUUCACUUCCCGCUCCCACCUGACCAGCUCAAACGGGUCAAGGCUGUGCUCGCCAAUUCCUGCUCGAGUCGAGAACUGCUAACUACAUACAACUUGCUCGAAUCUCGCUUGAUACUUCCUGGCCAUAGGAUGGAGGACGCCGUGAUUGGGGCUCUGACCCGAAAACGUUCUCGACCUCCAACCACGAAGAGGGACCAGGGUAAGGAUGCCCCUGCUGCAAAGCGGGCCAGCAUCGUGCAGCAGGUCCCACCCUUGGAGAUUUUACCUCCUGCUCCUGAAAAAGUCGGGGAAGCUAGUGGAGCAGCCACAGAUCCUGCUUCCUCAUCUGUUCCUGUCGGGCCUCGAUCUCGCUUACCUGACAGCCGAGCAGAACACCUGGUCCCCUACCUCAAUGAGUUGUCUAAACUCGUGAGCAAGAAGGACCUGGAGGACUUCGACGGCUGCACCUUGGGUGAGCUGGUGGGGGCCAUGCAGCAUAGCGCUUUCCACCUCAGCUGCAUGACCACCUAUUACAAGGCUAAGGUUGGUCGAUACGAUCGGAAAAUGAAGGGGGAUAUUCAAUCGGCGACGACCAGAGCUGACAUUGCCGAGAAGAAAGCAGGGGAGCUGAACCUCGAGAAUCUGAAGCUGAUAGAGCAAGAAUCACUUGCUCAAGCAAAGACCAUUACCCUCGAGGAGGAGCUUACCAAGGUCAAGGAGGAUCUGCAAAGGCAGAAGGCUAUGUAUGAGGCCCAGCUCGAAUCUCUCCGGGACUCCAACCGAGCUCAGGUCGAGAACUUGGAGAGGGAGGCAGAGAAUCAGUACGACCAGGGACUUCGGCAUUCCUAUCGUUGCAUCAUGGCCGUCCUCGGGAAGCAACACCCUGAUCUGAAGAUGGAUGACCUUGCGGCUGGUGUUGCCCAACAUAUGGACGAGGAGGCGGCCAAGGAAGAUGCUGAAGGGGUAGAGCCGAUCGUGAUCGAGGAGGAAAGCUCUCCUCCUCGUGCAGUCCCUGCUGAUGUUGGCGAGGCGAGCACCCCUCCGGACGCAACUGGCGAUACCCCUCCCGCACCUGAGGAGGUCCAGUCAACCGAUGCUGCUCGGCUCACUGAUCUACCAUCUUUUUGAUAUAUUUCUUUUUGUAUUGUAAUAAACAACGUUUAUGAAAUUUAUCCCCUCUGUUAGCCAUUAACACAUUAAUAAAGAUGUUUUUUGAUUACUUUCUCGUCUUGUAAUCAUCACUUAUUUUCCGUUUGGGAAUCUGCUCGUCUCGUCUGGUCGAGCAGGUUCUGGUUUGGCAUAUGGUUUUGCAACAUGCCUUAGAAAAAUUUCUUUUUUUUUUUUUUUUUUUUUUUUUUUUUUUUUUUUUGCUUGGGGAUUCUGCUUGCCUUCGCGUGGUCGAGCAGGUCCUGGCAUGCUUGGCUUCAGUCUCGCCAUAAAAAGGCUUUGAGACUUGGUGAGGCCUUUGCAUGCCUUAGAAAACUUUUUCGAUGCUUGGGGAUUCUGCUCGACUUCGCUCGGUCGAGCAGACCCUAGCAUGCUUGGCUUCCGUCUCGCCAUAAAAAGGCUUUGAGACUUAGUGAGCCUUUGCAUGCCUUAGGUGGCUUCUUCAAAGCUUGGGAUUCUGCUGCCUUCUCGUGGCCGAGCAGAUCCGGGCAUGCUUGGCUUCUGUCUCGCCAUAAGACAGGCUUUGAGACUCGACGAGCCUUUGCAUGCCUUAGAUGGCUUCUUCGAAGCUUGGGAUUCUGCUGCCUUCUCGUGGCCGAGCAGAUCCGGGCAUGCUUGGCUUCUGUCUCGCCAUAAGACAGGCUUUGAGACUUGACGAGCCUUUGCAUGCCUUAGAAAUUUUCUUGGUUUCAAGCGAAAGGAAUUCCUCGACGUUCCAUUAAUGGCAGGAUUCGGCUUACAUGAACUUGUUUGGACAUAAAGCGUGAAAGAUAAACGAUAAUGAUCAUGAGCAAAAAUAGCUUUCAGAUGUGAACAAAUCUUACUGGAAGUAUUUUCGGAGGUGUGCUGCGUUCCAUGGGCGUUUCAGCUCGUGGCCGUCCGUGCGAACCAGCUUGUAAGCUCCGGGUCCCGCUAUCUGCUUGACUCUAUAUGGCCCUUCCCAAUUCGGUCCCAGCACUCCUUGAGUCGAAUCUUUGGUGCUCUGAUUCACUCUUCUCAGUACCCAGUCUCCGACCUUGAAUUGCCGUAUGUUCACCUUCUGGUUAUAAUACCGAGCAACCCUCUGUUGGUAAAGGGCUGAUCGCUCGGCUGCUUGCUCCCUCCUUUCCGUUAGCAGAUCAAGAUUCAAACAUAUCUGCUCGUCGUUCUCCUGCUCGUUGAAAUGACCUGUCCGGUGUGUGGUCGUUCCUAUCUCAGCCGGCACGACCGCUUCAUGUCCGAAAGCCAAAGCGAACGGUGUCUCCCCAGUUGCGGUUUUGUGGGUUGUUCUGUAUGCCCAUAGCACACCUGACAGCUCGUCAACCCACGCACCCUUUUUUGCUCCAAGCCUGGUUUUCAAAAGCCUCUUGAUGGUCUUGUUGGCUGCUUCUACUUGUCCAUUCGAUUGAGGGUGAGCAGGCGAGCAAUACUUCAGCUCUAUCCCGAGGUUCUGGCAGAAAUCCCUGAAGCUGUGAUUAUCGAACUGCCUGCCAUUAUCCGUUACCAAGGCAUAAGGGAUCCCGUAUCGACAGACCAGGUUUCUCCACACGAAGUCUGUUGUUUUCUUCUUUGUGAUCCUGCUAAGGGCUUCUACCUCUAUCCACUUCGUGAAGUAAUCUAUAGCAACUAUUGCAUGUGUUGCUGCUCCUUGUGCCUUUGGCAAUGGGCCGAUCAGAUCAAUUCCCCAUUGAGCAAAUGGCCAAGGGGAGGCCAUGGAGGUGAGCUUCUCUGGGGGUUGGUUAGAGAAAUUUGCAAAACUCUGGCAGCUUACACAACUCCUGGUCUUCUCUUGCGCAUCCUGGUGCAUUGUCGGCCAGAAAUAUCCCUGCCUAAGAACCUUGUGGGCCAGGGACCUCCCGCCAGAAUGAUUUCCGCAAAUUCCUUCAUGUACUUCUCUCAGUACGUAAUCCGCGUCGUCCUCAUCCAAACACCGAAGGAACGGUAGUGUAUAUCCUCGCCGAUACAGCGCCCCAUCAAUCAUCGUGUAUCUCGAGGCCUGGGCUCUAAUCUUGCGAGCUCGCAGCUUAUCUGGUGGUAAUACUCCGUCUCUAAGGUAUGAAACUAUCGGGUCCCUCCACGAGCAUUUUUGUUCUAUCCGCAACACCCCCGAAUUCUGAUCGAUACUUGGGCUGGACUUCACCUCCAGAGGGACCGACUUUGGCAUUUUUGGGUCGGCUACUGCUGCCAUCCUCGCCAAAAUGUCUGCUCGACUAUUCUGCUCCCUGGGGAUCUGUACCACCUCCACUGCUUCGAACUUCCCCAUCAUCUGCCUGACUAUCUUCAGGUACUGCUCCAUCUUCUCCUCUCUUGGUUGGAAUCUUUCACUGACGUGAUUCGCAACCAGCUGGGAAUCAGUUCUGAUCUUAACUCUGUCUUCUUUCACGGCCUUAGCCAAUUCCAGACCUGCUAUCAAGGCUUCAUACUCUGCCUGGUUAUUUGUGGCUGCAAAUUCCAACUUUACAGCAUAAGAGAUCUCCUCCCCCUCAAGGCCUUCCAGGACAAUCCCUGCUCCUGAACCCCGCUCCCCUGAUGACCCGUCCACAGACAUCUGCCAUACUUGAUUUUCGUCAUUGCCUAUAACUGCAUCCUGUUGAUCUGAGCAUACUUCGGGCUCUGUGAAUUCAGCUACGAAAUCGGCCAUUGCCUGGGCUUUUAUCGCUGCGCGGGGUUUAUAGUCUAUGUCGAACUCGCUCAGCUCUACAGCCCACUUGACGAGCCGACCAGAGGCAUCUGGCUUGUGCAGAGUUUGACGCAAUGGCUGGUUUGUUAUUACCGAGACCGGGAAUGCUUGAAAAUAUGGCCUCAACUUCCGAGCAGCAACCACAAGGGCAAGUGCCCAUUUCUCCAACAGUGGGUAUCUAGUCUCAGCGUCGAGUAGGGCCUUGCUGGUGUAGUAUAUCGGAUACUGAACUCCUUCUUCCUCUCUCACCAGAACAGAACUGGCGGCCCGAUCCGACACCGCCAAAUACAGAUACAACUUGUCCCCAUCCCUUGGUGUGGACAGCAGCGGAGCUUGCUGCAAGUAUUGCUUCAAGUUCUGGAAGGCUUCCUCGCACUCUGGGGUCCAUUCUGUUUUCUUUCCCCUCCUUAUCACUUGAAAGAAUGGCUGACACUUAUCUGUAGCCUUGGAGAUGAAUCUGCUCAACGCCGCCAACCUCCCUGUGAGGCUCUGCAUCUCCUUCAGGUUACGAGGAGACGUCAUUUGCACAAUCGCCUGGAUUUUCUCGGGAUUUGCUUCAAUCCCCCUAUGGCUCACCAUGAAUCCAAGGAAUUUCCCUGACUCGACCCCAAAAGCACACUUUUCCGGGUUGAGCUUCAUCUUAUACUUCCUCAAAAGCUCGAAUGUCUCCUCGAGGUGUCUGACAUGUUCCUUCGGGAUUUUGGACUUGGUGAUCAUGUCAUCCACGUACACCUCCAUGGUUUUCCCAAUCAACGGCUUAAAGACUUUGUUCACCAGCCUUUGAUAGGUGGCCCCAGCAUUUUUGAGACCGAACGGCAUUACCCUGUAACAGAACAAACCUUGGUUAGUGACGAAAGCCGUGCUCUCCUCAUCCUGCUCGUACAUGGGGAUCUGGUUGUAUCCCGAGAACGCGUCCAUGAAGCUGAGCAGACCAUGUCCAGCCGUUGAAUCUACUAGCUGAUCGAUCUUUGGUAGAGGGAAGCUGUCUUUUGGGCACGCCUUAUUGAGGUCUGUGAAAUCCACACACAUCCUCCACUUGCCGUUUGCCUUCUUUACCAACACCACAUUCGAUAUCCACUCAGGGUAACUGACUUCCCGAAUGAACCCUGCUCUCAAGAACUUCUCCACCUCGCUAUUUAUUGCCUCAUACAUCUCCUGGUUGAAGCACCUCCUCUUCUGCCUUACUGCCCGAGCACCUUUCUUUAUUGCCAGCUUAUGACAUGCUACCUCAGGGUCAAUCCCUGGCAUGUCUUCAUGUGUCCAAGCAAACACAUCAGAAUGAGCCUGUAAGCAUUUCACCAACUCCUGCUUUUGCUCUCCCUCAAGCCUCGACCCGAUUCUGAUCAUCUUUCCCGGAUUCUCUGGUCCCAGGCUUACUGUUUCCAGAUCUUCUACAGGUUCUUGUCUGCCCUUCUUGUUUUCCACUCGGGUAUCGAGGGAUGUUAUCUGCAUUGCUUCCCUUGCUGCCGAGGAGUAGCAGCUUCUUGCGAUCCUCUGGUCUCCUCGUACCACUCCUACUACCCCAUUCACCCGGUACUUCAGAGCGAGAUAGUGGUUGGACAACACCGCUUUGCUCAUCCUUAAAAAUGGCCGACCUAGGAUCAUCUGGUAAGGACCUUCCUCGUCCACUACGACAAAGUCCAGUAUCAUUGUUCUUUCUGUCAGGGAGCUCCCAAUUGUGAUAGGCAGCUCGACCACGCCCAGAGGGACCAGCUUCCCUCCUCCGAACCCCUUCAAGGAGGUAUUGGUGUAUUCCAACUUUCGGUCGGCUAUUCCCAUCUCUUCCAGGGUUGACUUAAAUAACACAUCAACUGAGCUCCCUGUAUCAAUCAGUAUCCGGUCAAACUUCUUGCUAGCGACAGUAGCCUUGAUGACUAAAGCAUCAUCGUGGGGGUAUAGAAUCCCUUCCUCAUCCUCAUCCGUCCACAUGAUUGGCACUUGCCUGACCCUUGCUCGUUUGGCUGCUGGGGUGUUGAAGAGUACCUCUUUACUGGUCAUGGCGUACCUAGCAUAAUUUUUUCUCGAUCUGUUGGAAUCUCCGGCCAAUGUUGGGCCCCCAGCUAUCACCCUUACUGCGGGCUGCUCGCGCCUCAAGUUUCUACCACUCUGCUCCCCUUCACCUGUUGUGGCCACCAUCGGGAAAGUCCCAUCCAUAAACUCGUCCAGGUACCGAUUUCUCACCAAAUCUUCGACCUGGAUCUUGAGAUCUCUACACUCUGCCGUGGUAUGGCCAUGGGUGCCAUGGAACUUACAAUAACGUCUUCUAUCCCUCCUGUUGGGUAGCUUUGUUAUUGGUGUAGGGAGGUGCAGCAGACCUCGAUCCUUUAUGGCCUCGUACACCUCAUCCAGGGACAUCUUCAAGGAAGUGUACCGCCCAUAGUCCGGGUCCUGGUCGAUCAGGUGCACUGCUCUUUCUCUGUUUGCCCCGCUUUGAGUUGGGGGCGGUGGAAGUAAUUCUGGUCUGCUCGCUCUGCUACCAUGUUGGUGAAGACCACCAGAUGCCGACUCAUGCCUUCUCCAAGGCUCCCUAGCUGGGGAACGAGGAGGUUGCGCCCCGCUGCGCUGAUACUGUGGUGGCCUCUGAUGAGGCUGGUAAGCAGUUACCCGACCUCCUGCUCUACUACCGGAGGCCUGGUGGUCUCUCCUCCUGAUCGGCCCAUUCCCCGGUAAUGCUUUCUUCUCUUUCCUCCCCAACCCUUCCAACUGGUCUGUCUUAAUCCGUGCAGCCUUCUCCUCUUCAAUCUCGAUGUCUCUCUUAGCCUGUUCGUAUGCGGCUGCAUACGUUUGAAUAGCUGGGCUUCUCAAAUUGUACCACAACCUUCCUAUCUUCACCCCUUCUUUCAAUCCCCUUAACGCCUGAGGGUGGUUGAAGGCUCCCAAGUCGAGGACAGCCCGAUGAAACCUCUUGAUGAAUUCCCGAAGGGUUUCUUGCUCCCCCUGUUUCAUGCUUUUCAGCUCCAUCAUGUCGUCUUCCGGUGCCAUUGCCCCACUAAACUGCUCCGCGAAUUCCUGGCACAUCUGCUCGAAGGUUUUAAUGCUGCCCCGAGGAAGUUUCCUGUACCAUUCUCGUGCACGUCCCUCAAGGGAUAGUGGGAACACCCUGCACCUUUGGGAUUGAGAUAAUCCUUGUACCCCAGUUAUGUCGUUGAAGCGCUCUAUAUGCACCAGCGGAUCAGUUCUUCCCGAGUAUCUGAGGUCUGGGAGGCGGAAAUCUCUCGGAAUAACUGCCCUCAUGAUUUCUGUUGCGAGCGGCGAUUCUCCGUCCAGCAUUAUCCUCCAACCAGGGGCUCUGUUCCUUCCUUGCAUGUCGUCAAUUAUCUGCGCUAGUCUGCGCACUUCCCCCUCCAGCUGCAACGCACGACCAGGGUCACGUGCUGCAACUUGAUCCCACUCUUGCUCUACAUCAUGCAAGUGUUGCCUCAACUCUGUUUCCUCUGCAUUCACCACCCCGUCGCCCUCGUCACCAGUCUGUCUUGCUGGGGACUGCUCUCUUUCUCUAUGAAAUUCUCCCUGCAGAGGUACGUUACCUCUCUCACCACCAAAUCUCCCGGGGGUUUGACUUCUCCCCGCACUAUCGGGACCUGGUGCCACUCCACCGCCUCUCACCCUUCCCUCUUGGGUUACCCUUCGCUCGCUCCGCAGCUCAUGCAGGAUGGUUGUCAAGGUCUCCAUCUGCUUUUCCAUCCGUUCCAUCUGGUCGAACAUGACUUUUUCCCGUGCUUCGCUGACUAUCUCCCUCAGCGUCACGGAAUCGUUAAGCCUCCUAUCACCCCCUUGUGCACUACUUCUUCCUGUCUCCAUUGCUUUUCACUUGCUUCACCCCUCUUCUUGCUAUCAACAGAAGCUUUUUGCUCUGGUCCCCACAGACGGCGCCAAAAUGUUGAUGCAGGAUUCCGGUUCUUCUCGUUCUACGACCAGGAUCUCUGCUCGAUCAACUUCGUCACGACCAGGAGGUCUCCUCGCAAGACUUUUUCUCUAGAGAUUCCUGCGCACACAGACAAGUCAGAGUACGCCGGUUGUUUUCCCGGCGCAAACCCUCCGACGCUCAAGUCAGAUAUGAAGGUUCGGGGAACGCUUGCCACCGAUCUUAUGGCUUUUUCGUGGUUUUCUCUUCUUUUUAAUUCCUUUUCUAAUGAGAAAAAUGCCAACCCUUUUACCUCGUCGGCUACCUUUUUAUAGGCUUCCUCUGAAUCCCAGUUUUCCGCUCUUUUCGAGACGGUAUGGGACUCUGACUGCUGCGUUAUGGGCAAACGUGGGAUCUUGCGUGUUACGCCACCGUUCUGGGAAAAGCGCGGCAGUCGUGGUUCUGUGAGAUCUUGCGUGUUACGCCACGGUUCUGGGGAAAGCGUGGCUGUCGUGCCUAGGUUCUCGGGCUGGAGAGCAUGUCUCGUCAACUGCCGUCGACCGGGUCUCCUCGCCUCUCGACCUCUAGCCGGAAUGACCUUAUGCCUCUUACAGGAAAUUGGCCUCGCGGAUGACCUGCUCGUGGACGAGCAGGAUAUUUCUGCUCCUGUUCCCCCGCGUACCAGGCUUUUACGGGACACACCGGUUCGCAGAACUCUGCCAUCAGAUAUCUGCUCACCGUGCCUGGUCUCGUCGACGUAUUUCUCCCAAACACCUGGUAUGACUGCUUAUGCUGGAUUUUAUGAGGUGUGCUCUCCUAAGCAAGGAGAGUGGGUCUUAAUAUGGGCAAGGGUGCAGUUGGUCAGCUUAUGGGGCAGUUUGCAAAGUUACUGGGCUGCUAUGUUGUCGGAAGUGCUGGAAGCAAAGACCAGGUAUACAAACAAACAAUCCGUAUCAGUUGCUUGAUUGUUCCCAUUUUGCUUUCAAAAUAUCUAACUUACAUAAGGAAAAUUUUCACCAUCUCGUCUUUUCUUUGAUUUUGAACGCUAAGAUUGAUCUACUGAAGAAUAGGUUUGGGUUCGAUGAGGCGUUCAACUAUAAAGAAGAUCCUGAUUUGAAUGCAGCCUUGAUAAGGUUAGUAUAUCAGCAAACUACAAAUUAGAAGACAUUUUUUCCUGAAAAUCAAAUAAUGUUUCUAAUUUGACAGGUGGUUUCCUGAAGGCAUUGACAUAUACUUUGAAAACGUUGGUGGGAAAAUGCUCGAUGCGGUGCUGAUCAACAUGAAAAUCGGUGGUCGAAUUGCUGUGUGUGGGAUGAUCUCGCAGUACAACCUUGACGAACCCAAAGGCGUACACAACUUGACGCGUCUUAUUUCGAAACGGGUUCGGAUGGAAGGAUUCCUCGUAUCGGAUUACAAUAAACUCUAUCCGAAAUUUCUGGAAAUGAUCAUUCCUCACAUCAAGGGGGGAAAGAUUGUAUACAUUGAAGACACGGCUGAAGGUCUUGAGAGUGCUCGGGCAGCUCUCGUCGGUCUGUUCUCUGGCCGGAAUCUCGGGAAACAGGUGGUUGCAGUUGCUUCUGAAUGAAUGAAGGAUUUGGUUGUUUACAUCAUGCUUCUACUCGUCCAUUUAUUUAAUAAAAUGGUUACGCUCAAUGAGUGUAAUUUUUAUGAUGCUAAAUUAAAUGUGGAAUGUGGCUGCUGGUUUGAUAAUGUUAAAAGUGCUAAAAAAUUUCAUGUUAGGCGCGGUGUGCGUCUGUAUAUCAUUUUUAGGUACGGGCAUUCUAUCUUUUUUUUUUAAUUAAUACAGACACAUUCUUAAACUGUAUGGUUUAAGAGAGAGUUAAAAAAAACUUUUACCACAUGGUUUAAAAGCGUAUCCGUAUGGAAAAAAAAUGAAAGUCCAUUGGAGAAGAAUUUUAUAUAUAGUCCAGGAUAUUAAAGUGCGGGAAAACUAUAGAGUUUUAAAAACUUAAAAUUUAAAACGUUUAAACUGCACGAUUUAUGUGUUUUUCGAUGUGAUCCCACAUUUUAAAAUUGUGGAUUGGAACAUUUGUCUUUGAGGGAAAAAAAACAAUAACAACAACUUCUUUUGGAGACCGUGGGGCUCAUAUGCAGAUUCAACCCCGAGCUAUACACUGGAUCUGGUGGGCUAGGUUUGAACCCAAAACAAGCUCUAUUCAUUACACGGUUCAGCGGGUUGGUCCAUUUGACGCUUCUAACUUAACAAUUUAAUCAUAAUAAAUUGAAAAAAUAAAAUAAAACCCACGUAUCUAAAUUAUUGUAUUGAGCUAUUGGUGCAGAGAAUAAGUAUAUAUGAGAACAAAAACAACACGAUGUAGUCGCUCGUUUUGUCACUUCUAAAAUCAGGAUUUAGAGCAUCACCAAAAGGCUCUUCAAAUAAGAUUUUAUUACUCAUUUGAAGAGCCACAUCAAUAUUUAAAGCUCCAAAAGACACUCUAAUUAAGAUUCUUCAAAUAAGAAUUGAUUCUCUCUCUUCAAAUUUGGAGAGUUAAUUUCUCCCUCUUCAAUUUAUAUUUUAUUACUUUUCAUUAAAAAAAGAGAGAGAAGUGCUUUAAUUGCUAUUGACUUUUCCUUUUAAAAACUAAUUAUAUGAUUAAAAUAAUAUUAACUUAUUUCUAUUUGAAGAGUCUUUUGGAAAAUAUCAUAUUUUUUCACCCUUCUAUUUGCCACAUAGGUAAGCAAAUAGAUAUUUGAAGAGUAAAAUUUAUAGAGGCUUUUGGAGAUGCUCUUAUGAUAGAGUCAUAGUGUUAACAGUACAUCGGUGUAUAAUUAUUUGUAAUGAAAUUAAUUAAUAUGGGUUUUAUGUUGUCUUUGUCAAUAAUCAAUUAAAUUUUUCGUUUUCAUUUAAAUGUUACUGAUCGAUGAAACAUUUGACUGCGUUCAAGUUAUCUUUUAAUUUUGUGAGAUCCACAUUGUUUUUAUUUCAAAAACAUAAUUUUUCAUAUUAUUAAAAAGCUGUUGCUUGGGCCUAGAGAAAUUGGAUUAAUGAAAUACCUUAAGGGUGUGUUUGACACAUUAUAUUGUAUUAUGUUGCAUUGCAUUAUUUUAUUUGGUGUUGCACUAUACUUUACUAAUUUUUUUGCAAUUAAUUUAAAUUACAUAGUUAGCAAAUAAUAUUUAUUAGUGCUUAGAAAAAUACUAAAUAUAGAAGUCUUAAAUUUUAGAAAUUUAACAAUUUUUUUACUAUAAAUGUUAAAAAAUAUAAUAAUUCUUCAUAAAGAUGGAAGCUUACAGCCUUAAGUUUUUGGAAGCAGAGCAUUUAUUUUUUAGUAUCUUCUAAAUAUAUAAUUUUUGAAAUAAAGAUAUAAGCACAUAAUUUAAUCACAUAGUCUUUAAAUAAUAUAACAACAUAAAUAAAUAGUUAAAAUGUGCAAGAUUAGUUCAAAACUCAUCUUAGGAUGAUAUAAUAAAAGUUUAUACACACCACAAGAUAAUCACAAAAUAAUAAAGUGAUAAAAUUAUUAUAACAUAUUCACUACCAAAAUAAAUUAUAUUAAAUAAUCCAAGUGAGAGUUCUGUAGUUUAUAUAAUAAUAUUAUUUAUGUUAUUAUUAUUAAUUUUAAAUUAAUAUUAUCCAAAUUUAUUCAUACUUAAAUAUGUAUUAUUAGUUAUAUUACAUUAUUUUUACAUAUUAAUUAUUGUAAUAUAAUUAAAUAAUGUAAAAUUAUAUUAUAUUUUUAUAUACUAUUUAAGUAUUUAUUAUUAAUUAUAUUCAAUUAUAAAUUUAUUAAUAAAUUAUAGUGCAAAAAAAAAUAGAAAUAAAAAUUAAUAUUGUAUAAUAAAUAACAUUCUGCUCCCAAUUUCUGGAUUUUAAAUUCCAAAAAUAGUAUUCACGUUCGCCACAUUCAAAAAUCCAACCUGGGCUUGGAGAUUCGAUUCAUCUCAUAGAUUAAUUUUAUAAACUAAUGUUUAGUGAAAAAUUAACCUUAAUGGGUCCUCCUCUCCAGGCCUAAUUCUUAAUUUUUUUUUUAAUUUGGUCCUACUUAAGUGGCUUCUAACGUUACCGUGUCUUUAUUUUGUGUACAGUUGUUUUACUAAUUUGUCAUUUAGUGCAAAUAACAGCACUCAACUUGUAAUAUCCAGUAUCCACAAAUCAGCCACUUCGGCCAAGGCCGAAGUGGUGGGCUGCUGCCCUCACAAUGCUUGUGAGGGCAGCGGUUCUAGCCCCCACAAAAGCAUUGUGGGGGUUAAAUGUUCUUUAUAUUUCCAAAAAAAUCCUUCUCUCUUGCAAAAUGUAAGUGGAGUAUGGACAUCCCUCUCCUGUGAGGGGUUAUUUGUCUGGGCAUGUACUUCAUAGAAUUCAUUGUAAUAAUGUAAGUCCCAAUCAUGUAUAUCUGAUUGUAAAUAUCAGUGUAAUAUCUCUGCUACAAUAAGCAGUUGUUGUAAAUAUCUGUCUGAUGAUUAAUCAGUAUUCAAAAAAAAAAAAGUAUCCACAAAUCAUGAACUCAUUUUUUAGUUCUUUCAUGUGUACUAACAUUCGUACAAAUAUACAAUAAGUUCAUAAUUUAGUCCAAGUUGACGAGAAAUUCUUGACCCACCCCUAAAUAUCUGUCCGCCAAUAGCGUGAAGUGGCCGGCAUAAAUUUAAAGCAGCUGGGACAUUGUAACUCAUCCAAAGAUUGUAUAACAUCUCUUUUUUGCUUUAUCGUUUUUCUCCAGUUGCAUAGUUUCUUAUCCUACCGCUUUAAAAACAAUUAUUCCUAGAAAUUUUCAUUUAUCUAAUGAAUUUUAAGAAUUUUUUCAGCAAACAAUUUUUACUUUUUUUUUUUUUUAUCAUUGAUGGGUAAAGAAAAUAUUAAUGAAAAAUGAGGAGUUAUUGGCUGGUUCAACGGAUUAAUUGCAAUGAUAAAUACAGGGAGGAUUGGAUUAUAUGGCAAAUUUUUAUAGUAAAUGUAAUAUAUAUGCUAACACUUUUUAUUUAUGGCAAAAUAUCUUCCUCUUUUGAGACUUUUCCCUCUAAGAAAAUUGGAGGAUACGACAAUAUAUAUAUAUAUAUAUAUACUAAUAUUUAUCAUUUAUAGAAAAGUAUCUAUCCCACUUAAGAUUUGCCCCACUAGAAAAGGAAAAAAAAAUCCCUCAAAAUAAAAGAGCGAAAUGGAAACAGAACAAAAUUUGAUUUUGUGGAUCUUGUAUUGUGUGAUAAGUCCGGCAUGCAAUUUUGGGCCAGCUUACCGUGCGCAUGGGAGCAUUCACAAAGUAUCUCUCGUCACUAUCGAAAACUUUUAACAGUCAAUACAAAUGCUUCCGUUUCAUCCCAUAAACAAAUAAAAUUCACAUCUGUACACAUCUACUUUGCUUUGCUAGAUAGAGUUCCUCUGCAUUUCCCAAUUGCCUAAAGAGAAGGGGAAAAGAAAAAGAGGGCCAAAAAAUGCCUGAAAUGGUAAGGAACAAGCAAGUGAUAUUGAAGGACUAUGUGUCUGGUUUCCCAAAAGAAACAGACAUGUACAUGACCGAAAGUUCCAUAGAAUUGAAGGUGCCAAAAGGUUCAAAUGGGGUUCUUUUAAAGAACUUGUACUUGUCCUGUGAUCCGUACAUGCGACCAAGAAUGACCUACAUCGAAGGAUCUUAUGUUGAAUCCUUUAAACCUGGCUUGGUUAGUGCACUCGCUCAUGGCCACGCUUUUCAUUUCCAUGGCUUCUUGCUCUUUUGUUAUAGAAAAUUUAUUUUUGGUUGCAGUUUGGUUCGACUGCUAAAAUCUCGUGCGAUAAUUGUAUAAGAUAUCUAGAGUUUGAACUUCUUUCACAUUAGGGUUCAAGGAAGUUAACUUAAAUGAUUUUCAAAAUUUUAAAUGUGUACCAAUGAAUUUAAUUUCAUAGCUUAAACUUAUUGUUUGAUCAUACUCUAACUUUGGACAGGAAAAUUAUAUUUUUCCUUUUGUUCUUUGACUUCGUGUAUGUUGUGUGAAGUACUUGUGCUUGAAAAUGAAUUGCUGACACAGAAAUUUCUAUGAAUGCAUGCAGCCCAUAAGUGGAUAUGGGGUGGCUAAAGUUUUGGAUUCAGAGAAUCCAGAGUUCAACAAAGGUGACUUGGUUUGGGGAAUGACUGGAUGGGAAGAGUAUAGUCUCAUUACGGCUCCACACUUGUUUAAAAUUCAGCACACAGAUGUGCCUCUUUCUUACUAUACUGGAAUCCUCGGUAAACUUUUUGUUUGCGCAAUUUAUGUGAGCAAAUUGUGUCUUCUUUUUCAUAUGUAAAUGUUUUUGAUAUCUUGAUGUGAAGGUAGAAAAUUGCAUGUUUUGAGUUUUUGCAUAUUUGAUGGAAACACAGAACCGUACCUGAAUAUUUCAGAACCCCCUUUUCUUUGAAGUUUGAACACUUUUCUUGAAUGUAUCAACUUUAUUUAUGGGAUAUGUUGCCAAAUUGGCAAAUCUAUUCGUUAUAAAACUUUCCUUUGACAGUUUAAUCUAAGCAGAUGUUAAUUCUGCAAAUAGAGUGUGCCUUAGUUUAGAUUGAUAGAUUUGUCUCCUUCUGUACAGUAAAAACUUUGAGCAUUUUCGCCAUAUUCUGAUCAAUACACUCCAACUAGUUAGUUCUUGAGGCGUUUCCUGGUUUCGUGGAGUGAGCCAAGAUGUAUACGUUUGCAAAUUGGCAAUGUCUUUUGCUUGAUGUGUUGUGAGUUGUGAGUGUCAAUAGGAAAGUUUCAAAGUGCGCAGUGCUCACUUGAGCACCCAUAUUACUUGGUGACCUGUUGCCUCAGCAAACAAGACCUCUGUUUUAUGAACUCCAAAAAGUUAUUCUGUUAAAAAGAUCGAGACAGAGGCCAUACUAUAUUUAUUAUUGCUAUAAAAGUGUCAAACAAUAUUCUUUAUUUAAUAUUCUAAACGAUUGAGCCAUUUAGUUAUGAUACUCUGCUGUACUGGGGCUAAUAAUCUAAGUCGGUUCAAAGUGGUAAAUUUAUAAAUUGAUAGGUAUGCCUGGUAUGACCGCUUACGUUGGAUUUUAUGAGGUCUGCUCUCCUAAGCAUGGAGAGUGCGUCUUCAUAUCAGCAGCAUCUGGUGCAGUUGGUCAGCUUGUGGGGCAGUUUGCAAAGUUAUUGGGUUGCUAUGUCGUCGGAAGUGCUGGAAGCAAAGACAAGGUAUGUAAUCUGUGUGAACUACUUGAUUGUUUCCAUGUUACUUUCAAACAUUUAAAUUAAAAAGGAAAUUUUCAUAAUCUUGCCUUUUCUAUGAUUUUCAACACCAAGGUUGAUCUACUGAAGAACAAGUUUGGGUUCGACGAGGCAUUUAACUAUAAAGAAGAAGCUGAUUUGAAUGCAGCAUUGAAAAGGUUAGCAUCAAUAAAUGCCUUAGCUUGAUGCAGCUUGAUGAAGUAUGAUACACAUUUCUGACCAAUAUACUGCGUUCCCUGAUCUCUUACUUGAAAUAUCUUGGUUUGAGAAUCUCAUGCCAAUGCCUUUAACAUUUUGGCAGGUACUUUCCUGAAGGAAUUGAUAUAUAUUUUGAAAACGUUGGUGGAAAAUUGCUUGACGCAGUGCUACCCAACAUGAAAAUCCGUGGUCGAAUUGCUGCAUGCGGUAUGAUCUCACAGUACAAUCUUGACAAGCCUGAAGGUGUGCACAACUUGAUGUAUCUUGUUUCGAAACGGCUUCGAAUGGAAGGAUUCAUUGUUCUGGAUCACUAUCACCUCUAUCCAAAGUUUCUGGAAAUGAUCAUUCCUCACAUCAAAGAAGGGAAGCUUGUAUACGUCGAAGACAUGGCUGAAGGUCUGGAGAGUGCUCCGGCAGCUCUCAUCGGUCUAUUCUCUGGCCAGAAUGUUGGGAAACAGGUGGUUGCUGUUGCUCCUGAAUGAAGAACAAGUUAGUGUUGUGUGUUCUUUUACCCUUUGACACAAAACUUCAAUGUUAAAGAGAGAAUGCUGCUCAUACUGCUUUAUAAAAUAAUCAAAUGAGUGCAAGUUUCAUGAUAUGUGCUGAAUAAAAAUAUUGGAAAUUAAGCAGCUAGCCUAGCUCCUUCUUGUAGUUGCAGUUUGAAUGAUGCUGCUGCACAACUGCUGCCGAAAAAAUCCUUAAUAGAUGAUUAGCAAGGUUUCAAAAAUAAAAAUAAAUGUUUGUGCAAUGUGCCGAAUAUGACAGCCACAAAGAAAGAGCAUACAAAUUGACUGGUUUUAUGUCUUCUCUAGGAGAAAGCUACAAUACAAGAAAUUGUAUUGAUGCCAUGGACCAAAUUUCUUAUUUAAACUUUUAAUUUUUUUUUAUUAAAAUUACUUAUGUUAUUAUGGUUUAUAUUUUUAGAAAUUCUUUAGAAAUUAAUACAGAACUAGUAGCAAGUUGAGAAAUCUAAUGAAUGGUCGAGAUAUGAUCAUGUUUAUUGAAUUAAAUUGACAAUCAUCAUUUUGAUAAAUUAUUGUUAGGAUAUUUGAUUCAUCACAGGUGUAAGUAACUAAAUGUGCUAAAAAAAAAGUUAAUGAGUUGUGAGUGUUUGAUAUUCGUUUGUUGUAAUUCUUUUAAUAAUUGUUGUGGGAAAAAAAUUAUGGUAAAAAAAUUAUAAUUAUAAAAUAAAAAUUAAUAAUAUAUUAUAAAUAAAAUUUUUAAAUAAUAAUUUUAAUAAAAUAAUAAAUAUAUUAUGAAUUUUUCAUUAUAAAUUUUUAAGUUAAAAUAAUAAAUAUUUAUUAAAUAUUUUAAUAGCACAACUUUUAAAUUAUAACAGUACAAUGUAAAUACCAGAGGUCUUAAAAAAUAAAAUUACAGUCAAGUUUUAAAACUGUUAAUAAUGCUAUUCAUAAAGGCGCUCGUCGUGUAAACAACACAUGGGACCCAACCAAUAAAUGUUUAUGAUCCUCAACUUUCCUCCUCACCGUCCCUGCAAACAAUUCUGAUUUUCUUGUCUGAGAAAAAAACUGAGAAACAAUGGCGGCCGAACAAGAAGCUGUGAGCAAUAAGCGGGUGAUUCUAAGCAACUAUGUGACAGGUUUUCCAAAAGAAUCGGACAUGAAGAUAACAUGUGGAUCAAUAAAACUGGAGGUAGCAGACGGUUUAAAAGACACGGUGCUUUUGAAGAAUCUUUAUAUUUCUUGUGAUCCUUACAUGCGAGAGCGUAUGAGCAAGCUUGAUAGACCUUCUUUUGUUGAUUCAUUCCAUCCUGGUGAGGUUAGUUCAUCACGACCCAUCUCUUGAUUUUUUUUUUUUUUCAUUUGCUUCAAGUUUUGAUGAGUUUCUGAGGUCAUUUGUACGGUUUUGGAAUGUGAACACUAUUAGUGAUUUUGGGGCUGUAACUGUCAUUAAUGAUAUGUAGUAAUUCAAUCAGAAUUUGGAUUUAGUGCUGAUAUGAUCUCUGCUCAUUUUUUAAAAUCUUGUGUCCAGAUGCAUUUUUAUAAUCUUGUACGGUUGAGAUUGUAAGUAGAUUAAUCUACGUGCAGUAUUCUUGUCUAAUGACUACUAACCACAACCUUAUGAGACGAUCGAAACCAAGCUCAGAUCAAUAAUCCAAUUGAGAGAGGGUCCUAACUCAAGCUUAUCGUGUGUAGGAAUAUUUCGGUUAAAUUGUAAUUCUUUUAAUAAUUGUUGUGAAAAAAAAAAAGUUAUGAUAAAAAAAUUAAUAAUUAUAAAAUAAAAAUUAAUAAUAUAUAAUAAAUAAGAUUUUUAAAUAAUAAUUUUAAUAAAAAAUAAUAAAUACAUUAUCAGUUUUUCAUCGUUAAUUUUUAAGUCACAACCACAAAUAUUUACUAAACACUUUAACACCAUAAUUAACACCACAACUAUUGAAUUAUAACUGUACAAUCUAGACGCCAAGAGGCCUUAGUAUGAAAAAAAAAAAUUACAGUUAAGUUAAAAUUCAUCAUACAGAUGUGCCACUUUCAUACUAUACCGGGAUCCUCGGUAAUGAUUUUUGUUACACAAUAAGAUUUGCUUAUAGUAAUAUCAAUACAUAUGCUGCUUAAAUGCUUUCUGAUUUUUUGCCGGCCAUUGUCCAUUUUGCCAGGGAGUCUAUAAUUGAAGGAAUUUACUGAAGGAAUGCUGAUUGUUGGGAAUUUGAUUAUUCUAGGUAUGCCUGGUGUAACUGCAUACGCUGGUUUAUACGAAGUUUGCUUUCCGAAGAAAGGAGAGUAUGUCUAUGUAUCUGCAGCAUCUGGAGCUGUUGGUCAGCUUGUUGGACAGUUUGCAAAAUUAGCUCGUUGCUAUGUUGUUGGAAGUGCAGGAAGCAAAGAAAAUAUAGCACCGUGCCUUCUAGCAGAAUUUUACUUGCUUUAUGUUCCAACUAAGCAUCCAUAUUUGAUCAUGAUAAUUAGCAAGGUCAAUAAUUUUUUUUUGACUAUUUUUUCAACGUAAGGUCGAUUUGUUGAAGAACAAGUUUGAACGAUGCUUUUAACUACAAGGAAGAGCCUGAUUUGGAUGCAGCACUCAAAAGGUCAGCUGCAACAAACGUUUCAACUCUAAUAUUUCAUUUUAAUAUUACAGAGCUUUGGUUGAAGUGUGUGAGUUGAUCCCAGAAACGUAACUUCAUCAGUGUCUCUGUUUUCAAAAAACAGGACAAAUAGAAAUCUGAUUUUGCUUUAAAAUUUCCCAGAUGCUUCCCUCAAGGAAUCGACAUAUAUUUCGAAAAUGUUGGGGGAAAGAUGCUGGACGCAGUGCUACUCAACAUGAGGCUCCGGGCCGCAUUGCAGUAAGCAGUAUGAUCUCACAGUAUAACCUGGAAAAACCCGAAGGCGUUCACAACUUAGAGCAACUGAUCGGGAAACGGAUUCGCCUGGAAGGAUUUCUAGCUGGUGAUUACUAUCACCUCUAUCUGAAAUUCUUGGAACUGGUCAUUCCUCCAAUCAGAGAAGGAAAGAUGCUGUAUGUGGAAGACAUGGCCGAAGGACUCGAGAAAAUUUCUCGUAACUGCUACACAUUAAACGCGUUUCACAUUUCCACUCUCUUUCUAUAAAUAAAUACGCACAUAAAAUUUCUCACCAUCCAAAAACAAAAUCUACAUAAAAAAUGGCGGGUGAAGAAGCAGUGAGCAACAAGCAGGUGAUUCUGAGCAACUACGUGACAGGGUUUCCCAAGGAAUCAGACAUGAAGAUAAUAACAGGCUCAAUAAACCUUAAGGUGCCAGAGGGUUCAAAAGACACAAUGCUUUUGAAGAAUCUUUAUCUUUCUUGUGAUCCUUACAUGAGAGGACGUAUGAGCGAGCUUGAUAAGCCUUCGUUUGUUGCCUCAUUCGAGUCUGGCGAGGUCAGUUACUUCAAUUCCCAUCUCUUGGUUUCAUAAUCUUUUAUGGUUUUAGAAGGUGUUUUAGGGAAACAUUGUGGUUUUGGUUAGUGGGCAUGAGUCUUUGAAGAGAUUAUAAUGUGUAGGACUAUGCAUGCAAUAAUAAGCAUAGGGGAUCUUGUUAGGAGAAGAUUCUCUUAGCAAAAUAAAAACUUUUAUCUUAUCAAAACAUAUGCAGGGAACUUAGUUAUGAUGUCAUGUUAGCAUUAUCUCUGAGGAUUUGAUUUCUUGAUGGGGAAAGGGGAAUUUAAGGUUACAUUAUUCAGCAAUGUUUUUUUUUUAAAAAAUUAUGUUCAAAUUAUGCAGCCUUUAAGCGGAUAUGGAGUGUCCAAAGUGUUGGAUUCCACGCCUCCAAAUUAUAAGAAAGAUGACUUGGGUGGCGUUUGUUUUUUAACUUAAUGACUUAAAGUGACUUAACUUAAUUAAUUAAGUUAAUUAGAGAUGUUUGUUUUUAUAACUUAAUGUGACUUUUUAAAUAAUUUUGACUUAAUAAAAUAAGCCAAUUUUAUUUACUUUUUACUUAAUAGAGACAUCUGAAUUAAGUCAAGUACUUUCUAAUGUCAAAAAUAUACAUGCUUUAUAAUUUAUUUUUCAUGUCUAUCCCAAAACUCACCCAUAGACAUUUACCCCACAUAAUAAUCUCAUCAUUAUUUUUUUAGCCGUCAUGAAAUCCCUCCUCACUUUGGUAUCAACUCCUCAACUAUUGAAGAUCAAAAUUACAUGCGACAACUUCGAGAUGAAUGGCAAAUCAACUGUUUCAAGCAUCUUAUUCGUUUUUUUUCUUUUUUAUAUUAUAUACGAUAAAAUUUGAAAUUUAUGGUAUUUUAUAUAUUAAAAUUCCAAAAUCAUUAUAUAUUCACUUGAAUAUAGUUUUACUUAUAAAUGUUAAAAUAUUGUGAUAUUUAAUAUAUUAUUUAUUUGACAUUCAAAUUUAAUAAGGAUACAAAUGUAAAAGUACAUAUUUUUCAGUUUUUUAAGUUGAAAAAAGCAAACAACUUAAUAAUUAUUUUUCGAGAUUCAGACGAAAAAACAAACAUAUUAUUCAGAUUCAGACAUUCAGAUCUAUUCAGAAUUUAGACUAAUUCAGGUCUAUUCAGAUUUCAGAUAAAAAAACAAACGCCACCUUGGUCCGGGGCUUAACCAGUUGGGAGGAGUUCAGUCUCAUCCAAUCACCACAACUUCUGAUUAAAAUUCUGGAUACAAGUGUGCCUCUGCCAUAAUUAAUUGACAGGUUGCUAUGUUGUUGGAAGUGCCGGAAGCAAAGAAAAGGUGAGUUUGCACCCUUAACCCUUACGCUCUAAAUAAAAACAUAACACCUUCUGAAAGAAUUGUGCAUAGAGAAUUUUGCAUGUCACAUUAUUUGUGUUCUAACUAAUCAUGGAUAUUUGAUCAUUAGUCUAACUAAAACUGACAUAUUACCACCUAGUUGACUGGUCUUUGAGAAAUGUUAGUUGAUAUAUGCUUGAAAUCAUACUUGUUUUAUUAGAUGAUUAUAUUAACCUGCUUCUUUUUCUUUGUGCUGUUUCUCGUUUGAUUACAUUUUCAACAUUAGGUCGAUCUAUUGAAGCACAAGUUUGGGUUUGAUGAUGCCUUUAACUAUAAGGAAGAGCCUGACUUGGAUGCAGCUCUUAAUAGGUUAGCACGAAUGAAUGCUUUAACCAUUUUUCUCACUUCAUUAUUACAAUGCGCUGAUUGAAGUAAUCAGUGUUGGCUCUGAAAAUGUAACGUAUACUUCUCUGUUUUCAUAAAACAGGACAAACAGUGAUCAGUGAUCUCAUUCGUUACAUUGAUAUUUUCUACCAUUGCCAUACAUAGUAUAAACUAGGAAUUCAGUUGCUUAAUAGAUAUUCAUUUCAGAGGGAAAUUUUCACUUGCAGCUAACAGAAUCAUGUUUGUGAUGUAUGUUUAUUUGGGAAAUGAAAGGAUUUGUUGCAUUAUUUUAUUCCAAGUUUGCUGAAAUCAUAUUUGUUUUCCCAGGUGCUUUCCUGAAGUUAUCGACAUCUAUUUCGAAAAUUUUGGAGGUAAGAUGCUUGAUGCAGUGCUACUCAACAUGAGAAUUUGUGGCCGCAUCGCUGUAUGCGGAAUGAUCUCACAGUACAACUUUGAGAAGCCUGAAGGUGUACACAACUUGAUGCAAGUAGUUGGAAAACGAAUUCGCAUGGAAGGAUUUCUUGCCAGUGAUUUCUACCACCAAUAUCCAAAAUUCUUGGAACUGGUUAUGCCGGCAAUCAAAGAAGGAAAGUUAGUAUAUGUCGAGGACAUAGCUGAAGGCCUCGAGAAAGCUCCAUCAGCCCUAGUUGGGAUAUUCACAGGUCAAAAUGUUAAAAAACAACUGGUUGUAGUUGCUCGGGAAUGAUAUGAUUACUAUAUGCUUUAAAAAGUGGACUUUGCCAUGCACUUUAAAAGCUUAGUGAAGAUGCCUUUGUCUUAUUUUUGAUACAUGUUAUGUUUGUUUGAUCAAGUUGUACUCAGCUAUAAAUCAAAGAUUCAGAACAUGUGUAUGAUACUGGUUUCUAAAUCAAUGAACGCGUUGAAAUGUUAGUGUUUUCACAGGAGAAUGCAAUUUAAUUCAUCAACAAUGUCCCAACAAGACCCUCAGAGCUGUAGCUUGUAAAGUUAAUUACGAUAUUUUUUUGUAAAGUAAAUUACCAUAUUUUUUUCUUUCCAAUAUAUUGCUUAUUUCAUAGAAAGUUUACAUUAAAGUCUCAUGUUUCUUUGAAAGGUAAGCAAGUGUGAACGUUUCAAUCUAGAGCUGGAAAAUGCAUUUCCGGGCAACUUACUUGAUACAUGAAGUUUUCAUCUCUGACCUUGAUGUUUCCCAUAGUUGCAUUCAUUUCAGCUGAUCUAUUUAAUUUUGUUUUCGAAGGAGUGACACAAAAUCUCCUUUGUUAAGGGGAGAAUUUAGAGUGGCUUUGACUGUUAGCAAAUAGCCUAAUGUAAGACUUAACCAACUUCCUGCCCUGUUGUAUGCUUAUGAAUUUUGAUAGAGCUAAGAGUUUGCAGAAGCUACUGUAUUAUUUGUCGUUAGAGGCUGUAAAAAUCAAACACAUUUAAAUUUCAAUGAAAAUUUACUGGAAGUAAAUUUCCUAUGAUCCCACAGGUGACUAAUUAAUGAGAACUUGACAAUGACAAAAGAAAGUCUAUGAACUUUGCAGGCUGGCAUGCCAAUAUUGACUGGGUGGCACCAUCCACCAUCUGCAAGUGAAUAUCAUUGUUGUUUAAUCAACAAGGUGGAGUCCACUGGGACCACACCACAUCGUCAGCCUUAUCUCUAUUCCUCAAUUUUCAGUAUUCCAUACAUCAAACCAAUUUCAGUUUUGUUAUCAAUUAUAAUUUUAUUGUUGGUGACGAUUCUGAUUCCUUUCUGACAAAAGGGAACCAUGGCUGCUGCUGGAGAGAUCUUACUCAACGCCUUCUUUCAGGUACUGUUCGACAGGUUGGCUUCUCGUAAUUUGCUCAGCUUUGUGCGUCAACUCCAAGGCGGGGUUGAUUCGGAGCUCAAAAAGUGGGAGAAAAAGCUGAAGAUGAUUCGGGCUGUGCUCUGCGAUGCAGAGGAGAAGCAACUGACUGACGAGGCUGUGAAGAUGUGGCUGGACGAACUCCAAGACUUGGCUUAUGACGCUGAGGACACUCUUGAUGAGUUUGCUACUCAAGCUUUGGAAAGCAAGUUGAUGGCGCAAAAUCACGAUAGUUCUGGCCAGGUUCUCAGUUUCAUCCCGGCUGGUUUGAAUCCGAAUGCUAUUAUGUUCAAUUAUAGCAUGGGGUCCAAGAUGAAAGAUAUUACUAGCCGGCUGGAGCAACUCUGCCAAGAAAGAAUUGAACUUGGACUGCAACGGAUUACCGGAGAGGCAUCAUCAACUGCUGCUGCUGCACACCAGAGGCCACCCAGUUCGAGUGUCCCAACAGAACGUGAAGUAUUUGGAAGAGAAAAAGAUAAGGCCAAAAUUCUUGAUAUGUUAUUAGCCGAUACCAUAAGUGAUCAUGCUAACUUUGUUGUAAUACCCAUUGUUGGCAUGGGUGGGAUAGGAAAAACAACUCUCGCUCGGGAGGUUUACAAUGACAAAGCCGUUGGAGGUUCCAAGUUUGAUGUAAAAGCAUGGGUUUGUGUAUCUGAUGUCUUUGAUGUUUUGGGCAUCUCAAAGGCACUUCUCGAGUCAAUCACCCGCAGGCCUUGUCUUCUAAACAGUUUAAAUGAAGUGCAGGUUGAAUUGAAAGUAGCUGUGGAUAAGAAAAGAUUCUUGCUGGUCUUAGAUGAUGUUUGGAACGAGGACUACAGCUUGUGGGUAGACUUAAAAGCUCCGUUCCUGGGUGCUGCACCAAACAGUAAGAUGAUCGUCACCACACGCAAUUCAAAUGUUGCAUCAACAAUGGGACCAAUUGAACAUUACAAUCUCAAGAGUCUGUCAGAUGAUGAUUGCUGGUCCAUUUUCAUAAAGCAUGCAUUUGAAUCUAGAGAUCUUAACGCACAUCAAAUUUCAGAAUCAUUCCGCAAGAAAGUUGUUGCCAAGUGUGGAGGCUUGGCCCUGGCAGCAAAAACACUCGGAGGCCUUCUGCGUACGACGAGGCAUGAUGCGUGGGAUGAUAUAUUAGAGAGCAAAAUAUGGGAUUUACCUCGACAAAGUGGGGUUCUCCCAGUAUUAAGAUUGAGUUACCAUCAUCUUCCUUCUCAUUUGAAAAGAUGUUUUGCUUUUUGUGCCAUCUUUCCAAAAGAUUAUGAAUUCACUGAGAAGGAGCUGACUUUCUUAUGGAUGGCUGGAGGUAUUAUUCGACAGUCAAGAAACAAUGAGCAGCUGGAAGAUUUGGGCAGCAAGUGCUUUGGUGAUCUAGUGUCGAGGUCAAUUUUUCAGCAAACAGCAAGCUCUGAUAGUUCUAAAUUUGUAAUGCAUGACCUUAUUCAUGAUCUUGCUGAAUUGGUCUCUGGAGAAACCAUAUUCAGGUUAGAGGAGGCCAAUACUCUGUCAAGAAGAUUUGAAAGGGUUCGCCAUUCUUCCUAUGCUUGUGGUGGAUGUGAUGGUAAAAAUAUGUUCGUGGUUUUCAAUGAAAUUGAACAUCUACGAACAUUCUUGCCAUUACGCUUACGCAUAAGAGGUGGCUCUAAUACUAGUUACAUAACUCGUACGGUUCUAUCUGAUUUGCUGCCGAAGUUCAAAAUGUUGAGAAUGCUAUCUUUACAAGGAUACCGUAUUGGUGAGUUACCAAUUCCAUUUGAAGAUUUGAGACUACUAAGGUUCCUCAACCUUGCUGACACUGACAUAAGAAGUUUACCUGAGUCAACAUGCAAAUUGCUGAACUUGGAAAUUUUGAUAUUAAGAAAUUGUUCCUAUUUGAUAAAGCUUCCGCAGAAAAUGAGGAAUUUGAUCAAUUUACAUCACCUCGAUAUAAGAGGUGCGAAGUUGCUGAAGGAGAUGCCAUUCGGAAUGAAAGAGUUGAAGAAGCUUCAAACAUUGUCCAAUUUCAUCGUGGGCAAGGGCGAAACUGCAUCUGGUUUGGAAGAUUUAAAAUGUUUAAACUUUCUUGGUAAUGAACUUUGCAUUGCUGGAUUAGAGAAUGUGAAUAAUCCACAGAAUGCAAGAAGAGCCGCAUUAUGCGAGAAGCUCAAUCUUGAAGCAUUGACUCUAGAAUGGGGGUCUCAAUCUGACAGUCCUCGAGAUGCAGUACCAGAAGAGAAUGUACUUGACACUCUACAGCCGCAUAAACGUAUAAAAGAGCUGGCAAUCAGACACUAUGGUGGUGCAAGAUUUCCACUUUGGAUCGGAGAUCCUUCAUUCUACGAGAUGAAGGUCCUUAAAUUGGAGAACUGUGACAAUUGUGUAUCUUUGCCGUCGCUUGGCCUGAUGAGUUCACUUAAGCACCUUGCUGUUAAAGGGCUGAAGAAACUAAAAAGCAUAGAGUCUGAGGUUUAUGGGGAGGGUUUCUCAAUGCCUUUUCCGUCACUGGAGAUUCUAAGUUUCGAGAAUUUGCCAGAAUGGGAGCAUUGGGACACCGAGAUCAAAGGAAAUGCGCCUGUUGAUUUAUUUCCUCGUCUCCAAGAACUUUCCAUUGCAGAAUGUCCCAAACUCUCUGGACAACUGCCUGAGCUCCUGCCUUCCUUGAAGACACUUGUUGUUAGUAAAUGUGAAAAGUUGGUAGUUCCAUUGUCUUGCUAUCCAAUGCUUUGCAGAUUAGAAGUUGAUGAGUGCAAAGAACUAGUCUGCCGGACUCCGAUUGAUUUUAAGUUGAUAAAGUCCAUGACUAUUUCAAAUAGUUCAUUAGACAUGAAUGGACGCAAGGGGAUGUUAUACGAUGGUCCAGCUGGCUCUUCACUGCCAAACCCCAUGACUACUACAAAUGUUUUAGAGUUUGGAAAAUUAUUGAAGCCUGGAUUUCAGAUAUUCGAAACUUUGGUAAUUGGCAAUUCUGAACAGCUCAAGUUAUGGAGGCAGCAUGGGGAUUUUCCGAAAAAAUACAUGGUCACUGACCAUGGGUUCAAGAAACCAGUACGAGGGCUGAAUAUGCUCGCUUCCCCUGAAGAGGUAACAAUUGAAGAAAGUUGCGUACGUCUUGUUUUGAUUCCAGAGAUCAAUUUCCUUCUCAGAAAUCUGCGCUCUCUUAUAAUUAACAACAGCACUGCUUUCAAAUCCUUACCCGAGGAAAUGAUGGAAAACAAUUCACAACUCGAAAGAUUGUAUAUCAGAGAUUGCGACUCUCUAAUAUUCAUCGCAAGACGGAGGCUACCAGCAUCUCUUAAAAGGUUUGAGAUAGGAAAUUGUGAGAAAUUGCAACGUCUGUUCGAUGAUGAAGAGGAUGCUUCUUCUUCUUCUUCUCCUUCAUCCUCGUCUUCCCCAGUGAUGCUGCAACACCUGAGUAUAGAGAACUGCCCAGAGCUCACCAGUUUAUCAUCGGGUGUCCAAUUCCUUGAGGCGCUUGAAGACCUCGUGAUACAGCAGUGUCGAAAGCUGGAGUCAAUACCGGAUGGCCUGCCCAAUCUUAAAUGUUUACAGAGCAUUAAUAUACGGGAAUGUCCAAGUCUUGUUUCCUUAACAGAAAGAGGGCUUCCCAACACCAUUUCAUUUGUUUACAUUUGCAGAUGUGACAAGCUCGAAGCCUUGCCCAAUGAUUUGCACAAACUCAGCUCUCUUCGAGAAUUAUUCAUACAGCUCUGUCCAAAUCUUGUAUCGUUUCCAGAAGAAGGUUUUCCUACCAAUCUAACAACACUUGUAAUUGGAGAUUUCAAAAUGUAUAAGACACUCGUCCAGUGGGGGUUGCACAGGCUUACCUCUCUUAAACGCCUCUGGAUUGCUGUACGUGAUGAUGAAGCAGAGUGUUUUCCAGACGAGGAGAUAGGAAUGACGCUGCCCACCUCUCUCACUGAUCUGCACCUUUUUGAUUUCGAAAAAUUGAUAUCUCUGUCUGCGACGGGUUUUCAGAGUCUCACCUCUCUUCAGAGUUUGUGGAUCGGGAAUUGCCCGAAUCUCACAUCAUUUCCAGAGGUGGGCCUUCCAUCCUCACUUUUGGGCUUAGACAUUAGAUAUUGUCCAAAGCUUAAAACAGCGUGCAAAAGAGAUGAAGGAAAAGAGUGGUCCAAAAUUGCUCACAUCCCUCACGUUGAGAUAGACGGUAAAUUCAUAUACGAUCCAGAAGCAGAGGAGUAGGUUCUACUAUUAAGGUCAGUUGAUUUGUAUUAUCCGCUAUAACAAGCUCCUCCUUUUUUAUUUUUUUUAAAAAUAAUAAUUUUGCAGUCACUCACGUGAUUCCGUUUUCACAAGUCAGAUUGUAUGUUGAGGCUAUUUGCCUUUUAAUCGCAGAUUAAAUUAUAACACUUAUCUUAAAAUUUAAUACCAUACACAGAUAGACGAUUUUUUAAUCCAAAGUUUUUUUUAUUCACUUCAGUUAGCAUUUUUUUUUUCCCCAAAUCAUGCAAGCCGAGAGUUUCAAUCAAGAAUUGGAGGAUGUGAAUGGGAUUUUUGUGAAAGAGUAACAUAAUGGAUGAACGAACAUUUCAUAUGUGAUCUCAAAGUCAACAGAAUUUUAUUCACUCGUUGACUUUUCAACUGCUGUGGUUAUUUAUGGGUGAAAGAUAAGGGCAAUUACAAAAAAUUUGCAAAAUUUGUCAAUUUCUUAGAUGGUAGAAAUUGGAGUAUAAUAUUUUGGAGCAAGCAUACUUGAAAUUUCUGUCUUCAAUAUUUUGAUGCUUUCUUAUCCCAUGCACAAAAGUACUAGAAAAAACUAAUAACAACUAACCGAAAAUCCCAGGCGUCAUAUUCCUUUUUACCGCGUUUUAAAAUGCACAACAAUGAUAUUCUUACAAAUUUGCAAAAUUUGUCAAUUUCUUAGAUUUCAGAUAUUUUAAUGCUUUUUUUAAUUUUUGAUCUAGUAAAAAUACAUAGCCUUCACCGGCAGGAUUCUAGUCUUGGCUUUCACCUCUCUAACUCAUCUGUUCCCAUUGGGAUUCCAGAAGCUAGAAAAAUGUGUAGUUUUCAGAUAAGGAGGCUUGUCAGUUCUCUAGUAAGAAUCCAAUGAUUUGCUUUUGAACGUCCAUCUAAUUUGUGGAUCCUUGCAUCAGAAUUUGAUCAAUCCAAAAGGAAUUGCUUUUAGACAGAAGAAGAAUAGCAGCACCUAGCCUACCCGCAAACCUGAAACUAUUAGAUUGAGGUAAAAAAAUCAUUGACCCUCACAUGUUAACUUCUUCUAGUUACUUUCGUUGGGAAAAAAAAAAACAUUUAAGGAAUUUGCAAUUUGUUGUUAGUUAUGGUAUCUGAUGUUCUUUUCUGCUUUAGCAUUUGUAGAAUCUACUGUAUUAUGUGUUGGCAGUUGCCGUAUCUGAGGUAACUUGCCUUUAUUUGUUUGCUUCUGACUUAAGGACACCAACAUUUGCCAGAGAUUUAGAGAAUCAUCUCAAAACACUUAGCAAACUUGACAAACUUCAAGAUGCACUUGCCCCCACGCCUUAUUCUCAACAACGCAAAACUUGUGAGUACACCUAUGCCUGCAAUUAUUGUGAAGUGUUCGCAAUUCUGAUGCAGAGAAAUGGUUUCUUGAUGCAAAGUAUUAAACUGUUAAGAUUUAUCCUGCAGGCUUGUUAGAUGCUGGAUACGCGAAAAGCCAACAACAUCAAGAACUGCAACUCCAAGACCAGCUUUGCGUUAAUUCAGUCAGCUGUAAUAAUGAUGCAAAUGACACUAUAUCAAGCUGGACUUAGAGACUAGUCAGAUAAAUCAUCCAUUUCAUCAACGGUUAAUGUCAUGAUGGUGGCUAUCAGAGGAAACAAAAGAUGUGUCGGAAUCUAUACAAACAUUGAGAAGCAUGAGAGGAGCUUUGAUUUUGAGUAGGGUCAAUGAACUCAUAUUGGUAAGUGGUAAUUAAAGAAACUUUGUAAGCUUAGUAGAGUUUCAGUAUUUUCUGUUUGGAGUAUAGUUGAUAAGUUGACUCUGUUUAAGAAGCCCGAUUAUAGUAGCUGACUGUAUUAACCUUUUUUUUUUUUUUUUUGGGUCUGCUGUUGUUUUUGGUUUCGAUUAUUUUUUCAACAUUGGGUUGAUCUGUUGAAGAACAAGCUUGGGUUUGAUUAUGCUUUAACUACAAGGAAGAGCCAGACUUGGAUGCAGGCGUUAAGCUUUUAAUGGGUAAGAACAAAUGAAUGCUUUAACUAUGUUUCUCACUUAUUAAAAUGCACGGAUUGAAGGCAUCUGGGUUGAUCCUGACAAUGUGAUGGAAAUACUUCUCUGUUUUCAUAUAACAGGACAAAUAGAGAUCUCUGAUCAUGCCUGAAUUUUUGUUGCAUUGAAAUUUCUACCAUUAUCAAACAUAGAAUGAACUAGGGAUACAUUAGCUUAAGACUAAAUUUUGAGAAGGAAGUUUGUACUUGCAGCCUAUAAAAUCAUGUCCAUGUUGUACGUUUCUUUGGGAAAUGAAAGAUUCUGUGUGUUCUUUUAUUUCAAGUUCACUGAAAUCACAUUUGUUUUCUCAGCUGCUUUCCAGAAGGUAACAACAUCAAUUUCAAAAAUGCUGGGGCAAGAUGUAUCAUGCAGUGCGACUCAACUUGAGAAUUCCUGGCCACAUUACCCGUAUGUCUAAUGAUCGCACAGUACAACCUUGAGAAGCUUGUAAUGAGUACACAACUGGGUGCAAGUAGUUUUGAAAUGAAUUUGCCUCAAAUGAUUUCUUGCCGGUGAUUAAUAUAACCUCUAUUCCAAAAUUCUUGGAACUGGUCAUACUAGCAAUGAAGGAUUGCAUACAUUGAAGACAUAGCUGAAGGCCUUGCGAGAGCUCUGUCAGCCCUUGUACCGGAAAACAGCUGGUCGUAGUCGCUUGUGAAUGAUAUGAUUAAUAGAUACUGCAAAAAUGAAUUGUGCCAUACAUUUUCAGCGCUCUGUGAAGAUGUCUUGGUCAUUUGUUUGAUGCUUGUUUGAUUUAUGUUGUAUUCAGCCAUAAAUCAGAGAUUCAGAACUUGGGUAUGUUUCUGGUUUCCAAAUCAAAAAAUUGCCUUGUGAUGUUAGUGUUCACUGUUUUCACAGGAGAUCAGGUUCCUUGUUAAUGAAUCAAGAAGAAGGCAAGCGCAUCCAUGUCCAAGUUCAAAUGUGUCUCCUCUAUUUUCUAUUACCCACUCAUUUAUUUUGAUUUCUUCAUUGUAAUUGAAUUAGUUUUUUAUUCCAAAUUAGUCAAAACCUCGUAGAGUCAUUAAGUUCUUUUAGCAUUUAAAGACAGAACUACGAACCAAAUGAUUUAAGUUCUUCGUUGUAAUUGAAUUUGCUUUCCCAUCUUUAAAGAUAUUAUGUUCUUUUUCACUUUUUCGAUUUGGUUAGUGGUGAUUUCUUAAAGACUCAAUCCAUUUGCGUUAAUACAUUUUUCUUUUGCCUUGAUUUCUGUUUCUUGGGGAGUUUAUACAUAUUCUUAUUUUAUGCUACACAUGCCAUAUACAGAUUCUUAUUUUAUGCUUCACAUGCCACAUGAAAGGUCAAAGCCUUGUGUGUGAUUAGAAUUUACUGGCAUCAUAGUAACUUUAAACCAUUGUGACGUUUUAGUAAUAACAGUCUGAGCUCUCCCUGAAGGAUUCAAAGCAUUUUAUUUUAUAUUAUACUCCUUUAUAUGGUUUGGCUGGUCUCUUUUAAGGCAAUUCCUGUUUAAAGUAAUCAAAAUUUUGAUUUCGAAGUGUCUUUCAACACUACCGCUAGUUCUUUAAGAAAAGUAAAUCGAUUUUGAGUCUUCUGUAUCAUCUGAUUGAAAUACAUGAAAGCACUCUUAGCUGCAAAAGUACACUUGGAGUUAUAAUAGCAUUCUGAAAUCUCCUUGAAGGAUUCAAAAGCUCUUUAUUUGCUAGUCUUUGCUUGCAAUAAACUCCUUUAAUAUACAUUGGUUGAUCUUCUUUAAAGCAAUUACCAUAAGUUCUUUAAAUAAUAAAACGAUUUUGAGUCUUCUGUAUCAUCUUGUUGAAAUACAUGAAAGCACUCUUGGCUGCAAAAAUGCACUUGGGGUUAUAUAUAAAGUCUUCAACAGAAUUUUAUUUCCCCCUUUAUCCUCAUGGUGGUUUUUUUAGUUGUUUUUUAAGAAAUCGCUUGAAGGUUCUCUUUAAAAAUAAUUUUAACAUAAGCAUUCUUUAGAAGCACUUUAGAUGUCUGGCAUUUAGAAAAUUUUGUUCCUGUGUUCACAUAAUAUAAUAUAUAUAUAGAAAGCUGACUGUAGAAUAGAGGAGAACGAGUUGGUGUUGGUCUGAACUCUGAUCUUUGAACCUCAUGUGACUCCACUACUUUUUACUUGUUCUGUACAAGGUCUUUUAGCUUUUCAAAAAGUUUUAGCUUUAUGGAUAAAAUACUGUUAAUUGUAAUCUAUAAAUAAUGAAAGGAAUUAAUAAAAUAUUAGGUAAAUUUUAUUUUCUAAAGUGUUAUGAGUUCUAAAACGGCUGUAUGUAUAUAAAUUUAUUUACACAUAUAUUUAUAAAUAUGAUUAUAUAAUAAUAUUUUAUGUGUACAUAUCAUAAUUGAUAACUAAAAUAAAUAUUUUUAUUUUAUUAAUGGUUUUUUCGUCUCAAUGUAGUUGGUAAUAAUAAUCUCUUUAGAUGUAACGAUUUUAUUUCCUAACUGAAUAAGGAAAAUUUUAGAUUUUUAUAAUAAAUGUUAAAUAUAUUUAGAAUUACAUUAAGUAUGAAAUAAUCCUCAAAAUUAGAUUUUGAAAAGUUAUUCUUUUCUUGCUUUUAAAAAUAUGUCAUAUGAUGAGAUGAUUUUACUAAAAGUGAUUUUUUUAAAAAAAAUUACUAAACAUCAAAAUUAACUCUUAACUUUUUAAAAUCAUUUCUAAUCUUCUCAUCCUAAGUUCUUUAUUGUUUUGUACAAAAUCCAAGGUUUUGACUUUUAUAAAAUGCCCACUCAAAAAUAAAUUAUUUUCUAAUUAAGAUUUGUUGUUAAUGUAUAACUCGAAGUAAUAUUAGAUAUUUGUAAUUUUAUUUCAAAAAUUUUAUUCAAAUGAUAUGGCAAGCAAUGAACAAUAGUUGAUAGCAAUUUGUUUUUUUUUUUAACAAUGUUCAAAUCAAUCAGUUGCAUUAUCUCACCAUUUUUAUGAUGUCAUGUUAUUUUAAAUGAUUUUUUUAAUUUUUAUAUAAAGCAUACGACGUGUUAACAUCAUUUGCAUAACUUGACCUUUUUUUUUUCCUACAAAUAGUAAGUCAAAUUUACUCACCCUAUUUGUACCUAAAAUCUACCUAAAACUCAUGCAUCACUGUAAAGCAAAUCCAAAGAUUGCGGUACGUUUUUCUUGGUAAGAAAUCAAUAAUUAGGUCAAGUACCGCUACUAAGCGUGCUCAAUUAAUUCUAAAAUACGGUGAUCAAACUCAUACUUCACGCAAGAGGAUAAGGGCUAAACCUCAAUUAGGCAUUAUUCAUCCAAAAUUCAUUGACUGGGCAUUCUUUGCAAGUGGUAGCAUGGGACAGCUAAGAUAAUUAGCAAAUGAUAUGGACCAUACGCACCCGUAUGUUUGUGACAUGUGAAUCUUGGCAUUAAAGGAAAGGUAAUGUGUUAAAAUUUAAUAGAGCCCAACUCUUCAUUGAAUGAUUAUCAGAUCCAACGAGCAUCCUUUGAUGGGAUUAUUUUAAGUCAAUUAUUGGUGGAUUGGGGCCCACUUGACUCUACCAAAUCGGGCUCCACCAUAUCACCUAUUAACGACCACCUGUCCUUAUCAUAAAUAGCAAAUGUCACUUGUUUUAUUUUGUAUUUUACCAAAAGCAAAGUCACUACGAGCACUAAUGAAAGUGACCCCAAUUUUGGGGGUCAUGAACUUGGGAUUAUUAUGGACACAAGAGACAAGCGCAAUGUUUCUCAUUUCUCACUAGAUAAGAUUUAAGUUAUCAACCCAAUAUUAAUAAAUUCUGCUUGAAAAGUAAAGUUUGAAGCUUCAUUUUGCGAAUAUUCAAUGGUUAACAUUUAAGGGUGCGUUUGGGAUUGAGGUUGGGCAGCUGUAGCUUAAAAGCUACAGUACUAAAGUGUUUGGUAAACACUAGCUACUGUAGCUUUUAAGCUAUGUUGAUAUAAUUUUUCACUUGUAUAAUAUAAAAUUUAUUAUAUCUUUAAUAAUUUUGAUAAAAUUAUUAUUUAAAAUUUAUAUUUACUAUAUAUUAUUAACUUUUAUUUCAUAAUUACAGCUUUUUUUUCACAGCAGCUGUAGCUUAAAAGCUACAGCACCUCAAUCCCAAACACACCCUAAGUAAUUAACCUGAUAUUAAUCCAAUUAAACUUUUUAUGUAAUCCAAGUCAAACAUAUAUUGAUAAACCUAAAUUAAUCUAAUUGGACAUAUUAUUUCAACUUGAAAAGGUGAAUCUAUCAUUUUUCAAUUAAUUUUGAAUCAAGCUAUGUAAAAUAUAAGCUUAUUAAGGACAUAUUUGAAAAAUUCAAAUUGAAUUAUUUGACAAUUACAUUUCAACUAAGUUGUACUGCUAAUUAACUUCCUCAACUUAAAAUGUAUUUUUCUCAAUUAAUUCGUAACAAAGAAUGUUAGAUGUUUUGUUCGAAUAAUAACAUUCAACAUCCUUAUUCUUUAUGAUUAUUGCAUAAAAAAUAUAUUUUAUCCAUUUACGUCACAUAUGUUCCUAAAUUGUAUAAGAAAAUCACUAAAUUUACUCUUGUAAGUUACUAUAUCAAUGAACAUGAAAUUAACUAAUCAUUAAAGUCUCGGAAUGACAUCAUGAGGGGGAUUCAGUUACAUUUAUUGAUAGGAUUAUAUAUAUACCUUCUCAAAUAUUAGUAAGAGCAAUUAAACAGAUGCAGCAAUUAAAAAUAUGGAAUUACUUAUCUCGUCAAUAACUAACGAUAUUUUUUAUCUAUGCUCGAUAGGCGUCUGAGCUAUAUUAUAAAUUGUAAUAUUUGUAGAUUGUAACAAUUAUUAAAAAAAAAAAAAAAAGCUCCCUAAGACUAAAUGACAAAAGGACUGUUUUGAAAUAGAUAGAUAAAAUAUGCCCUUAUUUGAGAAAAGGUAAAACACUAGGGAUCUAAAUGUUAUUAUAAUCCCAUGCACAAAAAUACCAGAAAAAACUAAUAACAACUAACCGAAAAUCCCAGGCGUCAUAUUCCUUUUUACCGCGUUUUAAAAUGCAACAAUGAUAUCACUACUACAAAAAUGACAUUUACUGACACUUUGUUUCUGACACUUAGUAAAAAGUGUCAGAAAUGGUGUACAUUUGGACCAUUUUCCUCCUUUAACAAGUAUGUAUCAUAAAUCAUUGAUACUAAGGUGUCAGUAGCUUAAAACUCAGUGAUUAUUGAUACUAAAGCAUCAGUGAUAAAAAAAUAAUAGUAUUAAUUUUGUUUUAAUUUGAACUCGAACUCAAGAUCUCUAAACUUAAAAUUUGUAAGUUUAGAGUGCAAACCAUUGAUGCAAGUGUUUUUAAAUUUUCAAUUUGAUUAAUUUUUUUAUUUAAUUAAAUUUUAUACAAUUACUUUGUGGACAAUAAUAAUAAUAAUAAUAGUUUUGAGAAUAAUAUUUUUUAUUUUGCCACAUGUCAGCUUGUAAUUCGUUGUUAAUAAUAAUAAUUUUACUUGACCACGUGUCGACUUAUAGUUUGUUGUUUUAUUAAAUUACAAUGCGAACAACUACACUAUAUAAUUUUUCAAAGUAUAAAAUGAAAAUAAGAAACCCUAAAUCUAACCUAAUCAAACACACCACUUCUUAAGUUGCUGCCGCCGCUCCCCUGCUCCUUGACUUUCACUGCUGCCGGCCGCUGCUCCUCGACUUUCACUGCUGUCGGCUGUCGUUCCUUGACGUCACUGCCGCCUUUGCUCUGCUGUUGCCAAGCUUCAGCCACCGACGACUAGCUAGCCACCUUUCAGUACGUCGCUGCUACCACUUUUAUGCCGUCACAUCAACUUCAGCUCAGCCAGCCACCGUUCCUUUACCGCCGAGAUCAAGAACCAUUUCUUUCUCUUCUCUCUUUUGGUACAGGUAUGAAAAUAUUGCAGAGGAGUUAAUCUGUUAAUUACCUUUCUGUACGUCGCUGCUGUCAUUCGUGUACGUCAUUGCUGCUACUCAUCUUGGUCACUGCUGCCGCUCCUCUGCCGCCACGACAAGCUUCAGCCUUUUUGACAAAACAUUUCACUUGGAAUUAUAAGCAAACCCUUUUGAGACCAUAAAAAACUAAGCCAAUUUCUUUGGUUUCAAGGCCUUGUUUUUUCACUUUGAAAUCGGAUCAUACAAUGACAAGCCAAUUGAAAACUUCUGUUCAAGAUUUCAUUGUUAAAUUCAGCUUUAUUUUUAUUAUUUGUGUUCCUUUCAUUUUCUUUCCCUUUUUUUGAUUUUUAAUUCAAUUUGGGAUUUGACAGAUAUAUUUUUUAAUUUUUAUAAAAAUUUAUCUUAUUUGCAGGAUGCUAAGGGACAGGAUGUUGAUCUUAGCAUCUACAAGGGAAAGGUUCUUUUGAUUGUCAAUCUUGCAUCACAAUGGUGUGCCUCAGCUCCUUUCAUUUUUAAUUUUUUUUCCAUAAUGAUUUAUUGAUUAUUGUUGAUGCUUCCAUUUAAUUAAUGCUAAUACGUGUUAUCUAUCUAUCGGGAGUCUAAAUUUUAUAGAAUUAUAUCAUACUCGGAAGUAUGCAUGCUCCCAAUACAAAUAAGUGUUUAUAAGAGAGGAUUUCACCCAAAAUCUUUAAUUCUUGCAAAAUGCUAGUGGCUCCGUUUGCACAAGUUUAGUUUUCAUCCAUGUUCGUUCCUUUACCAUAGCGGUUCCUUUACCACUGAGGUCAGACACCAUUUCUUUCUCUUCUCUGUUUUGGCACAGGUAUGAAAAUACUACAGAGAAGUUUCUCUAUUAAUUACCUUUUAUGAAAAUAAUAUAUAUAUAUUAUUCACAUGUUUAAUUGAGAACAUCUAAUAAUAUAGUAAUAAUAUAGUGGGCAAACUAUAGGAAGGUUGUUAGUAGACAAUUCUAAUUUUAGCUUUACUUUGCAAAUGAAAGAUUAGAAAUAUUCCGUCGAACCCAUUUUACUAUAUUGGAGGUUUGGGCUAAUCUUGUAUAGAUUUUUGCUCAGAAGAAGGAUGGUUCUCCAAGGGCGGUGGGUUGGUUUUUCUAUAGACUAUUCCCCUAUUUUCCCAUUUUGCUUUUCUUUGAGGAAACCUGGUCCAUUUUUUUUGUGUUUUCUUUCUUCAAUCAAAUAUGUAUUUCUCAAUCUCCUCUCAAAAAAUACCUAUCUCAUUUUAUUAUAUGUUUAUGAAUUACUAAUUGUAUUUUGUUAGUAUUCCAUGUUCGAAGAAGAAUAUUAGAUUGAAGAAAGAAGAAUAUUAGAUUGAAGAAAGAAGAAGUUGUUCCUUUGCUAAUCGUUUGAAACCCAGGUUUGCACUGAAUCUGAUUUUUAUCUUUAACUUUUUUACUUGACCCAUACUUGAAUCAAAUUUUUGCUCCACUUUCCUUUCUUUCGUCAAUUUAAUUAUCAAUCCACUUCAAACCUAAAAAGAUUUAGUAAUUGGGAAACCCUUUUUUUUUUAAAGAAUUGCAAAGUACUGUAAUUGGAAACUGGGUUCAUGUCUUAAAAAGUAACCUGAUUUGUAAUGUUUGGCUUAUAGUGGCCUUCUAUUUCUGUUUUUCAUCUCGGCUUGGUUAAUUUCUUUACUAGUCGUUUAAAUUUUGUUAAUUUUUAUUUUUCCUCUUUAAGCUCAUUAAAUAUCUUUUUUUUUUCAAUUUAUGGCUUUCGGUCCAACUGAUCAUCGUUGAAUGUGGGCACUAUAAAUGUUAUAGUGCUUGUUAACUUAAUGUAUUUGAUCAUAUAUUAUAGUAUUGUUUACUUUAAAUUUAGACAAUGAAAUAGAUUACAAAAAAAAUAACUUAUGCUUGUCAAGUUGUAGACACCAUCGUUCAUGUCAUCAUUACUGAAUAUUGAUGUACUUAUUAAGUGUUCUCUUUAAUACUUGAUAGAAUACUUUUGGUGAAGCAAUUUUGGUAUCAUGAUUGCAGGCUGUAAUUAACUUGGGAACGUGUAGAUUCUACAAUUUCUUUUUCUGAUUCCUUAACUUGCUUCUUUUAAUCCUACUCUUCUAUGUUGAAGUAAUUUAUGAAUAUUUUUGCUUCAAAAUAACUAAGAUAUAUUUUUCACAGUAUACUAAUUGAUUUUAUGCAUUUGUAGGUGGGAAAAAAAUGAAGCCGUGGAUGGAUAUUGAGUGACCUUGUGCUUUUUUUUUUUUUUUUUUGGGUUGGAAACUUAAUUGAGUAGUAGUUAGCACUUGUUGUUUAGAGAUUGUUGAAAAUUUAAUUUGAUACUUAUGUUAAGUCUUUUACAUAUAGUGAUGUAGUUGAAUUGUGUGAAUUUAUGUGAUGUAUUUGAGAUGUUUAUUAUAUGAAUUGUGUUGCAAGAUAUUUAAUAAUAAAUAUAUUUCGUGUUUUCUUUUGGUUGUACAACAAACACGAAAAAUAUAAUUAAAAUAAAAAUAUACUAUUAACCAAAAGCAGUAUAACAUUACUAAAUACUGACACUACAUAUUUAAAAUAACAAUAAGAAUUUUUUAUAUUAUCGAGUCAGUUUCUGAUACUAUAGUCACAUAAAUUACUGACAUGUAAAUAGUAUCAUUAAAUACCAACAUCAUCGUGUCAUUAUUUUAGUGAUACUAUAGUGAAACAAAUUACUGACACAAAAAUUACUGACACCAAAAAUUAGUGUCAGUGUGUUCUGGCUUGAGCAACACUGACACAAUUAACAAGUGUCAAUAAAAGUAAUUACUGACGCUAAAUUAGUGUCAGUAAAACUCAUUUUUCUAGUAGUGUAUUCUCACAAAAGUUGGUACAAAGGUUUGUACAACCAGGGCCUCUUUGUAAAUUAUUUCAAAGUUUUGUGUUAUUUUUUAAAUUUAUGAAUUUUGUUAAUUUUGAUUGAUUGGAGCAUUUCUCCUUCCAUCUCUUCUACAUCUAUCUUUAAAUUUCUUUAAAAUUUUGACUAUAUCUUUAUAGAGUUCUAAAUGAUUAUCUUUUUCAUAAAAAUCUAUACUUAAAUUAAUCCCUGAAUUUAUAAUCAUUUGUCUUCUUUGAGUCAUAGACCAAAUUUUUUCUUCUAACAUAUCUAUAUAUACUCCUAAGCUAUCUUUGCAGCUUAGAUACAUUCUAUCAAAGCUUUCGCAUAUAAAUUGUAAUUUGAGAUCUGCAUCUUGAAUCAACAUGUCUAUAUUAUCCAUUGUUUUACGCUCGAUUUUGAGUUCUAUUAUUAGUCUUGCACAUGUCUUGGAUUAUUUCGAGGGUAGUUAAAAUUGAUUCUAUUAAUGCUAUCCUGUUUUCUUCUUCAAAAGAAUCAAAUAUUUCUGAAUCAUUAAUUUCUUUUAUUUCUUCAUACAAGCGUUUGUUUGUCGCUAAUCUUGUUUUAAUCAAGGAAACUGUAUAAGCAGCUUGAUAUUCUUGACAAAAGUCUAAAUGAUCUAUUGCAUCUAGAAAUUUAUUAAUAGAUCUUUCCAUUUUUAAGAAAUUGAGUUACUCUUAUCACUUCCAAUCUUUUAACAUCUCAGAAAACAAACAAGGCCCAACAUGCUUCCGUUUGUAGCUAAAAUAAAAGAAGAGUUCAUAUCACUAACCAGUGUAAUAUCUCUCGGAAUUCUGAGAUAGACUCACUAAUUGCCUCUAACCAUAGAGAGGUCCAUGGUUAGCACCACUAUAGCUCCACAUAUCAUACAAAAUCACUUCAACGACUGUUCCAUAUGGCCCAAAGCAACACACAGCAGACUGGCCUAAUAGGAUAUGUUUAAGUGAUUUUCUUGCAGUUGUCUCUGGAAGAGUGCUUAGUAAUAGAAAAUCUUCUUCGUUUAGUACAAGUAUUGGCAUGUAAGGUUCUUGGUUAAUUUUUAAAAGAUGUAUAAGAUAUCUAGAAGAUGAUAAUUUCACUCAAAAGAGUUUUAUUUAUUCCAUCAUUGAAAUUGUUUACAGAGGAAGGUUACAGAGAAUACAGAGGUAAUUGAAGGUUAGACAUCUGAUAUAUUUCCUUUCUUACAUGCUUUCAUUUAUAUAUCUCUCUAGAGAUAAGAUUAUUUCUUUUACAUAACACAUGUUCGAUCCUUGUGGUGGAAUCUCAAUUUCCUUUUGAUAAGGUGACCCCUUCUUUAUCAUUGAAGCUAGUAGUUGUCUUCUUUUCAUGUUGGCAGACAUGAAAUAUCUGGUUCUGGUGAGCUUUUUCUUUUUUGGAAUCUGUCUUUUUGAAUUAUUGAUACUUUUUGGAUAGCACCUUUUAUCUUUUUCAGUGGUCCUCGUCACGUGCCAAUUAUCAGAUCUUCAUCUAUAGACAUGUCUUCCCCACUAGAAUCUCUUUUUUUGAUCCUUCGUAGUAGUAGCCACAUGAUGAUUGAUGCUUUAGCACCUUAUAUAUCUCGUGGUGUGUUAGCAAGGUGGAUUCCACGAGAUUUUCGAAUAUGCCCUUUUUCUUUUCUAAUAUGUUAUCCUCAUCUUUAUCAAAUUCACAUUUACAAUAUAAUUCUUUGAAGCUACAUGUAUAUUCUUCUAAAUAACAUAUAUUACAUAUUUCAAGCCUUGUUAGCUUCAUUAAAUUUUCUAUCUGUUUUCUUUUUAUUUCUUGUUGAAAAUCAAUUUCCUAAUCUUCUCCCAAGAAUUUUUUUCUUAUUUCAUUUUUGAAUCUAUUUAAAACCUGAUCAACACUUUCGUUUCGAUUAUUAUUUUCUCCAUACAAUAUUCUAUUUUUAUGGUUAUCAUUUAAUCCCAUAAACCAAUGAGAAACAAUUCCUAUAAACGAAAUUUUAAGGAAUUCUAUACUAUUAUCCCUAUCAAUUUUGUGAAAUGCAAAAGCCAUUUUCAUAGAUUUAACCCAAGCGGUAAUCGUUUUAUCUCUAUCUUUGAUACAGUCUAAAUCUAACCAUACACCAUCAUGGUUGAUUGGUCUUUCUCUAUAUUCUCCUGGAGUUUUAUAAUCUUUUUUAGGCUUGUUAAUCCUAAAAUAUUGACCUUGUAAUCUUUCCUGAGUUGGUAUUUCUUCCCUAACAUAGGAAGCUCCAUUACUAGUUUCUCCUUGUUAAAAACCAUUUGGCUUUGAUUCAUUCAUUUUUAGAUGUUCUAUUCUAUUUUCAAUAUCCUGCAAAUUAAUGACUAUAUCACCUUCUUCUUCGGAUUCAGAUUCUUUAUUAGAUAUCUCUUGAUUAGGUAAUUCUAUGUUUUCACUUAGCAUUCUUAGACUUAUUAAUUUUUUGUCUUUGUUUAUUUUGUUAAAUAUCGGUUUAGAUAUUGUUAUCAUUUCUUUAUCUUUAAGUUCAUUAUAGUAAAUUAUGGUAUCUUGUAAAAUUUUGUUUUGUUUAUUGAUCUUCUGUACUUCAAUCCUUUUGUAAUUUUCCAUUUAUGCUUAUAGCGAAUUUAUUACCAAGUUGUUCAACAAUUUUUUCAAAUUUUUGUAGUUGGAUUUCAAUCUUGUUUGAAUUUAUUUUCAAUUGAACUUUUGUUCAUAAUAUUAAAGAUUUCUUGUUUUAAUCUAUCUUGAUCUUCAAUAUUAAAGUCUUUUAUUAAUAGCUUAACAAAAUCAAAUUCUUCACUCAUUCGCUCUCCUAUCAUUUUGACUUGUCUUAUAUUUUCAGCAUCAAAGCUUUUAAUCUCAAGUAUCUCAUUUAUACUUUCUAUAUCAUCUAUGGUUAAAUUAGGGUUUCCUAAUUUAUUUAAUAAAUAUAAUGAAAUCCAAUUUAAUUGAUUAUUUCCCCACAUAUCGGAAUCAUUUACUAAAUCAAAUGGUUGAAAUCUUCCAUAAGUAAAUCCUCUAUGCCUAUAGCUAGAAGGUGGUAAUAUGUUGGUUUCAAUAUUUUGAGAAAUUAACAAUGGUUUUGGUAAUUUAUUCAUAGUACCAUCUGCAUAAUAUCUCAUUAUAUUCUAAUAAGUAUUUAUGACAUAUAAUAUUUCUUAUAUCCUUAGGGAUAUUGUUUUAUGUUAAUCCUUUAUGUAUAUAGCAAAGUUUAUACAUAAUUAAAUCUUUAUAUCCUAUUAGCAUGUUGCUAGAAGGAUAAUAUUUACUUCUGAUUCUUUUAUUUUUCCAAUUGUAUUCACCUCGUUGUUUAACAUUUAAAAAUCCGUUGUAAUCUAUUAUAAGAUCAUCUACAUAAUCUUCAAUAGAGUUAAUAUUCCAUUGUUUCCAUGAAAAAUUAUUUCUAUAUACUUCUCUCCUGAUCCUAAAGAGAAGAAUAGGAUCAAUAUUUAAAUUUCUAAUUUUUAUUAUGAUGAGUUCUCCAAUUUUAAAUUCAUGAACUCUAACUAAAUAAAACUGUAUUAAUUGUUUAUCAUCCAAUAUAUUAACUUCUGAAUAAUAAUAUUGUUUAUGUUUUGUUAUAUUAUCUUUAAUUGUAUUUCUAUCUAUCAUUAAAUUAUAUCUUCCAUUAUUAAUGGAAUAAAUAACUGUUUCGUCUAUUUUUAUAUUUUAAACCAAAAACUUGGCUCUAAUACCGUUUUGCAGAAAUCAACUAAACCCAAAAUCCAAAUGAAUUCAAAUAGGGAUGUAUAUGAUUAAUUGUUAAGAUUUUAUCUAAAUUUUGUAAUUAUAAUUUUUCAAAACUCACAGUUUUGUGCAAUCAUUUGUGUAAUCCGUUGUGAGAAUGUCUUUUUCCUUGCAUCUAAGGCAACAAAGUGGAAAACGCGUACCAACGACUCACAUAACAAUAUAACAUCUGUCCCGGAUGGAGCCGGUUGUUCAUGUCAGCAACCUACUUUGAAACGACACGUGGACCGCAAUUUGUUCUUGUUCUCAACGUUGCUAUGAAAGAAAGCAUUUUUUUCCCCUUUUCUUCUUCAUUUUUUAAAGAAAUAUUUUACUAUAUAUUUAAAAAAAAAAAUCGUUGCAAUCUGAAGAUAUUAAAUUGUGGAUCUUGUAUUGUGUGAUAAGUCCGGCAUGCAAUUUUGGGCCAGCAUACCGCGCGCAUGGGAGCAUUCACAAAGAAUCUCUCGUCACUAUCGAAAACUUUUAAUAGUCAAUACAAAUGCUUCCGUUUCAUCCCAUAAACAGAUAAAAUUCACAUCUGUACACAUCUACUUUUCUUUGCUAGAUAGAGUUCCUCUGCAUUUCCCAAUUGCCUAAAGAGAAGGGGAAAAGAAAAAGAGGGCCAAAAAAUGCCUGAAAUGGUAAGGAACAAGCAAGUGAUAUUGAAGGACUAUGUGUCUGGUUUCCCAAAAGAAACAGACAUGUACAUGACCGAAAGUUCCAUAGAAUUGAAGGUGCCAAAAGGUUCAAAUGGGGUUCUUUUAAAGAACUUGUUUGGGAGAAAUACGUCGACGAGACCAGGCAUGGUGAGCAUAUAUCUGAUGGCAGAGUUCUGCGAACCGGUGUGUUCCGUAAAAGCCUGGUGCACGGGGGAACAGGAGCAGAAGUAUCCUGCUCGUCCACGAGCACGUCAUCCGCGAGGCCAAUUUCCUGUAAGAGGCAUAAGGUCAUUCCGGCUAGAGGUCGAGAGGCGAGGAGACCCGGUCGACGGCAGUUGGCAAGACAUGCUCCCCAGCCCGAGAAUCUAGGCACGACAGCCACGCUUUCCCCAGAACCGUGGCGUAACACGCAAGAUCUCACAGAACCACGACAGCCACGCUUUCCCCAGAACCGUGGCGUAACACGCAAGAUCUCACAGAACCACGACAGCCACGCUUUCCCCAGAACCGUGGCGUAACACGCAAGAUCUCACAGAACCACGACAGCCACGCUUUCCCCAGAACCGUGGCGUAACACGCAAGAUCUCACAGAACCACGACAACCACGCUUUCCCCAGAACCGUGGCGUAACACGCAAGAUCUCACAGAACCACGACAGCCACGCUUUCCCCAGAACCGUGGCGUAACACGCAAGAUCCCACGUUUGCCCAUAACGCAGCAGUCAGAGUCCCAUACCGUCUCGGAAAAAGCGGAAAACUGGGAUUCAGGGGAAGCCUAUAAAAAGGUAGCCAACGAAGGUAAAAGGGUUGGCAUUUUUGAGAUUAUAAAAGAAAUGAAAAAAGAAGAGAAAACGACGAGAAAGCCAUAAGAUCUGUGGCAAGUGUCCCCCGAACCUUCAUAUCUGACUUGAGCGUCGGAGGGUUUGCGCCGGGAAAACAACCGGCGUACUCUGACUUGUCUGUGUGCGCAGGAACCUCUGGAGAAGAAGCCUCACGUGGAGACCUCCUGGUCGUGAAGAAGUUGAUCGGACAGAGAUCCUGGUCGUAGAACGAGGAGAACCAGAAUCCCGCAUCAACAUUUUGGCGCCGUCUGUGGGGAGUGGAGCAAAAAGCUUCUGUUGAUAGCAAGAAGAGGGGUGAAGCAAGUGAAAAGCAAUGGAGACAGGAGGAAGUAGUGCACAAGGGGGUGAUAGGAUUAACGAUUCCGUGACGCUGAGGGAGAUAGUCAGUGAAGCACGGGAAAAAGUCAUGUUCGACCGGAUGGAACGGAUAGAAAAGCAGAUGGAGACCUUGACAACCAUCCUGCAUGAGCUGCGGAGCGAGCGAAGUAUAAUCCAAGAGGGAAGGGUGAGAGGCGGUGGAGUGGCACCAGGUCCCGAUAGUGCGGGGAGAAGUCAAACCACCGGGAGAUUUGGUGGUGAGAGAGGUAACGUACCUCUGCGGGGAGAAUUUCAUAGAGAAAGAGAGCAGUCCCCGGCAAGACAGACUGGCGACGAGGACGACGGGGUGGUGAAUGCAGAGGAAACAGAGUUGAGGCAACACUUGCAUGAUGUAGAGCAAGAGCGGGAUUAAGUCGCAGCACGUGACCCUGGUCGUGCAGUGCAGCUGGAGGAGGAAGUGCGCAGACUAGCGCAGAUAAUCGACGACAUGCAAGGAAGGAACAGAGCCCCUGGUUGGAGGAUAAUGCUGGAUGGAGAAUCACCGCUCGCAGCAGAGAUCAUGAGGGCAGUUAUUCCGAGAGAUUUCCGCCUCCCAGACCUCAGAUACUCGGGAAGAACUGAUCCGUUGGUGCACAUAGAGCGCUUCAACGACAUAACUAGGGUACAAGGAUUAUCUCAAUCCCAAAGGUGCAGAGUGUUCCCACUAUCCCUUGAGGGACGUGCACGAGAAUGGUACAGGAAACUUCCUCGGGGCAGCAUUAAAACCUUCGAGCAGAUGUGCUAGGAAUUCGCGGAGCAGUUUAGUGGGGCAAUGGCGCCGGAAGAUGACAUGAUGGAGCUGAAAAGCAUGAAACAGGGGGAGCAAGAAACCCUUCGGGAAUUCAUCAAGAGGUUUCAUCGGGCUGUCCUCGACUUGGGAGCCUUCAACCACCCUCAGGCGUUAAGGGGAUUGAAAGAAGGGGUGAAGAUAGGAAGGCUGUGGUACAAUUUGAGAAGCCCAGCUAUUCAAACGUAUGCAGCCGCAUACGAACAGGCUAAGAGAGACAUCGAGAUUGAAGAGGAGAAGGCUGCACGGAUUAAGACAGACCAGUUAGAAGGGCUGGGGAGGAAAGAGAAGAAAGCAUUACCGGGGAAUGGGCCGAUCAGGAGGAGGGACCACCAGGCCUCCGGUAGUGGAGCAGGAGGUCGGGUAGCCGCUUACCAGCCUCAUCAAAGGCCACCACAGUAUCAGCGCAGCAGGGCGCAACCUCCUCGUUCCCCAGCUAGGGAGCCUUGGAAAAGGCAUGAGUCGGCAUCUGGUGGUCUCCAACAACACCCCCACGGUAUCAGAGCGAGCAGACCAGAAGUACUUCCACCGCCCCCAACUCAGAGCGGGGCAAACAGGGAAAGAGCAGUGCACCUGAUCGACCAGAACCCGGACUAUGGGCGGUACACUUCCUUGAAGAUGUCCCUGGAUGAGGUGUACGAGGCCAUAAAGGAUCGAGGGCUGCUACACCUCCCUACACCAAUAACAAAGCUACCUAACAGGAGGGAUAGAGGACGUUAUUGUAAGUUCCAUGGCACCCAUGGCCAUACCACAGCAGAGUGUAGAGAUCUCAAGACCCAGGUCGAAGAUUUGGUGAGAAAUCGGUACCUGGACGAGUUUAUGGAUGGGACUUUCCCGAUGGGGGCCACAACAGGUGAAGGGGAGCAGAGUGGCGGAAACGUGAGGCGCGAGCAGCCCGCAGUAAGGGUGAUAGCUGGGGGCCCGACAUUGGCCGGAGAUUCCAACAGAUCGAGAAAAAAUUAUGCUAGGUACGCCAUGACCAGUAAAGAGGUACUCCUCAACACCCCAGCAGCCAAACGAGCAAGGGUCAGGCAAGUGCCAAUCAUGUGGACGGAUGAGGAUGAGGAAGGGAUUCUAUACCCCCAUGAGGAUGCUUUAGUCAUCAAGGCUACUGUCGCUAGCAAGAAGUUUGACCGGAUACUGAUUGAUACAGGGAGCUCAGUUGAUGUGUUAUUUAAGUCAACCCUGGAAGAGAUGGGAAUAGCCGACCGGAAGUUGGAAUAUACCAAUACCUCCUUGAAGGGGUUCGGAGGAGGGAAGCUGGUCCCUCUGGGCGUGGUCGAGCUGCCUAUCACAAUUGGGAGCUCCCCGACAGAAAGAACAAUGAUACUGGACUUUGUCGUAGUGGAUGAGGAAGGUCCUUACCAGAUGAUCCUAGGUCGGCCAUUUUUAAGGAUGAGCAAAGCGGUGUUGUCCAAUCAUUAUCUGGCUCUGAAGUACCGGGUGAACGGGGUAGUAGGAGUGGUACGAGGAGACCAGAGGAUCGCAAGAAGCUGCUACUCCUCGGCAGCAAGGGAAGCAAUGCAGAUAACAUCCCUCGAUACCCGAGUGGAAAACAAGAAGGGCAGACAAGAACCUGUAGAGGAUCUGGAAACAGUAAGCCUGGGACCAGAGAACCCGGGAAAGAUGAUCAGAAUCGGGUCGAGACUUAAGGGAGAGCAAAAGCAGGAGUUGGUGAAAUGCUUACAGGCUCAUGCUGAUGUGUUUGCUUGGACACAUGAAGACAUGCCAGGGAUUGACCCUGAGGUAGCAUGUCAUAAGCUGGCAAUAAAGAAAGGUGCUCGGGCAGUAAGGCAGAAGAGGAGGUGUUUCAACCAGGAGAGGUAUGAGGCUAUAAAUGGCGAGGUGGAGAAGCUCUUGAGAGCAGGGUUCAUUCGGGAAGUCAGUUACCCUGAGUGGAUAUCGAAUGUGGUGUUGGUAAAGAAGGCAAACGGCAAGUGGAGGAUGUGUGUGGAUUUCACAGACCUCAAUAAGGCGUGCCCAAAAGACAGCUUCCCUUUACCAAAGAUCGAUCAGCUAGUAGAUUCAACGGCUGGACAUGGUCUGCUUAGCUUCAUGGACGCGUUCUCGGGAUACAACCAGAUCCCCAUGUACGAGCAGGAUGAGGAGAGCACGGCUUUCAUCACUAACCAAGGUUUGUUCUGUUACAGGGUAAUGCCAUUCGGUCUCAAAAAUGCCGGGGCCACCUAUCAAAGGCUGGUGAACAAAGUCUUUAAGCCGUUGAUUGGGAAAACCAUGGAGGUGUACGUGGAUGACAUGAUCACCAAGUCCAAAAUCCCGGAGGAACAUGUCAGACACCUCGAGGAGACAUUCGAGCUUUUGAGGAAGUAUAAGAUGAAGCUCAACCCGGAGAAGUGUGCUUUUGGGGUCGAGUCGGGGAAAUUCCUUGGAUUCAUGGUGAGCCAUAGGGGGAUUGAAGCAAAUCCCGAGAAAAUCCAGGCGAUUGUGCAAAUGACGUCUCCCCGUAACCUGAAGGAGAUGCAGAGCCUCACGGGGAGGUUGGCGGCGUUGAGCAGAUUCAUAGCCAAGGCUACAGAUAAGUGUCAGCCGUUCUUUCAAGUGAUGAGGAGGGGAAAGAAAACAGAAUGGACCUCAGAAUGCGAGGAAGCCUUCCGGAACUUGAAGCAAUACUUGCAGCAAGCUCCGCUGCUGUCCACACCGAGGGAUGGGGACAAGUUAUAUCUGUAUUUAGCGGUAUCGGCUCGGGCCGUCAGUUCUGUUCUGGUGAGAGAGGAAGAAGGAGUUCAGUAUCCGAUAUAUUACACCAGCAAGGCCCUGCUCGACGCUGAGACCAGAUACCCACCGUUGGAGAAAUGGGCACUUGCCCUUGUGGUUGCUGCUCGGAAGUUGAGGCCAUAUUUUCAAGCAUUCCCGGUCUUGGUAAUAACAAACCAGCCAUUGCGUCAAACUCUGCACAAGCCAGAUGCCUCUGGUCGGCUCGUCAAGUGGGCUGUAGAGCUGAGCGAGUUCGACAUAGACUAUAAGCCCCGCGCAGCGAUAAAAGCCCAGGCAAUGGCCGAUUUCGUAGCUGAAUUCACAGAGCCCGAAGUAUGCUUAGAUCAACAAGAGGCAGAUAUAGGCAAUGACGAAACUCAAGUAUGGCAGAUGUCUGUGGAUGGGUCAUCAGGGGAGCGGGGUUCAGGAGUAGGGAUUGUCUUGGAAGGCCCAGAGGGGGAGGAGAUCUCUUAUGCUGUAAAAUUGGAAUUUGCAGCCACGAAUAACCAGGCAGAGUAUGAAGCCUUGAUAGCAGGUCUGGAAUUGGCUAAGGCCGUGAAAGCAAACAAAGUUAAGAUCAGAACUGAUUCCCAGCUGGUAGCGAAUCAUGUCAGUGAAAGAUUCCAACCAAGAGAGGAGAAGAUGGGGCAGUACCUGAAGAUAGUCAAGCAGAUGAUGGGGAAGUUCGAAGCAGUGGAGGUGAUACAGAUCCCCAGGGAGCAGAAUAGUCGAGCAGACAUUUUGGCUAGGAUGGCAGCAGUAGCCGACCCAAAAAUGCCAAAGUCGGUCCCUCUGGAGGUGAAGUCCGGCCCAAGUAUCGAUCAGAAUUUGGGGGUGAUGCGGAUAGAACAAAAAUGCUCGUGGAGGGACCCGAUAGUUUCAUACCUUAGAGACGGGGUAUUACCACCAGAUAAGAUGCGAGCUCGCAAGCUUAGAGCCCAGGCCUCGAGAUACACGAUGAUUGAUGGGGUACUGUAUCGGCGAGGAUAUACACUACCGUUCCUUCGGUGUUUGGAUGAGGACGACGCGGAUUACGUACUAAGAGAAGUACACGAAGGAAUUUGCGGAAAUCAUUCUGGCGGGAGGUCCCUGGCCCAUAAGGUUCUAAGGCAGGGAUAUUUCUGGCCGACAAUGCACCAGGAUGCGCAAGAGAAGACCAGGAGUUGUGUAAGUUGCCAGAGUUUUGCAAAUUUCUCUAACCAACCACCAGAGAAGCUUACCUCCAUGACCUCCCCCUGGCCAUUUGCUCAAUGGGGAAUUGAUCUGAUCGGCCCAUUGCCAAAGGCACGGGGAGCAGCAACACAUGCAAUAGUUGCUAUAGAUUACUUCACGAAGUGGAUAGAGGUAGAAGCCCUUAGCAGGAUCACAGAGAAGAAAACAACAGACUUCGUGUGGAGAAACCUGGUCUGUCGAUACGGGAUCCCUUAUGCCUUGGUAACGGAUAAUGGCAGGCAGUUCGAUAACCACAGCUUCAGGGAUUUCUGCCAGAACCUCGGGAUAGAGCUGAAGUAUUGCUCGCCUGCUCACCCUCAAUUGAAUGGACAAGUAGAAGCAGCCAACAAGACCAUCAAGAGGCUUUUAAAAACCAGGCUUGGAGCAAAAAAGGGUGCGUGGGUUGACGAGCUGUCAGGUGUGCUAUGGGCAUACAGAACAACCCACAAAACCGCAACUGGGGAGACACCGUUCGCUUUGGCUUUCGGACAUGAAGCGGUCGUGCCGGCUGAGAUAGGAACGACCACACACCGGACAAAUCAUUUCAAUGAGCAGGAGAACGACGAGCAGAUAUGUUUGAAUCUUGAUCUGCUAACGGAAAGGUGGGAGCAAGCAGCCGAGCGAUCAGUCAUUUACCAACAGAGGGUUGCUCGGUAUUAUAACCAGAAGGUGAACAUACGGCAAUUCAGGGUCGGAGACUGGGUACUGAGAAGAGUGAAUCAGAGCACCAAAGAUUCGACUCAAGGAGUGCUGGGACCGAAUUGGGAAGGGCCAUAUAGAGUCAAGCAGAUAGCGGGACCCGGAGCUUACAGGCUGGUUCGCACGGACGGCCACGAGGUGAAACGCCCAUGGAACGCAGCACACCUCCGAAAAUACUUCCAGUAAGACUUGUUCACAUGUGAAAACUAUUUUUGCUCAUGUUCAUUACCGUUUAUCUUUCACGCUUAUUGUCCAAACAAUUUCAUGUAAGUCGAAUCCUGCCAUUAAUGGAACGUCGAGGAAUUUCUUUCGCUUGAAACCGAGAAAAUUUUCCAAGGCAUGCAAAGGCUCACCAAGUCUCAAAGCCUGUCUUAUGGCGAGACAGAAGCCAAGCAUGCCAGGAUCUGCUCGGCCACGAGAAGGCAAGCAGAAUCCCAAUCCUCGAAGAAUCCAAGGCAUGCAAAGGCUCACCAAGUCUCAAAGCCUGUCUUAUGGCGAGACAGAAGCCAAGCAUGCCAGGAUCUGCUCGGCCACGAGAAGGCAAGCAGAAUCCCAAUCCUCGAAGAAUCCAAGGCAUGCAAAGGCUCACCAAGUCUCAAAGCCUGUUUUAUGGCGAGACAGAAGCCAAGCAUGCCAGGAUCUGCUCGGCCACUAGAAGGCGAGCAGACUCCAAAGCAUUCGAAGAAAUGCCCAAGGCAUGCAAAGGCUCGACAAAGUCUCAAAGCCUGUUUUAUGGCGAGACAGAAGCCAAGCAUGCCAGGAUCUGCUCGGCCACUAGAAGGCGAGCAGACUCCAAAGCAUUCGAAGAAAUGCCCAAGGCAUGCAAAGGCUCGACAAAGUCUCAAAGCCUGUUUUAUGGCGAGACAGAAGCCAAGCAUGCCAGGAUCUGCUCGACUACUAGAAGGCGAGCAGACUCCAAAGCAUUCGAAGAAAUGCCCAAGGCAUGCAAAGGCUCGACAAAGUCUCAAAGCCUGUUUUAUGGCGAGACAGAAGCCAAGCAUGCCAGGAUCUGCUCGGCCACUAGAAGGCGAGCAGACUCCAAAGCAUUCGAAGAAAUGCCCAAGGCAUGCAAAGGCUCGACAAAGUCUCAAAGCCUGUUUUAUGGCGAGACAGAAGCCAAGCAUGCCAGGAUCUGCUCGGCCACUAGAAGGCGAGCAGACUCCAAAGCAUUCGAAGAAAUGCCCAAGGCAUGCAAAGGCUCGACAAAGUCUCAAAGCCUGUUUUAUGGCGAGACAGAAGCCAAGCAUGCCAGGAUCUGCUCGACUACUAGAAGACGAGCAGACUCCAAAGCAUUCGAAGAAAUGCCCAAGGCAUGCAAAGGCUCGACAAAGUCUCAAAGCCUGUUUUAUGGCGAGACAGAAGCCAAGCAUGCCAGGAUCUGCUCGACUACUAGAAGGCGAGCAGACUCCAAAGCAUUCGAAGAAAUGCCCAAGGCAUGCAAAGGCUCGACAAAGUCUCAAAGCCUGUUUUAUGGCGAGACAGAAGCCAAGCAUGCCAGGAUCUGCUCGACUACUAGAAGGCGAGCAGACUCCAAAGCAUUCGAAGUAAUGCCCAAGGCAUGCAAAGGCUCGACAAAGUCUCAAAGCCUGUUUUAUGGCGAGACAGAAGCCAAGCAUGCCAGGAUCUGCUCGACUACUAGAAGGCGAGCAGACUCCAAAGCAUUCGAAGUAAUGCCCAAGGCAUGCAAAGGCUCGACAAAGUCUCAAAGCCUGUUUUAUGGCGAGACAGAAGCCAAGCAUGCCAGGAUCUGCUCGACUACUAGAAGGCGAGCAGACUCCAAAGCAUUCGAAGUAAUGCCCAAGGCAUGCAAAGACUCACCAAGUCUCAAAGCCUGUUUUAUGGCGAGGCAGAAGCCAAACGUGCCAGGAUCUGCUCGACCACUAGAAGGCGAGCAGUCUCCAAAGCAUUCGAAGAAUCUCCAAAGGCAUGUGGCAAAACCAUGAGCCAAGCCGGAACCUGCUCGUCUAGACAGAGACAAGCAGAUUCUCAACCGAAAAUUAAUUCAUAAUUACAUCACAAGAAAGUAAUCAAAAACCAUUUUUAUUAAUUUGUUAAUAAUUAACAGAGGGGAUAAUCUUCAUGAACAUUGUUCAUUACAAUACAAGAAAUAUAUCAGGAAGAUGGUGGACCAGUAAGCCCGGCAGCAUCGGUUGGCUGGACCUCCUCAGGUGCAGGAGGGGUAUCACCAGUUGCGUCCGGGGGGUGCUCGCCUCGCCAACAUCAGCAGGGACUGCACGAGCAGGAGAGUCUUCCUCCUCAAUCACGAUCGGCUCUACCCCAUCGGCAUCUUCCUUGGCCGCCUCCUCAUCCAUAUGUUGAGCAACACCAGCUGCAAGGUCAUCCAUCUUCAGAUCAGGGUGUUGCUUCCCGAGGACGGCCAUGAUGCAACGAUAGGAAUGCCGAAGUCCCUGGUCGUACUGGUUGUCAGCCUCCCUCUCCAAGUUCUCGACCUGAGCUCGGUGGGAGUCGCGGAGAGAUUCGAGCUGAGCCUCAUACAUAGCCUUCUGCCUUUGCAGAUCCUCCUUGACCGUGGUAAGCUCCUCCUCGAGGGAAAUGGCUUUUGCUUGAGCAAGUGAUUCUUGCUCUAUUAACUUCAGAUUCUCGAGAUUCAGCUCCCCUGCUUUCUUCUCGGCAACGUCAGCUCUGGUCGUCGCCGAUUGAAUAUCCUCCUUCAUCUUCCGGUCGUAGCGGCCAACCUUAGCCUUGUAAUAGGUGGUCAUGCAGCUGAGGUGGAAAGCGCUAUGCUGCAUGGCCCCCACCAGCUCACCCAAGGUGCGGCCGUCAAAGUCCUCCAAGUCCUUCUUGCUCAUGAGUUUAGUUAACUCAUUGAGGUAGGGGACCAGGUGUUCUGCUCGGCUGUCAGGUAAGCGAGAUCGAGGCCCGACAGGAGGAAAAGAGGAAGCAGGAUCUGUAGCUGCUCCACUAGCUUCCCCGACUUUUACAGGAGCAGGAGGUAAAAUCUUCAAGGGUGGGACCUGCUGCAUGAUGUUGGCCCGCUUUGCAGCAGGGGCAUUCUUAUUCUGGUCCCUCUUCGUGGUGGGAGGUCGGGAACGUUUUCGGGUCAGAGCCCCAAUCACAGCGUCCUCCAUCCUAUGGCCAGGAAGUAUCAAGCGAGACUCGAGCAAGUUGUAUGUAGUUAGCAGUUCUCGGCUCGAGCAGGAAUUGGCUAGUACAGCCUCGACCCGUUUGAGCUGGUCAGGUUCAAGCGGGAAGUGGACACCCCAAGAAACUACAACACAAACAGACACUUGGUUAGAGACAAGCCAAUAAAGCAAGAACAAUUAUGGAUGCAAGACAUCUAGAGCGAGCAGGCAACCUGGGACCGUGAAACGGGGUGGGACGCGACAAUCCUUCCCGCCUAUUUGUGCAACUUGACCCCAAGGACCCCCAGCAAAAAAGAAUUUCCUCUUCCAAGCCCCACCACCACCGGUUGGAAGAUCGGUUAUGGAUUUCCGGCUCUUGGUGCUAGAUUGGAAGUAGUACCAGCCGGCAUCUUUGGGGCUGCUCUUUAGCUGGUACAAGUGCUUCACCUCGUCAACCGUGGGCUCGCUUUGGCAACAUCUGUCCCACAAUAUGAACAGACCAGAGAGCACUCUCCACCCAUUGGGAUUCAGCUGACCAGGAGCUAGAUUUAGCCCGUUAAGUAUCCGGGCAAAGUAGGGUUGCAAGGGACACCUCAGCCCGUACUUAAAGCUCUCUAGAAACAGGGUAACGUAUCCCCUAGGAGGCCGGCUGGGAGCAUCCUUCUUUCCUGGGACCUUGAGAGGUAUCUCACCAGGAAUGCUAUACCUAAGCUGGAGGUCAUUGAGCUCGUCAAACAAGGUCGUGCACGUCAUGUAAUCAAUGGCAUAAUCGCGCGACAAGGCUCUGCCUCCUACUGUACCCCGUUCCUCUAGUCGUGAUGUUCCAGAUGGAGACACCUCACCAGAGUCACCUUCCCCAUUCUCACUUAAGGUGUCCUCAGAGCCAGAAGGUCCCCCCUCACCAUUGCUUCCGCUCGUGGAGGUUGUUUGGGGGGACAUCCUCCUAGCACUAGUCCCGACACUAAACCUAAUGGGUUCUAAGGGGAUCCCGGGGUCAAAAGCCGGAUCAGUGAGCAGACUAGGCAGGAAACUUAGUUCGUCGUCAUCAAUCUCAACGACUUUCUCCUUACCUUUCGACAUUCCCUAAGCCCUAACCACAACACCACCAACUACUACCUAAACAGAAGAGAAGAGAAAUUAUCUACAACUAUCCGAGACCAAGGAGAUAGAAGAAAUACCUGAAGUAAUGGUUCAGUCGGUGAAAGUCAGAGAUGGAGGCCUUUUAUGCCGGAACUUCUUUGCCGGAGAAACAGAGACGGAGACGGAGUGAAUGAUGAAUAUGCCGUUCGAGAGGAUUUGGUUUUCCUAAUGAAGACGGACUCUUGGGUUGCCAGCAUUUAACGGCGCCGAAUCCCGAGGGUCUCAUAACCGUCGGUUUGAAAUUCAAAUGAAGGGGGGGAUUUCUGCCACGUCACCUCGUCCGCAAUUAAAUGCGACAUGACUCUUGGCAGCCUUUUCCAAUCCCACGCGGGCGAGUACUAACGAGUUUCUACUGCUGGUCCACUACAUUACCCAACACCAGAAACUGGGGGACCGGUGUUUGGGAGAAAUACGUCGAUGAGACCAGGCAUGGUGAGCAGAUAUCUGAUGGCAGAGUUCUGCGAACCGGUGUGUUCCGUAAAAGCCUGGUGCACGGGGGAACAUGAGCAGAAGUAUCCUGCUCGUCCACGAGCACGUCAUCCGCGAGGCAAAUUUCCUGUAAGAGGCAUAAGGUCAUUCCGGCUAGAGGUCGAGAGGCGAGGAGACCCGGUCGACGGCAGUUGGCAAGACAUGCUCCCCAGCCCGAGAAUCUAGGCACGACAGCCACGCUUUCCCCAGAACUGUGGCGUAACACGCAAGAUCUCACAGAACCACGACAGCCACGCUUUCCCCAGAACCGUGGCGUAACACGCAAGAUCUCACAGAACCACGACAGCCACGCUUUCCCCAGAACCGUGGCAUAACACGCAAGAUCUCACAGAACCACGACAGCCACGCUUUCCCCAGAACCGUGGCGUAACACGCAAGAUCUCACAGAACCACGACAGCCACGCUUUCCCCAGAACCGUGGCGUAACACGCAAGAUCCCACGUUUGCCCAUAACGCAGCAGUCAGAGUCCCAUACCGUCUCAGAAAAAGCGGAAAACUGGGAUUCAGGGGAAGCCUAUAAAAAGGUAGCCAACGAAGGUAAAAGGGUUGGCAUUUUUGAGAUUAUAAAAGAAAUGAAAAAAGAAGAGAAAACGACGAAAAAGCCAUAAGAUCUGUGGCAAGUGUCCCCCGAACCUUCAUAUCUGACUUGAGCGUCGGAGGGUUUGCGCCGGGAAAACAACCGGCGUACUCUGACUUGUCUGUGUGCGCAGGAACCUCUGGAGAAGAAGCCUCACGUGGAGACCUCCUGGUCGUGAAGAAGUUGAUCGGGCAGAGAUCCUGGUCGUAGAACGAGGAGAACCGGAAUCCCGCAUCAACAGAACUUGUACUUGUCCUGUGAUCCGUACAUGCGACCACGAAUGACCUACAUCGAAGGAUCUUACGUUGAAUCCUUUAAACCUGGCUUGGUUAGUGCACUCGCUCAUGGCCACGCUUUUCAUUUCCAUGGCUUCUUGCUCUUUUGUUAUAGAAAAUUUAUUUUUGGUUGCAGUUUGAUUCGACUGCUAAAAUCUCGUGCGAUAAUUGUAUAAGAUAUCUAGAGUUUGAACUUCUUUCACAUUAGGGUUCAAGGAAGUUAACUUAAAUGAUUUUCAAAAUUUUAAAUGUGUACCAAAGAAUUUAAUUUCAUAGCUUAAACUUAUAUUUUGAUCAUACUCUAACUUUGGACAGGAAAAAUUAUAUUUUUCCUUUAGUUCUUUGCCUUGGUGUAUGUUGUGUGAAGUACUUGUGCUUGAAAAUGAAUUGCUGACACAGAAAUUUCUAUGAAUGCAUGCAGCCCAUAAGUGGAUAUGGGGUGGGUAAAGUUUUGGAUUCAGAGAAUCCAGAGUUCAACAAAGGUGACUUGGUUUGGGGAAUGACUGGAUGGGAAGAGUAUAGUCUCAUUACGGCUCCACACUUGUUUAAAAUUCAACACACAGAUGUGCCUCUUUCUUACUAUACUGGAAUCCUCGGUAAACUUUUUGUUUGCACAAUUUAUGUGAGCAAAUUGUGUCUUCUUUUUCAUAUGUAAAUGUUUUUGAUAUCUUGAUGUGAAGGUAGAAAAUUGCAUGUUUUGAGUUUUUGCAUAUUUGAUGGAAACACAGAACUGUACCUGAAUCUUUCAGAACCCCCUUCUCUUUGAAGUUUGAACACUUUUCUUGAAUGUAUCAACUUUAUUUAUGGGAUAUGUUGCCAAAUUGGAAAAUCUAUUCGUUAUAAAACUUUCCUUUGACAGUUUAAUCUAAGCAGAUGUUAAUUCUGCAAAUAGAGUGUGCCUUAGAUUAGUUUCAUAGAUUUGUCUCCUUCUGUACAGUAAAAACUUUGAGCAUUUUCGCCAUAUUCUGAUCAAUACACUCCAACUAGUUAGUUCUUGAGGCGUUUUAUGGUUUCGUGGAGUGAGGCAAGAUGUAUACGUUUGCAAAUUGGCAAUGUCUUUCUCUUGAUGGGUUGAGAGUUGUGAGUGUCAACAGGAAACAAGACCUCUGUUUUAUGAACUCCAAAAAGUUAUUCUGUUAAAAAGAUCGAGACAGAGGCCAUACUAUAUUUAUUAUUGCUAUAAAAGUGUGAAAAAAUAUUCUUUAUUUAAUAUUCUAAACGAUUGAGCCAUUUAGUUAUGAUACUCUGCUGUAUUGGGGCUAAUAAUCUAAGUCGGUUCAAAGUGGUAAAUUUAUAAAUUGAUAGGUAUGCCUGGUAUGACCGCUUACGUUGGAUUUUAUGAGGUCUGCUCUCUUAAGCAAGGAGAGUGUGUCUUCAUAUCCGCAGCAUCUGGUGCAGUUGGACAGCUUGUGGGGCAGUUUGCAAAGUUAUUGGGUUGCUAUGUCGUCGGAAGUGCUGGAAGCAAAGACAAGGUAUGUAAAAUUAGAAUUUGAUCAACAGAUUUGGAGUGUUUGUUUACAGAGAAAAUCUAAGAGAAAAUGUAAGAAACUUUAGCUGAGAAUAUUCAUUUUGUUCAACUUAAUAACAGAAUGAGAUUACAAAGCUUAUAUACUGCUAUCAAGAAUCAUCUUAACACAUACAUCAUUUUCACGUGUAUUUAUCUUUGAAAGAAGCUAAAUAACCAGCUUAACAAACUCACAACUACUUUGCUGACUGGACUGCCACGUCACCAUAACUAACUUAACUAAUCCAAUCAGUUAAUCACAGUUAACACAUAUUCUUAUCAUCCCCCCUCAAGCUUAAGUUCGGGGAAGGACAUUAAGCUUGGUACGAAGAUAAGCAAACUGAUCAAAAGAGAGGGGCUUGGUGAGAAUGUCUGCAAGUUGUUCUGAACUGGAAACAUGACUGAUCGUGAGUUGCUUCUGGGCAAUAUGCUCUCGAAUAAAAUGAAGAUCCAACUCAAUGUGCUUUGUUCGAGAGUGAUACUUAGGAUUGCUAGCUAAUGCCUCAGCACUCUGAUUAUCACAUUAUAGAACAGGACUUUGAGUUGGCUGAAUUUGCAGUUCUUGAAGCAAAUAAGUGAGCCAAAGAAUUUCAGAGGUUGCCGAAGCAAGAGCUCUAUAUUCAGACUCUGCUGAGGAACGAGAAACAAUGGUUUGUUUCUUGGAGGACCAAGAAAUAAUAUUGUUUCCUAAGAAUACACAAUACCCUCCAGUAGACUUUCGAUCAUCAGGAUCAGCUGCCCAAUCAGCAUCAGAAAAUGCUGUUAAAGUCACAGAGCCUGAAUUGAAGAAUUGAAUCCCAAAGUGUGAAGUAGCUUGAAGAUAUCGAAGAACCCUUUUACAAGCUUGCCAGUGUGCAAUGGUUGGAUGAGCUAGGAACUGACUAAGCUUGUUAACAGGAUAAGCUAUAUCAGGUCUUGUUAGCAACACAUACUGAAGAGAGCCCACAAUACUUCUGUAUAAUGAGGGAUUAUCAAAAACUUCACCACUGUCCUUUGUAAGCUUAUCACCUGGACUCAUAGGAGUAUUAAAACCUUUGCUGUCAAGCAUAUUUACUUUUCUAAGGAUAUCACCAAUGUAUUUGGUCUGAGAUAAAUGCAGUCCCUGAACAGAGGGUGUUACUUCAGUACCAAGAAAGUAGUUAAACUCUCCUAGAUCUUUGAGUGCAAACUCUGAAUGAAGAUAUUGAAUAACAGCCUCAAUAUGUUGAGAAUUAGAACCAGUAACUAAAAUAUCAUCAACAUAUAUAAGAAUGAGCACAAUAUCAUGGUCAAUAUGCUGAAUAAACAUGGAUGUAUCAGAUUUUGAGGAUUGAAAACCUUUAUGGAGUAAGGACCCUUUCAACCUCUCAUACCAAGCUCUAGGAGCUUGCUUGAGACCAUAUAAGGCUUUGUUUAACUUGCAAACAUAUGAUGGAUUUGCAAAGUCUAUAAAACCUUGUGGCUGAUGCAUGAACACAUCCUCUUCAAGCAUACCAUUGAGAAACGCAUUAUUAACAUCCAGCUGUCUAAUCUGCCAAUGAUGCAACACUGCUAGACUGAGGACAACUCUGACUGUGCAAGGUUUCACAACUGGGCUGAAGGUCUCAAAGAAAUCCACCCCUUGAGUUUGAUGAUAACCCUUGGCAACCAACCUAGCUUUGUAUUUGGAAAUGCUGCCAUCAGGGUUAUACUUCACCCUAAAUACCCACUUAUUACCAACUAUUUUAGCAGCACUUUCAGAGGGCACUAGAGUCCAGGUUUGAUUUCUUUGCAGAGCAUCAAAUUCCUCUUUCAUAGCACAAAACCACUUGGAGUCAUGCAAGGCACUUUUGACACUAGUUGGCUCAAGAUUUUCAGUAGCUGCUAGAUAUGACUUGGGUUUGAAGAUACCAGCUUUAGCUCUAGUAAUCAUUGGGUGAGAUGGUAAUGAAGAUGAGUGAGUUGGUUCAGCUGAAGGAUGAGAAUAAGAAGGUUGUGCUGAACUGGAACUUGAUGGAGGAGACAUUGCUGAAUGAAAAUUAGGAGAUGAUGACUCUACAUUGCUACUGUCAACCUGAGCAGAAGUUUGAAGAAAAGAAAGUUGUACUGGUGAAGAAGGGACAUCAACAUUGGAGACUUGUGAGGUAGAGUGUUUUAGAAACAAUUCUGUGUUAGGAAACUCAGUUUCAUUAAAAACAACAUGUCGAGCAACAAACACUUUACCAGAUGAAUUUAAACACUUAUAACCUUUAUGAAGUGGACUGUAACCAAUGAAAAUACAUUUUUGAGUAUGAAAGUCAAGUUUAUGCUGGUUAUAAGGUCUGAGGAAUGGAAAACAGGAGCAACCAAAAACCUUUGGAAACUGAUAGUCAGGCAGAUGAUUAUGUAAUUUCUGAAAUGGGGAUAGAUUGUUUAGAACUGAUGUGGGCAUUCUGUUGAUAAGGAAAGAAGCAGUGUGGAAUGCUUCCCACCAAAAGGAGAGAGGUAACUGUGAUUGAGCUAGAAGUGUCAGACCUGUUUCAACAAUAUGCCUGUGUUUCCUCUCAACAACACCAUUUUGAUGGUGUGUAUAUGGACAACUAUACCUAAAACAUAUACCCUCUUGCUGAAGAAAGGUUUUAAAAGCUAUAAAUUCACCCCCCAUAUCUGACUGUAGUGUUUUGAUAGACAAGGAGAACUGUUUUUCAACAAGAAGUUUGAAGUGUUUGAAGGUUUCUAAGGCUUCUGACUUUGCUGUGAGAGGAAAAAUCCAAGAAUAUCGAGUGAAAUCAUCCACAAAAGAGAUAUAAUAUCUGUAUCCACUCAUUGAAUAUUCAGGAGCUGGUCCCCAUAAAUCUGUAUAUAGAAGCUCAAGUGGUGCUUUUGUUUUAAUGGUAGUGACAGAAAAAUGAAGCUGAUGCAUUUUGCCAUGUUGACAAGCAUCACAGAAGCUAAUGAAUUUAUUUGAAAAGCAAUGUGUGGGAAGACUUUUAAUAAUUGUUUGCAAAGCAUGUUUAUUGGGAUGACCAUAUCUAUUAUGUAACAACUGAACUGAUAUCUUUCCAGCUCUAGAAGAAUUUCCAGAAACAGAACAUGCAAAAGCUUCAGACAUAUUUACAUUAUCCAACUUUGACACAUGAUUAUUUGACUCUGGUAAAGAGUUUACAACUUUAUUAUCAAAACAAAAUGACAACAUGGAACUUGGUUUAAAAAGAUUUGGAUUGCAAUCUGCAGAGUAAGGAGAGAAGACAUCAAGUGACAGUAGCUUGUAAAGACCACCUUUAACAAUCCCCUGUGCCAGCAAAGUUCCCUCCUUCUUGUCCUUAAUAAAGCACAUGGUGGAACAAAAUUCAAUGAUUAUGUUAUUAUCCAAAAGAAGUUUAGAUAUACUGAUGAGGUUUUUGGUUAUUUUAGGAACACACAAAGUAUUGGUUAAGGAUAAACAUGUGCCAAAAGAAGUAGAAAGAUGAGUGCAGCCAAUAUGUGUGAUAGUAAGACCUUGUCCAUUUCCAACAAACAACAGUUGAGUACCAUUAUAAGGAUUACCUUCAACCAGGUUUUGCACAUUGUUGGUGAGAUGAUGAGUGGCUCCACUGUCCAGAUACCAUCCCUGAUCAGCAACUCCUUCUGAGGUAGCCAUAUAAGCUGUUCUUGGCCCUGGGUUCUGCAUUGGAGAAUUUGAAACAAAAUUUCUGUUAAAUCUGUUUCUACAAUCAACAGCUGAAUGGUUUGGUUUAAAACAUAUUUGGCAGGUAAUAUUUCCUCUGCCACCUCCUCUACCAAAGCCACCAGAGGACCCUGGAUUUCCACCAUUAAAACCACCAUUUCCACUAAAUCCACCAGUAUUUCCAUUAAAACCACCAGAGUUUGAACCUCUUCCUUGGUUUCCAAACCAGCCUCUCCCUGAGUUUUGAUCCAUAAAGCCACCUCUGCCAGAUCCAUAACCUCCUCUAUUGUUGAAAUUUCCAUUUCCAUUUCUAUUCACAAAAUUAACAUUCCAAUUACCCUGGUUAUUAGUAUUCCAAUUAGCAUUGCUUCCUGACUUCUUCUGAUUAUUACCAGUCUGAGCCACAUUAGCACUAAAAUUCACCUUAGUUUCCUUAGCUACACCAGAAUGAUUACUCUCAAGCCUAGCUUCAUGAGAUAGCAACAUAGAAUAAGCCUCAUUGAUGCUCAUUUUAAGAGCAUUUGCCUCAAUAUAAACUACAACAGGAUAGUAAGCCUGACCUAGCCCUGAGAUUAAAUGUGUAAUGAAGUCAAUAGAGCUAACUGAACUUCCAGCCAUUGCUAAUUCAUCAGUUACUGACCUUAGUUUACAAAAAUAUUCAGUAAUUGACAUGGAUCCUUUCUUAAGAUUGUUUAGCAGCAUCUUUAAAUGCACUUUCUUAGCUGCUGUUUCAAAUCCAAACUGUUCCUCUAAGCUUAUCCAAAGUUCUCGAGAGUUUUUAGAAUUUACCACAAUGCUUAAGAUCUCCACACUGAUUGAAGAUAGAAGCCAGCUCAAGAUCAUCUGAUCUUGCCUUUUCCAAGUAGUGUAGGCAGGAUUUUCUGAGAUGACUGCCGCAUCUGUGCUUGUUGAUUCACCAGUCAGCAGCUGGUUUGGACAGGUACGUGAUCCAUCAAGAAAACCUUCCAGAUCAUUUGCUCGAAUGGCUGAAAGGAUCUGAGAUUUCCAUAUAGUAUAAUUCGAUCUGUCAAGCUUGAUUGGUGUGGCGAAAGUAAAUGUUGAGAUUGCGGAAGAAACAUUUGUACUAAGACUUGAAGAAGCCAUGAUCAAGAAGUGAUUCAAGGCUCUGAUACCAAAUUAGAAUUUGAUCAACAGAUUUGGAGUGUUUGUUUACAGAGAAAAUCUAAGAGAAAAUGUAAGAAACUUUAGCUGAGAAUAUUCAUUUUGUUCAACUUAAUAACAGAUUGAGAUUACAAAGCUUAUAUACUGCUAUCAAGAAUCAUCUUAACACAUACAUCAUUUUCACGUGUAUUUAUCUUUGAGAGAAGCUAAAUAACCAGCUUAACAAACUCACAACUACUUUGCUGACUGGACUGCCACGUCACCAUAACUAACUUAACUAAUCCAAUCAGUUAAUCACAGUUAACACAUAUUCUUAUCAUGUAAUCUGUGUGAAGUACUUGAUUGUUUCCAUGUUACUUUCAAACAUUUAAAUUAAAAAGGAAAUUUUCAUAAUCUUGCCUUUUCUAUGAUUUUCAAAACCAAGGUUGAUCUACUGAAGAACAAGUUUGGGUUCGACGAGGCAUUUAACUAUAAAGAAGAAGCUGAUUUGAAUGCAGCAUUGAAAAGGUUAGCAUCAAUAAAUGCCUUAGCUUGAUGCAGCUUGAUGAAGUAUGAUACACAUUUCUGACCAAUAUACUGCGUUCCCUGAUCUCUUACUUGAAAUAUCUUGGUUUGAGAACCUCAUGCCAAUGCCUUUAACAUUUUGGCAGGUACUUUCCUGAAGGAAUUGAUAUAUAUUUUGAAAACGUUGGUGGAAAAACGCUUGAUGCAGUGCUACCCAACAUGAAAAUCCGUGGUCGAAUUGCUGCAUGCGGUAUGAUCUCACAGUACAAUCUUGACAAGCCUGAAGGUGUGCACAACUUGAUGUAUCUUGUUUUGAAACGGCUUCGAAUGGAAGGAUUCAUUGUUCUCGAUCACUAUCACCUUUAUCCAAAGUUUCUGGAAAUGAUCAUUCCUCACAUCAAAGAAGGGAAGCUUGUAUACGUCGAAGACAUGGCUGAAGGUCUGGAGAGUGCUCCGGCAGCUCUCAUCGGUCUAUUCUCUGGCCAGAAUGUUGGGAAACAGGUGGUUGCUGUUGCUCCUGAAUGAAGAACAAGUUAGUGUUGUAUGUUCUUUUACCCUUUGACACAAAACUUCAAUGUCAAAGAGAGAAUGCUGCUCAUACUGCUUUAUAAAAUAAUCAAAUGAGUGCAAGUUUCAUGAUAUUUGCUGAAUAAAAUAUUGGAAAUUAAGCAGCUAGCCUAGCUCCUUCUUGUAGUUGCAGUUUGAAUGAUGCUGCUGCACAACUGCUGCCGAAAAAAAUCCUUAAUAGAUGAUUAGCAAGGUUUCAAAAAUAAAAAUAAAUGUUUGUGCAAUGUGCCGAAUAUGACAGCCACAAAGAAAGAGCAUACAAAUUGAUUGGUUUUAUGUCUUCUCUAGGAGAAAGCUACAAUACAAGAAAUUGUAUUGAUGGAGCCUUGGACCAAAUUUCUUAUUUAAAUUUUUAAUUUUUUUUAUUAAAUUACUUAUGUUAUUAUGGUUUAUAUUUUUAGAAAUUCUUUAGAAAUUAAUACAGAACUAGUAGCAAGUUGAGAAAUCUACUGAAUGGUCAAGAUAUGAUAAUGUUUAUUGAAUUAAAUUAACAAUCAUCAUUUUCAUAAAUUAUUGUCAGGAUAUUUGAUUCAUGUCAGGUGUAAGUAACUAAGAGAGCGUUUGGGACAGACACCACAGUUGCUCCCGAUGCUUUAUUUUAGGGAAAUAUCCCCUGGAAUAAUGCAUAGGGCGCAGCCCCAAACGGACCCUAAAUGUGCUAAAAAAAAAUUAAUGAGUUGGGUGUGUUUGAUAUUCAUUUGUUGUAAUUCUUUUAAUAAUUAUUGUAGAAAAAAAUAUGAUAAAAAAUUUAUAAUUAUAAAUAAAAAUUAAUAAUAUAAUAAAUAAAAUUUUUAAACAAUAAUUUUAAUAAAAUAAUAAAUAUAUUAUCAAUUUUUCAUCGUUAAUAUUUAAGUCACAAUAAUAAAUAUUUAUUAAACACUUUAAUACUAUAACUAACACUACAACUUUUGAAUUAUAACAGUACAUUCUAAAGACCGUGGAACAAUAGUACAAAAGGUGCUCGUCGUGUAAACAACACAUGGGACCCAAGCAAUAAAUGUUUCUGAUCCUCAACUUUCCUCAUCACUGUCCCUGCAAACAAUUCUGAUUUUCUUGUCUGAUAAAAAAACUGAGAAACAAUGGCGGCCGAACAAGAAGCUGUGAGCAAUAAUGUAAAGCCACAAAUUUUCAUAAUAUUAAAUUAUGAAAAUUGGGCUUUCAUUGAGAAUUAUGGGUGGCCUAUAACCCUUAUUAAGAAAGGGAUACUAAUUAUAAAUACAAGUUAUUUAUGAGAUAGUUUUGAAAAAAUGUUAUUUUUCCUUAUUAAAUAAGGUUUCUUAAGACUCCCUAUAAAUUCAUACUUUUUCCCUUCCAUGACCCUAAGUCCAUGACGUUUAUUCUUCUUCUCUGCUGCUCUUUACGCUCCUACCCAAAUCAUAGGAUUCAAACCUUUGUUUAGGAGAGAAUCAAAGCGACGAGUAAGUUAUUCUCCCUAUUCUCAACAGAUUUCUAAUCACUCUAUCUAGGGUUUAUAUUGGCACGAUUCUAGAUGGUUAUAGAUCAUAAUGCAUGAUUUAGAAUGUAUUUAGGCUUUGUUUAGGGUUUUGAUUUAUUAUGAGUUUAGUUAAUCAAUCCUUGACGUAUUAAGCACAGGAUAAUUCUGGACAAUAUGAGUAUCUCGAAUUUAAACCUAUAUUUUCUGAACGAGUUUUAUUAUAAAAUUUAUAUUUCUGGAAACUAGACAUGUAGGGCUUCUUGAGUAAAUUUUAUUUCAUUAAAUUCGACUUCGUUUUCAAUUUUAUAUUUAUUUUCGAAAUAGAAACCACUGCACUGGAAAACUGCGAUUCCAGCAUUGCGAUCGGAUUCACAAGACUAUUUGUACCACCAAACGAACUCGGAAAAUUCUGAAAGUUUAUAUGUAGGUUAAUAUAUGUGUCUAGGAUUACCAGUUUUAAUUUCAUAAUUUUCUGAUUAGUAUUUUAUUUUAUAAAAAUCACAGAACCCGUUCUGUUUGGUUUAGAUUAUGUGAAAACAGUUUCGAAUUUGCUGAGAAAUAAAUAGUUUCGAAAAUGUUUUUGAUAUCGGAUCCUCUUGCAAAUUUUACAUAGGGUACUCAUGGAUGUCCAGAAUAGUCCCAUAGAAUAUUAUAUCAUUCUGAGUCUUAGAUUAAGAGUUAAAUUCUGAGAAUCAGACCUGUACGGGUAUGAAUUAGAAAAUCAGAUUCUUAGAAUAAGUUAUUAAUUGUCAUAUCUUGUAUUUGUUUAAGGUGUUGAAGGUGAUUGAGGUUCUUAGAAGCUUAAAGGUGUGUUAAUUCAAAUUCAUUUGUCGAGGUAAGUUACUUCAUUCCUACUAUAUUGGAUAUGUAUAAGUAUUUUGAUAUUAUCAUUAUAAGUAUAAAUGUUUUCAUACUAUUUAGAAGAUUAAUGGAUUUUCAUAACAAAAUUAGCUUAUGAAAAUGUUUUCAAAACCUAAUUUCUUUUUAACAAAGCAUUUUAUAAAUACUUUUUAAAUAUGUAAGUUAUUUUGUUACAUGCCUACUUUUAUGAUUUUAUUUAUAAAAUAUUUUGCAAGCCUAAAUUAUUGUUAUGGACUUUUAUGAAUCCGAUACGAAUGUUUUAUGCCUAUGCAUGAUUUCAAUUAUAUAUGAUUGUAUGGGGGCCACCUCUUGGGACUAUAUGGGGGCCACCUCUUGAAGGCCAAAGUGUCGCAAAGUGCCACAUAUAGUGCAAAGUGCCACGUAUAAGUCAUUAUGUUUUGGCUCAUUGUCCGUAGUCAUUUUGAUUCUGAUUCUGAUCAUAUAAUACGAUAUAUGUCUGUUUUGGACCAGUACUGGGUUUCUGUUCUGAGUGUGCACACGAUAUUUUGAUUCUGUUUCUGGCCGGGUCACUGGGACUAUAGGUGACACUAUGUGACAAGAGCUAACCUUUUGUUUUCUGUAUACGUAUUAUAUGAUUUACUUCAUAAGUAAAUAUGCUUUUGGAUAUUCGGAAUUAUUAAGAAUUUAUGUUAUGUUAUCGUGAUAUAUUGUUUUAUGAAAUUUAUGGAUUAUGAUAUAUGUUUUAAACAAAAGAAGGCUUGCAAUAUUUUUGUAUCGAUAGGCCCAGUAUGUUAGAAAUUGUUUUACUUACCGAGUUGACGGCUCACCCCUCGUCAUUACUUUUUGCAGAUUAAGUUUCUUUUGAGAGGUGCGCUUAGCUUUGGAGUUAGUAAUUUUCCGUUUCCAUUUGCCAUUUGAAUAAGAGGAGGAAUAAACUCGUGUUUCUAUUUAGUUAUUUCUAUUAUGAACGUGUAAUUUGGAGUUUGAGACUUUUGUUAUUAUUUUUAUGUCCUCGGGAGAGAUUAUUUAGUAUUAGACGUUAGAAUUUGUGGAUUUAUUUGAAUAAGAAUUGGAGGUAUUUCAGUUUGAAACUUAUGAGUAAAGAUUAUGAUUUGUGAGUAACCUCCUUCUUCACGUGCUCCGCACGUGUUAGAUUUGGGGUGUUACAAAUAAGCGGGUGAUUCUAAGCAACUAUGUGACAGGUUUUCCAAAAGAAUCAGACAUGAAGAUAACAAGUGGAUCAAUAAAGCUGAAGGUAGCAGACUGUUCAAAAGACACGGUGCUUUUGAAGAAUCUUUAUCUUUCUUGUGAUCCUUACAUGCGAGAGCGUAUGAGCAAGCUUGAUAGCCCUUCUUUUGUUGAUUCAUUCCAUCCUGGUGAGGUUAGUUCAUCACGGCCCAUCUCUUGAUUUUUUUUUUUCAUUUGCUUCAAGUUUUGAUGAGUUUCUGAGGUAAUUUGUACGGUUUUGGAAUUUGAACACAAUUUGUGAUUUUGGUGCUGUAACUGUCAUUAAUGAUAUGUAGUAAUUCAAUCGGAAUUUGGAUUUAGUGCUGAUAUGAUCUCUGCUCAUUUUUUUAAAUCUUGUGUCCACAUGCAUUUUUGAAAUCUGGUACGGUUGAGAUUGUAUGUAGAUUAACCUACGUACAGUAUUCUUGUCUAAUGACUACUAACCACAACCUUAUGAGACGAUCGAAACCAAGCUCGGAUCAAUAAUCCAAUCGAGAGAGGAUCAUAACUGAAGCUUAUCGUGUGUGGGAAUAUUUCGGUUAAAUUGUAAUCAUGAUCAUGAAUCAUGCAGGGAAAAGGGAAGUUGAGGUCAAUUUAUGCACUUGAUGGAAUUAAAGAACCAAUAUUUGAUUUUGGUUUACAUUAUUUCUCAGUAAUGGUGACUUUGUGAUGUUAAAUUUAUGCAGCCUAUAAACGGAUAUGGGGUGGCCAAAGUUUUGGAUUCUACACAUCCAAAUAAUGCAAAAGAUGACUUGGUUUGGGGCUUUACCGGGUGGGAGCAGUACAGUCUCGUUACAGCUCCGCAGCUUUUGAUUAAAAUUCAUCAUAAAGAUGUGCCACCUUCAUACUAUACCAGGAUCCUCGGUAAUGAUUUUUGUUACACAUUAAGCUUUGCUUAUAGUAAUAUCAAUACAUAUGCUGCUUAAAUGCUUUCUGAUUUUUUGCCGGCCAUUGUCCAUUUUGCCCGGGAGACUAUAAUUGAAGGAAUUUACUGAAGGAAUGCUGAUUGUUGGGAAUUUGAUUAUUCUAGGUAUGCCUGGUGUAACUGCAUACGCUGGUUUAUAUGAAGUUUGCUCUCCGAAGAAAGGAGAGUAUGUCUAUGUAUCUACAGCAUCUGGAGCUGUUGGUCAGCUUGUUGGACAGUUUGCAAAAUUAGCUGGUUGCUAUGUUGUUGGAAGUGCUGGAAGCAAAGAAAAGGUGCUGUUAUAUCAUUCUUAAGUAGUAAAUAUAGCACCGUGCCUUCUAGCAGAAUUUUACAUGCUUUAUGUUCCAACUAAGCAUCCAUAUUUGAUCGUGAUAAUUAGCAAGGUCAAUAAUUUUUUUUUGACUAUUUUUUCAACGUAAGGUCGAUUUGUUGAAGAACAAGUUUGGACGAUGCUUUUAACUACAAGGAAGAGCCAGACUUGGAUGCAGCGCUCAAAAGGUCAGCUGCAACAAACGUUUCAACUCUAAUAUUUCAUUUUAAUAUUACAGAGCUUUGGUUGAAGUGUGUGAGUUGAUCCCAGAAACGUAACUUCAUCAGUGUCUCUGUUUUCAAAAAACAGGACAAAUUAAAAUCUGAUUUUGCGUUAAAAUUUCCCAGAUGUUUCCCUCAAGGAAUCGACAUCUAUUUCGAAAAUGUUGGGGGAAAGAUGCUGGACGCAGUGCUACUCAACAUGAGGCUCCGGGGCCGCAUUGCGGUAAGCAGUAUGAUCUCACAGUACAACCUGGAAAAACCCGAAGGCAUACACAACUUAGAGCAACUGAUCGGGAAACGGAUUCGCCUGGAAGGAUUUCUAGCAGGUGAUUACUAUCACCUCUAUCUGAAAUUCUUGGAACUGGUCAUUCCUGCAAUCAGAGAAGGAAAGAUGGUGUAUGUGGAAGACAUAGCCGAAGGACUCGAGAAAAUUUCUCGUAACUGCUACACAUUAAACGCGUUUCACAUUUCCACUCUCUCUCUAUAAAUAAACACGCACAUAAAAUUUCUCACUAUCCAAAAACAAAAUCUACAUAAAAAAUGGCGGGUGAAGAAGGAGUGAGCAACAAGCAGGUGAUUCUGAGCAACUACGUGACAGGGUUUCCCAAAGAAUCAGACAUGAAGAUAAUAGCAGGCUCAAUAAACCUCAGGUGCCAGAGGGUUCAAAAGACACAGUGCUUUUGAAGAAUCUUUGUCUUUCCUGUGAUCCUUACAUGAGAGGACGUGUGAGCGAGCUUGAUAAGCCUUCGUUUGUUGCCUCGUUCGAGUCUGGCGAGGUCAGUUACUUCAAUUCCCAUCUCUUGGUUUCAUAAUCUUUUAUGGUUUUAGAAGGUGUUUUAGGGAAACAUUGUGGUUUUGGUUAGUGGGCAUGAGCCUUUGAAGAGAUUAUAAUGUGUAGGACUAUGUAUGCAAUAAUAAGUAUAGGGGAUCUUGUUAGGAGAAGAUUCUCUUAGCAAAAUAAAAACUUUUAUCUUAUCAAAACAUAUGCAGGGAACUUAGUUAUGAUGUCAUGUUAGCAUUGUCUCUGAGGAUUUGAUUUCUUGAUGGGGAAAGGGGAAUUUAAGGUUACAUUAUUCAGCAAUGGUUUUUUUUUUUUUUUUUUAAUUAUGUUCAAAUUAUGCAGCCUUUGAGCGGAUAUGGAGUGUCCAAAGUGUUGGAUUCCACGCAUCCAAAUUAUAAGAAAGAUGACUUGGUCUGGGGCUUAACCAGUUGGGAGGAGUUCAGUCUCAUCCAAUCACCACAACUUCUGAUUAAAAUUCUGGAUACAAGUGUGCCUCUGCCAUACUAUACUGGGAUUCUUGGUAAGUUGUUACUAAAUUUAUCAAUGUCCAGUUCGCAUGAGCUGAAAAUCAUGUUUUAUUUAAUGCAAUGAGAGAGGGAAAUAGUAUGCUGCUUGAACGUCUAGCAUUUUGAAUUUUCAAUGAUUGUACCCUACGUAUUGGCAUGUAACUGAAGGAUUUCUCUUGAGGAAUUUACUAUUUUUUCUGAUUGUCGGGUAUUUUUCUGUUGACUCUAGGUAUGCCUGGUUUGACUGCAUAUGGUGGUUUAUAUGAGCUUUGCUCUCCUAAGAAAGGAGAGUAUGUCUAUGUAUCUGCAGCAUCUGGAGCUGUUGGUCAGCUUGUUGGGCAAUUUGCGAAGCUGGUAGGUUGCGAUGUUGUUGGAAGUGCCGGAAGCAAAGAAAAGGUGAGUUUGCACCUUUAACCCUUACGCUCUAAAUAAAAACAUAACACCUUCUGAAAGAAUUUGCAUAGAGAAUUUUGCAUGUCACAGUAUUUGUGUUCUAACUAAUCAUGGAUAUUUGAUCAUUAGUCUAACUAAAACUGACUUAUUACCACCUAGUUGAUUGGUCUUUGAGAAAUGUUAGUUGAUAUAUGCUUGAAAUCAUACUUUGUUUUAUUAGAUGAUUAUAUUAACCUGCUUCUUUUUCUUUGUGCUGUUUCUCGUUUGAUUACAUUUUCAACAUUAGGUCGAUCUAUUGAAGCACAAGUUUGGGUUUGAUGAUGCUUUUAACUAUAACGAAGAGCCUGACUUGGAUGCAGCUCUUAAUAGGUUAUCACGAAUGAAUGCCUUAACCAUUUUUCUCACUUCAUUAUUACAAUGCGCUGAUUGAAGUAAUCAGUGUUGGCUCUGAAAAUGUAAUGUAUACUUCUCUGUUUUCAUAAAACAGGACAAACAGUGAUCAGUGAUCUCAUUCGUUACAUUGAUAUUUUCUACCAUUGCCAUAUGCCCAUACAUAGUAUAAACUAGGAAUUCAGUUGCUUAAUUGAUAUUCAUUUCAGAGGGAAAUUUUCACUUGCAGCUAACAGAAUCAUGUUUGUGAUGUAUGUUUAUUUGGGAAAUGAAAGGAUUUGCUGCAUUAUUUUAUUCCAAGUUUGCUGAAAUCAUAUUUGUUUUCCCAGCUGCUUUCCUGAAGGUAUCGACAUCUAUUUCGAAAAUGUUGGGGGUAAGAUGCUUGAUGCAGUGCUAUUCAACAUGAGAAUUUGUGGCCACAUCGCUGUAUGCGGAAUGAUCUCACAGUACAACAUUGAGAAGCCUGAAGGUGUACACAACUUGAUGCAAGUAGUUGGAAAACGAAUUCCCACGGAAGGAUUUCUUGCCGGUGAUUUCUACCACCAAUAUCCAAAAUUCUUGGAACUGGUUAGUGGUUAUGGCGGCAAUCAAAGAAGGAAAGUUAGUAUAUGUCGAGGACAUAGCUGAAGGCCUUGAGAAAGCUCCAUCAGCUCUAGUUGGGAUAUUCACUGAGCAGAAUGUUGGAAAACAACUGGUUGCAGUUGCUCGGGAAUGAUAUGAUUAUUAUAUGACCAUGGACUUUAAAAGCUUAGUGAAGAUGCCUCUGUCUUAUUUGUGAUCCAUGUUAUGUUUGUUUGAGAUACAUGUUAUGUUUGUUUGAUCAAGCUGUACUCAGAUAUAAAUCAAAGAUUCAGAACAUGUGUAUGAUACUGGUUUCUAAAUCAAUGAACGCUUUGAAAUGUUAGUGUUUUCACAGGAGAAUGCAAUUUAAUUCAUCAACAAUGUCCCAACAAGACCCUCAGAGCUGUAGCUUGUAAAGUUAAUUACCAUAUUUUUUUGUAAAGUUAAUUACCAUAUUUUUUUCUUUCCAAUAUAUUGCUUAUUUCAUAGAAAGUUUACAUUAAAGUCUCAUGUUUCUUUGAAAGGUAAGCAAGUGUGAACGUUUCAAUCUAGAGCUGGAAAAUGCAUUUCCGGGCAACUUACUUGAUAAAUGAAGUUUUCAUCUCUGACCAUGAUGUUUCCCACAGGUGCAUUCAUUUCAGCUGAUCUAUUUAAUUUUGUUUUCGAAGGAGUGACACAAAAUCUCCUUUGUUAAGGGGAGAAUUUAGAGCGGCUUUGACUGUUAUCAAAUAGCCUAAUGUAAGACUUAACCAACUUCCUGCCCUGUUGUAUUCUUAUGAAUUUUGAUAGAGCUAAGAGUUUGCAGAAGCUACUGUAUUAUAUGUCGUUAGAGGCUGUAAAAAUCAAACACAUUUAAAUUUCAAUGAAAAUUUACUGGAAGUAAAUUUCCUAUGAUCCUACAGGUGACUAAUUAAUGAGAACUUGACAAUGACAAAAGAAAGUGUAUGAACUUUGCAGGCUGGCAUGCCAAUAUUGACUGGGUGGCACCAUCCACCAUCUGCAAGUGAAUAUCAUUGUUGUUUAAUCAACAUGGUGGAGUCCACUGGGACCACACCACAUCAUCAGCCUUAUCUCUAUUCCUCAAUUUUCAGUAUUCCAUACAUCAAACCAAUUUCAGUUUUGUUAUCAAUUAUAACUUUAUUGUUGGUGACGAUUCUGAUUCCUUUCUGACAAAAGGGAACCAUGGCUGCUGCUGGAGAGAUCUUACUCAACGCCUUCUUUCAGGUACUGUUCGACAGGUUGGCUUCUCGUAAUUUGAUCAGCUUUGUGCGUCAACUCCAAGGCGGGGUUGAUUCGGAGCUCAAAAAGUGGGAGAAAAAGCUGAAGAUGAUUCAGGCUGUCCUCUGCGAUGCAGAGGAGAAGCAACUGACCAACGAGGCUGUGAAGAUGUGGCUGGACGAACUCCAAGACUUGGCUUAUGACGCUGAGGACAUUCUUGAUGAGUUUGCUACUCAAGCUUUGGAAAGCAAGUUGAUGGCGCAAAAUCACGAUAGUUCUGGCCAGGUUCUCAGUUUCAUCCCGGCUGGUUUGAAUCCGAAUGCUAUUAUGUUCAAUUAUAGCAUGGGGUCCAAGAUUAAAGAUAUUACUAGCCGGCUGGAUCAACUCUGCCAAGAAAGAAUUGAACUUGGACUGCAACGGAUUACCGGAGAGGCAUCAUCAACUGCUGCUGGUGCACACCAGAGGCCACCCAGUUCGAGUGUCCCAACAGAACUUGAAGUAUUUGGAAGAGAAGAAGAUAAGGCCAAAAUUCUUGAUAUGUUAUUAGCCGAUACCCUAAGUGAUCAUGCUAACUUUGUUGUAAUACCCAUUGUUGGCAUGGGUGGGAUAGGAAAAACAACUCUUGCUCGGGAGGUUUACAAUGACAAGGCCGUUGGAGAUUGCAAGUUUGAUGUAAAAGCAUGGGUUUGCGUAUCUGACGUCUUUGAUGUUUUGGGCAUCUCAAAGGCACUUCUCGAGUCAAUCACCCGCACGCCUUGUCUUCUAAACAGUUUAAAUGAAGUGCAGGUUGAAUUGAAAGUAGCUGUGGAUAAGAAAAGAUUCUUGCUGGUCUUAGAUGAUGUUUGGAACGAGGACUACAGCUUGUGGGUAGACUUAAAAGCUCCGUUCCUGGGUGCUGCACCAAACAGUAAGAUGAUCGUCACCACGCGCAAUUCAAAUGUUGCAUCAACAAUGGGACCAGUUGAACAUUACAAUCUCAAGAGUCUGUCAGAUGAUGAUUGCUGGUCCAUUUUCAUAAAGCAUGCAUUUGAAUCUAGAGAUCUUAACGAACAUCAAAUUUCAGAAUCAUUCCGCAAGAAAGUUGUUGCCAAGUGUGGAGGCUUGGCCCUGGCAGCAAAAACACUCGGAGGCCUUCUGCGUACGACGAGGCAUGAUGUGUGGGAUGAUAUAUUAGAGAGCAAAAUAUGGGAUUUACCUCGACAAAGUGGGGUUCUCCCAGUAUUAAGAUUGAGUUACCAUCAUCUUCCUUCUCAUUUGAAAAGAUGUUUCGCUUACUGUGCAAUCUUUCCAAAAGAUUAUGAAUUCAAUGAGAAGGAGGUGACUUUUUUAUGGAUGGCCGGAGGUAUUAUUCGACAGUCCAGAAGCAAAGAGAGGCUAGAAGAUUGGGGCAGCAAGUGCUUCUAUGAUCUGGUGUCAAGGUCAAUUUUUCAGCAAACAGCAAUCUCUGAUAGUUCUAAAUUUGUAAUGCAUGACCUUAUUCAUGAUCUUGCUGAAUUGGUCUCUGGAGAAACCAUAUUCAGGUUAGAGGAGGCCAAUACUCUGUCAAGAAGAUUUGAAAGGGUUCGCCAUUCUUCCUAUGCUUGUGGUGGACGUGAUGGUAAAAAUAUGUUCGAGGUUUUCAAUGAAAUUGAACAUCUACGAACAUUCUUGCCAUUACGCUUACGCAUAAGAGGUGGCUCUAAUACUAGUUUCAUAACUCGUACGGUUCUAUCUGAUUUGCUGCCGAAGUUCAAAAUGUUGAGAGUGCUAUCUUUACAAGGAUACCGUAUCGGUGAGUUACCAAUUCCAUUUGAAGAUUUGAGACUUCUAAGGUUCCUCAACCUUGCUGACACUGACAUAAGAAGUUUACCUGAGUCAACAUGCAAAUUGCUGAACUUGGAAAUUUUGAUAUUAAGAAAUUGUUCCCGUUUGAUAAAGCUUCCGCAGAAAAUGAGGAAUUUGAUCAAUUUACGUCAUCUCGAUAUAAGAGGUGCAAAGCUGCUAAAGGAGAUGCCAUUUGGAAUGAAAGAGUUGAAGAAGCUUCAAACAUUGUCCAAUUUUAUUGUAGGCAAGGGUGAAUCCGCAUCUGGUUUGGAAGAUUUAAAAAGUUUAAACCUUCUUUGUGAUGAACUCUGCAUUGCUGGAUUAGAGAAUGUAAAUAGUCCACAGAAUGCAAGAGAAGCCACAUUAUGUGAGAAGCACAAUCUUGAAGCAUUGACUCUAGAAUGGGGGUCUCAAUCUGACAGUCCUCGGGAUGCAGUACUAGAAGAGAAUGUACUUGACACUCUACAACCUCAUGAACGUAUAAAAGAGCUGGCAAUCAGGCACUAUGGUGGUGCAGGAUUUCCACUUUGGAUCGGACAUCCUUUGUUCUCCGAGAUGAAGGUCCUUAAAUUGGAGAACUGUGACAAGUGUGUAUCUCUGCCAUCGCUUGGCCUGAUGAAUUCACUUAAGCACCUUGCUGUUAAAGGGCUGAAGAAACUAAAAAGCAUAGAGUCUGCGGUCUUUCCAUCAUUGGAGACUCUAAGUUUUGAGAAUUUGCCAGAAUGGCAGCAUUGGAACACCAAUAUCAAAGGAAAUGAGCCUGUUGAAAUAUUUCCUCGUCUCCAAGAACUUUCCAUUGCAGAAUGUCCCCAACUCUCUGGAGAACUGCCUGAGCUCCUGCCUUCUUUGGAGACACUUGUUGUUAGUAAAUGUGGAAAGUUGGUAGUUCCAUUGUCAAGCUAUCCGAUGCUCUGCAGAUUAGAAGUUGAUGAGUGCAAAGAGCUAGUGUGCAGGACUCCAAUUAAUUUUGAGUUGAUAAAGUCUGUGACUAUUUCAAAUAAUUCAUUACUCAUGAAUGGAUGCAAGGAGAUGCUAUGCCAUGGUCAAGCUGGCUCUUCACUGCAGAAACCCAAGACUAUUAUGAAUGUUUUGGAGUUCGGAAAAUUAUUGAAGCCUGGAUUUCAGAUAUUAGAAACUUUGGUAAUUGGCAAUUCUGAACGGCUCAAGUCAUGGAGUACUUUUAUUGAACCAGGGCUACAUUUGCUCGCUUCCCCUGAAGAGGUAGCAAUUGAAGAAAGUUGUGUACGUCUUGUUUUGUUUCCAGAGAUCAAUUUCUUUCCCAGAAAUCUGCGCUCUCUUCGAAUUUGCAACAGCACUGCUUUCAAAUCCUUACCCGAGGAAAUGAUGGAAAACAAUUCACAACUCGAAAGGUUGUAUAUCAGAGAUUGCGACUCUCUAACAUUCAUCGCAAGACGGAGGCUACCAGCAUCUCUUAAAAGGCUUGAGAUAGAAAAUUGUGAGAAAUUGCAACGUCUGUUCGAUGAUGAAGAGGAUGCUUCUUCUUCUUCUCCUUCAUCCUUGUCUUCCCCAGUGAUGCUGCAACACCUGAGAAUAGAGAAUUGCCCAGAGCUCACCAGUUUAUCAUCGGGUGUCCAAUUCCUUGAGGCGCUUGAAUACCUCAAGAUAGAGCAUUGUCCAAAGCUGGAGUCAAUACCGGAUGGCCUGCCCAAUCUUAAAUGUUUACAGAGCAUUUAUAUACGGAAAUGUCCAAGUCUUGUUUCCUUCUUAGAAAGAGGGCUUCCCAACGCCAUUUCAAGUUUUUACAUUUGCAGAUGUGACAAGCUCGAAGCCUUGCCCAAUGAUAUGCACAAACUCAACUCUCUUCGAGAUUUAAGCAUACAUGGGUGUCCAAGUCUUGUUUCCUUCCCAGAAAGAGGGCUUCCCAACGCCAUUUCAAGGGUUUACGUUUGCAGAUGUGAGAAGCUCGAAGCCUUGCCCAAUGAUUUGCACAAACUCAACUCUCUUCGAGGUUUAAGCAUACAGAUGUGUCCAAAUCUUGUAUCGUUUCCAGAAGAAGGUUUUCCUACCAAUCUAACAUCACUUACAAUUAGAUAUUUCAAAAUGUAUAAGACACUCGUCCAGUGGGGGUUGCACAGGCUUACCUCUCUUAAACGCCUCUGGAUUGCUGUACGUGAUGAUGAAGCAGAGUGUUUUCCAGACGAGGAGAUAGGAAUGACGCUGCCCACCUCUCUCACCGCUCUGCACCUUACUGGAUUCGAAAAUUUGAUAUUUCUGUCUUCAAUGGGUUUUCAAAACCUCACCUCUCUUCAAUCUUUGAGGAUCGAGAAUUGCCCGAAUCUCACAUCAUUUCCAGAGGUGGGCCUUCCAUCCUCACUUUUGGAAUUACACAUUAGAGAUUGUCUAAAGCUUAAAAAAGCGUGCAAAAGAGAUCAAGGAAAAGAGUGGCCCAAAAUUGCUCACAUCCCUCGCGUUGAGAUAGACGAUAAAUUCAUAUACGAUCCAGAAGCAGAGUAGAUUCUAUUAUUAAGGUCAGUUGAUUUGUAUUAUCCGCUAUAACAAGCUCCUCCUUUUUUUUUCAAAUAAUAAUUUUGCAGUCACUCAUAUGAUUCCGUUUUCACAAGUCAGAUUGUAUGUUGAGGCUAUUUGCCUUUUAAUUAUAACACUUAUUGGAGUAUAAUAUUUUGGAGCAAGCAUACUUGAAAUUUCUGUCUUCAAUAUUUUGAUGCUUUUUUAAUUUUUGAUCUAGUAAAAAUACAUAGCCUUCACCGGCAGGAUUCUAGUCUUGGCUUUCACCUCUCUAACUCAUCGUCCCCACUGGGAUUCCAGAAAUUGAAAUUUCUGUCUUCAAUGGGUUUUCAAAGCCUCGCCUCUCUUCGAUUUUUAUGGAUCGCUUCGAUUUUUGCACAAAUCUCACAUCAUUUCCCGAGGUCGAGGAAAAGAGCGGCCCAAACUUGCUCGCAUCCCUUGGGUUAUGAUAGAUGGAAAAUUCAUAUACGAUCCAGAGUCAGAGGUGUUGAUUCUCUUAUUAAGGUCAACUGAUUUCUAUUAUCCACUCUGACAAUCUCCUAUUAGUGUUUUUCCUUUUCUUUUUCAAAAUUUUGCAGUUCUGUAUAAUUGAAAAUGCCACUCACUUGUUUCCUUUUUCGCAGGUCAAAUAGUGCGUUGAGGCUAUUUGCUUUCUAUCGGUGUUUGUUAAGGUAAUUAGUGCUCCAUCAUAGGUAUGACUGGAUUUUUUUCACUUCCGUAAAUAUUGCAUUUCUAUCGGUGUUUGACUGGAUUUUUUUCACUUCCGAAAAUAUUGCAUUUUAGACUGGCAAAUUUAGCAGUAAUUUUAAUACAAUUUUGUUGGUGCCUUUUGUUCCAGAAGCUAGAAAAAUGUGUAGUUUUCAGAUAAGGAGGCUUGUCAGUUCUCUAAUAAGAAUCCAAUAAUUUGCUUUUGCACGUCCAUCUAAUUUGUGGAUCCUUGCAUCAGAAUUUGAUCAAUCCAAAAGGAAUUGCUUUUAGACAGAGGAAGAAUAGCAGUACCUAGCCUAUGUCAUAGUGUAUGGAACCGCAAACCUGAAACUAUUAGAUUGAGGUAAAAAAAUCAUUGACCCCCUCACAUGUUAACUUCUUCUAGUUACUUUCGUUGGAAAAAAAAACAUUUAAGGAAUUUGCAAUUUGUUGUUGGUUAUGGUAUCUGAUGUUCUUUUCUGUUUUAGUGUUUGUAGAAUCUACUGUAUUAUGUGUUGGCAGUUGCCGUAUCUGAGGUAACUUGCCUUUAUUUGACAAAGAUUUAGAGAAGCAUCUCAAAACACUUAGUAAACUUGACAAACUUCAAGAUGCACUUGCCCCCACGCCUUAUUCUCCACAACGCAAAACUUGUGAGUACACCUAUGCCUGCAAUUAUUGUGAAGUGUUUUCAAUUUUGAUGCAGAGAAAUGGUUUCUUGAUGCAAAAUAUUAAACUGUUAAGAUUUAUCCUGCAGGCUUGUUAGAUGCUGUAUGCUCGAAAAGCCAACAACAUCCAGAACUAGAACUCCAAGACCAGCUUUGCGUUAAUUCAGUCAACUGUAAUAAUAAUGCAAAUGACACUAUAUCAAGCUGGACUUAGAGACUAGUCAGAUCAAUCAUCCAUUUCAUCAACGGUUAAUGUCAUGAUGGUGGCUAUCAGAGGAAACAAAAGAUGUGUCGGAAUCUAUACGAACAUUGAGAAGCAUGAGAGGAGCUUUGAUUUUGAGUAGGGUCAAUGAACUCAUGUUGGUAAGUGGUAAUUAAAGAAAUUUGUAAGCUUAGUAGAGUUUCAGUAUUUUCUGUUUGGAGUAUAGUUGAUAAGUUGACUCUGUUUAAUAAGCCCGAUUAUAGUAGCUGACUGUAUUAACCUUUUUUUUUUUGGUCUACUGUUGUUUUUGGUUUCGAUUAUUUUUUCAACAUUGGGUUGAUCUGUUGAAGAACAAGCUUGGGUUCGAUUCUGCUUUAACUACAAGGAAGAGCCAGACUUGGAUGCAGGCGUUAAGAUUUUAAUGGGUAAGAACAAAUGAAUGCUUUAACCAUGUUUCUCACUAAUUAAAAUGCACGGAUUGAAGGCAUCUGGGUUGAUCCUGACAAUGUGAUGGAAAUACUUCUCUAUUUUGUUCCUGUGUUCACAUAAUGUUUGUGGGAUAUGCUUCGACGAAGACCAGCAAUGAUGAGCAGACACCUGGUAAUAGGGUUCCUCGAGCAGGUAUAUCUUGUAAGAGUAUGGUAUUCAGGGGAGCAGGAGCAGGAAUAUCCUGCUCAUCCGCGAGCACGUCAUCCACGAGGCCAAUCUCCUGUUGGAAGCAUAAAGCCAUUCCUGCUACAUUCCUGCUAAGGGUUGAGUCGAGGAGACCCGGUCAACGACAGUUGGCGAGGCGUGCUCUCCAGUCCGAGAAUCAAGGCAUGAAGGCCACGCAACCACCCACGACUACGGAAAUGGGGCAUCCACUUUCGAGAGGUGGGAGGAUAACGAGCGCGAAUGGAAGAAGGCCCGAGUUCAGAGAUGGCCUAUAAAAAAGUAGCCAACAAAGGUAAAAGGGUUAGAAUUUUUGACAUUGUAACAGAAAAAAAGAAAGCUCUAAAGAACUGAGACUAAAAAAGAAAAGCCAUAAGAUUUGUGGCUAGUGUUCCCAGAACCUUCAUAUCUAACUUGAGCGUCGGAGGGUUUACGCCGGGAAAACAACCGGCGUACUCUGACCUAGUUCUGUGUACGCAGGAACUUCUGGAGAAGAAGCCUUACGAGGAGAGAUCCUAAUCGAGGUGGAGUUGAUCGAGCAAAGAUCCUGGUCGUAACAAGAGAGCAACCAGAAUCUCGCAUCAACAUUUUGGCGCCAUCUGUGGGGACUUGAUCAAAAAGCUUCUGUUGAUAGCAAGAAGAGGAGUGAAGCAAGUGGAAAAGCAAUGGAGGCAAGAAGAAAUAGUGCACAAUGGGGUGAUAUGAGGCUUAACGAUUCCGUGACGCUGAGGGAGAUAGCCAGUGAAGCACGGGAAAAAGCCAUGUUUGACCGGAUGGAACGGAUGGAAAAGCAGAUGCAGACCCUGACAACCAUCCUACAUGAGCUGCGGAGUGAACGAAGGGGAACCCAGGAGGAAAGGGUGAGAGGUGGUGGAGUGGCACCAGGUCAUGAUAGUACGAGGAGAAGUCAAACCACCGAGAGAUUUGGUGGUGAGAGAGGUAACCUAUCUCUACGGGGAGAAAUUCAUAGAGAGGAAGAGCAAUCCCCGGCAAGACAGAUUUUUGACGAGGACGACGGGGUGGCGAAUGCAGAGGAAACAGAGUUGAGGUAACACUUGCAUGAUGUAGAGCAAGAGCGGGAUCAAGUUGCAGCACGUGACCUUGGUCGUGUAGUGCAGCUGGAGGAGGAAGUGCGCAGACUAGCGCAGAUAAUUGAUGACAUGUAAGGAAGGAGCAGAGCUCCUGGUUGGAGGAUAAUGCUGGACGGAGAAUCACCGCUCGCAGCAGAGAUCAUGAGGGCAGUUAUUCCAAGAGAUUUCCGCCUCCCAGACCUUAGAUAUUCGGGACGAACUGAUCCGCUGGUGCACAUAGAGCGCUUCAACGACAUAACCGGGGUACAAGGAUUAUCUCAAUCCCAAAGGUGCAGGGUGUUCCCACUAUCCCUUGAGGGACGUGCACGCAAGUGGUACAGGAAACUUCCUCGGUGGAGCAUUAAAACCUUCGAGCAGAUGUGACAGGAAUUUGUAGAGCAGUUUCGUGGGGCAAUAGCACCAGAAGAUGACAUGAUGGAGUUGAAAAGCAUGAAGCAGGGGGAACAAGAAACCCUUCGGGAAUUCAUCAAGAGGUUUCAUCGUGCUGUCCUCGAUUUGGGAGCCUUCAACCAUUCUCAGGCAUUAAGGGGAUUGAAAGAAGGGGUGAAGAUAGGAAGGCUGUGGCACAACUUGAGAAGCCCAGUUAUUCAGAUGUAUACAGCCGCAUACGAGCAGGCUAAGAGGGACAUUGAGAUUGAAGAAGAAAAGGCAGCACGGAUUAAGACAGACCAGCUAGAAGGGUUGGGAAAGAAAGAGAAGAAAGCAUUACCAGGGAAUGGGCCGAUCAGGAGGAAGGACCACCAGGCCUCAGGUAGUGGUGCAAGAGGUCGAGUAACCGCUUACCAGCCUCAUCAGAGACCACCACAGUAUUAGCACAGCAGAGCACAACCUCCUCGUUCCCCAGUUAGAGAGCUUUGGAGAAGGCAUGACUCGACAUAUGGUGGUCUUCAUCAACACUCCCACGGUAGUAGAGGGAGCAGACCAGAAGCGCUGCCACCGCCUCUAACUCAGAAUGGAACAAAUAGAGAAAGGGUAGUGCACAUGAUCGACCAGAACCAGGACUAUGGGCAGUAUACUUCCUUGAAGAUGUCCCUGGACGAGGUGUACGAGGCCAUAAAGGACCGGGGAUUGAUGUACCUCCCUGCCCCAAUAACAAAGCUACCCAGCAGGACGGAUAGGGGACGCUAUUGUAAGUUCCAUGGCACUUAUGGCCAUACCACUGCAGAAUGCAGAGAUCUCAAGACCCAAGUUGAAGAUUUGGUGAGAAAUCGGUACCUGGAUGAGUUUAUAGAUGAGACUUUCCCGAUGGUGGCCUCGACAUGUGAAGGGGAGCAGAGUGAUAGAAACUUUAGGCGCGAGCAGCCUGCAGUAAGGGUAAUAGCUGGGGGCCCAACAUUGGCCGGAGAUUUCAACAGAUCGAGGAAGAAUUAUGCUAGAUACGCCAUAACUAGUAAAGAGUUACUCUUCAACACCCCAGCAGCCAAAUGAGUAAGAGUCAGACAAGUGCCAAUCAUGUGGACGGAUGAAGAUGAAGAAGAGAUUCUAUACCCCCACGAGGAUGCUUUAGUCAUCAAGGCUACUGUUGCAAGUAAGAAGUUUGACCGGAUACUGGUUGAUACAGGGAGCUCAGUUGAUGUGUUAUUUAAGUCAACUCUGGAGGAGAUGGGAAUAGCAGGCCGGAAGUUGGAGUACACCAAUACCUCCUUGAAAGGGUUUGGAGGAGGAAAGCUGGUCCCUCUGGGCGUGGUCGAGCUGCCUAUCACGAUUGGGAGCUCCCCGACAAAAAGGACUAUGAUACUGGACUUUGUGGUGGUGGAUGAAGAAUGUCCUUACCAGAUGAUCUUAGGUCGGCCAUUUCUGAGGAUGAGCAAAGCGGUACUGUCCAACCAUUAUCUGGCUCUCAAGUACCGAGUGAAUGUGGUAGUUGGAGUGGUACGAGGAGACCAGAGAAUAGCACGAAGCUGCUACUCCUUGGCAGCAAGGGAAGCAAUGCAAAUAACAUCCCUUGAUACCCGAGUGGAAAACAUGAAUGGCAGACAAGAACCUGUAGAGGAGCUGGAGACAGUAAGCCUGGGACCAGAGAAUCCGGGAAAAACGAUCAGAAUCGAGUCGAGACUUAAGGAAGAGCAGAAGCAGGAGUUGGUGAAAUGCUUACAGGCUCAUGCAGAUGUGUUUGCUUGGACACAUGAAGACAUGCCAGAGAUUGAUCCUGAGGUAGCAUGUCAUAAGCUGGCAAUAAAGAAAGGUGCUCGGGCAGUAAGGCAGAAAAGGAGGUGCUUCAACCAGGAGAGGUAUGAGGCUAUAAAUGGCGAGGUGGAGAAGCUCUUGAUAGCAGGGUUCAUUUGCGAAGUCGAUUAUCCUGAGUGGAUAUCGAAUGUGGUGUUGGUAAAGAAGGCAAAUGGCAAGUGGAGGAUGUGUGUAGAUUUCACAGAUCUCAAUAAGGCGUGCCCGAAAGACAGCUUUCCUUUAUCAAAGAUCGACCAGCUAGUAGAUUCAACGGCUGGACACGGCCUGCUUAGCUUCAUGGACGCGUUUUCGGGAUACAACCAAAUUCCCAUGUAUGAGCAGGAUGAGGAGAGCACGGCUUUUAUUACUAACCAGGGUUUAUUUUGUUACAGGGUAAUGCCAUUUGGUCUUAAAAAUACUGGGGCCACGUACCAGAGGCUGGUGAAUAAAGUCUUUAAGCCAUUGAUUAGGAGAACCAUGGAGGUGUACGUGGACGACAUGAUAACCAAGUUGAACAUCCCGAAGGAACAUGUCAGAUACCUCGAGGAGACAUUCGGGCUUUUGAGGAAGUAUAAGAUGAAGCUCAACCCGGAAAAGUGUGCUUUUGGGGUCGAGUCAGGGAAAUUCCUUGGAUUCAUGGUGAGCCAUAGGGGGAUCGAAGCAAAUCCCGAGAAGAUCCACGCGAUCGUGUAAAUGAGGUCACCUCGUAGCCUGAAGGAGAUGCAGAGCCUCACGGGGAGGUUGGCGGCAUUGAGCCGAUUCAUAUCCAAGGCUACUGAUAAGUGUCAGCCAUUCUUUCAAGUGAUAAGGAGGGGAAAGAAAAUAGAAUGGACCCCAGAAUGUGAAGAAGCCUUCCAGAACUUGAAGCAGUACUUGCAGCAAGCACCUCUACUGUCCACACCGAGGGAUGGGGACAAGUUAUUUUUGUAUUUGGCGGUAUUAGAUCGGGCCGCAAGUUUUGUUCUGGUGAGAGAGGAAGAAGGGGUUCAGUAUCCGAUAUACUACACCAGCAAGGCUCUGCUCGACCCUGAGACCAGAUACCCACCGUUGGAGAAAUGGGCAUUUGCCCUUGUGGUUGCUGCUCAGAAGCUGAGGCCAUACUUUCAAGCAUUCCCAGUCUCGGUAAUAACAAACCAGCCAUUGCGUCAAACUCUGCACAAGCCAGAUGCUUCUGGUCGGCUCGUCAAGUGGACUAUAGAGCUGAGCGAGUUCGACAUAGACUACAAACCCCGAGCAGCGAUAAAGGCUCAGGCGAUGGCCGAUUUCAUAGCAGAAUUCACAGAGCCCGAAAUAUGUUUGGACCAGCGAGAUGUAGCUACAGACAGCAACGAAGCCCGAGUAUGGCAGAUGUCUGUAGAUGGAUCAUCCGGGGAGUAGGGAUCAGGAGCAGGAAUUGUUUUGGAAGGCCCAGAAGGGGAGGAGAUCUCUUAUGCUGUAAAGUUAGAAUUCGCAGCCACAAAUAACCAAGCAGAGUACGAAGCCUUGAUAGCAGGUUUGGAAUUGGCUAAGGCAGUGAAAGCGGAUAGAGUGAAGAUCAGAACUGAUUCCCAGCUGGUCGCAAAUCAUGUCAGUGAAAGAUUUCAACCGAGAGAGGAGAAGAUGGAGCAGUACCUGAAGAUAGUCAGGCAUAUGAUGGGGAAAUUUGAAGCGGUUUAGGUGAUACAAAUCCCCAGGGAGCAGAAUAGUCGAGCAGAUAUUUUGACGAGGAUGGCAGCGGUAGCAGACCCAAAAAUGCCAAAGUCGAUCCCUCUGGAGGUGAAGUCCAGCCCGAGCAUCGAGCAUAAUUUGGGGGUGCUGCGGAUAGAACAAAAAUGCUCGUGGAUGGACCCGAUAAUUUCAUACCUUAGAGACGGGGUAUUACCACCAGAGAAGCUGCGAGCUCGGAAGAUUAGAGCCCAGGCCUCGAGAUACACGAUGAUUGACGGGGUAUUAUAUCGGCGAGGAUAUACGCUACCUUUCCUUCGGUGUUUGGAUGAGGACGACGCGGACUACGUACUGAGAGAAGUACAUGAAGGAAUUUGCGAAAAUCACUAUGGUGGGAGGUCCCUGGCUCACAAGGUUCUAAGGCAGGGAUAUUUCUGGCCGACAAUGCACCAGGAUGCGCAAGAGAAGACCAGGAGCUGUGUAAGCUGCCAGAGUUUUGUGAGUUUCUCUAACCAACCACCAGAGAAGCUCACCUCUAUGGCCCCCCCCUGGCCAUUUGCUCAAUGGGGAAUUGAUCUGAUCGGCCCGUUGCCAAAGGGAUGAGGAGCAGCAACACAUGCAAUAGUUGCGAUAGACUACUUCACGAAGUGGAUAGAGGUAGAAGCCCUUAGUAGGAUCACAGAGAAGAAAACAACAGACUUUGUAUGGAGAAACCUGGUCUGUCGAUACGGGAUCCCUUAUGCCUUGGUAACGGAUAAUGGCAGGCAGUUUGAUAAUCACAGCUUCAGGGAUUUCUGCCAGAACCUCGAGAUAGAGUUGAAGUAUUGCUCGCCUGCUCACCCUCAAUCUAAUGGACAAGUAGAAGCAGCCAACAAGACCAUCAAGAGGCUUUUGAAAACCAGGCUUGGAGCAAAAAAGGGUGCAUGGGUUGAUGAGCUGUCAGGUGUCCUAUGGGUAUACAAGACAACCCACAAAACAGCAACUGGGGAGACACCGUUCGCCUUGGCUUUCGAACAUGAAGCGGUCGUACCAGCCGAGAUAGGAACGACCACGCACCGGACAGAUCAUUUCAAUGAGCAGGAGAACGACGAGCAGAUGUGUUUGAAUCUAGAUCUGCUAAUGGAAAAGAGGGAGCAAGCAGCCGAGCGAUCAACCAUUUGCCAGCAGAGGGUUGCUCGGUAUUAUAACCAGAAGGUGAAUGUACGGCAGUUCAAGGUCGGAGAUUGGGUGUUAAGAAGAGUGAAUCAGAAUACGAAAGACUCGGCUCAGGGAGUACUUGGACCAAAUUGGGAGGGGCCAUAUAGGGUCAAGCAGCUAGUUGGACCCGGAGCUUACAAGCUGGUUCGCUCGGAUGGCCACGAGGUGAAACGCCCAUGGAACGCAACACACCUCAGGAAAUAUUUCCAGUAAGAAUUGUCCAUGUUUUCAAGUUAUUUCUGUUCGUGUUUGUUGUUAUUUAUUUUAUGUCAAAACAAUUUCAUGUAAGUUGAAUCCUGCAAUUAAUGAAACGUCGAGGAAUUUCAUUCACUUGAAACUGUGAAAAAUCUACUAAGGCAUGCUAAGGCUCACUGAGUCUCAAAGCCUGUUUAUGGAAAGACCAGAAGCCAAGUGUGCCAGGAUCUGCUCGACCACGCGAAGGCCAGCAGAAUCCCAAAUCAUUGAAGAAUCUACCAAGGCAUGCAAAGGCUCGUCAAGUCUCAAAGCCUGUUUAUGGCGAGACCAGAAGCCAAGUGUGCCAGGAUCUGCUCAACCACGCGAAGGCGAGCAGAAUCCCAAUCAUUGAAGAAUCUACCAAGGCAUGCAAAGGCUCGUCAAGUCUCAAAGCCUGUUUAUGGCGAGACCAGAAGCCAAGUGUGCUAGGAUCUGCUCAACCACGCGAAGGCGAGCAGAAUCCCAAUCAUUGAAGAAUCUACUAAGGCAUGCUAAGGCUCACCGAGUCUCAAAGUCUGUUUAUGGCGAGACCAGAAGCCAAGUGUGCUAGGAUCUGCUCGACCACACGAAGGCGAGCAGAAUCCUAAAUCAUUGAAGAAUCUACCAAGGCAUGCAAAGGCUCGUCAAGUCUCAAAGCCUGUUUAUGGCGAGACCAGAAGCCAAGCAUGCCGGGAUCUGCUCGGCCAAGUAAAGGCCAGCAGACUCCCCAACAUCAAAAAAUUAUCCAAGGCAUGCAAAGGCUCGUCAAGUCUCAAAGCCUGUUUAUGGCGAUACCGGAAGCCAAGCAUGCCGGGAUCUGCUCGACCAAGUGAAGGCUAGCAGACUCCCCAACACUGGGAAAAUUAUCUAAGGCAUGAGAAAGCUCGUCAACUCUCAAGGCCUCCUCUGUGACGAGGUCAGAAGCCAAAUGGAUAAAUAAAUUAAAAUUCCAAUGCGAGGAAGCAAAUAAGAACAAUUUUAUUAAGCUCUUAAAAGUCUGCAAUUCUGUUACAUACAACGCUAAAAAAGCAAUUACAACGCAAGACAAGUUCAGGAGGACGGCGGAUCAGUAAACCGAGUAGCUUCGGUUGGCUGGUCCACUUCAGGGGUCGAGGGGGUGUCACCAGUUGCGUCCGGGGGGGUACUCGCCUCACCAACGUUAGCAGGGACUGCAUGAGGAGGAGAGUUUUCCUCCUCAACCACGAUUGGCUCCACCCCUUCGGCAUCCUCCUUUGCCGCCUCCUCGUCCAUGUGUUGAACAAUACUAGCCGCAAGGUCAUCCAUCUUCAGAUCAGGAUGCUGCUUCCCGAGGACGGCCAUGAUGCAACGAUAGGAAUGCCGAAGUCCCUGGUCGUACUGGUUGUCGGCUUCCUUCUCCAAGUUCUUGACCUGAACUCGGUGGGAAUCGCGGAGAGAUUCGAGCUGAGCCUCGUACAUAAUUUUCUGCCUUUGCAGAUCCUCCUUGACCUUAGUCAGCUCUUCCUCGAGAGUAACGGCCUAUGCUUGAGCAAGAGAUUCUUGCUCUAUCAGCUUCAGAUUCUCGAGAUUCAAGUCUCCCGCUUUCUUCUCGGCAGCAUCGGCUCUGGUCGUCGCCGAUUGAAUGUCCUCCUUCAUCUUCCGGUCGUAACGGCCAACCUUGGCCUUAUAGUAAGUGGUCAUGCAGCUGAGGUGGAAAGCGCUAUACUGCAUGGCCCCCACCAGCUCACCUAGGGUGCAGCCAUCAAAGUCCUCCAGGUCCUUCUUGCUCACGAGUUUAAAUAGCUCAUUGAGAUAGGGGACCAAGUGUUCUGCUCGGUGGUCAGAUAAACGAGAUCUAGGCCCGACAGGAGGAGAAGAGAAAGCAGGAUCAGUGGCAGCUCCACUAGUCUCUCUGACUUUGGCAGGAGGAGGAGGAGGUAGAGUCUGCAAGGGAGCAACCUGUUGCACGAUGUUCACCUGCUUUGCAGUAGGAGCAUCUUUAUUCUGGUCCUGCUUGGUCGUUGGAGGUCGAGAACGUUUCCUAGUCAGAGCCCCAAUCACAGCAUCCUCCAUCUUAUGGCCGGGAGGCACCAAACAAGACUCGAGCAGGUUAUAAGUAGUUAUCAGCUCUCGGCUCGAGCAGGAAUUGGCUAGUACAGCCUCGACCCGUUUGAGCUGGUCAGGUUUGAGCGGGAAGUAAACACCCCAAGAACCUGCAACACAAAUAGACACUUGGUUAGAGACAAACCAGUAUAGCGAGAACAAUUAUGGAUACAAGACAUCUAAAGCGAGCAGGCAACCUGAGAUCACGAAACGGGGUGGGACGCAAGAAUCCUUCCCGUCAAUUUGUGCAACUUGACCCCAGGAACCCCCAGCAAAAAAGAAUUUUUUCUUCCAAUUCCCACCACCACCAGUAAGAAGAUCGGUUAUGGGUUUCCUGGUCUUGGUACUAGAUUGGAAGUAGUACCAGCCGGCAUCUUUGGGGCUGCUCUUUAGCUGGUACAGGUGCUUCACCUCAUCAACUGUGGGCUUGCUUUGGCAACAUCUGUCCCACAAUAUGAACAGACCAGAGAGUACUUUCCACCCGUUGGGGUUCAGCUGACCAGGAGCUAGAUUUAGCCCGUUAAGCAUCCGGGCAAAGUAGGGUUGCAAGGGACACCUCAGCCCAUACUUAAAGCUCUCUAGAAACAGGGUAACGUAUCCCCUAGGAGGCCGGCUAGGGGUAUCCUUCUUUCCUGGGAUCUUAAGAGGUAUUUCACCAGGAAUACUAUACUUAAGCCGGAGGUCAGUGAGCUCGUCAAACGUGGUCGUGCACGUCAUGUAAUCAAUAGCGUAAUCCCGCGAUAGGGCUCUACCUCCUACUGUACUCUGCCCUUCUGGUCGCGAUGUUCAUAAUGGGGACACCUCACCAGAAUCACCUCUUCGAUCCUCACUCAGGGUGUUUUCCGAGCCAGAAAACCCCUCCUCACCGCUAUUUCUGCUCGAGGAGGUUGUUUGGGGGGACAUCCUCCUAGCGCUAGUACCAACACUAGGUCUAAUGGGUUCUAAGGGGAUCCCGGGGUCAAAAGCAGGAUCGGUGAGCAGACUAGGCAGGAAGUCCAACUCAUUGUCAUCAACCUCAAUGACCUUCUCUUUACCUUUCGACAUUCCCUAAGCUAUAACUAGAACACCACCACCAACUACUACCCAAGCAAAGCAAAGAGAAAAGAAAUUAUCUACAGCUAUCCGAGACUGAGGAGAUAGAAGUAAUACCUGAAAUAGUGGUUCAGUCGGAGAAGGACAGGGAUGGAGGCCUUUAUGCCGGAACUUCUUUGCCAGGGAGACAGGGACAGAGACGGGGUAAAUGACGAAUUUUCCUUUGGAGAGGUUUUAGGUUUUCCUAAUGGAGAAUAAACUCUUGGGUUGCCAGCAUUUAACAGCACCAAAUCCCGAGGGUCUCGUAACCGUUGGUUUGAAAUUCAAAUAGAGAGGUAGAUUUCUGUCACAUCACCUCGUCCGCAAUUAAAUGCGACACAACUCUUGGCAGCCUUUUUCCUAUCCCGCGCAAGCAAGAGCUGUCAAGUUUCUACUAUCGGCUUACUACGUUACCCAACACCAGAAACUGGGGGAUCGGUGUUUGUGGGAUAUGCUUCGACGAAGACCAGCAAUGAUGAGCAGACAUCUGGUAAUAGGGUUCCUCGAGCAGGUAUAUCUUGUAAGAGUCUAGUAUCCGGGGGAGCAGGAGCAGGAAUAUCCUGCUCAUCCGCGAGCACGUCAUCCACGAGGCCAAUCUCCUGUUGGAAGCAUAAAGUCAUUCAUGCUACAUUCCUGCUAAGGGUUGAGUCGAGGAGACCCGGUCAACGACAGUUGGCGAGAUGUGCUCUCCAGUCCGAGAAUCAAGGCACGAAGGCCACGCAACCACCCACGACUACGGAAAUGGGGCAUCCACUUUCGAGAGGUGGGAGGAUAACAAGCGCGAAUGGAGGGAAGGCCCGAGUUUAGAGGUGGCCUAUAAAAAGGUAGCCAACGAAGGUAAAAGGGUUAGAAUUUUUGACAUUGUAACAGAAAAAAAGAAAGCUCUAAAGAACUGAGACUAAAAAAGAAAAGCCAUAAGAUUUGUGGUUAGCGUUCCCAGAACCUUCAUAUCUGACUAGAGCGUCGGAGGGUUUACGCCGGGAAAAGAACCGGCAUACUCUGACCUGCUUCUGUAUACGCAGGAACUUCUGGAGAAGAAGCCUUACAAGGAGAGAUCCUGAUCGAGGUGGAGUUGAUCGAGCAGAGAUCCUGGUCGUAACAAGAGAGCAACCAGAAUCUCACAUCAACACAUAAUAUAAUAUAUAUAUAUAUAUAUAGAAAGCUGAAUUUAUUUAUUUACGCGCAUGUGCUAGUGCCCACUGGCAUCCACUUGAUUUGUAUCGGUUAAAUGUAUCAUACAAUACAAUAUUAGCUUGACUGUAGAAAAGAGGAGAACGAGUUGGUGUUGGUCUGAACUCUUAUCUUUGAAUCUCACGUGACUCCACUACUUUUUACUUGUUCUGUAGUCCAUUGUCGGCAGCUCAUACAAGGUCUUUUAGCUUUUUAAAAAGUUUUAGCUUUUUGGAUAAAUUACUGAUAAUUGUAAUCUAUAAAUAAUGAAAGGAAUUAAUUAAAUAUUUGGUAAAUUUUAUUUUUUAAAGUGUUAUGAGUUUUAAAAACGGUUGUAUGUAUAUAAAUUUAUUUACACAUAUAUUUAUAAAUAUGACUAUAUAAUAAUAUUUUAUGUGUACAUAUAAUAAUUGAUAACUAAAAUAAAUAUUUUUAUUUUAUUAAUGGUUUUUUCGUCUCAAUGUAGUUGGUAAUAAUAAUCUCUUGAGAUGUAACGAUUUUAUUUCCUAACUGAAUAAGGAAAAUUUUAGAUUUUUAUAAUAAAUGUUAAGAUAUAUUUAGAAUUACAUUAAGUAUGAAAUAAUCCUCAAAAUUAGAUUUUGAAAAGCAAUUCUUUUCUUGCCUUUAAAAAUAUGUCAUAUGAUGAGAUGAUUUUACUAAAAGUGAUUUUUUUUUAAAAAAUUACUAAACAUCAAAAUUAACUCUUAACUUUUUAAAAUCAUUUCUAAUCUUCUCAUCCUAAGUUCUCUAUUAUUUUGUACAAAAUCCAAGGUUUUGACUUUAAUAAAAUGCCCACUCAAAAAGAAAUUAUUUUCUAAUUAAGAUUUGUUGUUAAUGUAUAACUCGAAGUAAUAUUAGAUAUUUGUAAUUUUAUUUCAAAAAAUUUAUUCAAAUGAUAUGGCAAGCAAUGAACAAUAGUUGAUAGCAAUUUUUUUUUCUUUAACAAUGUUCAAAUCAAUCAGUUGCAUUAUCUCACCAUUUUUAUGAUGCCAUGUUAUUUUAAACGAUUUUUUUUUUAUAUAAAACAUACGACGUGUUAACAUCAUUUGCAUAACUUGACCUUUUUUUUUUUCCCUACAAAUAGUAAGUCAAAUUUACUCACCCUAUUUCUACCUAAAAUCUACCUAAAACUCAUGCAUCACUGCAAAACAAAUCCAAAGAUUGCGGUGCGUUUUUCUUGGUCAGAAAUCAAUAAUUAGGUCAAGUACUACUACUAAGCGUGCACAAUUAAUUCUAAAAUACGGUGAUCAAAAUCAUACUUUACGCAAGAGGAUCAGGGCUAAACUUCAAUUAGGCAUUAUUCAUCCAAAAAUCAUUGACUCGGCAUUCUUUGCAAGUUGUAGCAUGGGACAGCUAAGAUAAUUAGCAAAUGAUAUGGACCAUAUGCACCAAUACAUUUGUGACAUGUGAAUCUUGGCAUUAAAGGAAAGGCAAUGUGUCAAAAUUUAAUAGAGCCCAACUCUUCAUUGAAUGAUUAUCAGAUCCAAUACGCAUCCUUUGAUUGGAUUAUUUUAAGUCAAUUAUUGGUGGAUUGGGGCCCACUUGACUCUACCAAAUCGGGCUCGACCAUAUCACCUAUUAACGGCCACCUGUCCUUAUCAUAAAUAGCAAAUGUCACUUGUUUUAUUUUCUAUUUUACCAAAGUAAAGUCACUACGAACGCAAAAGAAAGUGACCUCAAUUUUGGGGGUCAUGAACUUUGGAUUAUUAUGGACACAAGAGACAAGCGCAAUGUUUCUCAUUUAUCACUGGAUAAGAUUUAAGUUAUCAACCCAAUAUUAAUAAAUUCUGCUUGAAAAGUAAAGUUUGAAGCUUCAUUUUGCGAAUAUUCAAUGGUUAACAUUUAAGUAAUUAACCUGAUAUUAAUCCAAUUAAACUUUUUAUGUAAUCCAAGUCAAAAAUAUAUUGAUAAACCUAAACUAAUCUAAUUGGACAUAUUAUUUCAACUUGAAAAGGUGAAUUUAUCAUUUUUCAAUUAAUUUUGAAUCAAGCUAUGUAAAAUAUAAGCUUAUUAAAGACAUAUUUGAAAAUUUCAAAUUGAAUUAUUUGACAAUUACAUUUCAACUAAGUUGUACUGCUAAUUAACUUCCUCAACUUAAAAUGUAUUUUUCUCAAUUAAUUCGUAACAAAGAAUGUUAGAUGUUUUGUUCGAAUGAUAACAUUCAACAUCCUUAUUCUUUAUGAUUAUUGCAUAAAAACAUAUUUUAUCCAUUUACGUCACAUAUGUUCCUAAAUUGUAUAAGAAAAUCACCAAAUUUACUCUUGUAAGUUACUAUAUCAAUGAACAUGAAACUAACUAAUCAUUAAAGUCUCGGAAUGACAUCAUGAGGGGGAUUCCGUUACAUUUAUUGAUAGGAUUAGAUAUAUGUCUUCCCAAAUAUUAGUAGGAGUAAUUAAACAGAUGCAGCUAUUAAAAAUAUGGAAUUACUUAUCUCGUCAAUAACUAACGAUAUUUUUUAUCUAUGCUCGAUAGGCGUCUGAGCUAUAUUAUAAAUUGUAAUAUUUGUAGAUUGUAACAAUUAUAAAAAAAAAAAAAAAAAGCUCCCUAAGACUAAACGACAACAGGACUGUUUUGAAAUAGAUAGAUAAAGUAUGCCCUUAUUUGAGAAAAGGUAAAACACUAGGGAUCUAAAUGUUAUUAUAAUCCCAUGCACAAAAAUGCUAGAAAAAACUAAUAACAACUAACCGAAAAUCCCAGGCGUCAUAUUCCUUUUUACCGCGUUUUAAAAUGCACAACAAUGAUAUUCUCACAAAAGUGGGUACAAAGGUUUGUACAACCAGGGUCUCUUUGUAAAUUAUUUCAAAGUUUUGUGUUAUUUUUUAAAUUUAUGAUUUUUAUUAAUUUUGAUUCAUUGGAGCAUUUCUCCUUCCAUCUCUUCUACAUCUAUUUUUAAAGUUUUUUAAAAUUUUGACUAUAUCUUUAUAGAGUUCUAAAUGAUUAUCUUUUUUCAUAAAAAUCUAUACUUAAAUUAAUCCUUGAAUUUAUAAUCAUUUAUCUUCUUUGAGUCAUAGACCAAAUUUUUUCUUCUAACAUAUCUAUGUAUACUCCUAAGCUAUCUUCAUGGCUUAGAUACAUUCUAUCAAAGCUUUCACAUAUAAAUUGUGAUUUGAGAUCUGCAUCUUGAAUCAACAUCUCUAUAUUAUCCAUUGUUUUACGCUCGAGGGUAGUUAAAAUUGAUUCUAUUAAUGCUAUCGUGUUUCUCCUUCAAAAGAAUCAAAUAUUUCUGGAUUAUUAAUUUCUUUUAUUUCUUCAUACAAGCAUUCGUUUGCCGUUAAUCUUGUUUUAAUCAAGGAAGCUGUAUAAGCAACUUGAUAUUCUUGACAAAAGUCUAAAUGAUCUAUUGCAUCUAGAAAUUUAUUAAUAGAUCUUUCCAUUUUUAAGAAAUUGAGUUACUCUUAUCACUUCCAAUCUUUUAACAUCUCAGAAAACAAACAAGGCCCAGCAUGCUUCCGUUUGUAGCUCAAAUAAAAGAAGAGUUCAGAUCACUAACCAAUGUACUAUCUCUCGGAAGUCUGAGAUAGACUCACUAAUUGCCUCUAACCAUAGAGAGGUCCAUGGUCAGCACCACCAUAGCUCCACACAUCAUACAAGAUCACUUCAACGACUGUUCCACAUGGCCUAAUGCAACACACAGCAGACUGGCCUAAUAGGAUAUGUCUAAGUGAUUUUCUUGCAGUUGUCUCUGGAAGAGUGCUUAGUAAUAGAAAAUCUUCUUCGUUUAGUACAAGUAUUGGUAUGUAAGGUUCUUGAUUAAUUUUCAAAAGAUGUAUAAGUGUUAGAGUGCAAUUUAUGCACUAGUUUUGCAUUAUUUACUUCCCUUAAUAUCAAUGUUUUGCACUUAAUAAUAGUGAUUUACUUGUGUUUUACUUUUGUAGGUCCAAUUCUAUUGAUUGAUGAUAAAAUUGAGCUAUAAGAUGAUGUUUAAGGAUGAUUGUUCUCUUGGAGAAAUUAUGAGCGUCAGAAGAACUUUGUUGAUAAGGCGUGGGCGCGUGCUGUCAAUUGCGGACCUGCAGUUUUUAGUUUAACGUGUUUUGUAUUUUUGGUUAUUUUUGUAAUUACGAAUUUAAUAUUUCAGAUAUUAAGAUUUUAUUUUAAAUAGAAUUCUAAAAGAGAAGAGAGAGAGAGUAUUUAAGGGAGGAAUCUAUUGUGAAAAAGGGGGAUUUUGGAUUGGAGAAAGAAAGAAACCCUAGAUCUAAUUUUUCUCUUCUCUCUAUGAAGAACUAAACUUAUUUUUCUAGUUGAAGGUUAACGAAGCUUUGAUUCAUCACUACUGUGAGAUCUUUCUUAUGCUUUAAUUGUUUUAUUACUUUUUGGAUAUUUGUUUAUUCUCUGAAUUUUUUUCAUGAUUAUGUUUGUUAAUUAGGUAAUUGGCCACUAUUUAAUUAUCAACUUAAUCUAUUGUCAAUUAAAGGAUUCAUCGUAUGAAGAAUUUAAUAUUUGUGACAAAUAACAUAGCAGAGAGUUGUGUUGUGAGAAUAAACAAUCUAAUUUAAAUGAAUCAUCAUAUGUGUUGAUUAGGAUUUGGGUCUCUCUGGUUUUUCAGGCUGUCAAUGAAUUAAAUCCUAUGAUCGUAUCUAGGGUUGUCCAUUGAUUAGGGAAAUAACCAACGGUCGUACCUUGGUUAUCGACUAGUAAAGGAGAGAUUGGCUAUUAGAGGGUCUCAAUAGCUAUAACCGGUCUAUUCAUAAGUAAUAAUAAUCUAUAUUUGAAUCAAUGAUCAGUAGUAGAAUCAAGCUGAGUUAAUUCCUUCAACCAGAGCUUUCUCCAAUUUGAAUUACAACUUUAAUUUGCAUUCUUGUUAUUUUGAUUUGAUUUUUAUUAUUGUCAACAAUUCCCCCAUUUUACGUUUUACGUUUCAAAAGGAUUUAAAUAAUUACCGAUCUCUGUGGACACGACCCUGCUCAAUCACUAUACACAAUUUAUUUAGAGUAGGAAUUUAUUUUUGUUCGCUUCGACACCACUGCUGCCUCGCCAACUAUUCCUUCUACAUCCGCACCACCUUUGAGCAUUCAGUUAGAGAAAAUAGAGCACAAGCUGAACAAGAUGGAGCAGAAUUUGGCCGCAUACUUCGAGAGUGUGGGUUUUACCCCACCAUUUCCGCCAAGCCCAUAGACGUUAUGUGGAUCAAAGCUCACAAUUCAGGGAAGUUUCUUUUUGCCCUUAAUCUUUUAUCCUUACGCUUUAAUUUUUAUGUGAGCUUUAAUUAUCUUACAUUGGGGACAAUGUAAGUUCUUGGUGUGGGGGAGGGAUUUUUGCAUUAUUGAUGUCUGGAAGUAUUAUUUUCACUCUACUCAUCUAUUUUCAUUCUACUCGUCCUUAAAUGAUUUUGGAGUUAGUAUGCUUCAUAUAUUAUUAUUUUUCUUUUCUUUUCUUUCUCACUACUUUUUUCCCAUCUAUCUCAAAUUAUUUACAUCUAUUUUUAUUCUAUCAUACUCUUUCAUCACUCACAUUUUAUCUUUCACUUUUCAUAUUACUACAUACAUCUUUCUCACUUCUUAUCAUUUUUACCUUUCCUUCACUCAUACCUUCUUCUCAUUCUACACCACUAUUGAUGGUUGAUUCAUUUGAAGAGUGUACAUGAUUUGAUGGCAAAUUUACCAACUUUGUGAGGAUUUGAGCCUAUGAGCAACCACUUUGCUCUAAUUAUUUUUAUUAUGUGAAUAUCAAUCUUAGUUUGUUUAUUCUAGAACUUGCUUUGUUAUGCAUGUUGAAGCCACAUUACGGGAUUUUUUGCAUUAAAAUGAUAAGGGCAAACCAUUUACCAUUUUUCUAUUCUCGCAUUUUCUUUUUUUUUUCUCUACCCGAAGACCUUGAUUUACUAUCUUUGUUUGAGCCUUAACCAUUACCCAUCUAAUUCUCUCCGUCUACUUAACCAUUUUUCUUCUUUUUUAGCCUCAAUUUAAGGAGAUUUUUGGACUCAUUGUGUGGAUAUAUUUUGUAUAUAUUUUGUUGCUUUUUCUACCUUGUAUUAAAGUUUCUCAAUUAGAUCAACAAGCAUUAUGCUUGAAUUAAAUUGUGCAAGGUUCAUUUCUUUUGUUUGAUUCAAAAAAAAAAAAGAAAGAAAAAGAAAAGGAAAAAGAAAAAAAAAGAAAAAAAAAGAAAAAUCGAAAAAAAAAGAAAAAGAAGAAAAAAAAAUGUUUACAUUCUUGGUGACUUGAGUAGAAAUAAGCGUUUCGAUAUCAUAAAGUUCGUUCAAUGAGUUCAUUCUUCUCAUUUUGAUCUCUUUUUCUUUCAUAAACCUUUCUUUUUCAUUUAACCCAUUUAACCCCGUUACAACCUUUUAAGACCCUUAGAUUUUUGUAUUUAAUUCAUGUUUUGUGGAUUGAAAUGUGAUAUAUAAGCAAGCUUAUGGUAAUAGCAUUCUUUGAUUUGAUUUGAGUGAAUAAAUGACACCCUAAACACUUUGAGUGCAUGGAGUGAAGUCAAUGAGAGGGCUAUUAAAUCUUGUUGCACUUGAAUUUUGAAUGGAUCUUCUUGGUGGUUGAAUGUUCUUAUUCUAUCUUAUGAGAUUCUAUGCUUUAAAAUCCUUGUCUCUCGAAUGUUGAUCGACUUAAUUUCUUGAGGUAUACUUGCUUAAAAUUGUUUUUGGAUGAGUUGAGAUGAGAAUUGAGUGGAGAUUUGGGAUUAGUCUUGAGUUAUAUGCUUGAGGACAAGCAUCAUCUUGGUGUGGGGGAAUUUGUUAGAGUGCAAUUUAAGCACUAGUUUUGCAUUGUUUACUUCCCUUAAUAUCGAUGUUUUGCACUUAAUAAUAGUGAUUUACUUGUGUUUUACUUUUGUAGGUGCAAUUCUAUUGAUUGGUGAUAAAUUAAGCUACAAGAUGAUAUUUAAUGAUGAUUGUUCUCUUGGAGAAAUUAUGAGCGUCAGAAGAACUUUGUUGAUAAGGUGUGGGCGCGUGCUGUCAACUACGGACCUGCAGUUUUUAGUUUAACGUGUUUUGUAUUUUUGGUUAUUUUUGUAAUUACGAAUUUAAUAUUUCAGAUAUUAGUAUUUUAUUUUAAAUAGAACUCUAAAAGAGAAGAGAGAGAGAGUAUUUAAGGGAGGAAUCUAUUGUGAAAAAGGGGGAUUUUAGAUUGGAGAAAAAGAAAGAAACCCUAGAUCUAAAUUUUUCUCUUCUCUCUAUGAAGAACUAAACCUAUUUUUCUGGUUGAAGGUUAAUGAAGCUUUGAUUCAUCACUACUGUGAGAUCUUUCUUGUGCUUUAAUUGUUUUAUUACUUUUUGGGUAUUUGUUUAUUCUCUGAAUUAUUUUCAUGAUUAUGUUUGUUAAUGAGGUAAUUGGCCACUAUUUAAUUAUCAACUUAAUCUAUUGUCAAUUAAGGGAUUCAUCGUAUGAAGAUUUUAAUGUUUGUGACAAAUAACAUAGCAGUGAGUUGUGUUAUGAGAAUAAAUAAUCUAAUUUAAAUGAAUCAUCAUAUGUGUUGAUUAGGAUUUGGGUCUCUCUGGUUUUUCAUGUAUAAGAUAUCUAGAAGAUGAUAAUUUCACUCAAAAGAGUUUUAUUUAUUUCAUUAUUGAAAUUGUUUACAGAGGAAGGUUACAGAGAAUACAGAGGUAAUUGAAGGUUAGACAUAUGAUAUCUUUCCUUUCUUACAUGCUUUCAUUUAUAUAUCUCUCUAGAGAUAAGAUUAUCUCUUUUACAUAACACAUGUUCGAUCCUUGUGGUGGAAUCUCGAUUUCCUUUUGAUAAGGUGACCCCUUCUUCAUCAUUGAAGCCAGUAGUUGUCUUCUUUUCAUGUUGCCAGACAACCUUUAUCUUGUUCUGGUGAGCUUUUUCUUUUUUGGAAUCUCUCUUUUUGAAUUAUUGAUACUUUUUGGAUAACACCUUUUAUCUUUUUCAGUAGUCCCCGUCACAUGCCAAUUAUCAUAUCUUCAUCUAUAGACAUGUCUUCCCCACUAGAAUCUCCUUUUUUUUUUAAUCCUUCGUAGUAGUAGCCACAUGAUGACUGAUGCUUUAGCACCUUAUAUAUCUCGUGGUGUGUCAGCAAGGUGGAUUCCACGAGAUUUUCGAAUAUGCCCUUUUUCUUUUUUAAUAUGGUAUGUCUGGCUAAAAUAUUUUCUUUUCUACUCAUAGAAAAGAUUAUAUGCUCUUUUGUGGCUUCAUGGAGCCAUAUUUUCUCCUUGUUUAUCCUCUCAAGAGAUUCAUAGAGGACUUUCAUUUCUAUGGCCCUUUUGUUGGUGAGAGCUUUUGGCUCGAAUAAUUCAGGAUCAUAAUCAUUGUAGACUUGAUGUAAAUCAAUGGUUGGACUAACUUUUCUACUGCUAAUUCCAACUUGAAUCAAGUGCUGUGCUGGAUACCACUUGUUACCAUAGUAUUCAGGGCAAGCAGUGAGGAUCUUGACAAAAAUCACUUCUUUUGUUUUAGACAUGAUUUUGAGAUCAUUAAUAGCCUCUGCAACUUUUGUGGGAAGCUCUUUUAUUUCUCUGCAAUCAUCACUUACAUAAACAAGGUUAAGAAAACCAUAUUCAAACAUGUCUUUUAUUAGUUUUAGAUUAGCUCCUGGCACAACGUUUAUCAUUGGAUAUAACCCUAAAUGAUCUAGUAUAAUAGUCUGGCUAGGACGAAUCCCAUAGGCUAUUUUACCAAUUCUUUUAUAAUCAUAAGCGUAGUCGCUUCCUAUUGGUAUUUUAACCAUAGGGACAGAUUGUCUGCUUUUAUCAUAUUGGGGUCUUAGGCUUACUGAAGAUCCCUGAGAUUCUUUUUUCUUUGUACAUUGAUCUUUAAGAUCAUUGAUUGUGAGAUAUCUCUCUGAAUGUGUGACCAUUGAUCUUUAAAAUACCAAUAGGAAGAGUAGUCGCUUCCUAUUGGUAUUUUAACCAUAGGGACAGACUGUCCGCUUUUAUCAUAUUGGGGUCUUAGGCUUACUGAAGAUCCCUGAGAUUCGUCUUUCUUUGUACAUUGAUCUUUAAGAUCAUUGAUUGUGAGAUAUCUCUCUGGAUGUGUGACCUUUAAGCUCUGCGAAGAACUCGAGGCAUUUUGACCCUCAAUUUGAUCUUUAAAAUGGACAUUUUUUUAGCAUAUUGCUAAUAUAUUGUUAUGAAGUUUGGAGUUCUGGAUGAUCUUGCAAACUUUUGUUUGGGCAAAGUUUGCUCAAUUCUUCAUGGGCAUCAUCUAUCAUGGCAAGCCCAUCAUAAAUCAUACUAUUGCCUUUGAGAAGUUAUUCUUGACCUUCAGAGCACAUUAUUAUGCCCUUAAUUAUUUUGGAAAUGCUCUGCUCCAUUGUAUUCUUGGCAAAGAUUAGAUCCUUUAAUAUAUUCAAUUUCAAAAUCAUAUUCAGCAAAAAACUGCUGCCAUCUAAUUAAUGUUUUCUAUUGAGGAAGAUUAGGCAAUUUAUUGAAUAUAAAUCCUUUGACUUGAGUGUUAUCGGAUCUUACCUUAAAUUUCUUUGGUAACAAAAAGAAAGUAAAUUUAGCUAUUCCUUUUUUAAUAGCUAAUAAUUCAUUUUCAUUACUAUGAUAAUUCUUUUCUAUGGGUUUGAAGGUCCCGCUAGAAUAUCUACAAAUUUUUUCUUGAUAUGUUUUUAAGACUGCUCGCCAGUGAUUAUCUGAAGCAGUAGUUUCAAGAAUUAAAUUAUCACUAGAGGUAGGGAAUCCUAACCUUAAGUAAAAAGCCAAAAAAAUUGACUUAUUUUAUUAAGUCAAUUUUUGAAAAUAUAAAUAAUGCAAAAUAUAAGAAUAUCAUCUACAUGAUCUAUCUUAUUAUUUGAAAAUAUAAGAAUAUCAUCUACAUAAAUAAUGCAAAAUUCAUGAAAUUUUUUUAAGAUGCUAAAUAUCUUUUUAUUUAUUAUAGAAGUAAUUAAUGUAUCUUUAUGAGGUAAAAAGUAUCCAUCGAAUUUGGUAUAUUUAUUUAAUUCUUUGUAGUUAAUGACCAUAUGAGCUUUUCCUCGUUUAAUUUCAGCAUGAUUUCUAACUGAUUAGUAUUAAAAAUUGUUUAAUUAUCAAGCGAUAAUAUGUUAUUUUAUGCUUAUGUUAUAAUUUAUAUUUGUGUUUAUGUAAUAUAUUAUGAAUUAUGAAUUAUGUUUUAAAUAUAUUUAAUUUUGUGUAUUUUUAUGUGUUUAUUAGGAAAAUUAUUAAUUUCACGUACUUUGAGGCUCCAAACAGAUAAACGGAGGUCAAAUUUGGAUUCCGGAGGUCCGAAAACCUUAAGAUCAGUCAAGAUCGGCUUAAAAUUGGGCUUGUGUAAAAAAAGUUGACUUUUCCUGUUGACCGAGCACUGAUUGGAUGAUGAAAUGAGCUUACAAUAGAUAUGAGUGCAUGGGAUAACUGGCAAUCUUGACUAAAUCUCAACCGUUCAUGAUUCAAUGGCCAUGAUUGUGCCACGUGGCAAUGGUUGGUGAAGCAAGUUGGAGGAUCCGAAUCUUUGUAUUCGGGUCGACCCGAUCCACCCAUUAACCCGCCAAAUCUCAACCGUUCUUUGGGCAAAUCGGACGAGUCAAAUGAUGCCAUGUGUGAUGUUGACUUUUGAAGUUUGACCAGCCAUUGGAUCUUGAUCUAAGGGUUGUGAGGAGCACAUGCAUGAAGCCUAUGAUGGACCGCAAAGCACUGGAUUAUGAAUUUAUUUUUCUAUAAAUAGGGCCUCAUUUUUAUGUUUUAAUCAUCUCUCUACAACUCUCUUCUUCUCAAAUUCUCUCCAUCUCCUUGUAAUCUUGAUUUCCAUAUGUGUUUUUAAUAUUUUGUAUAAUUAUUUUCAUUAAUAAAAUUAGUUUUAUUUCCAAUUUUAGUUGUUUUUAUUUCUUUUAAUUAUAAGUAAUUCAAUUUUACUACUUCUUUUUAUUUUAAUUAUGCUUAACUAAAUAAUAUUAGUUAGGGGAAGGUGAAACUCUUAAGAAAUAAAUAUGAUUUAAUCAAAUUCUAUGUUUAAUUUUAUAAAUUAAAUUAUUUUCUAUUUAAUUUUAUACAUGUUUUAUAUUUUGAAAAUUUAAUUUAUUGUAGACAAACAAAUGAAUUUGGCACAAUAAAUUCUUAAGAUCUUAAUAUAAGGCAUGGUGAAAUGGUAUUUUGACUUAUUGUAGACAAAUUAAAUUUUGGCACAAUAAAUACUUAAUCCAUCAUAAAAUUAAAGGGAAAAUAAUAAUAAUUUGUAUAAUUAAUCUUUUGAGUAAUAAAUCUAAAACAAAUUGGCAAAAAGAAUUUAUUAAGUUUUAUUUAUUUCUAAGAGUGGAUCCAUAACCCUAACUAGUUCAAUUCCAUAGUUUCAUUUAAAUUAAGUUGUUUAUAUUCAAGUUUUAAUUUCAAUUUUUAGAUAAAAUAAAAUAAACUAAUUAAAUCUUUUCUCUGUGGAUCGACCUCGGACUCACCGAGUUAUAAUACAACAAGACACUCUUAUACUUGGGAGUUAAAAUUUACUUUUAAGUUGUGUCAAGUUUUUGGCGCCGUUGCCGGGGAAAAGUUUUUUAUUUGGUUUGUUUUUCCGUUUUUUAUUUUUCUCUUAUAUGUAAAACUUCGUUUGCCCCCUUUUCCUUUUCUUAAAUUCUCCUUAGUCCCCAUGUCUUUCAUAUUUCUCGUUUCACCCCAACAAUUUCCUUUUCUAGCCCAAUCUUCUGGUAAUUACGUUCGGACCCCAACAUCUUUCAACUGUUUCACUUUCAUCCCAAAUUACUAAUUCUAAACUUCUAAAAAUUACAUUUUGACCAUAAAAUUAAAAAUAAUUUGCAAUAGAAUCCCUAGACGAAAUUCCUCAACAUAAUCAAGACUUGGACAUAUUUGGACAUACUUUGGACAUAUUUGGACAUAUUUGGACUUAUUUUGGACCAAACUAACUUUAACUACUAACUCUAAUUACUAACUCUUAACUUACUAACUGCUAACUGCUAACUGCUAACUUUUAUUUAAUUUCAGUUAUUUAAUUUUCUGCAUUUAUUUUAUUUCGUAUUUAUUUAUUUGUUUUUGCUUUAUUGGUGGGUUUAACCACCAAACUAACUACUAACUCUUAACUUUUAUUUUCAGUUAUUUAAUUUUCAGUAUUUAUUUAAUUUUGUAUUUUUUAUUUUUUUUAAUUGGUGGGUUCAACCACCAUUUUUUUUUAUUUUGCAUUUAUUUAUUUAUUUAUUUUUUACUUUGUUGGUGGGUUCAACCAUCAAAAUUGUUAUUUAAUUUUCUUUUGUAUACUUAUAUUAUUUAUUUAUUUAUUUUUUUAUUUUAUUUUGUUAUCAAUUUGUGUAAAUAUUAUCUUUAUAACAUAACCAUUGCAUGAGACGUUGGUCUCGAUCUUCAAGUGGCAGGUUAAUUCGUAGAUCUCAAUCUCCACCACCAAUCAUGGAUGAGAAUGAAGGCGAAAACGUUUUGGGCGAACUUAAUCCUCAAAUUGAUCAGGGAGACAACCAAUCUCAACAUGGGCAUGAUCAGAAUCAACCAAGGACUCUGAGAGACUACAUGAAUCCAACCAGAACCGGAGCACCGUCGUGUAUAGUAUUUCCUCCAGAAGCAUCUCGAUUCAACUUUAAACCAGGUAUUAUCCAACUUUUACCAACAUUUCAUGGUUUAGAAUCUGAGAAUCCGUACUUGCAUCUAAGAGAUUUUGAGGAAGUUUGUAAUACAUACACGGACCAAAAUUGUAGCAUGAACAUAAUUAGAUUAAAGCUUUUUCCUUUUUCAUUAAAAGAUAAAGCUAAAACUUGGCUACAAAACCUUAGAUCUGGAUCAGUAAGAACUUGGAAUAACAUGCAAGAACAGUUUUUUGAAAAAAUUCUUUCCACCUCAUAGAACAAAUUCUUUUAAAAGGCAAAUCACUUCUUUCACUCAAAAAAAUGGAGAAACAUUAUACCAAUGUUGGGAUAGGUUUACAGAGUUGCUUAACAUAUGCCCACAUCAUGGUUUUGAAACUUGGCGAUUGGUCACUUAUUUCUACGAGGGCUUAAUACCCCAAAGUAGACAGGUUGUUGAAAUGAUGUGUAAUGGUGAAUUUAGGGAUAAAAAUCCUGAAGAUGCACUAGAUUACCUUGACCAAUUAGCUGAAAAUGCACAACAUUGGGAUACUGUUGGAACUUUUGAAUUGACAAAUAAGCAACAAUCAUCUCCAUCUAGUGGAGGAAUCCAUAACCUUAGGGAAGAUCAUGAUUUACAAGCAAAAUUUGCAUCCCUAGUUAGGAAAGUUGAAGCUUUGGAGCAUAAAAAGAGUGAUCAAGUAAAAUCUGUUCAAGAAAUUGCAUGUAACAUAUGUAAUUCGAAUGAUCAUUUCACUCAAGAGUGUCCCACUUUGCCUGCACUUAAAGAAUGUCUAAAUGAUCAAGCUAAUGUCAUUAACACUUUCAAUAAACCAAACCCAUAUUCACAGACUUAUAAUCCUGGUUGGAGAAAUCAUCCGAAUUUCAGUUGGAGGAAUAAUAAUAAUGCACAAUCUUCACAAGCACCACCUCCACAAAAUUUUCAAAAUCCUCAGCCUUAUGCACCAUAUGUUCCACCACCCUGGAAAAAUCUGGAAGACACAAUGCAUUCAUUCAUCAGAAAGCAAGAUGUUAUUAACAAUCAAAAUGCACAAAAUUUUUCUGAUUUGAAAGAUACUCUUGCUAAAAUUGCUUCUGCACUCACCAUUCAAGAAAAAGGAAAAUUUCCAGCCCAACCACAACCAAAUCCUAAAAUUCAACAAAAUCCACCCACAGACCAAGUCAAGUCAGUUAUAACUCUUCGUAGUGGUAAGGUUGUUGAUAGACCUAUGCCUGAACCUUAUGAAAAUGAUGAAAAUUCAAAGGGUAAGGAAGGACUAAAUGAACUUACACCUAGUGAAGAAAUAACUAGUGUUCCACCUGAACCACCAUUUCCGCAUGCAUUGAAUAAACCAAAGAAAUCAAACCACUCUUCUGAAAUUUAUGAAAUCUUUAAGCAAGUGAAAGUUAACAUUCCUCUAUUAGAUGCAAUCAAGCAGGUUCCUUUAUAUGCCAAAUUUUUAAAGGACUUGUGCACUGUUAAGAGGAAAUUGAAGGUAAGAAAGAGUGCUUUCAUGGCCGAACAGGUAAGUACAAUUCUGUCUACUAAUAAUAAGUUGAAAUAUAAAGAUCCUGGUUGUCCUACCAUUUCUUGUAUUAUUGGUAACCACAGAAUUGAGCAUGCUUUACUAGAUCUUGGUGCUAGUGUUAAUUUGCUUCCAUAUUCAGUUUAUCUUCAACUUAAUCUUGGUGAGUUAAAAUCAACUUCAACUACACUUUUGCUUGUCGAUAGAUCAGUUAAAGUACCAAAAGGAAUAGUGGAAGAUGUUUUAGUACAAGUUGAUAAAUUUAUUUAUCCUGUGGAUUUUAUUGUCUUGGAAACUGAACCUGUUGUGAAUAAUUACAAACCAAUUCCUGUAAUUUUAGGUCGACCAUUUUUAGCAACUGCUAAUGCUUUGAUUAAUUGUAGGAAUGGUUUAAUGAAUUUAUCCUUUGGGAAUAUGACUUUGGAAUUGAAUGUUUUCAACAUGUGCAGGCAACCUAAUGAAGAAAAUGAGAAUGAAGAUGAUACUGAUGAACAAAAGGAAUUGUUUGAAUCUUGUAUCGAGGAAAAUAUUCAAAAAGGGGAUUUUUCUGAACUUUCAAAUGUUUGUUUAGUUAAUUCAAUUGAGUCAAAUAAGCAACUUGAACUUGAUAUUUCUAAUAUAAAUUCGUUGCUUGAUUCUGUGCAGACUUCACAAAAUUAUGAUGACGAGCCAAAAUUUGAGGAGCUUGGAAGUAUUGAAAAGACAGAACAACAAGAAGCACCUAAAAUGGAAUUGAAACCUUUGCCUGAAGGAUUGAAAUAUGCUUUUCUUGGAGAAGAACAAACUUAUCCUGUUGUGAUUUCUUCUACUUUAACAAGCGACCAAGAAGGUAAGUUACUUACUGUUCUUAAAAAGCAUAAAAAUGCAAUAGGAUGGACUUUAAAUGACAUUAAAGGCAUUAAUCCCUUAAUCUGCACACAUAGAAUUAAUUUGGAAGAAAAUGCUAAAAUAUGUCAACAACCUCAAAGAAGAUUAAACCCACACAUGAAAGAGGUAGUCAAAACAGAAGUCCUUAAAUUACUUGAUGUGGGAAUUAUCUACCCUGUUUCUGAUAGUAAGUGGGUAAGUCCUACACAAGUAGUGCCUAAAAAAUCUGAAAUCACUGUUGUUAAAAAUGAAAAAGGUGAAUUAAUUCCAACACGAAUUACAUCUAGUUGACGCAUGUGCAUUGAUUAUAGAAAAUUAAAUGAAGCCACUAGAAAAGAUCAUUUUCCAUUACCAUUCCUUGACCAAAUCUUAGAAAGAGUAGCAGGACAUCCCUACUACUGUUUUUUAGAUGGAUAUUCAGGUUAUUAUCAAAUUCCUAUAGCACUUGAGGACCAAGAAAAGACCACAUUCACAUGUCCUUUUGGAACAUUUGCAUUUAAAAGAAUGCCAUUCGGGCUUUGUAAUGCUCCUGCAACAUUUCAAAGAUGUAUGUUAAGCAUUUUUUGUGAUAUGGUUGAACAUUGUUUAGAGGUCUUUAUGGAUGAUUUGACUGUGUUUGGGAAUUCUUUUGAUGAUUGCCUUGAUAAUUUGGAGAAAGUUUUAAAAAGAUGUGUUGAAAAAGAACUCGUGUUGAAUUGGGAAAAAUGUCACUACAUGGUUACUUCUGGAAUUGUUUUGGGUCAUGUUGUUUCUAUUAAAGGAAUUGAAGUUGACAAAGCAAAAAUCGAAGUCAUAUCUAAAUUGCCACAACCAAAAACAGUUAGAGAUGUGCGAUCCUUUUUAGGACAUGCAGGAUUUUAUAGGAGGUUUAUAAAAAACUUUAGUGCCAUAUCUAAACCACUUUGUAACCUCUUAUUAAAAGAUGCACCGUUUGAAUGGAAUGAUGAUUGCCAAAAAUCUUUUGAAAAAAUAAUUUGUCUUUUAACAUCUGCACCUAUUAUGCAAUCUCCUGAUUGGUCUUUGCCAUUUGAAUUAAUGUGUGAUGCAAGUGAUUUUGCUGUUGGUGCUGUUUUAGGACAAAGAAGGGAUGGUAAGCCUUUUGUGAUUUAUUAUGCGAGUAAGACUUUAGAUAGUGCUCAAAUGAAUUAUUCUACAACUGAAAAAGAAUUACUUGCUGUGGUAUUUGCAUUAAACAAAUUCCGUUCAUAUUUGCUUGGCUCCAAAUCUGUUGUGUUUACUGACCACGCUGCUGUGAGAUAUUUGAUGAGUAAACAGGAUGCCAAACCGAGGAUAAUUCGUUGGAUUUUGUUACUACAAGAAUUUGACCUUACCAUCAAAGAUAAAAAGGGUGCUGAAAAUGUUGUUGCGGAUCAUCUAUCAAGACUCACAUCCGAAUUCUGCAAUGAUAUAACACCCAUAAAUGAUUCUUUCCCUGAUGAAUUUUUAUUUUCUGUUACUUCAAUGCCAUGGUAUGCUAACAUUGUUAAUUUCCUUGUUACAGGUAAAAUGCCUUUGCAAUGGAAUGCUCAAGAGAAGAAGAAAUUUUUUGUUGAAGUAAAGAAAUUUUAUUGGGAUGACCCUUAUUUGUUCAAAUAUUGCCCAGAUCAAAUUUUUCGGCGAUGUAUUCCUCAUAAUGAGGUAAGUAGUGUCAUUAAUUUUUGUCAUUCUGAAGCAUGUGGUGGUCAUUUUUCUUCAAGAAAAACUAUUGCUAAAAUUUUACAGUGUGGAUUUUAUUGGCCUACCAUGUUUAAAGACACAUAUGAAUUCUGCAAAAGUUGUGAAAAAUGUCAAAAAUUGGGAUCAAUUACAAAAAGAAACAUGAUGCCCUUAAAUCCCAUACUUGAAAUUGAAAUAUUUGACUGUUGGGGAAUUGAUUUCAUGGGUCCAUUUCCAUCAUCUUUUGGAUUUGUGUAUAUAUUAGUUGCAGUUGAUUAUGUCUCAAAAUGGAUUGAAGCAAUUUCUUGUCGAAAUAAUGACAGUAAAACUGUGAUUAAAUUUUUAAGAGAAAACAUUUUAAGUCGAUUUGGAAUCCCUCGAGCCAUUAUCAGUGAUGGAGGUAAGCAUUUUUGUAAUAAGUCAUUUGAGUCUUUAAUGAAGAAAUAUGGAAUUACACAUAAAAUUGCUACCCCUUAUCAUCCUCAAACAAAUGGUCAAGUUGAAUUAGCAAAUAGGGAGAUAAAACAAAUUUUGGAAAAAACGGUUAACCCAAACCGAAAAGAUUGGUCUCUUAGACUUAAUGAUGCACUUUGGGCUUACCGCACUGCAUUUAAAACAUCAUUAGGAAUGUCACCCUAUCGGUUAAUUUAUGGUAAACCUUGUCAUUUACCUGUUGAACUUGAACAUAAAUCACUUUGGGCUAUUAAAGCUUUUAAUUCAAAUUUGGAUGAUGCUGGUAAUGUGCGAAAAUUGCAAUUGAAUGAACUUGAGGAAUUAAGGAAUGAUGCAUAUGAAAAUUCAAGAAUUAUUAAGGCAAGAACAAAAGAAGAUUAAACCCACACAUGAAAGAGGUAGUCAAAACAGAAGUCCUUAAAUUACUUGAUGUGGGAAUUAUCUACCCUAUUUCUGAUAGUAAGUGGGUAAGUCCUACACAAGUAGUGCCUAAAAAAUCUGAAAUCACUGUUGUUAAAAAUGAAAAAGGUGAAUUAAUUCCAACACGAAUUACAUCUAGUUGACGCAUGUGCAUUGAUUAUAGAAAAUUAAAUGAAGCCACUAGAAAAGAUCAUUUUCCAUUACCAUUCCUUGACCAAAUCUUAGAAAGAGUAGCAGGACAUCCCUACUACUGUUUUUUAGAUGGAUAUUCAGGUUAUUAUCAAAUUCCUAUAGCACUUGAGGACCAAGAAAAGACCACAUUCACAUGUCCUUUUGGAACAUUUGCAUUUAAAAGAAUGCCAUUCGGGCUUUGUAAUGCUCCUGCAACAUUUCAAAGAUGUAUGUUAAGCAUUUUUUGUGAUAUGGUUGAACAUUGUUUAGAGGUCUUUAUGGAUGAUUUGACUGUGUUUGGGAAUUCUUUUGAUGAUUGCCUUGAUAAUUUGGAGAAAGUUUUAAAAAGAUGUGUUGAAAAAGAACUCGUGUUGAAUUGGGAAAAAUGUCACUACAUGGUUACUUCUGGAAUUGUUUUGGGUCAUGUUGUUUCUAUUAAAGGAAUUGAAGUUGACAAAGCAAAAAUCGAAGUCAUAUCUAAAUUGCCACAACCAAAAACGGUUAGAGAUGUGCGAUCCUUUUUAGGACAUGCAGGAUUUUAUAGGAGGUUUAUAAAAAACUUUAGUGCCAUAUCUAAACCACUUUGUAACCUCUUAUUAAAAGAUGCACCGUUUGAAUGGAAUGAUGAUUGCCAAAAAUCUUUUGAAAAAAUAAUUUGUCUUUUAACAUCUGCACCUAUUAUGCAAUCUCCUGAUUGGUCUUUGCCAUUUGAAUUAAUGUGUGAUGCAAGUGAUUUUGCUGUUGGUGCUGUUUUAGGACAAAGAAGGGAUGGUAAGCCUUUUGUGAUUUAUUAUGCGAGUAAGACUUUAGAUAGUGCUCAAAUGAAUUAUUCUACAACUGAAAAAGAAUUACUUGCUGUGGUAUUUGCAUUAAACAAAUUCCGUUCAUAUUUGCUUGGCUCCAAAUCUGUUGUGUUUACUGACCACGCUGCUGUGAGAUAUUUGAUGAGUAAACAGGAUGCCAAACCGAGGAUAAUUCGUUGGAUUUUGUUACUACAAGAAUUUGACCUUACCAUCAAAGAUAAAAAGGGUGCUGAAAAUGUUGUUGCGGAUCAUCUAUCAAGACUCACAUCCGAAUUCUGCAAUGAUAUAACACCCAUAAAUGAUUCUUUCCCUGAUGAAUUUUUAUUUUCUGUUACUUCAAUGCCAUGGUAUGCUAACAUUGUUAAUUUCCUUGUUACAGGUAAAAUGCCUUUGCAAUGGAAUGCUCAAGAGAAGAAGAAAUUUUUUGUUGAAGUAAAGAAAUUUUAUUGGGAUGACCCUUAUUUGUUCAAAUAUUGCCCAGAUCAAAUUUUUCGGCGAUGUAUUCCUCAUAAUGAGGUAAGUAGUGUCAUUAAUUUUUGUCAUUCUGAAGCAUGUGGUGGUCAUUUUUCUUCAAGAAAAACUAUUGCUAAAAUUUUACAGUGUGGAUUUUAUUGGCCUACCAUGUUUAAAGACACAUAUGAAUUCUGCAAAAGUUGUGAAAAAUGUCAAAAAUUGGGAUCAAUUACAAAAAGAAACAUGAUGCCCUUAAAUCCCAUACUUGAAAUUGAAAUAUUUGACUGUUGGGGAAUUGAUUUCAUGGGUCCAUUUCCAUCAUCUUUUGGAUUUGUGUAUAUAUUAGUUGCAGUUGAUUAUGUCUCAAAAUGGAUUGAAGCAAUUUCUUGUCGAAAUAAUGACAGUAAAACUGUGAUUAAAUUUUUAAGAGAAAACAUUUUAAGUCGAUUUGGAAUCCCUCGAGCCAUUAUCAGUGAUGGAGGUAAGCAUUUUUGUAAUAAGUCAUUUGAGUCUUUAAUGAAGAAAUAUGGAAUUACACAUAAAAUUGCUACCCCUUAUCAUCCUCAAACAAAUGGUCAAGUUGAAUUAGCAAAUAGGGAGAUAAAACAAAUUUUGGAAAAAACGGUUAACCCAAACCGAAAAGAUUGGUCUCUUAGACUUAAUGAUGCACUUUGGGCUUACCGCACUGCAUUUAAAACAUCAUUAGGAAUGUCACCCUAUCGGUUAAUUUAUGGUAAACCUUGUCAUUUACCUGUUGAACUUGAACAUAAAUCACUUUGGGCUAUUAAAGCUUUUAAUUCAAAUUUGGAUGAUGCUGGUAAUGUGCGAAAAUUGCAAUUGAAUGAACUUGAGGAAUUAAGGAAUGAUGCAUAUGAAAAUUCAAGAAUUAUUAAGGCAAGAACAAAAGCAUUUCAUGAUAAAAGAAUUUUUCGAAAAACAUUUGAGAUUGGUCAAAAAGUGUUGCUUUAUAAUUCUCGUCUUCAUUUAUUUCCAGGAAAGUUAAAGUCAAAAUAGAGUGGCCCAUUUGUUGUAAAAAAUGUAUAUUCAUAUGGGGCCAUAGAAAUUGAGAAUCCAAAUAACGGUGUCACAUUUAAAGUUAAUGGUCAAAGAUUAAAACCAUAUCUGGAACAUCACCCACGUGACGAGGACACCGAAAUUAAUUUGGAUGACCCACCAGUUCUUGAUUAAGUCUUUAAUGAUUUUUUUUUUUUUUACUAUUAUUUUACCGUUUCAUUGUUUGAUUUUUUUUCUUUAGAUUGAUGCACUGUACAUAGUUUUUUUUUAACAUUGUUUUUCUUGUGUAAGCGUGUUUGUUUGACAGUUGUACAUUCUCUCAUCAAUUUUCAUUUUACAUCAUGAGCACCUCAAUGAGAAAAUACCUAUUCGCACAUCUUAAAAGAUUUCGGCGUAUAAAAUUUCACUUAAGAGGCCUAAUACAAAGCUGUAAAUCACAUCCACUUUGGGAUCUGCAACCACCAGAAUUCGUGUCCUAUGUUGAGGAUCUAGAAGGACAACUCAGAACAGUAGAGAGUGGCAUAUAUGAAUUUCAAAUAGAGCUUGAGGUUAACUCAAUGAGAGGACGAAUGUAAGUUCAUUUUCCUUUUAUAUUGUGUGCUUUUUUUUUGCUCGCUUUCACGCUUGAUUUGAUUUUGCAGAUUUGAUUUUGGUGUGUUUUGAUUUAUUUUCCCGUAUAAAUGGCGGAUAACGGUACUCCGUGACUUCUUAAGUCGGUAUCUUCAGUUUCCCACAAUAACUGAAACCCCAAAAUCAAACAUGGAAGAAAUACAACAUAAACUCCAUAAGCAUUUUCCCUCUCUCCCUCAGAAUGCCCUCAGGAAAAUUUACAAAGCUCGUUGUGAACGACUGCGUUUGUUAAUGAUCAAUGGCAUUCUUUCUGACAUUCGUUGGUUAAUUGAAGCAAAGGUCUGAUUAGCAGGUGAGUUUUCUAGUCAAUUUGUUUCUUACAUGCCUGGUUUUGGUAAAAGUACGUUUGCUAAGAAAAGGAGAGCUAAACGACUUGGCUCAAAAUGUCAUAACUGUGUAAGACUUGGUUGCAAACGACCGGAUUGUAAAUCUUUAGGAAUGGUUUCUGAUACUCGUGAAGAUAAAAUUAAAUUCGUUAAAGAUGGCAUGAGUAAAGAAUCGUUGGAUGAUAUCUUACGAUCUCUUGAGACGCAUCGAAGCGGAAUUGUGCAAUGUGAGAUUUACAAUUUGUGGAUACUAUUCCAAAAACAAAGUGCACAGUUAAGUCUUGGGAAUCUGACUCAAAAAGACCCUGUUUGCCAGUUUAUAAGAAAACUGGAUGGGAAGCCGAUCCUCGACCCAUAGAGGGCGUUCAAGCCGUUACUGGACGUAAAACCAGAGGAAGAUGUGAGCCACAAUCACAACUACUAGUAAAUAUCCUUUCACUUCACUGUUAUUUUACUUUACUGUUAUUUUAUCAUUUGAAUUAUUGCAUUUAGCGAUGUGAUUUUGUAUUUAUUUGGUUUCUUUUACUGUUUGCUUUUUCUAAUCAUUACUUUUUUUUUUACUAUUUGUUUUUGAAUUAUUGAGCCACGAGCUUUCCUCGUCAUUUGACAAAUAUGCCAACCCAUUUACAGCUGUUUCUCUUUAUUUAUGUCACCAAGAUCUUUAAAUAUGAGCUCGUUUUUCAAACACUCACAACUUGUUUUUGAAAAAUUAGUCCAAUGGCAGCAUCUUCAAGUAAACAAUUCAAAAAUAUUUGUGUGCUUUCUGGGUUUCACUAUGGAAAGUACAAAGAGUUCGUUCAGGUAGCUGUAGAUCUUGGUCGUGUCAUAGCAGAGAGGAAACUGCAUCUUGUAUAUGGAGGAGGUGAACGAGGGUUAUCAAGACUUGUCUCAGAAGCUGUUUUUACCAGAGGAAGCCAAGUACUCGGCAUUAUCCCAAAACCCAUGAAACCGCUAGUGUGCAUGUCUGGCCCACCAAUUGGAGAAGAAUUAGUGGUAUCAAGUAUGCAAGAGAGAAUAUCUGAAAUGAUGAAUCAUGCUGAUGCUUUUAUUUUCUUGCCAGGAGAUCUUGCAACUUUUGAGGCACUAAUUACAUUUGCAUCUUGGGCCCACUUGAACAUUCAUCAAAAGCCCAUCGGUUUGUUAAAUGUUAAUAAUUUUUAUGACGGCUUGCUAACUUUUAUUAAUCAUGCAAUAAAGAAUCAUUUUGUUCCACAUUCUGUAAAAAAACUCUUUAUCUCUGCUUCUACUGCUAAUGAGUUACUUGAUCUUUUACAAGCUUAUACACCAGAGCCAGAUCCACAGACUGUUGCACUGAAUUGGUCGACUAAUGAUGGUAACGGUAACAGUAGCAGUAAUAAGAAGUGCGAUUUAGAUUUAACUCUCCGUUUGUAAAUAUUUGCUGUUGUAGUGUUCAUGUGAUGUCUUCUACACUCUUUCUAUUUCCUUUUAAAACAUUGAGGACAAUGUCUUUUUCAGGUUGGGGGGAGGGAAUAGUUGAUAAUUGUGGAAUGUCUUAGUCCUGGUUAUGUGUUUACAAAAAAAAAAAAAAAAAAAACAAUAACAAAAUUUUUUUUUUCUGUAAAGACUAACUUAGGACAAAUUUGAGUCGAAGAUGGCAGGAUAUAGAGAAUGUAGUCUCUCUAGAAACGCAUCUUCUUAAUCUUAAGGGUGUUGUUAAAAAAAAAAAAAAAUUGACUUUUUCUUCAUCUUUGUUAUCUACUUUUAAGCUUCUGCAUCAAGUUAAGGUGAGAUCUCCUAUUCUUCUUCUUUUAUUAUUCUCUUUUAUUUUUAUUUAUUAUUAUUAUUAUUUUUUUGCAUAUCUGUAAAAUUAUAAAAUGUUAGGAUAAUGUUUAGAUUAGGUUGUGGGGUGGGGAUAAUUGACGUAUGUUUUAAAUAUGUAUGUUGUUUUUUUCUCUUUUCUCUUUUCUUUUCUUUUCUUUGCCAAAAAAAAAAAAAAAUUGUUUUUUGUCUAGGAUGGCCGUGUAAAGAGUCACGACUUUUGAGACGCAUCCUAAUAGUCUUGUUGUAUUAUAUUUUGAUUUUGAGAUUCAUGGUAAGUUGUUUUUGUUCCCUUUUCUUUGAAUUACUCAAAUUUGUGAACUCUCCACUUGGUUAUUAAGUUAUUUAAUUGUUUACUCAUUUAACAGGUAUUAUUGAAUCAUUCUUCACACACACAUUAUGACACAUACUAGUGGGUUGUAAGUUAAAAUUUUACAGCAUUUAGUUCUUUUGAUUUAUUAGGAAAAGUAUCUAAGGUAGUAGAAAGUGUAUAGUUCCAAAAAAAAAAAAAAAAGUAGAAAAAAAAUUGUUUUUAAUUUUUCUAUAUCUAGAACCCGAGUAAUUAAGUCCGUAGGGGUGUUUCAACACCUAGUGCCCUAAGGUCAACUGGUCUGGGAGUCACUGGCCUAAAGCUCACUACAUGGGUAAUAGAUAUAUUGUUUGUUUAUUAGAAACCCGAGUAAUUAAGUCCGUAGGGGUGCUUUAACACCUAGUGCCCUAAGGGCAACUGGUCUGGGAGUCACUGACCCAAAGCUCGCUACACGGGUUAGAAAUGUAAUAUAUAAAAAAAAAAUGUGUGAAUAAUCUAUUGCCUAAAGAUAUAAUUUCUAAUGAAUUUUAGAACGAAAAUGUUGUUUUUCUUUUAAUGAAGCCCCAUAAGUAUUGUGUUAAUUACUUGAGCACAAAAGAAGGUUUGAUGAUAUUCUGGAUAAUGAGUGAACAUCAAUGUGGUAAAGGAAUUUGGGAGAGUUCAUUUAUUUGGUAAUUUAGAGGAUAGAUGAACAACUAUUAACUUGCAUGUGAAUUUUAUAAAUCUUAAUAUAACGCUUUAAUUGCUAGAGGGCUAGCAAUAAGCUGGUUGGGGGGUGUGAUUAGUAUUAAAAAUUGUUUAAUUAUCAAGCGAUAAUAUGUUAUUUUAUGCUUAUGUUAUAAUUUAUAUUUGUGUUUAUGUAAUAUAUUAUGAAUUAUUAAUUAUGUUUUAAAUAUAUUUAAUUUUGUGUAUUUUUAUGUGUUUAUUAGGAAAAUUAUUAAUUUCACGUACUUCGAGGCUCCAAACAGAUAAACGGAGGUCAAAUUUGGAUUCCGGAGGUCCGAAAACCUUAAGAUCAGUCAAGAUCGGCUUAAAAUUGGGCUUGUGUAAAAAAAGUUGACUUUUCCUGUUGACCGAGCACUGAUUGGAUGAUGAAAUGAGCUUACAAUAGAUAUGAGUGCAUGGGAUAACUGGCAAUCUUGACUAAAUCUCAACCGUUCAUGAUUCAAUGGCCAUGAUUGUGCCACGUGGCAAUGGUUGGUGAAGCAAGUUGGAGGAUCCGAAUCUUUGUAUUCGGGUCGACCCGAUCCACCCAUUAACCCGCCAAAUCUCAACCGUUCUUUGGGCAAAUCGGACGAGUCAAAUGAUGCCAUGUGUGAUGUUGACUUUUGAAGUUUGACCAGCCAUUGGAUCUUGAUCUAAGGGUUGUGAGGAGCACAUGCAUGAAGCCUAUGAUGGACCGCAAAGCACUGGAUUAUGAAUUUAUUUUUCUAUAAAUAGGGCCUCAUUUUUAUGUUUUAAUCAUCUCUCUACAACUCUCUUCUUCUCAAAUUCUCUCCAUCUCCUUGUAAUCUUGAUUUCCAGGUGUGUUUUUAAUAUUUUGUAUAAUUAUUUUCAUUAAUAAAAUUAGUUUUAUUUCCAAUUUUAGUUGUUUUUAUUUCUUUUAAUUAUAAGUAAUUCAAUUUUACUACUUCUUUUUAUUUUAAUUAUGCUUAACUAAAUAAUAUUAGUUAGGGGAAGGUGAAACUCUUAAGAAAUAAAUAUGAUUUAAUCAAAUUCUAUGUUUAAUUUUAUAAAUUAAUUUAUUUUCUAUUUAAUUUUAUACAUGUUUUAUAUUUUGAAAAUUUGAUUUAUUGUAGACAAACAAAUGAAUUUGGCACAAUAAAUUCUUAAGAUCUUAAUAUAAGGCAUGGUGAAAUGGUAUUUUGACUUAUUGUAGACAAAUUAAAUUUUGGCACAAUAAAUACUUAAUCCAUCAUAAAAUUAAAGGGAAAAUAAUAAUAAUUUGUAUAAUUAAUCUUUUGAGUAAUAAAUCUAAAACAAAUUGGCAAAAAGAAUUUAUUAAGUUUUAUUUAUUUCUAAGAGUGGAUCCAUAACCCUAACUAGUUCAAUUCCAUAGUUUCAUUUAAAUUAAGUUGUUUAUAUUCAAGUUUUAAUUUCAAUUUUUAGAUAAAAUAAAAUAAACUAAUUAAAUCUUUUCUCUGUGGAUCGACCUCGGACUCACCGAGUUAUAAUACAACAAGACACUCUUAUACUUGGGAGUUAAAAUUUACUUUUAAGUUGUGUCACUAACUAUAAAGGCUGGGUUACUUUGAGGACUUUUAGAUUCUCCAAAAUUUUUAUCAAGUUUUUCUAUUUUUUUUUUCAUAAUCUGAUAUAAUUUGAUUGAUUUUUAUAUUGUAUUCACCACGCUGGCUGCUUCGAAAAUGUAAUUUUCGAGUUGUUUACCUAAUAAGAUUAUAAAUUCUUGGUGUGGUGAUGGAAUGAUUACAUGGUGUUGUAAGAGUAAUUCUUUCGUUAGUCAUUAUAUAAAUGAACUGACAAAGGAAAUUGACUUCUAAAAGUAUAUAUGCUCCUAUAUGAUUAUAAGACCAUAAUAUAUGGAUACUUAAAAUGUAAUCUUCGAUUUGGAUUAAAGUUUUUAUCCUACAUGUUCCUAAAAUGAUUUGUUCACCAUUUAUUCCUUGUCCUGUUAAGGGUUUAUAAUCUUUCGAAUAUGAUUUUGGAUAAAUCCUUAAAUUAGGUAAGCUAACUCCUGAACCAGUGUCUAUUAAAGCAUGAAACCAUUCUGGCUUAUGCUUAUAAUAUGGUUUAAUCACUUUUAUAUAAACUAUAAAAAGAUUAGACAUAUCUUGAUAUGGUUUGCUUAAUUCCUUCAACUGUUAAGCUUAUUUUUCUAUCUCCUAUAGAAUAAGGAGUAAAAUUCUCAAGAAAGUUCAUCCCUAAUAAUAAAGGACUUAUUUAUGUUUCAUAAUCUGGUUCUAUGAAAAAAGAAAAGAUGAAUUCUAUCCCUUUUAUUCUUAAUAGUAUUUCACUAUAUUGACUUAAUGUCUUUCUUUCUCCAUUAAAUCCUACAUAAGUAUGAGGCUCAAUUAAAAUUUUUCUUUCUAAAUAUUUAAUAAUUUUAGAAUCUACAUAAGAUUUUGCAGCUCCUGUAUCAAGGAUAGCAAAAGUCUCGUGCCAUGAUUUUCCAUUAUUAUAUUCAAUCUUAAUUUUUAGAUUUUGAUUAUCCAGUAUUGCUAAAUUUACUGGACUAUUUGUCCUUUCUCGAAAAUGAGCUCUUAUCAUGACUUGAAUUCCUCCGAUAUGAACAUAUCCAAUUUUAAGUCUAUCACUAGAUUUUAUCUCAUUUAUCUUAUCUUUUAUAUCAGUUUUUAAUAAUAAUGGUAUAUUUGUAUUUCCUCUAGCAUACCUAAUUUCAAUAGGUUCUUCUCUUACAGUAGCACUAAGAUACAUUAUAUUUUUUCUUUUAAUCAUGUUAGCAAUGCCUUGUGCUAACUUAUUAACCGAAGUCAUAGAUGAUUCCAAUCCUUUUUUAUUAUUCUUGAGAUAUUGCUUUUUAUCAAAGAUUAAUUCUCUAUUAAAAGAACCUUGUUCUUCUAACUCUUCAUCUUGAUAUAAAUCUUUAUUUUCUAAUUCUUCUAUACUCAUUCUGAAUCAGAUUCUAAAUCAGAACUUCUCAAAGUUUCAUUAGAAAGAUAAUAUAUGCUAUCAUUUUCACUAAUAUCUUUGCUAUCGGUGAUUAAUUCUAAAUCAUUGAAAUCUUCAAAUAUUUUUAUAUUUGCUUUCUUCGUUUUAGGACAUUCAUUUGCAUAAUGUUCUUCUUCAUUACAUAACUAGCACUUGCAUUUUUUAGGUGCAUUGGUUUUGGAUCUUCUUUUAAAUUUAUUUUUCUUGUAGAAUUUCUUUUUAUAUUUAUUUUUCUUGUAAUAUUUCCUGUUGGCUUUAAAGAAUUUCUUCUUUUUGAAUUUUUUUUCUUGUGUUUAUAGAUUUUAUCUGAACAUCCAAAUCUUGGCGGAUCUUCUAAUUUAGAACAACAUAAUUCUCGAUUUUGCCUUUUCAUAAGUCUUCUAUCUCUUAUUUCAGAACACUAUUCAUUUAUUCUAUUUUGAGCAAAUCUAAUCCUAUUUCGUAAUGUAUAAGUUUCUGUAGUAUCUUUGUAUUCUUUGUUAUAUUCCAACAUAAUCCUUCUACCCCAUGGGUCUGGUAUCUUUACAAAAUAUAGAUCAUGGUAAUAGCAUAUGUUAUCCUCAUCUUUAUCAAAUUCACAUUUAUAAUAUAAUUCUUCGAAGCUACAUGUAUAUUCUUCUAAAUAACAUAUAUUACAUAUUUCAAGCCUUGUUAGCUUCAUUAAAUUUUCUAUCUGUUUUCUUUUUAUUUCUUGUUGAAAAUCAGUUUCCCAAUCUUCUCCCAAGAAUUUUUUUCUUAUUUCAUUUUCGAAUCUAUUUAAAACCUGAUCAACACUUUCGUUUCGAUUAUUAUUUUCUCCAUACAAUAUUCUAUUUUUAUGAUUAUCAUUUAAUCCCAUAAACCAAUGAGAAACAAUUCCUAUAAACGAAAUUUUAAGGAAUUCUAUACUAUUAUCCCUAUCAAUUUUGUGAAAUGCAAAAGCCAUUUUCAUAGAUUUAACCCAAGCGGUAAUCGUUUUAUCUCUAUCUUUGAUACAGUCUAAACCUAACCAUACACCAUCAUGGUUGAUUGGUCUUUCUCUAUAUUCUCCUGGAGUUUUAUGAUCUUUUUUAGGUUUGUUAAUCCUAAAAUAUUGACCUUGUGCUCUUUCCUGAGUUGGUAUUUCUUCCCUAACAUAGGAAGCUCUAUUACUAGUUUCUCCUUGUUAAAAACCGUUUAACUUUGGUUCAUUCAUUUUUAGAUGUUCUAUUCUAUUUUCAAUAUCCUGCAAAUUAAUGACUAUAUCAUCUUCUUCUUCGGAUUCAGAUUCUUUAUCAGAUAUCUCUUGAUUAGGUAAUUCUAUGUUUUCACUUAGCAUUCUUAGACUUAUUAAUUUUUUGUCUUUGUUUAUUUUGUUAAAUAUCGGUUUAGAUGUUGUUAUCAUUUCUUUAUCUUUAAGUUCAUUAUAGUAAAUUAUGGUAUCUUGUAAAAUUUUAUUUUGUUUAUUGAUCUUCUGUACUUCAAUCCUUUUGUAAUUUUCCAUUUAUGCUUAUAGCGAAUUUAUUACCAAUUUUUUCAUCGAUUUUUUCAAUUUUUUGUAGUUGAUUUCAAUCUUGUUGAAUUUAUUUUCAAUUGAACUUUUGUUCACAAUAUUAAAGAUUUCUUGUUUUAAUCUAUCUUGAUCUUCAAUAUUAAAGUCUUUUAUUAAUAGCUUAACAAAAUCAAAUUCUUCACUCAUUCGCUAUCCUAUCAUUUUGACUUGUCUUAUAUUUUCGGCAUCAAAGCUUUUAAUCUCAAGUAUCUUAUUUACACUUUCUAUAUCAUCUAUGGUUAAAUUAGGGUUUCCUAAUUUAUUUAAUAAAUAUAAUGAGAUCCAAUUUAAUUGAUUAUUUCCCCACAUAUCAGAAUCAUUUACUAAAUCAAAUGGUUGAAAUCUUCCAUAAGUAAAUCCUCUAUGCCUAUAGCUAGAAGGUGGUAAUAUGUUGGUUUCAAUAUUUCUAUAUACUUCUCUCCUGAUCCUAAAGAGAAGAAUAGGAUCAAUAUUUAAAUUUCUAAUUUUUAUUAUGAUGAGUUCUCCAAUUUUAAAUUCAUGAACUCUAACUAAAUAAAAUUGUAUUAAUUGUUUAUCAUCCAAUAUAUUAACUUCUGAAUAAUAAUAUUGUUUAUGUUUUGUUAUAUUAUCUUUAACUCCACACUUGUUUAAAAUUCAACACACAGAUGUGCCUCUUUCUUACUAUACUGGAAUCCUCGGUAAACUUUUUGUUUGCGCAAUUUAUGUGAGCAAAUUGUGUCUUCUUUUUCAUAUGUAAAUGUUUUUGAUAUCUUGAUGUGAAGGUAGAAAAUUGCAUGUUUUGAGUUUUUGCAUAUUUGAUGGAAACACAGAACUGUACCUGAAUCUUUCAGAACCCCCUUUUCUUUGAAGUUUGAACACUUUUCUUGAAUGUAUCAACUUUAUUUAUGGGAUAUGUUGCCAAAUUGGCAAAUCUAUUCGUUAUAAAACUUUCCUUUGACAGUUUAAUCUAAGCAGAUGUUAAUUAUGCAAAUAGAGUGUGCCUAAGAUUAGUUUCAUAGAUUUGUCUCCUUCUGUACAGUAAAAACUUUGAGCAUUUUCGCCAUAUUCUGAUCAAUACACUCCAACUAGUUAGUUCUUGAGGCGUUUUAUGGUUUCGUGGAGUGAGGCAAGAUGUAUACGUUUGCAAAUUGGCAAUGUCUUUUGCUUGAUGGGUUGAGAGUUGUGAGUGUCAACAGGAAACAAGACCUCUGUUUUAUGAACUCCAAAAAGUUAUUCUGUUAAAAAGAUCGAGACAGAGGCCAUACUAUAUUUAUUAUUGCUAUAAAAGUGUGAAAAAAUAUUCUUUGUUUAAUAUUCUAAACGAUUGAGCCAUUUAGUUAUGAUACUCUGCUGUAUUGGGGCUAAUAAUCUAAGUCGGUUCAAAGUGGUAAAUUUAUAAAUUGAUAGGUAUGCCUGGUAUGACCGCUUACGUUGGAUUUUAUGAGGUCUGCUCUCCUAAGCAAGGAGAGUGUGUCUUCAUAUCCGCAGCAUCUGGUGCAGUUGGACAGCUUGUGGGGCAGUUUGCAAAGUUAUUGGAUUGCUAUGUCGUCGGAAGUGCUGGAAGCAAAGACAAGGUAUGUAAUCUGUGUGAAGUACUUGAUUGUUUCCAUGUUACUUUCAAACAUUUAAAUUAAAAAGGAAAUUUUCAUAAUCUUGCCUUUUCUAUGAUUUUCAAAACCAAGGUUGAUCUACUGAAGAACAAGUUUGGGUUCGACGAGGCAUUUAACUAUAAAGAAGAAGCUGAUUUGAAUGCAGCAUUGAAAAGGUUAGCAUCAAUAAAUGCCUUAGCUUGAUGCAGCUUGAUGAAGUAUGAUACACAUUUCUGACCAAUAUACUGCGUUCCCUGAUCUCUUACUUGAAAUAUCUUGGUUUGAGAAUCUCAUGCCAAUGCCUUUAACAUUUUGGCAGGUACUUUCCUGAAGGAAUUGAUAUAUAUUUUGAAAACGUUGGUGGAAAAUUGCUUGACGCAGUGCUACCCAACAUGAAAAUCCGUGGUCGAAUUGAUGCAUGCGGUAUGAUCUCACAGUACAAUCUUGACAAGCCUGAAGGUGUGCACAACUUGAUGUAUCUUGUUUCGAAACGGCUUCGAAUGGAAGGAUUCAUUGUUCUCGAUCACUAUCACCUCUAUCCAAAGUUUCUGGAAAUGAUCAUUCCUCACAUCAAAGAAGGGAAGCUUGUAUACGUCGAAGACAUGGCUGAAGGUCUUGAGAGUGCUCCGGCAGCUCUCAUCGGUCUAUUCUCUGGCCAGAAUAUUGGGAAACAAGUGGUUGCUGUUGCUCCUUAAUGAAGAACAAGUUAGUGUUGUCUGUCCUUUUACCCUUUGACACAAAACUUCAAUGUUAAAGAGAGAAUGCUGUUCAUAUAUACUGCUUUAUAAAAUAAUCAAGUGAGUGCAAGUUUCAUGAUAUUUGCUGAAUAAAAUAUUGGAAAUUAAGCAGCUAGCCUAGCUCCUUCUUGUAGUUGCAGUUUGAAUGAUGCUGCUGCACAACUGCUGCCGAAAAAAUCCUUAAUAGAUGAUUAGCAAGGUUUCAAAAAUAAAAAUAAAUGUUUGUGCAAUGUGUCGAAUAUGACAGCCACAAAGAAAGAGCACACAAAUUGAUUGGUUUUAUGUCUUCUCUAGGAGAAAGCUACAAUACAAGAAAUUGUACUGAUGGAGCCAUGGACCAAAUUUCUUAUUUAAACUUUUAAUUUUUUUAUUAAAUUACUUAUGUUAUUAUGGUUUAUAAUUUUAGAAAUUCUUUAGAAAUUAAUACAGAACUAGUAGCAAGUUGAGAAAUCUAUUGAAUGGUCAAGAUAUGAUCAUGUUUAUUGAAUUAAAUUGACAAUCAUCAUUUUGAUAAAUUAUUGUCAGGAUGUUUGAUUCAUGACACGUGUAAGCAACUAAAUGUGCUAAAAAAAAGUUAAUGAGUUGGGCGUGUUUGAGUUAAUGAGUUGGGCUUGUUUGAUAUUCAUUUGUUGUAAUUCUUUUAAUAAUUAUUGGGGAAAAAAAGUUAUAAUAAAAAAAAUUAUAAUUAUAAAAUAAAAAUUAAUAAUAUAUAAUAAAUAAGAUUUUAAAUAAUAAUUUUAAUAAAAUAAUAAAUAUAUUAUAAAUUUUUUAUGAUUAAUUUUUAAAUUACAACAAUAAAUAUUUAACAAACACCUUAAUACCACAACUAACACCACAACUUUUGAAUUAUGAUAGUACAAUCUAAAUGCCACAGGCCUUAAAAAAUAAAAUUACAGUCAAGUUUUAAAACUGUUAAUGAUAUUCACAAAGACUCUGGAACAAUAUUACAGAAGGUGCUCGUCGUGUAAGCAACACAUGGGACCCAACCAAUAAAUGUUUCUGAUCCUCAACUUUCCUCAUCACUGUCCCUGGAAACAAUUCUGAUUUUCUUGUCUGAUUAAACAACUGAGAAACAAUGGCGGCCGACCAAGAAGCUGGGAGCAAUAAGCGGGUGAUUCUAAGCAACUAUGUGACAGGUUUUCCAAAAGAAUCAGACAUGAAGAUAACAAGUUGAUCAAUAAAGCUGAAGGUAGCAGAGGGUGUUUGGGAGAAAUACGUCGACGAGACCAGGCAUGGUGAGCAGAUAUCUGAUGGCAGAGUUCUGCGAACCGGUGUGUUCCGUAAAAGCCUGGUGCGCGGGGGAACAGGAGCAGAAGUAUCCUGCUCGUCCACGAGCACGUCAUCCGCGAGGCCAAUUUCCUGUAAGAGGCAUAAGGUCAUUCCGGCUAGAGGUCGAGAGGCGAGGAGACCCGGUCGACGGCAGUUGGCAAGACAUGCUCCCCAGCCCGAGAAUCUAGGCACGACAGCCACGCUUUCCCCAGAACCGUGGCGUAACACGCAAGAUCUCACAGAACCACGACAGCCACGCUUUCCCCAGAACCGUGGCGUAACACGCAAGAUCUCACAGAACCACGACAGCCACGCUUUCCCCAGAACCGUGGCGUAACACGCAAGAUCCCACGUUUGCCCAUAACGCAGCAGUCAGAGUCCCAUACCGUCUCGAAAAAAGCGGAAAACUGGGAUUCAGGGGAAGCCUAUAAAAAGGUAGCCAACGAAGGUAAAAGGGUUAGCAUUUUUGAGAUUAGAAAAGAAAUGAAAAAAGAAGAGAAAACCACGAAAAAGCCAUAAGAUAUGUGGCAAGCGUUCCCCGAACCUUCAUAUCUGACUUGAGCGUCGGAGGGUUUGCGCCGGGAAAACAACCGGCGUACUCUGACUUGUCUGUGUGCGCAGGAACCUCUGGAGAAGAAGCCUCACGUGGAGACCUCCUGGUCGUGAAGAAGUUGAUCGGGCAGAGAUCCUGGUCGUAGAACGAGGAGAACCGGAAUCCCGCAUCAACAUUUUGGCGCCGUCUGUGGGGACCGGAGCAAAAAGCUUCUGUUGAUAGCAAGAAGAGGGGUGAAGCAAGUGAAAAACAAUGGAGACAGGAGGAAGUAGUGCACAAGGGGGUGAUAGGAAGCUUAACGAUUCCGUGACGCUGAGGGAGAUAGUCAGUGAAGCACGGGAAAAAGUCAUGUUCGACCGGAUGGAACGGAUGGAAAAGCAGAUGGAGACCUUGACAACCAUCCUGCAUGAGCUGCGGAGCGAGCGAAGUAUAAUCCAAGAGGGAAGGGUGAGAGGCGGUGGAGUGGCACCAGGUCCCGAUAGUGCGGGGAGAAGUCAAACCACCGGGAGAUUUGGUGGUGAGAGAGGUAACGUACCUCUGCGGGGAGAAUUUCAUAGAGAAAGAGAGCAGUCCCCGGCAAGACAGACUGGCGACGAGGACGACGGGGUGGUGAAUGCAGAGGAAACAGAGUUGAGGCAACACUUGCAUGAUGUAGAGCAAGAGCGGGAUCAAGUUGCAGCACGUGACCCUGGUUGUGCAGUGCAGCUGGAGGAGGAAGUGCGCAGACUAGCACAGAUAAUCGACGACAUGCAAGGAAGGAACAGAGCCCCUGGUUGGAGGAUAAUGCUGGACGGAGAAUCACCGCUCGCAGCAGAGAUCAUGAGGGCAGUUAUUCCGAGAGAUUUCCGCCUCCCAGACCUCAGAUACUCGGGAAGAACUGAUCCGUUGGUGCACAUAGAGCGCUUCAACGACAUAACUGGGGUACAAGGAUUAUCUCAAUCCCAAAGGUGCAGAGUGUUCCCACUAUCCCUUGAGGGACGUGCACGAGAAUGGUACAGGAAACUUCCUCGGGGCAGCAUUAAAACCUUCGAGCAGAUGUGCCAGGAAUUCGCGGAGCAGUUUAGUGGGGCAAUGGCGCCGGAAGAUGACAUGAUGGAGCUGAAAAGCAUGAAACAGGGGGAGCAAGAAACCCUUCGGGAAUUCAUCAAGAGGUUUCAUCGGGCUGUCCUUGACUUGGGAGCCUUCAACCACCCUCAGGCGUUAAGGGGAUUGAAAGAAGGGGUGAAGAUAGGAAGGCUGUGGUACAAUUUGAGAAGCCCAGCUAUUCAAACGUAUGCAGCCGCAUACGAACAGGCUAAGAGAGACAUCGAGAUUGAAGAGGAGAAGGCUGCACGGAUUAAGACAGACCAGUUAGAAGGGUUGGGGAGGAAAGAGAAGAAAGCAUUACCGGGGAAUGGGCCGAUCAGGAGGAGGGACCACCAGGCCUCCGGUAGUGGAGCAGGAGGUCGGGUAGCCGCUUACCAGCCUCAUCAAAGGCCACCACAGUAUCAGCGCAGCAGGGCGCAACCUCCUCGUUCCCCAGCUAGGGAGCCUUGGAGAAGGCAUGAGUCGGCAUCUGGUGGUCUCCAACAACACCCCCACGGUAUCAGAGCGAGCAGACCAGAAGUACUUCCACCGCCCCCAACUCAGAGCGGGGCAAACAGAGAAAGAGCAGUGCACCUGAUCGACCAGAACCCGGACUAUGGGCGGUACACUUCCUUGAAGAUGUCCCUGGAUGAGGUGUACGAGGCCAUAAAGGAUCGAGGGCUGCUGCACCUCCCUACACCAAUAACAAAGCUACCCAACAGGAGGGAUAGAGGACGUUAUUGUAAGUUCCAUGGCACCCAUGGCCAUACCACAGCAGAGUGUAGAGAUCUCAAGACCCAAGUCGAAGAUUUGGUGAGAAAUCGGUACCUGGACGAGUUUAUGGAUGGGACUUUCCCGAUGGGGGCCACAACAGGUGAAGGGGAGCAGAGUGGCGGAAACGUUAGGCGCGAGCAGCCCGCAGUAAGGGUGAUAGCUGGGGGCCCGACAUUGGCCGGAGAUUCCAACAGAUCGAGAAAAAAUUAUGCUAGGUACGCCAUGACCAGUAAAGAGGUACUCCUCAACACCCCAGCAGCCAAACGAGCAAGGGUCAGGCAAGUGCCAAUCAUGUGGACGGAUGAGGAUGAGGAAGGGAUUCUAUACCCCCACGAGGAUGCUUUAGUCAUCAAGGCUACUGUCGCUAGCAAGAAGUUUGACCGGAUACUGAUUGAUACAGGGAGCUCAGUUGAUGUGUUAUUUAAGUCAACCCUGGAAGAGAUGGGAAUAGCCGACCGGAAGUUGGAAUACACCAAUACCUCCUUGAAGGGGUUCGGAGGAGGGAAGCUGGUCCCUCUGGGCGUGGUCGAGCUGCCUAUCACAAUUGGGAGCUCUCCGACAGAAAGAACAAUGAUACUGGACUUUGUCGUAGUGGAUGAGGAAGGUCCUUACCAGAUGAUCCUAGGUCGGCCAUUUUUAAGGAUGAGCAAAGCGGUGUUGUCCAACCAUUAUCUGGCUCUGAAGUACCGGGUGAACGGGGUAGUAGGAGUGGUACGAGGAGACCAGAGGAUCGCAAGAAGCUGCUACUCCUCGGCAGCAAGGGAAGCAAUGCAGAUAACAUCCCUCGAUACCCGAGUGGAAAACAAGAAGGGCAGACAAGAACCUGUAGAGGAUCUGGAAACAGUAAGCCUGGGACCAGAGAACCCGGGAAAGACGAUCAGAAUCGGGUCGAGACUUAAGGGAGAGCAAAAGCAGGAGUUGGUGAAAUGCUUACAGGCUCAUGCUGAUGUGUUUGCUUGGACACAUGAAGACAUGCCAGGAAUUGACCCUGAGGUAGCAUGUCAUAAGCUGGCAAUAAAGAAAAGUGCUCGGGCAGUAAGGCAGAAGAGGAGGUGCUUCAACCAGGAGAGGUAUGAGGCUAUAAAUGGCGAGGUGGAGAAGCUCUUGAGAGCAGGGUUCAUUCGGGAAGUCAGUUACCCUGAGUGGAUAUCGAAUGUGGUGUUGGUAAAGAAGGCAAACGGCAAGUGGAGGAUGUGUGUGGAUUUCACAGACCUCAAUAAGGCGUGCCCAAAAGACAGCUUCCCUUUACCAAAGAUCGAUCAGCUAGUAGAUUCAACGGCUGGACAUGGUCUGCUUAGCUUCAUGGACGCGUUCUCGGGAUACAACCAGAUCCCCAUGUACGAGCAGGAUGAGGAGAGCACGGCUUUCAUCACUAACCAAGGUUUGUUCUGUUACAGGGUAAUGCCAUUCGGUCUCAAAAAUGCCGGGGCCACCUAUCAAAGGCUGGUGAACAAAGUCUUUAAGCCGUUGAUUGGGAAAACCAUGGAGGUGUACGUGGAUGACAUGAUCACCAAGUCCAAAAUCCCGGAGGAACAUGUCAGACACCUCGAGGAGACAUUCGAGCUUUUGAGGAAGUAUAAGAUGAAGCUCAACCCGGAGAAGUGUGCUUUUGGGGUCGAGUCAGGGAAAUUCCUUGGAUUCAUGGUGAGCCAUAGGGGGAUUGAAGCACAUCCCGAGAAAAUCCAGGCGAUUGUGCAAAUGACGUCUCCCCAUAACCUGAAGGAGAUGCAAAGCCUCACGGGGAGGUUGGCGGCGUUGAGCAGAUUCAUAUCCAAGGCUACAGAUAAGUGUAAGCCAUUCUUUCAAGUGAUGAGGAGGGGAAAGAAAACAGAAUGGACCUCAGAAUGCGAGGAAGCCUUCCGGAACUUGAAGCAAUACUUGCAGCAAGCUCCGCUGCUGUCCACACCGAGGGAUGGGGACAAGUUAUAUCUGUAUUUGGCGGUAUCGGAUCGGGCCGUCAGUUCUGUUCUGGUGAGAGAGGAAGAAGGAGUUCAGUAUCCGAUAUAUUACACCAGCAAGGCCCUGCUCGACGCUGAGACCAGAUACCCACCGUUGGAGAAAUGGGCACUUGCCCUUGUGGUUGCUGCUCGGAAGUUGAGGCCAUAUUUUCAAGCAUUCCCGGUCUUGGUAAUAACAAACCAGCCAUUGCGUCAAACUCUGCACAAGCCAGAUGCCUCUGGUCGGCUCGUCAAGUGGGCUGUAGAGCUGAGCGAGUUCGACAUAGACUAUAAACCCCGCGCAGCGAUAAAAGCCCAGGCAAUGGCCGAUUUCGUAGCUGAAUUCACAGAGCCCGAAGUAUGCUUAGAUCAACAAGAUGCAGAUAUAGGCAAUGACGAAACUCAAGUAUGGCAGAUGUCUGUGGAUGGGUCAUCAGGGGAGCGGGGUUCAGGAGCAGGGAUUGUCUUGGAAGGCCCAGAGGGGGAGGAGAUCUCUUAUACUGUAAAAUUGGAAUUUGCAGCCACGAAUAACCAGGCAGAGUAUGAAGCCUUGAUAGCAGGUCUGGAAUUGGCUAAGGCCGUGAAAGCAGACAGAGUUAAGAUCAGAACUGAUUCCCAGCUGGUUGCGAAUCAUGUCAGUGAAAGAUUCCAACCAAGAGAGGAGAAGAUGGGGCAGUACCUGAAGAUAGUCAGGCAGAUGAUGGGGAAGUUCGAAGCAGUGGAGGUGAUACAAAUCCCCAGGGAGCAGAAUAGUCGAGCAGACAUUUUGGCUAGGAUGGCAGCAGUAGCCGACCCAAAAAUGCCAAAGUCGGUCCCUCUGGAGGUGAAGUCCAGCCCAAGUAUCGAUCAGAAUUUGGGGGUGUUGCAGAUAGAACAAAAAUGCUCGUGGAGGGACCCGAUAAUUUCAUACCUUAGAGACGGGGUAUUACCACCAGAUAAGAUGCGAGCUCGCAAGCUUAGAGCCCAGGCCUCGAGAUACACGAUGAUUGAUGGGGUACUGUAUCGGCGAGGAUAUACACUACCGUUCCUUCAGUGUUUGGAUGAGGACGACGCGGAUUACGUACUGAGAGAAGUACACGAAGGAAUUUGCGGAAAUCAUUCUGGCGGGAGGUCCCUGGCCCAUAAGGUUCUAAGGCAGGGAUAUUUCUGGCCGACAAUGCACCAGGAUGCGCAAGAGAAGACCAGGAGUUGUGUAAGCUGCCAGAGUUUUGUAAAUUUCUCUAACCAACCACCAGAGAAGCUCACCUCCAUGACCUCCCCCUGGCCAUUUGCUCAAUGGGGAAUUGAUCUGAUCGGCCCAUUGCCAAAGGCACGGGGAGCAGCAACAUAUGCAAUAGUUGCUAUAGAUUACUUCACGAAGUGGAUAGAGGUAAAAGCCCUUAGCAGGAUCACAGAGAAGAAAACAACAGACUUCGUAUGGAGAAACCUGGUCUGUCGAUACGGGAUCCCUUAUGCCUUGGUAACGGAUAAUGGCAGGCAGUUCGAUAAUCACAGCUUCAGGGAUUUCUGCCAGAACCUCGGGAUAGAGCUGAAGUAUUGCUCGCCUGCUCACCCUCAAUCGAAUGGACAAGUAGAAGCAGCCAACAAGACCAUCAAGAGGCUUUUGAAAACCAGGCUUGGAGCAAAAAAGGGUGCGUGGGUUGACGAGCUGGCAGGUGUGCUAUGGGCAUCCAGAACAACAAAACCGCAACUGGGGAGACACCGUUCGCUUUGGCUUUCGGACAUGAAGCGGUCGUGCCGGCUGAGAUAGGAACGACCACACACCGGACAAAUCAUUUCAAUGAGCAGGAGAACGACGAGCAGAUAUGUUUGAAUCUUGAUCUGCUAACGGAAAGGAGGGAGCAAGCAGCCGAGCGAUCAGUCAUUUACCAAUAGAGGGUUGCUCGGUAUUAUAACCAGAAGGUGAACAUACGGCAAUUCAGGGUCGGAGACUGGGUACUGAGAAGAGUGAAUCAGAGCACCAAAGAUUCGACUCAAGGAGUGCUGGGACCGAAUUGGGAAGGGCCAUAUAGAGUCAAGCAGAUAGCGGGACCCGGAGCUUACAGGCUGGUUCGCACGGACGGCCACGAGGUGAAACGCCCAUGGAACGCAGCACACCUCCGAAAAUACUUCCAGUAAGACUUGUUCACAUGUGAAAACUAUUUUUGCUCAUGUUCAUUACCGUUUAUCUUUCACGCUUAUUGUCCAAACAAUUUCAUGUAAGUCGAAUCCUGCCAUUAAUGGAACGUCGAGGAAUUUCUUUCACUUGAAACCGAGAAAAUUUCCCAAGGCAUGCAAAGGCUCACCAAGUCUCAAAGCCUGUCUUAUGGUGAGACAGAAGCCAAGCAUGCCAGGAUCUGCUCGGCCACGAGAAGGCAAGCAGAAUCCCAAUCCUCGAAGAAUCCAAGGCACGCAAAGGCUCACUAAGUCUCAAAGCCUGUCUUAUGGCGAGACAGAAGCCAAGCAUGCCAGGAUCUGCUCGGCCACGAGAAGGCAAGCAGAAUCCCAAUCCUCGAAGAAUCCAAGGCAUGCAAAGGCUCACCAAGUCUCAAAGCCUGUCUUAUGGCGAGACAGAAGCCAAGCAUGCCAGGAUCUGCUCGGCCACGAGAAGGCAAGCAGAAUCCCAAUCCUCGAAGAAUCCAAGGCACGCAAAGGCUCACCAAGUCUCAAAGCCUGUCUUAUGGCGAGACAGAAGCCAAGCAUGCCAGGAUCUGCUCGGCCACGAGAAGGCAAGCAGAAUCCCAAUCCUCGAAGAAUCCAAGGCAUGCAAAGGCUCACCAAGUCUCAAAGCCUGUCUUAUGGCGAGGCAGAAGCCAAGCAUGCCAGGAUCUGCUCGGCCACGAGAAGGCAAGCAGAAUCCCAAUCCUCGAAGAAUCCAAGGCAUGCAAAGGCUCGACAAAGUCUCAAAGCCUGUUUUAUGGCGAGACAGAAGCCAAGCAUGCCAGGAUCUGCUCGACCACUAGAAGGCGAGCAGACUCCAAAGCAUUCGAAGAAAUGCCCAAGGCAUGCAAAGGCUCGACAAAGUCUCAAAGCCUGUUUUAUGGCAAGGCAGAAGCCAAGCAUACCAGGAUCUGCUCGACCACGAGAAGGCGAGCAGACUCCAAAGCAUUCGAAGAAAUGCCCAAGGCAUGCAAAGGCUCGACAAAGUUUCAAAGCCUGUUUUAUGGCGAGACAGAAGCCAAGCAUGCCAGGAUCUGCUCGACCACGAGAAGGCGAGCAGACUCCAAAGCAUUCGAAGAAAUGCCCAAGGCAUGCAAAGGCUCGACAAAGUCUCAAAGCCUGUUUUAUGGCGAGACAGAAGCCAAGCAUGCCAGGAUCUGCUCGACCACUAGAAGGCGAGCAGACUCCAAAGCAUUCGAAGAAAUGCCCAAGGCAUGCAAAGGCUCGACAAAGUCUCAAAGCCUAUUUUAUGGCGAGGCAGAAGCCAAGCAUGCCAGGAUCUGCUCGACCACUAGAAGGCGAGCAGACUCCAAAGCAUUCGAAGAAAUGCCCAAGGCAUGCAAAGGCUCGACAAAGUCUCAAAGCCUGUUUUAUGGCGAGACAGAAGCCAAGCAUGCCAGGAUCUGCUCGACCACUAGAAGGCGAGCAGACUCCAAAGCAUUCGAAGAAAUGCCCAAGGCAUGCAAAGGCUCGACAAAGUCUCAAAGCCUGUUUUAUGGCGAGGCAGAAGCCAAGCAUGCCAGGAUCUGCUCGACCACUAGAAGGCGAGCAGACUCCAAAGCAUUCGAAGAAAUGCCUAAGGCAUGCAAAGACUCACCAAGUCUCAAAGCCUGUUUUAUGGCGAGACAGAAGCCAAGCGUGCUAGGAUCUGCUCGACCGCGCGAAGGUGAGUCGAAUCCCAGGCAUUGAAGAAUCUCCAAAGGCAUGUGGCAAAACCAUGAGCCAAGCCGGAACCUGCUCGUCUAGACAGAGACAAGCAGAUUCUCAACCGAAAAUUAAUUCAUAAUUACAACACAAGAAAGUAAUCAAAAACCAUUUUUAUUAAUUUGUUAAUAAUUAACAGAGGGGAUAAUCUUUAUGAACAUUGUUCAUUACAAUACAAGAAAUAUAUCAGGAAGAUGGUGGACCAGUAAGCCCGGCAGCAUCGGUUGGCUGGACCUCCUCAGGUGCAGGAGGGGUAUCACCAGUUGCGUCCGGGGGGGUGCUCGCCUCGCCAACAUCAGCAGGGACUGCAUGAGCAGGAGAGUCUUCCUCCUCAAUCACGAUCGGCUCUACCCCAUCGGCAUCUUCCUUGGCCGCCUCCUCGUCCAUAUGUUGAGCAACACCAGCUGCAAGGUCAUCCAUCUUCAGAUCAGGGUGUUGCUUCCCGAGGACGGCCAUGAUGCAACGAUAGGAAUGCCGAAGUCCCUGGUCGUACUGGUUGUCAGCCUCCCUCUCUAAGUUCUCGACCUGAGCUCGGUGGGAGUCGCGGAGAGAUUCGAGCUGAGCCUCAUACAUAGCCUUCUGCCUUUGCAGAUCCUCCUUGACCGUGGUAAGCUCCUCCUCGAGGGAAAUGGCUUUUGCUUGAGCAAGUGAUUCUUGCUCUAUUAGCUUCAGAUUCUCGAGAUUCAGGUCCUUCUUGCUCACGAGUUUAGUUAACUCAUUGAGGUAGGGGACCAGGUGUUCUGCUCGGCUGUCAGGUAAGCGAGAUCGAGGCCCGACAGGAGGAAAAGAGGAAGCAGGAUCUGUGGCUGCUCCACUAGCUUCCCCGACUUUUACAGGAGCAGGAGGUAAAAUCUUCAAGGGUGGGACCUGCUGCAUGAUGUUGGCCCGCUUUGCAGCAGGGGCAUCCUUACUCUGGUCCCUCUUCGUGGUUGGAGGUCGGGAACGUUUUCGGGUCAGAGCCCCAAUCACAGCGUCCUCCAUCCUAUGGCCAGGAAGUAUCAAGCGAGACUCGAGCAAGUUGUAUGUAGUUAGCAGUUCUCGGCUCGAGCAGGAAUUGGCUAGUACAGCCUCGACCCGUUUGAGCUGGUCAGGUUCAAGCGGGAAGUGGACACCCCAAGAAACUACAACACAAACAGACACUUGGUUAGAGACAAGCCAAUAAAGCAAGAACAAUUAUGGAUGCAAGACAUCUAGAGUGAGCAGGCAACCUGGGACCGUGAAACGGGGUGGGACGUGACAAUCCUUCCCGCCUAUUUGUGCAACUUGACCCCAAGGACCCCCAGCAAAAAAGAAUUUCCUCUUCCAAGCCCCACCACCACCGGUUGGAAGAUCGGUUAUGGGUUUCCGGCUCUUGGUGCUAGAUUGGAAGUAGUACCAGCCGGCAUCUUUGGGGCUGCUCUUUAGCUGGUACAAGUGCUUCACCUCAUCAACCGUGGGCUCGCUUUGGCAACAUUUGUCCCACAAUAUGAACAGACCAGAGAGCACUCUCCACCCAUUGGGAUUCAGCUGACCAGGAGCUAGAUUUAGCCCGUUAAGUAUCUGGGCAAAGUAGGGUUGCAAGGGACACCUCAGCCCGUACUUAAAGCUCUCUAGAAACAGGGUAACGUAUCCCCUAGGAGGCCGGCUGGGAGCAUCCUUCUUUCCUGGGACCUUGAGAGGUAUCUCACCAGGAAUGCUAUACCUAAGCCGGAGGUCAUUGAGCUCGUCAAACAAGGUCGUGCACGUCAUGUAAUCAAUGGCAUAAUCGCGCGACAAGGCUCUGCCUCCUACUGUACCCCGUUCCUCUGGUCGUGAUGUUCCAGAUGGAGACACCUCACCAGAGUCACCUUCCCCAUUCUCACUUAAGGUGUCCUCAGAGCCAGAAGGUCUCUCUUCACCAUUGCUUCCACUCGUGGAGGUUGUUUGGGGGGACAUCCUCCUAGCACUAGUCCCGACACUAAACCUAAUGGGUUCUAAGGGGAUCCCGGGGUCAAAAGCAGAAUCAGUGAGCAGACCAGGCAGGAAACUUAGUUCGUCGUCAUCAAUCUCAACGACUUUCUCCUUACCUUUCGACAUUCCCUAAGCCCUAACCACAACACCACCAACUACUACCCAAACAGAAGAGAAGAGAAAUUAUCUACAACUAUCCGAGACCAAGGAGAUAGAAGAAAUACCUGAAGUAAUGGUUCAGUCGGUGAAAGUCAGAGAUGGAGGCCUUUUAUGCCGGAACUUCUUUGCCGGAGAAACAGAGACGGAGACGGAGUGAAUGAUGAAUAUGCCGUUCGAGAGGAUUUGGUUUUCCUAAUGAGGACGGACUCUUGGGUUGCCAGCAUUUAACGGCGCCGAAUCCCGAGGGUCUCAUAACCGUCGGUUUGAAAUUCAAAUGGAGGGGGGGAUUUCUGCCACGUCACCUCGUCCGCAAUUAAAUGCGACAUGACUCUUGGCAGCCUUUUCCAAUCCCACGCGGGCGAGUACUAACGAGUUUCUACUGCUGGUCCACUACAUUACCCAACACCAGAAACUGGGGGACCGGUGUUUGGGAGAAAUACGUCGACGAGACCAGGCAUGGUGAGCAGAUAUCUGAUGGCAGAGUUCUGCGAACCGGUGUGUUCCGUAAAAGCCUGGUGCGCGGGGGAACAGGAGCAGAAGUAUCCUGCUCGUCCACGAGCACGUCAUCCGCGAGGCCAAUUUCCUGUAAGAGGCAUAAGGUCAUUCCGGCUAGAGGUCGAGAGGCGAGGAGACCCGGUCGACGGCAGUUGGCAAGACAUGCUCCCCAGCCCGAGAAUCUAGGCACGACAGCCACGCUUUCCCCAGAACCGUGGCGUAACACGCAAGAUCUCACAGAACCACGACAGCCACGCUUUCCCCAGAACCGUGGCGUAACACGCAAGAUCUCACAGAACCACGACAGCCACGCUUUCCCCAGAACCGUGGCGUAACACGCAAGAUUCCACAUUUGCCCAUAACGCAGCAGUCAGAGUCCCAUACCGUCUCGAAAAAAGUGGAAAACUGGGAUUCAGGGGAAGCCUAUAAAAAGGUAGCCAACGAAGGUAAAAGGGUUAGCAUUUUUGAGAUUAGAAAAGAAAUGAAAAAAGAAGAGAAAACCACGAAAAAGCCAUAAGAUCUGUGGCAAGCGUUCCCCGAACCUUCAUAUCUGACUUGAGCGUCGGAGGGUUUGCGCCGGGAAAACAACCGGCGUACUCUGACUUGUCUGUGUGCGCAGGAACCUCUGGAGAAGAAGCCUCACUUGGAGACCUCCUGGUCGUGAAGAAGUUGAUCGGGCAGAGAUCCUGGUCGUAGAACGAGGAGAACCGGAAUCCCGCAUCAACAGAGGGUUCAAAAGACACGGUGCUUUUGAAGAAUCUUUAUCUUUAUUGUGAUCCUUACAUGCGAGAGCGUAUGAGCAAGCUUGAUAGACCUUCUUUUGUUGAUUCAUUCCAUUCUGGUGAGGUUAGUUCAUCACGACCUCAACUUAGAUUUUGGGAUGGUUUACGAUUCACUCUCAGUUUAUGCAGAAAAACAAUCUAGUUUUAAUUUGGCAGGGUUUUUCCUUCUCUCUCCUUUUCUUCCUUUUCUUCAUUGGUUUCUUCCUCUUUUAUAGCCGCUAUCCCACGUUUUCGUUCAUCCUUCAUCCCCAUUUUUCGGGUAGUGGCAGCCCCUCAUGGGACUCCAACUGCUACAUUAUGGGUAAAUGUGGGACACCGUAUCUCCCUCAAUGGUUUUAGAAAAAGCGCAACUGUCGUGAUUUCGUGAGAUUGUGUUCCCGUUCUUUGGGGAAUGGAUAUCUGCUCGGUAUAUGUCUCUGGUCGGCCUAUAUUUAUAGAAGGCUCAUUAUCAGUAUUCUACUUAUACCAUUCAGCUGAGGUGAUCUACCUCGAAAUGAGAAUGAUAACAUGACUGACCUGAUGCUCUUAUUUACUUAACAGUAAAUUUUCUAUGACCCUACAGGUGACUAAUUAAUGAGAACUUGACAAUGACAAAAGAAAGUGUAUGAGCUUUGCAGGCUGGCAUGCCAAUAUUGACUGUGUGGCACCAUCCACCAUCUGCAAUUGAAUAUCAUUAUUGUUUAAUCAAUGUGGUGGAGUCCACUGGAACCACACCACAUGGUCAGUCUUAUCUCUAUUCCUCAAUUUUCAGUAUUCCAUACAUCAAACCAAUUUCAUGUUUGUUAGCAAUUAUAAUUUCAUUGUUGGUGACGAUUCUGAUUCCUUUUGUUGAGAAUCAAAUAAAACGGCAUUGAAUGAAGCUUUCAAAGACAGAAUCUGCACUUGUCAAAGGGGUAAUCUGCACUUGUCAAAGACAAGAUCCGCGCCGAACGGAUUGACACAUUUCCUUCCGUAUUCACAUAUGUAAUCUUUGAAAAAAUGUAGCCUCUGCAUCUAUAAAUAACUCUCAAUGUAUAAUGCUUUAUUUAAGAAAUGAAAACACGUUUCUUCAUGGUAUCAGAGCCAUGAAUACGCUCAAGUUUCUUCAAGUUCCGCUGCUCUGUUUGUAACAAAAAUAGAGGAAACCAAAUUCCUCCCACAACCAUUUUUCCCACCAUUUUCUUUCUUAAACCCAUUCCUACCAUUACAGAUAUCCAUGCCGAUCAAGAAACAAGCCACCCAUACGUAAAAAACUUGAGUUUACAAAUUUAUCAACAAUCCCAUCAAUUUUCUGAGAGUGUGUUCCUAAAAAACCAAGAACACCAUCAAAUUUCUCAGUUUUCAGUGAGGAAACUGUAAAAAUUUCGCAUUUAAACACAUUCCCACGCGCUCCCACGCGCCACCCGAAGCCACGGCCAGUCAACCACGCGCCUCUGUCAUCAUUCACGCGCUCUCACGCGCUCCAGAGGUUGAAGAAGACGCCAGCCGACAUGUCGUUCUUAUCUCAGAAGUUCAGCAGUCACAAAACGACGUGUCGUUUUUUGUUAUAUUAAAAUCGACAUGUCGUUUUGUAAAUUAGAGAUAAAACGACGUGAUGCUUAGUCUCCAGAAGUGCAGCAGGAUUAAAACGACAUGUCGUUUAUAUUCCACCAUAAUCGACAUGUCGGUUUGGCAAGCAGUGGCCAAACGACCUGGCGUUUUGUUACCUAAAAAGGUUAUUUUUUUUCUUCUUCCAAUCUAGAUGGAAAAAAAAAAAACAAACAAAAAAAAGAAAAAAAAGAAAAAAAAGAAAAAAAAGAGAAAAAAAAAAAAACAAAAAAAAAUGGAGAAAACUCCAACUGAAUCUAGUCCUGUUGUCAUUCAAUCUGUUCAAUCUGAUGGAGUAUUUAAUGCUGGAAUUAUCCUCACUGAGACAAACUACGAUGUUUGGUCUCAAAUAAUGGAGAUGCAUCUUGUAGAAAGAGAAAAACUCUCAUAUAUUCGUAGCAGCACAAAGCCAUUUGAGGAAUCUUCAAAGGAAUAUGAGAAAUGGUAUAGUGAGAACCAAAAAGUAAAAAGAUGGUUACUCAUAUCCAUGUCUCCGGAGAUCAUGAAGCGAUAUUUACGAAUUCCUACAGCCUACGAAAUCUGGGAUGCAUUAUCAAAAGCCUUCUAUGAUGGAAGCGAUGAAUUACAAGUUUUCACUCUAAACCAGAAGGCAUUCUCUACCAAGCAAAAUGGACAACCACUCUCUAAAUUCUAUGGAGAAUUGGUCGAAAUAUUUCGAGAACUUGAUCACCGAGAUAAAGUGGUCAUGAAGGAUCCAGAAGAUAUUGUAAUAUACAGAAGGUCUGUUGAAAGAUUGAGAGUGCACAUUUUUCUUGCUGGGCUAGAUGAAGAAUUUGACCAAGUUCGUGGAGAAAUUCUACGAAAAGACAUUAUCCCAGACUUAGAAGAAUGUUAUUCUUUGAUCCGAAGAGAAGAUAUACGGCAAAGCAAACUAAACAAGAAGGUCGACUCAGAAACGUUUGCAAUGAUAGCACGACAGCAGCCUCAAAGGAAGUUUGUUGACAAGUCAUCACUCCAUUGCACUCAUUGUAGAAAGAAGGGUCAUACGAAAGAACAAUGUUUUGAAAUCAUUGGAUAUCCUGACUGGUGGGAUACUCGAAAGAAGAACACCAAGCAUGGAUCAAAAACUGCAGUAGCUGAAUCCACAUCCACUACAGAUCUUAGAAAAGAAUCUUCAGUGCAAAUCGCAACCUCUGUCAGUCCAGGUAAGGCCCUUAAAACUCUUACACCUGUUAUUAAUAGUACAUGGAUAAUUGAUUCUGGGGCAACUGAUCAUAUGACUUUUGAUUCUCGACAAGUUUCUCAAUUGAAACCAUCUUCACAAAAAUAUAUUUCCACUGCAAAUGGAACCACAACCUCAGUUAUUGGGGAAUGAUCUUUACGACUCACAAAUGAAUUAAAUUUAGACGCUGUGUUAAUUGUUCCAUCUUUAGAUUAUAAUCUUUUAUCUGUGUCUCAAUUAACCACUUACUUAUCAUGUGUUGUAAUUUUUUGGCCUGAUCAUUGUGUGUUUAAGGACAUCCAAACGAAGCAAACGAUUGGUUAUGGUAUUAGACGAGGCAGCUUGUACUACUUGGAGAUGUCAUCAACAAACACUGGAAAGCUAAGCCCCGCACUAGUUGCAGAUAGUUCCAUAAAAAAAGGGAAAUCAGAAAUUUGGUUAUGGCAUAGACGUUUAGGGCAUGUGUCAUUUAGUUACUUAAAAAAAUUAUUUCCUAGUUUGUUUCUGAAAUUUGAUGUUUGUAACUUUAAAUGUGAUGUUUGUGAACUUUCAAAAAGCCAUCGAACUACUUUUCCAUUGUCCUUAAAUAAAAAUCCAGUUCCUUUUAUGGUAGUACAUUCUGAUGUAUGGGGGCCAUCUAAAGUUUCUACAAUUGGAGGUGCUCGUUGGUUUGUUACAUUUAUUGAUGAUUGUAGCAGAAUGACAUGGAUUUUUCUGAUGAAAUCGAAAGACGAAGUAAACUCUUUAUUUCAAAGAUUUCAUAAGAUGGUGACAACUCAAUUUCAGACACAAAUUCGAGUUCUACAUACUGAUAAUGGAGGUGAGUAUAUGAGCACAGCAAUUCAACAGUUUCUGAAAUCACAAGGAUCUGUCCAUCAAACCACUUGUGUGGGGACACCCCAACAAAAUGGCGUUGCUGAACGAAAGAACAGACAUUUACUAGAAGUUGUUCGAGCAUCACUAAUCCAAGCCCACAUGCCAUUAUCUUAUUGGGGAGAAGCAUUGACAUCCGCAGCAUACUUGAUCAAUCGAACACCUUCAAGCUCCCUUGGAUUCCAGACUCCUUUCCAAGUUCUGAAUGAUGCAAUUAUGUCACCAAAUGUGCCGAAUCUGCCCCCACAUGUGUUUGGCUGUGUUGCCUUCGUUCAUUUGCCGCAACAAGACAAAUUAUCUCCUCGAGCACUACGUUGUGUGUUUGUAGGGUAUGCCUUACAUCAAAAGGGAUACCGAUGCUAUCAUCCACCAUCAAGAAAAAUAUACAUCACCAUGGAUGUCGUUUUUCAUGAAGAUAUCAUGUACUACUUGUCAGAGUCUGAAUUUCAGGGGGAGUAUAAUGAAGAGGAAAUUCAUACUCUUACAUAUCUUCCACCUGAAGAAAGUCAAUCUUCCAUUGAGAUAGUAAACCUUCAAGAUACUGGAAAAGCAAAUGGUGAUGAUUCGCAAGCUGAGAUAUGUGAAAACACAUUUGGGGAGCACAAUACUCAGACACAACUGCAAUCGAGAAUGAGUCACAUGAAGAAAUACCUAACCAAUCGUCUGCAGAGGAUGUUCCUACCACAAGUCCAAUCAGAAGAAUUCUUCCCCAGCGUCAAAAUAGAGGUAUCCCUAAACCCACAUAUGAGCCUGACUUCUCUAGUAGAGUCAAAUACCCUAUGAGUCAUUUUGUGUCUAACCAUCGCUUGUCAGAAUCAAAUCAGUCAUUUGUGAAUCAAUUAUCUGCUGUAUCUAUUCCUAACAGUGUGCAGGAAGCUUUAAAAGAUCCAAAGUGGAAAGCGGCUAUGAAUGAUGAAAUGAGAUCUCUUCAGAAAAAUCAAACAUGGGAACUAGUUGAUCUUCCACCAGGAAAGAAACCAAUGGGUUGUCGAUGGAUCUACACUAUAAAAUACAAAGCAGAUGGCUCUAUUGAACGAUACAAAGCAAGACUCGUAGCUAAGGGUUACACCCAAACCUACGGGAUUGAUUAUACUGAUACGUUUGCACCGGUAGCAAAAAUUAAUACUAUUCGUAUCUUAUUAUCAUUAGCAGUCAACUUGGAUUGGCCAGUGCAACAGUUCGAUGUAAAGAAUGCUUUCCUCCAUGGAGACCUGUCUGAAGAAAUUUAUAUGGAUCUGCCACCAGGAUGCAGUGGACCAGAACGACUCAAUCAGAAAGUAUGCAAAUUGAAGAAAUCAUUGUAUGGGUUGAAGCAAUCCCCAAGAGCAUGGUUCGGGAAAUUCACGAAGGCUAUGGUUCGUUUUGGGUAUAACCAAAGCAAUUCAGAUCAUACCUUAUUCAUUAAAAAACGACAAGGUAAAAUCACUGCCCUUAUUGUCUAUGUGGAUGAUAUGGUAGUUACAGGCAACGACGAGGAAGAAACAAAGGCUCUUCAGAAGUACUUGUCAAGAGAGUUUGAGAUGAAGGAUUUAGGUGCCUUAAAAUACUUUCUUGGAAUUGAGGUUUCUCGAUCUAAGGGAGGAAUCUUUCUGUCUCAAAGGAAAUAUGCCUUAGAUCUAUUGCACGAAACGGGAAUGACAGCUUGUCAGCCUAUUGACACCCCAAUAGAAGAAGGACUGAAGUUUUGUAUUACUUCAGACCAAGUUCCAGUAGACAAAGGAAGAUAUCAAAGGCUGAUUGGAAGAUUGAUGUACUUGUCCCACACAAGGCCAGAUCUUGCUUAUGCAUUGAGUGUUGUAAGCCAGUUUAUGCAUAAUCUCGGAGAACAACACAUGAAAGCAGUAAUGCGGAUCCUGAGGUACCUGAAGACAAAUCUAGGAAAAGGAAUCUUAUUUUCCAAAAAUGAAGAUUACAGCAACAUAGAAGUUUAUACUGAUGCAGAUUGGGCCGGGUCAGUUAGUGAUAGACGCUCUACUUCAGGAUACUUUACCUUUGUGGGAGGAAACCUUGUCACAUGGAGAAGCAAGAAACAACAUGUCGUUGCCCGUUCGAGCGCUGAAGCAGAAUAUCGAGGCAUGGCCCUUGGGAUAUGUGAAGGGCUAUGGAUAAGUUUUAUCUUAAACGAUUUGGGCUAUCCAUCACAACAACCAAUACAACUAUACUGUGACAACAAAGCUGCACGAGAUAUUGCUCAUAACCCAGUUCAACACGAUCGAACAAAACAUGUGGAGGUAGAUAGAUUUUUCAUCAAGGAGAAAUUAGAUGAAAAAAUCUUAGAAUUGCCGAAAAUUCGAUCAGAAGAUCAACUUGCAGAUAUUUUAACGAAGGCCAUUUCAAGCAGGGCAUUUACAAAAUUCCUAGACAAGUUGGGUAUGCAAGACAUCUAUGCACCAGCUUGAGGGGGAGUGUUGAGAAUCAAAUAAAACGGCAUUGAAUGAAGCUUUCAAAGACAGAAUCUGCACUUGUCAAAGGGGUAAUCUGCACUUGUCAAAGACAAGAUCCGCGCCGAACGGAUUGACACAUUUCCUUCCGUAUUCACAUAUGUAAUCUUUGAAAAAAUGUAGCUUCUGCAUCUAUAAAUAACUCUCAAUGUAUAAUGCUUUAUUUAAGAAAUGAAAACACGUUUCUUCACCUUUCUUUCUCACAAAACGGAACCAUGGUUGCUAUUGGAGAGAUCUUACUCAACGCCUUCUUUCAGGUGUUGUUUGAUAGGUUGGCUUCUUGUAAUUUUCUCAGCUUUGUGCGUCAACUCCAAGGCGGGGUUGAUUUGGAACUCAAAAAGUGGGAGAAAAAGCUGAAGAUGAUUCAGGCUGUGCUCUACGAUGCAGAGGAGAAGCAACUGAUCGACGAGGCUGUGAAGACGUGGCUGGACGAACUCCAAGACUUGGCUUAUGACGCUGAGGACAUUCUUGAUGAGUUUGCUACUCAAGCUUUGGAAAGCGAGUUGAUGGAGCAAAAUCAGGAUAGCUCUGGCCAGCUUCUUAGUUUCAUCCCAGCUAGUUUGAGUCCGAAUGCUAUUAUGUUCAAUUAUAGCAUGGGGUCCAAGAUUAAAGAUAUUACUAGCCGGUUGGAGCACCUCGGCCAAGAAAGAAUUGAACUUGGUCUGCAACGGAUUACUGGAGGGGCAUCAUCAUCUACUGCUGCCGCACACCAGAGGCCACCCAGUUCGAGUGUCCCAACAGAACGUGAAGUAUUUGGAAGAGAAGAAGAUAAGGCCAAAAUUCUUGAUAUGGUUUUGGCCGAUACCCCAAGUGAUCAUGCCAAAUUUGUUGUAAUACCCAUUGUUGGCAUGGGCGGAAUAGGAAAAACAACUCUUGCUCGGGAGGUCUACAAUGACAAGGCGUUGAAGAUUCCAAGUUUGAUGUAAAAGCAUGGGUUUGUGUCUCUGAUGUCUUUGAUGUUUUGGUCAUCUCAAAGGCACUUCUGGAGUCAAUCACCCGCAGGCCUUGUGUUCUAAGCAAUUUAAAUGAAGUGCAGGUUGAGCUGAAAAUAGUUGUGGAUAAAAAAAGAUUUCUACUGGUCUUAGAUGAUGUUUGGAACGAGGACUACAGCUUGUGGGUAGACUUAAAAGCUCCUUUCAUGGCUGCUGCACCAAACGGUAAAAUGAUCAUCACCACACGCAAUUCAAAUGUUGCAUCAAUAAUGGGACCAAUUGAACAUUACAAUCUCAAGAGUCUGUUAGAUGAUGAUUGCUGGUCCAUUUUCAUACAACAUGCACUUGAAUCUAGAGAUCUUAACGCAAAUCAAAUUUCAGAAUCAUUCCGCAAGAAAGUUGUUGGCAAGUGUGGGGGCUUGCCCCUGGCAGCAAAAACACUAGGGGGCCUUCUGCGUACUACGAGGCAUGAUGCAUGGGACGAUAUAUUAGAUAGCAAAAUAUGGGAUUUACCUCAACAAAGUGGCGUUCUCCCUGUGUUAAGAUUGAGUUACCACCAUCUUCCGUCUCAUUUGAAAAGAUGUUUCGCUUAUUGUGCAAUCUUUCCAAAAGAUUAUGAAUUCAAUGAGAAGGAGCUGACUUUCUUAUGGAUGGCUGGAGGAAUUAUUCGACAGUCAAGAAAGAAUGAGCAGCUGGAAGAUUUGGGCGGCAAGUGCUUUCAUGAUCUAGUGUCAAGGUCAAUUUUUCCACAAACCAGCUCGGGUAGUUCUAAAUUUGUAAUGCAUGACCUUAUCCAUGAUCUUGCUGAACUGGUUUCUAGAGAAACCAUUUUCAGAUUAGAGGAGGCCAACUUGUCAUCAAGAAGAUUUGAAAGGAUCCGCCAUGCUUCCUAUACCCGUGGUUGGUAUGAUGGUAAAAAUAAGUUCAAGGUUUUCAAUGAAAUUGAACAUCUACGAACAUUCCUACCAUUACACGAAAGACGAGGAUAUUACAUACCUCGAACGGUUCUAUCUGAUUUGCUGCCAAAGUUCAGAAGGUUGAGAACGCUAUCUUUACAAGGAUACUGUAUUGGUGAGUUACCAAUGUCAUUUGAAGAUCUGAGACUUUUAAGGCUCCUCAACCUUGCUGACACUGACAUAAGAAGUUUACCUGAGUCAACAUGCACAUUGUUGAACUUGGAAAUUUUGAUAUUAAGAAAUUGUUCCCGUUUGAUAAAGCUUCCGCCCAAAAUGAGGAAUUUGAUCAAUUUACGCCAUCUCGAUAUAAGAGGUGCGAAGUUGCUGAAGGAGAUGCCGUUCGGAAUGAAGGAGUUGAAGAAUCUUUUACAAGUUUGGAAGAUUUAAAAUGUUUAAACUUUCUUUGUGAUGAACUCUGCAUGAGUGGAUUAGAGAAUGUGAAUAAUCCACAGAAUGCAAGAGAAGCCACAGUAUGCGAGAAGCACAAUCUUGAAGCAUUGACUCUAGAUUGGGGGUCUCAAUUUGACAAUUCUCGAGAUGGAGUAGUAGAAGAGCAUGUACUGGAAAUUCUACAGCCCCAUAAAUGUAUAAAAAAGGUGGCAAUCAGGAACUAUGGUGGUGCAAGAUUUCCGCAUUGGAUCGGAGAUCCUUCGUUCUCCAAGAUGAAGGUCCUUAAAUUGGAGAACUGUCACAAUUGUGUAUCGUUGCCGUCGCUUGGCCUGUUGAGUUCACUUAAGCACCUUGCUGUUAAAGGGCUGAAGAAACUAAAAAGCAUAGAGUCUGAGGUUUAUGGGGAGGGUUUCUCAAUGCCUUUUCCAUCACUGGAGAUUCUAAGUUGCGAGAAUUUGCCAGAAUGGGAGCAUUGGGAUACCGAGAUCAAAGGAAAUGUGCCUGUUGAUAUAUUUCCUCGUCUCCAAGAACUUUCCAUUGCAGAAUGUCCCAAACUCUCUGGACAACUGCCUGAGCUCCUGCCUUCCUUGGAGACACUUGUUGUUAGUAAAUGUAAAAAGUUGGUAGUUCCAUUGUCUUGCUAUCCGAUGCUCUGCAGAUUAGAAGUUGAUGAGUGCAAAGAACUAGUCUGCCGGACUCCGAUUGAUGUUAAGUUGAUAAAGUCCAUGACUAUUUCAAAUAGUUCAUUAGACCUGAAUGGAUGUAAGGGGAUGCUAUACGAUGGUCCAGCUGGCUCUUCACUGCCAAAGCCCAUGACUACUACAAAUGUUUUGGAGUUUGGAAAAUUAUUGAAGCCUGGAUUUCAGAUAUUCGAAACUUUGGUAAUUGGCAAUUCUGAACAGCUCAAGUCAUGGAGGCAGCAUGGGGAUUUUCCUAAAAAAUACAUGGUCACUGACCAUAGGUUUAAGAAACCAGUACCAGGGCUGAAUAUGCUCGCUUCCCCUGAAGAGGUAAAAAUUGAAGAAAGCUGCGUAAGUCUUGUUUUGUUUCCAGAGAUCAAUUUUUUUCCCAGAAAUCUACGCUCUCUUCUAAUUAAAAACAGCACAACUUUAAAAUCCUUACCCGAGGAAAUGAUGGCAACAAUUCACAACUCGAAAGGUUGUAUAUCAGAGAUCGCGACUGUCUAACAUUCAUCGCAAGACGGAGGCUACCGGCAUCUCUUAAAAGGCUUGAGAUAGAAAAUUGUGAGAAAUUGCAACGUCUGUUCGAUGAUGAAGAGGAUGCUUCUUCUUCUUCUCCUGCAUCCUCGUCGUCCCCAGUGAUGCUGCAACACCUGAGUAUAGAGAACUGCCCAGAGCUCACCAGUUUAUCAUCGGGUGUCCAAUUCCUUGAGGCGCUUGAAUUCCUCGAGAUACGGGAUUGCCCAAAGCUGGAGUCAAUACCGGAUGGCCUGCCCAAUCUUAAAUGUUUACAGAGCAUUUAUAUAUGGAAAUGUCCAAGUCUUGUUCCUUCCCAGAAAGAGGGCUUCCCAACACGAUUUCAAGGGUUGGCAUUGGCGAAUGUGACAAGCUCGAAGCCUUGCCCAAUGAUUUGCACAAAAUCAACUCUCUUCGAUAUUUAAGCAUACAGCUGUGUCGAAAUCUUGUAUCGUUUCCAGAAGAAGGUUUUCCUACCAGUCUAACAUCACUUAGAAUUGGAGAUUUCAAAAUGUAUAAGACCCUCGUCCAGUGGGGGUUGCACAGGCUUACCUCUCUUAGACGCCUCUAUAUCGUUGAUUGUGAUGACGAAGCAGAGUGUUUUCCAGACGAGGAGAUAGGAAUGACGCUGCCCACCUCUCUCACUGAUCUGUACUUAUCGGGAUUCCAAAAAUUGAUAUCCCUGUCUUCGACGGGUUUUCAGAGCCUCAACUCUCUUCAAUAUUUGUUGAUCGCGGGUUGCCCAAAUCUCACAUCAUUUCCAGAGGUGGGCCUUCCAUCCUCACUUUUGGGAUUAUUCAUUUUCAAAUGUCCAAAGCUUAAAAGAGCGUGCAAAAGAGAUCAAGGAAAAGAGUGGCCCAAAAUUGCUCACAUCCCUUGCGUUGAGAUAGACGAAAAAUUCAUAUACGAUCCCGAAUCAGAGGAGUAGAUUUCUGUUAUCCAUUAAAAACGAUCUCCUAUUAGUUUUAUUUUUUAAAUAAUAAUUUUGCAGUUCUGUUUUCUGUAUAAUUAUAAAUCCUCUGCCGUUAAUUAUUGACAAUGUCACUCACGUGAUUCCGUCUUCACUAAUCAGACUGUAUGUUGAGGCUAUUUGCUUUUUAAUCAAAGAUUAAAUUAUAACAUUUAUCUUAAAAUUGAAUAUCAUAGACAGAUAGACGAUUUUUAAAUCCAAAGUUUUUUGAUCCACUUCAAUUAGCAUUUAUUUUUUCCCCCAAAACAGGCAAGCCGAGAGUUUCAAUCAAGAAUUGGAGGAUGUGAAUGGGAUUUUUGUGAAAACAUAAUGGAUGAACGAACAUUUCAUCUGUGAUCUCAAAGUCAACAGAAUUUUAUUUACUCAUUGACUUUUCAACUCCUGUGGUUAUUUAUGGGUGAAAGAUAAGGGCAAUUACAAGAAAUUUGCAAACUUUGUCAACUUCUUUUAAUUGUACCAAUUUGUCGUUUAUGUUUUAGUUUUAUUUUUUCAGUUUUGUUUAUUGCUUAGAUGGUAGAUAUAUCGACAUUUUAGAUUUCAGAUAUUUGUCACCAGUUUCAUUCCCUUUUUUUUCGUUUUUUUAAGCUAGUUUGACUAAUUUUAACCAGAAUUAGAGCAGAAUAUUUUGGAGCGAGCAUACUUGAAAUGAUGCUUUUUAAUUUUGAUCUAGUAAAAAUACAUAGCCCUCACCGGCAGAAUUCUAGUCCCUACCGGGAUUCAAGAAAUUGAAAUUUCUGUCUUCAACGGGUUUUCGAAGCCUGACCUCUCUUCGAUUUUUGUGGAUCGGGAAUUAUAAAUUUACAGUUGUCAGAAGCUUGAAAAAGUGCGCAAAAGAGAUCGAGGAAAAGAAUAUUUCUCUGUUUAGUGAAGGAUGAAUGCUUGGAGUGGAGUAUUUGGUAACAUUUCUGUUUAGUUAAGGAUUUUGAAAUUAAUGAUGGUAAGAUGUGUACUUAUUCUUUCUUCCAGACAACCUUGCCUUCUUUCUUCGGUAGCAUAUCUAAUGAAUAUUUCUCUGUUUAGUUAAGGAUGAAUGCUUGCAGUGGAGUAUUUGGUAACAUUUCUGCCGUAGAUGAAUCCUUGAAGAAAUGCCUGCACUUCCUGAGACCAAAUACAGGUCUGAUUCAAAACAACACCUGUCCCAGAAAAUAUGAUACAAGGCAAAGCCAUGUUCUGAUAAUGUUUCCUUAAGUACAAAGUUGCAAGGAAACUUGAUUCAUUAACUACAAAUUUUUAUUUUUAGGACCUUGCAUCUGAAAGGUUCAGUGUAAUUUUUUUUUUUCAAUUUAUUGCUCAGAUCUCAGACGAGUAUAUGGUUUAGAUUACAAAACACUUACGAUUAAUUUCAUUUUUUUUUAUUUCAGGGAGAAGAAGUGGUCAGUUUCAAUCCAGAAUUGGAAUAUGGCAAUUUGGUGCAAGCACAAAUACCUGGUCACUUCGUCAGUGAACCUGAACUUUACUGAACUUUACACAGUUUUUUCAACUCAGUGAUUUUUGGAACGCAUAUUGGUGUAAGGAAAUCAAACGAAAUUUAUGCAUAGUCAAAUUCUGAUAUUUGCUAUAUUUUAUACAUUCUAAAGUUUCUCCAGUUUGUUCUCAGAUUACCAUCACUUUUUGCCUUCACCAAAAAAAAAUAUAUAUAUAUUUGAGUGGCUUUCCGGUGGAUAUUUAAUCGGAGGCAUGACUGGAUUUUUUUUCACUUCUGUAGAUCUUGCAUUUUAAACUGGCAAAUUUAACUUUAAUUUCAAUACGACUUUGUUGGUGCCUUCUGUUCCAGGAGCUAGAAAGAUGUGUAGUUUUCAGAUAAAGGGGCUUGUGAAUUCUCUAGUAAGAAUCCAAUAAUUUGCUUUUGCACGUUCAUUUUAUUUGUAGAUCCUUGCAUCUGAAUUUGAUCAAUCCAAAAGGAACUGCUUUUAGAGGGAAGAAGAAUAGCAGUACCUAUUCGAUGACAUAGUGUAUGGACCCUCACAUGUUAACUUUCAUGAAAAACACAUUUAAGAAAUUUGCAACUUUUUGGUUAGUUAUGUAUCCAAUGUUGUUUUCUGUUUUAGCAUUUGUAGAAUCUACUGUAUUAUAUUUUGGCAGCUACAGUAUCUGAGGUAUCUUUUGCAUUUAACUUGCUUUAUAUGUUUUGUCUGUGACUUAAGAACACCAAUAUUUGCCAGAGAUUUAGAGAAGCAUAUCAAGAUGCUUGGCUAACUUGACAAACUUCAAGAUCCUUCAUUCUUCACAAUGCAAAACUUGUGAGUACACUUAUGCCCGCAAUUAUUGUGAAAUGCUUGCAAUUUUGAUGCAGCGAAAUGGUUUGUUGAUGCAAAGGUUUGAACUUUUAAGGUUUACCCUGCAGGGUAGUUGGAUGCUGUAUACUCGAAAAGCCACCAACAUCAAGAACUAUACCUCCAAGACUGGGUUUGCAUUAAUUCAAUCAGCUGAAAUAAUGAUGCAAAGGACACUAUCAGCUGGACUUAGAGACCAGUCAGAUCAAUUAUCCAUUUUAUCAACAGUUAAUGUCAUCAUGGUGGCUAUUAGAGGAAACAGAGGAUGUGUCGGAAUCAAUAUGAACAGUGAGAAGAAUGAGAGGAGCUUUGAUUAUAAAUUGGCUCAAUGAACUCAUGCUGGUAAGUGGUAAUUAAAGAAAUUUGUGCGCUUAGCAGAGUUUCAAUAUUUUCUGUUUGGGAUAUAGUUGAUAAGUUGAUACUCUGAUUAAUAAGCCUGAUUAUAGUAGCUGACUGUAUUAACCAGGUUCUUUUCUUUCUUUUUUUUUUGGUGGUUUGCUGUUGUUUUGAUUAUGCUGUAACUACAAGGAAGAGCCGGACUUGGAUGCAGGCGUUCAGCUUUUAAUGGUUAAGAACAAAUGUAUGCUUUAACCAUGUUUCUCACUUAUUACAAUGUACGCAUUGAAGGCAUCUGAGCUGAUCCUGAAAAUGUCAUGGAAAUACUUCUCUGUUUACAUAAAACAGGACAAAUAGAGAUCUCUGAUCAUGCCUGAGAAUUCGUUGCAUUGAAAUUUCUACCAUUGCCAAAAAUAGAAUAAACUAGGGAUACAUUAGCGUAAGACUCAAUUUUGAGAAGGAAGUUUGUACUUGCAGCCUAAAAAAUCAUGUCUUUGUUGUAUACUUGUAUGUUUCUUUGGGAAAUGAAAGAUUCUGUGUUCUUUUAUUUCAAGUUUGCUGAAAUCACAUUUGUUUUCUUAGAUGCUUUCCAGAAGGUAACAGCAUCAAUUUCAAAAAUGCUGGGGUAAUAUGCAUCACGCAGUGCUACUCAACAUGAGAAAUCCUGGCUGCAUUAACUGUAUGUUGAGUGAUCGCACAGUACAACCUUGAGAAGCUUGUAAGGAGUAGACAACUAGAUGCGAGUAGUUUCAAUAUGGAUUCGCAUCAAAUGAUUUCUUGCCACUGAUUACCAUAACUUCUAUCCCAAAAUUCUGGGAACUGGUCAUACCAGCUAUGAAGUAUUGUAUACGUUGAAGAGCUCAAGGCCUUGCAAAAGCUCCGUCAGCCUUUGUAUUGGCAAACAGAUGGUUGUAGUUGCUUCUGAAUGAUAUGAUUAAUAGAUUCUGUAAAAAUGAAUUGUGCUAUACGCUUUCAGAGUUCUGUUAAGAUGUCUUGGUAGUUUUUGAUGCUUGUUUGAUUUAUAUUGCAUUCAGCUAUAAAUCAAAGGUUCAGAACACGAGUAUGUUGCUGAUUUCCAAAUAGAAAAAUUGCCUUGUGAUGUUAGUGUCCAUUGUUUUCACAGGAGAUCAGGUUCCUUGUUAUUGAAUCAAGAAGGCAAACGCAUCCAUGUCUGAGUUCAAUUGUGUCCCUUCUAUUUUCUAUUACUGACUCAUUUAUUUUGAUUUCUUCAUUGUGAUUGAAUUGGUUUUUUAUUCCAAAUUAGUCAAAACCUCAUAGAGUUAUUAAGUUCCGUUAGCAUUCAGAACUACGUACCAAAUGAUUAACAGGAUUAAAUUACAAUAAAGAAUUAAGUUCUUUAUUGUAAUUGAAUUUGCUUUCUCAUGUUUAGAGAUAUUAUGUUCUGGUUAGGGGUGAUUUCUUGAAGAGUCAAUCCAUUUGUGUUUAUACAUUUUUCUAUUGCCUUGAUUUCUGUUUUCUGGGGAGUUUAUACAGAUUCUUAUUUUAUGCUUCACAUGCCACAUGAAAGAUCAAAGCCUUCUGUCUGAACAUAAUAUACGUAGAAAGUUAAAUUUAUUUAUUUAUAAGCAUGUCCCAGUGCCCAGUGGCAUCCUCUUAACUUGUGAUAGUCAAAUGUAUUAUACGAUACAAUAUCAGCUUGACUUUAGCAUAGAGGAGAAUAGGGUUGGUGUUGGACUGAAUUCUGAUCCUUGAAUAAAUAUAACAGCUGCCUGAACCAGCUUAUUUGACUCCACAACUUUAUACUUGUUUUAUAGUCUAUGCCUACCUCCAUCGUCGGCAGCUUACAGUCUCUUUUAGCAUUUUAAAAAGUUUCAUGAUAUUCCAUAGUUCGCAUGGACUGCUACAAUUUAGAGAAACAUAAUUACGGCAUAUUUAAUUACCACGCGAGGAGUCUUCUUUUUUGCGCACCAAUAAUUCUUUGUACUUAAUUAGAAGAUGAGAAAUCCUUUAGCCGAACCACGAACUCACCUAUUAGUGGGGUUUUUUCCGCUUGCAUUCAGUCGCUCAAGUGAAAAUUGCGUGCAAUUUUUUCCUCAACUAAAAUUGGAAUAGAUAUUUUGUUAUUGCUGGCACAAAUUUUCCUUUAAGUCAAAUUGGAAUAGAUGUUUGUGAGAUGCCUAGACCUGAGAUUUUGUUAUGAUUAUAUGCAUUAAAGCUUUCGGUAGACCCUUGAAAUCUUAUGAUCAAUGUAUUAGAAAUUUAGAAUUGGGGUUUAUAAGAGCUAGUUUGACCAUGUUAUAACUUUUAAAAUUAUUGUUGCUAAUUGUGUUAUAGAAAUAAUUAAUCAGUUGUAAAAAUAAUUAGUUAAACAUUUGGUAAAUUUUAUUUUUAAAAGUGUUAGGAGUUUUAAAAGCAGACGUACGUACUUAGUAAAUCUCACUUUUAAAAUAUUAUAAGAAUGCAAAAGGUUUAAAUAUAUAUAAAUCUAUACAAUUUAUUUACACAUGCAUUUAUAGAUACAUGUAUAUAUAAUAAUUGAUAACUAAAAUAAAGAUUUUUAUUUUAUUAAUUUUUUUUGUUAUCUAAAAAAAGGUAAUAAUAAUAUCUUUAAUGACGUAUUUAUUAAUCAGUAAUCGGAAUGGACUGGAAUCAAAAUGGAGGAAUGGAAAUCGGAAUAAAUUGUUUACUUUAACUAUCAAUAUUGGAAUCGCAAUGAACUGUAUUAUCACUUAUAUAUUUAUUUUAUCUGAGAAUCAGAAUGGAUUGAUUUAAAUUACUAGACAGACCUUAUUAUUAUUAUUAUUAUUAUUAUUAUUAUUAUCAUCAUUAUUAAAUAAGGUAAAAAGGAAUUUUCAAUUUUUACUGAAGUAAAAAUAUCAAUUCACUUCUCAUUUUCAGCCCUAGGGAAUGAGACUCCCAUUCCACAUUCUAGAAUUUAUAGAGUCCACUCAAAUUUUCAUUCCCAUUCCCCCUCCUUGUUUUGCAAGUAAACAAGUUAAUAAUCCUAUUCUCUCAUUUCUACUCCCAUUCUCAUUCUCAAGUACUAACACAUCAAGGUAUUCGGUUCGGUUUUUGCCCAAUAGAACUGAAAUUAUUCGGUUUGGUUUGAUUUGGUUUAAUAUAAAAAGCCAAAGGGUUUAUAUUUUUAUGAACCAAAUGGUUUGUAUUUGAUUCAAUUCUAAAACUGAACCGAAAGCACAAACCAAUCGGUUCACGUAAUUUUAAUUAUUUUUAGAAAAAGAAAAACCAAAACUAAAUCGUAGAAUGUGAAUCCCUAAAAUCUAAAUCCCUAAUUCUCCUAACUAACUAAAACUAAUCACAGAACAACACAACCACAACAACCUAGCAAGCGCAGCGGUAGCCCCUCGAACCACGCUCACUCUCAAGUAUAGCAUGACAAUAGGGCUCUCUCAUGCAAUGAUAGGUAAUUUCUUAGUUUAGAAGGGAAAGUAAGAGAAACAGAGGAAGAAUAUAAGUUGAUUAAAAGGGAAAAGUCAAUUCUUAUUCCAAAAACUUGCUUAGUGCAAGUUCAAUAGGGUCUCUUAAAUAGACCUAUACAUAUAAUAAAAACUAGAAAAGACGAAAAUCACUUGAAAAUAAAAAGCAUGAUCACUUAAAUGGUAAACAUACAUAACCGCCAUGAGCUACAUGCAACCUAAGUCAAAUAAUCAACUGAAGAAACUUGAUCCCCAUGCAUAUUGAGCACAUACCAUUCCCCACCCUUUAGAAACACCUUGUUGGUGCGGUUAAAGUGAGGGUGAGCCUUUGAGAAUCACCAACAGUUCCAACGAGUGUCCUCAAUUGCUGCUCCUAUCCCUAUAACCAGUAUUGAGUUGUACGAAUGGCACAUGAUCUUCAAUCAUGAAUAGUUGCAGCUUUUAACAACAGUGUGAUACAAACUAAUAAAAAUAAUAAAAAUUAUUUAUUUUAUUUUAUUGUAUUAGUUAAUUUUGAACUAGUCAAAACUAGUUGCCCUUAUUUUGUGGAACUACAUGUAAUUAGUGGAGCAUUAUGUGAGAACAUGCUUAGUGUUACUAAUUUUUAGGUUGUAAUCCUAAAUAAACUUUUAUUAUAUAAAGCUUAAUGUUACUCAAUAAAAAGGAUCAUGAGUUUAUUAUUUUGGCAACAUAAAAGUUGUAAUUGGGAGUUUAUUGGUUUCUCGAAUAACCAAUACUUAUUUGGAGGUUUGGAUUUCCUUGAAUUAACUCCAUUUGUCAUCUAAUUUUUCUAUUUCAUUUGAUUUCUCCUUAUAAACUUUAGUGUUCGUAUCACAGUGGCCAAGAAUAAGUUUCUCGUCACAAUAAUAACACAACCCUUUUCCACGAUGAGCAUGUGCUUCUUAGUUAGAUAGUUGCUGGAUAUGAGGGGAAGCGAUGUCAUCGGCUAUUUAAUCAACCUUAGGAGGUGGACCUAAGACUCUAACAAAGCUAUUUGGGGUUGGUUGCUAUAUCACCAAAAUAGAGGGUGGUAGAGAAAAGUGACUAGUGCAUUGAGAAAGUGAAUUUCGCUCCUCAAUCAGUCUUGUCACACCAAUGGUGUUAGCCAAGGUAAAGGGCUAUUUAAUCUUGACAUCUAGUUGUAUCUCAUCCUGAAGACCUACAAUAAAACAACCAAUUAAAAAACAUUCGAGUAAGCCAUCAACCUAAUAUAAAAGCUUUUCAAAAGUUUAUUGAUAUUAAGCUAAUAAUGGAAGUCUAUUUCAGGUGCAUCAAAGCCUUAGAUGGGUCCUCAUAAUCCAUUAGUUCGAAUCGUAGAAGGACUGUUGUUGAUGCUGAAAUCUGCUCGCCCUCUACCCAACCAAAUCAUUCCACCAACAUUUGUGUAUGCAAUGGAGAGAAUACUGCCCUUUUGCCUCCUUCAGCAACUGCGGAUGCUCCAGGGGUUGGAAUCACCUUUUUCCCUUCUUUCUAAUCCUGCACUCACAGAGAUAGAUCAGAGACGCCGGUGGUUUUACCAGCAUAAACCCUCCAAUACUUAAGUUAGCACAAGGUGUUUUACGGGAAAACUAUGUAACUUGGAUUGUUUGGUUUCUCGUAAUGCUUUCUAAAACUUGUAAAGAAUAUAAUCUGGUUUCAAUUUGGCAGAGUUUUCCUUUUUCUCUCAAUUUUUCCAUCCCUUUUUUCAUUGGUUUCCCGGCUUCUUGUAACCGUUGUCCCACGUUCCUAUCUACUCCUCAUGCCCCCCCUUUUAUCGGGUGAUGGCAGGCCUUCAUGGCCUCCAACCACUGGAUUGUGGGUAAACAUGGGAUGACAUGUCCCUCUUGACGGUUUGGGGCAUAGCGAAACUACCGCAUUUUCGUGAGAUCGUGUGCCCCUUGUUUGGGUGAUGGGUAUCUGGUUGGUAUAUGUCUCUAGUCGGUACAUUCCUCUGGUCGGUGCUCGUCUCUAGUAGGCCCACUUUUGUAUGAGGCGUUUUACCAGGGCUCUUUUUGUGCCGCUCAGUUGAGGUGAUUCACCUCGGGGUGGGAAAUGAGGGCAUGGCUGAGCUGGUGCUCUUUAUUACUUAAUACCAGUCCCCUAGUUUCUGGUCUUGCGAGUGAAAUGAGUUGAGAUUAGAAACUAAGAAUCGGAUUUUAUCGACCCCGGGAAAUUCCUAUCUGGUCUUCGUGUUAUUGUGAUGGACCUGAGGUUCUGCCUUUUGUUUAGGGAGAUUUUUUAUCUAAGUAUGGGCCUUUGUGAGCAUGUCCAAUAUAUAGCUGGGCUAACAUCUCGUCAGGCCUUUUAUAACGGUCAGUGACGUGUCGUUUCUCGUCCUUUCAUAUUUGAAAUUUGAAACGACGGCUUAUCUGCCCUCGAUAUACGGCGAGUGAGCUAGCACCCGUAUAACUUAAACGCUUCCAUUUCCCUAUUUCAUUUCAAAUCCCUAAAUUGAAGCUGUCAUUGCGUUUCACUAUCCGCCAUUUCACUGUAAACUAAGUCCCUCUUUGGACUUCAAUCACACUUUUUGCGUCCGAAACCUCUAUUUGCUGGGUCCUCUCUCCGUCACAGCAGCACUACCAGUGCCAGUUUAUUCUAGGUAUCACUUUUAACUUCUUCGCUGGUUGUUGUUGAUUGGGUUCUGUGUUGCCCCUUUUUGUACCCAUACACUCGGAUUUACUGUGUUUUCCUUUUUGAGUUUUUGAUAUGUCAAACCGAAAGGGGAAACUAAUUGUAGAUGAGAGUGAUGAAGAGGUGGGGGACUCAUACCCCAACCUGUUUGGGCCUAAUGACCCCUUAUCAUCUUCUCGUAGUAUAAGUCUUUCCCAUCAUAGGGAUACCCUAGAGUAUCCUCAUCGCGUGACCACUUUGCCUUCCCCUGAAUUAGAACCCGUGGGAAACCGUGGUGGUUCAGCUUCUUGCUCUGGUGAAAAUCACAGUUCUGAGGGCUGGGGGGGUCCCUGGAAAGUGGGUGAAGGUAAGGAGAGUAGCUCCGAGCCGAGCAGACCCUCUAAGAAGAGAAACUUUGGUCAUAUGAUGGCGGGAGAUGCUUAUCCCAUUGACUAUAUCACCUGUGUUACCACCCACACUGACCUACUCAAGUUUAGAAACCUCUACCAUAUCCCUGAGGUGGUUCUUCUUUUAAUCCCUGGGAAAGGUGACUUCCCCAGUCGGCCUCCAAGGGGAUAUGUCACGAUGGGCACGAUUACCCCUUCAACCUUACUUUGCUUGGAUACUGGGUGGUAUGCAUCUGGCUCCAGGUCAGCUUCACCCGAAUGGGUGGAGGGUUCUCUCAGCCAUGUAUGUGCUAUGGAAAAAGUGUGGACUUGAGGAGCCUUCUCUUGAGGAAGUGAAGCAUUUAUACCAGCUGAUGAGCUUUCCAAGGGAAGCAGGUUGGUACUACUUCAUGUCAAGCUCUGCAAAGAGGAAGCCUGUCACCGACUUUCCUUCUUCCUGUAAAAAUUAGAAGAACAAAUUCUUCUUUGCUGGAGGAAAUUGGUGUCCAACAAUUCAUUCGCUUAGUGGUGAUAUUCACCUCCCAACACAUUUUGUCACCCCAGGUCGUUAAUUUUUCUGCAUACUUCACUUCUCUAAUCGUUACUUAUCGAGUUCCUUAACCUUGUUUGUUCUUUCAGAAUUGUGGGGUUUGAUCAAGAAACUUGACGAUAGACCACUGCUCCAGGUGGAAAUGGCUCUGGUGAACGCGUCUACCUGUCACGAUCUCAUAUCGUUAAUAAAUCUUGUCGGGUUGCACUUAGUGGACGUAGCUAUUGGGAUGGACAACAAGAUCCUCAGCGCUAUGUCUAAGAAACACACUUUGGGUUCAGGUAGCUCCAGCAACCUCCCUCCUCCUUUGAAGAAAGUCAAUGUUGGUUCCUCCAAGGCUUCUGCUCCUGCUCUGCCCCCUCCUUCACCUCGGAAGAAUGGUAGGGAGAAAGUUAGUGACAAGAGCCCCGAGGUCAGCAUUCAAUUUGGAGACCGAUCCUCUCCUCUACCGCCUCGGGACCAGGGUGACUAUCUGACCCUGUACCAGAGAGAUUACAACAAGUCGAUGGGACCAAAAAUGGUCAAGGACAUUGAAAGCAUGAACCUCAGCGAGCUAGGUGGUUCAGUUCAAAUGGUCUCCUUUAAGCUGGCUACUCUGGUUUCUUGCUACAAGAAUAGGUCUACGCGCCAAGAGAGGAGGCUUCAAGCUGAUAACGAGGACUUGAAGAAAAAGGCUAAUUCUGUUGAUCGCUCGAAGGAGAAGCAGAUUGAGCUACACAAGCAGAUCAUGGACCUGGAGGAGAAAGUGGCUAUUGCUGAGUCUAACUCCUCCAAGCUUGAGGGUGAGUUGGGUGAUCUAAAGUCCGAUCUCCAGGUUGCUCACAGUGAACGAGAUACUUUGAGGACGACCCUUGAGGAACAUAUUAGGUCCUUAGAUGAGCAGGUAGCCGAGCUGAAAGGCAAAUCUGUUGAGGUGGACAAUUGACUGGAUGCAGAAUAUAACUCUGGGCUCGCCUUUUGCUACAAGUGCAUCAUGUUUGUGCUUAAGGGAGAAUAUCCUGAGCUUGACAUGAGCAAGCUGGAGGCUGGAGUGCAGAAAUACAUGGCCGAGCCCGAUCAAGGGGAUAAGGAGCAGGGAGAGCAGGAUCAGGUGGAGGCUCCUUCAGAUGGGGUGCAGGAGAGGGAAACAGAGGAUUAUGCUCUUGAAACAGGUCAGGGGUCACUGCCUGCUCCCCCAGAAGUUGCUGGUCCACCUUUUAUCGAGGCUGCUGAACCUCAUAAUCCUUAGGCUUAUAUAUAUAUAUAUAUAUAUAAAUAUUAUUUUGUAUAAAUUCUAAACUCCCAUCUGUCUACAAAUGUUUGGAUGUUUAUAAACUUUGGAUGCUUUUUGUUUGCUUUCUUGCCAUGGUUUUGGUUGUGAAUCGUUUCUACAAGUUACCUUAACAAUUUUGAGUGACUUUGGCUGCUGGUCCUUUUGUCGUCCGAGCAGGAACUGACACUUGUUUGCCUUAGCGAAAUUUGUAAAACUUACAUUUCAGUUUUUCAAACGACUGAGCAGGAACUGGCGUUGGUUUGCCUUAACGAAAUUUUGUAAAAUUGCCUGCUGGUGCUUUAGGCGACCAAGCAGGAAUAGGCACUUGCUUGCCUUCAUAAAAUUUAUAGAUUUGCCUGCUGGUCCUUUAGGCGAUCGAGCAGGAAUAGACACUUGCUUGCCUUAAUAAAAUUUGUAGAUUUGCCUGCUGGUCCUUUAGGCGUCCGAGUAGGAAUAAACACUCGCUUGCCUUAAUAAAAUUUGUAGAUUUGCCUGCUGGUCCUUUAGGCAACCGAGCAGGAAUAUGCACUUGCUUGCCUAAAUAAAAUUUGUAGAUUUGCCUGCUGGUCCUUUAGGCGAUCGAGCAGGAAUAGGCACUUGCUUGCCUUACUAAAAUUUUUAGAACGAGGGAAUUUAUGCUGAAUUCAUCUUUAUUGAACUUUGCAUGGAUUACAAGAGGCGAGAUAUAGUCACGUGUAACAAUUCAUCAUGCUUUUAACAUAAAUAACUUAUUGAAAUAAAACUUGGUAAGGCAGUUUGCUUACUGGAAGUAUUUCUUCAAGUGCUUAGCGUUCCAUGAUCUUUUCACGUCUCGUCUAUCUGGGUAAAUCAGCUUGUACGCUCUUGGGCCAGUUAUUCAUACCACUCUGUAUGGGCCCUCCCAUUUCGGGCUAAGAACACCAUGAAUAGGAUCUCUUGUGCAUUGGUUCACUUUUCUAAAUACCCAAUCUCCUGCUCGGAACUGUCUCAUGCGAACAUUUUUGUUGUAGUAACGCAUGAUCCUUUGCUGGCAUUUGGCUGUUCUCUGCGAUGCCCCUUCUCUUUUUUCCUCCAGCAGGUUCAGGCUCAAGCAGAUCUGCUCGUCAUUUUGUUCUUUGUUGAAAUACUCUGUCCGAUAUGCCCCCACCCCAAUUUUUGCUGGGAUUACUGCCUCAUGACCGAAAGCUAAAGCAAACGGGGUUUCUCCCGUGGCCAUUUUGUGGGUUAUCCGGUAGGCCCAUAACACUCCUAGUAACUCGUCGACCUAAGCUCCUUUUUUUUCUCAUAGCCUGGUUUUCAAGAGUUUCUUUAUUACUUUGUUGGCUGCUUCCACCUGCCCAUUUGCCUUGGGGUGUGCUAGGGUACAAAACUUCAGGUCCACCCCUAAAUUUUGGCUAAAUUCUCUGAAGUUGUGAUUGUCAAACUGUCUCCUAUUGUCUGUAAUGACAGCAAUGAGGAUCUCCUAUCUGCAGAUGAUAUUCUUCCAAACAAAAUCCGUUAUCUUUCUCUCUGUGAUUUGACUGAGGACCCUUACUUCUACUCAUUUGGUGAAGUAGUCUAUAGCCACAAUUGCAUGUAUUACUUCUCCUCGGCCCUUGGGUAAUGGGCCAAUCAGGUCAAUUCCCCACUGAGCAAAAGGCCAUGGGGAUGACAUAGUGGUUAACCUUUCUGGGGGCUGAGCAGGGACUUCCGAGAAGCUCUGGCUGACUUUAUAGUUUUUUGCCAUCCCCGUCGCAUCCUGAUGCAUGGUCGGCCAGAAGUACCCUUGCCGAAGCACCUUGAAAGUCAAAGUUCUCGCCCCCGAGUGGUUGCUGCAUAUUCCUUCAUGAAUUUCCCUCAACACAUAAUUUGCUUCCUCGUCAUCCAAGCAUCUCAAAAGGGGCAAGGUGAAUCAUCGGCGGUAGAGUACCCCAUCGAGUAGCGUAUACCUUGCUGCCUGACAUUUCAACUUUCUUGCUUGCUUCCUGUCCUCUGGUAAGAUGCCCUCACGAAUGUAUAAUAGAAUGGGGUCCAUCCAGGAUUUUUCGAUGCUCACCUGCAUUACUUCUGCUUCCUCCCCUAUGCUUGACGAGGUUCUCACUUUUAGUGGAAUUGACUUGGGUAAUUUUGGAUCUGCAAUUGCGGCCAUUCUGACCAAUAUAUCUGCUCGGUAAUUCUCAUUCAGAUAUAUCUGCUUUAUUUCUAUCUCUUGGAAGAGCUCAACCAUCUGUUUUGCCUUCUUCAAAUAAAGCCCCAUCUUCUCUUCCCUCGCUUGGAAUUGAUCACUGAGCUGAUUACAGACUAAUUGGGAAUUUGCUCAGAUUUCUAUCCUUUUUGUUCGUAGUGCGUGUGCAAACCCCAGCCCAGUGAUGAAAGCUUCAUAUUCAGCUCGGUUAUUCGUAAGCUGAAAUUUAAAUUUCACUGCAUAAGAUACAUCGGCCCCUUCUAGGCUUCGUAUUACAAUUCCUGCUCCAGAUCCCUGUUUACUACGUGACCCAUCAAUUAUUACUAGCCACACCCCCUUUGAUUUCUCCUGCUUCACUGGUUGCUCCUCCCAAAUUUCCUCCCCUAAUUUAACACGGUCAACCAUAAAAUCGGUCAAGGCUUGGGCUUUGAUUGCUUCUCGGGGUUUGUAGGAUAGGUCGAAUUCGCUCAACUCCACGGACCAUUUACUAACCGACCAGAUGCAUCUAGUUUUAGAGCAUUUACCGAAGAGGCUGGUCAGUCAUCACAACUAUCGGGUGGGCCUGAAAGUAAGGUCUGAACUUGCGUGCUACUGUUAUUAAAGCUAGUGCCCAUUUCUCCAUUAGUGGAUAUCUGGUUUCUGCAUCUACCAGGGCCUUGCUAGUGUAGUACACAGGGUGCUGCUUUCCUUCCUCUUCUCUGACUAAUACCGAGCUGGUAGCCCAUUUAAAGACUGCCAAGUACAAAUACAGCUGGUCACCUUCUCCAGGAGUUGAUAGUACAAGGCGCGGGCUAAAUAUUCCUUCAGCUGCCCGAAUGCCUCCUCACAUUCUAACGUCCACUCCAUUUUCCUUCAAUUCUUUAUGAUUUGGAAGAAAUGGUGACAUUUAUCUGUGGCUCGCGAGAUGAAACGGUUCAAUGCUGCUAACUUCCCUGUAAGACUCCGUACCUCUUUAACUGUCCGGGGGGACUUCAUUUUUGUUACUGCCCGUACUUUUUCCGGGUUGGCCUCAAUCCCUCGAUGGCUCACCAUGAACCCCAAAAAUUUACCCGCGCUAACUCCAAAUGCACACUUUUCCGGAUUCAGCUUCAUCUGAUACUUCCUUAGCAGUUCAAAAGUCUCUUCCAAAUGCUUCACAUGAUCCUUCGGUUCCUUGGACUUUGUGAUCAUAUCAUCCACGUAUACCUCCAUAGUGUGACCGAUCAGUGGCUUGAAAAUCUUAUUCACCAACCUUUGAUACGUAGCCCCUGUGUUUUUCAGGCCAAAAGGCAUCACCUUGUAGCAAAAUAAACCCAUGUUAGUUAUAAAGGUGGUACUCUCCUCAUCUUGCUUGUUCAUGGGUAUCUGGUUGUAUCCCGAAAAGGCAUCCAUGAAGCUAAGCAGACUAUGACCUGCCGUUGAGUCCACCAACUGAUCUAUUUUAGGUACGGGAAAGCUGUCAUUUGGGCAUGCCAUAUUAAGGUCUGUGAAAUCCACAUACAUUAUCUAUUUCCCAUUGGCCUUCUUUACCAGCACUACAUUAGAAAUCCACUCCGCAUAUUUAGCCUCCCUUAUAAAUCCUGCUUUCAACAGCUUCUCCACCUCGGCAUUUAUGGCCUCGUACCUUUCCUAGUUAAAGCACCUCCUUUUCUGCAUCACCGGCCUUGCCCCUUUCUUGAUUGCCAACUUGUGGCAAGCUACCCCGCGAUCAAUUCCUGGCAUGUCCUCAUGAGACCAGGCAAAUAUAUCUGCGUGGGACUAUAGGCACUUCACCAGCUCAUCUUUUAUUGCUUCACCUAAUCCUGACCCGAUCUUAAUCACUCUGCUCGGGUUAUUCUUGCUCACAAAAAUCUCCUCCAGUUUCUCGACAGGCUCUUGACGACCCUUCUUAGAAUCUCUUCGGUUAUCCAGAGAGGUAACAUGUAGCGUCUCCUUGGCCGCUGUUGCGUAACAGCUCCUUGCUAUUCUCUGGUCACCUUUUACUACGCCCACAACUCCGUUUACUCUGUAUUUCAAUGCUAGAUAAUGCAUGGAUAUAAUGUAUUAGCUUGCUCUCAUAAAAGGUCGCCCUAGUAUCAUCUGGUAGGGGUUUUUCUCUUCCACCACUACGAAGUCCAGCAUAAUUUUCUUUUUAGAUGACUUCGCUCCUACGGUAAUCGGCAGCUCUAUGAUCCCCAUAGAGGUCAACUGUCUUCCUCCAAAUCCCUUUAAGGAUGUGUUCGUUCGCUCCAAUUUCAAAUCUGCAAUCCCCAUAUCAUCUAGGGCCGACUUAAAUAAUAUGUCGACCGAGCUGCCUAUAUCCACCAAUAUUUGUCGGAAUUCCUUACCCGCCACUAUUACUUUAACUACCAGUGCAUCCUCAUGAGGGUAUAAAAUGCCCUCUUCAUUAUCAUCUGUCCACAUAAUGGGAACUUGUCUUACUUUCACCCUCUUGGUCGUUGGUAAGUUGAAAAGUACCUCUUUGCUGGUCAAAGCGUAUCUCUCAUAAUUCUUUCGUGCUCUGUUUGAGUCUCCAGCCAAUGUUGGCCCUCCUGUUAUCACCUGAAUAUUUAGCUGUUCCCGCUCUAGGCUCCUUUCAACUCCAUCACCCAGCGUAUAUUGUGAUUCAAUGACGGGGGAUACUCCAUCUACAUACUCAUCCAAAUACUGGUUCCUCACCAAAUCUUCCACUUGAGUCUUCAAGUCAUGAUAUUGGCUGAUAGUGUGACUAUGAGUGUCGUGAAAUUUGCAGAAUCUGUUCUUAUCAUGUCUAUGAGCGGGUUUUGUUAUAGGGGCAGGAGGGUACAGCAGGCAUCGUCCCUCGAUUCUCUCAUACAACUCCUCCAUAGAGACUUUCAGUGGGGGUGUACUGUUUGUACGCCAAGCUUUGGUCAAUCAGUUGGACCGUUCAGCUAUCGUGGGUAUCGUUCCGAGCUGGUAUUGUAGGUAGCUGGUUUGGUUGACCAGCCCUGGAGUUAACUAUAUGCAGUACCCUGGGAGCGCUGUGAUAAGGGUGGGCGACUAACUGCCUGAAUUCUCGUUGCCACUCGGGGAAUGAGGGGCGCGGAGGCUGAGCUCAGUUGUGUUGGAGCUGUUGCGGUCUCUGAGCCAUGGGAUAAGGGCGAGACCAAGCUGAUAUUCCACACAUCACUAGCGAUUCUCCAGCUCGCCUUCCUGAUCCGCUCCCGCUCAGGGUUCUUCAAUCUCCAUGUCUCUCUUUGCCUGCUCAUACCCCGUUGAAUAAUUCUGAACGAUGGGACUUCACAAGUUGUACCAUAAUCGGCCUAUUCUUACACCCUCUUUUAAUCCCCUUAACGCCUGCAGGUGAUUGAAAGCUCCCAGAUCAAGCACGGCCCAAUGGUAUCUUUUCACAAAAUCCUGAAGGGAUUCGUGUUCCUCCUGCUUCAUCCCCAUCAAAUCCAUCAUAUCGUCAUCUGGGCCUACUGAUUAUCGGAACAGUGUUGUGCAAAUUUUAAUGAACUCGCAAGCACACGAAUCUAUUGUAGUAUAGAUCAUUGGUAACGAGUGUCGAUCUCAUGAGGAGGUGGAUUUUAAUUGUGUAUAGAAUUGAUUUUGUAAAUGGGUGGUUGGAUUUGUGGUGGAAGUGAUUCAGAUUAUCCUAAAAUUGGAAUUAAAAUGGUGAAAAUAAUUUGAAGAGAAUUCUAUUGAAAUGACGUACUUGGGUAUCUGGAUCCGUAUCAACAUGCAUCAUGGGCUAAAUAUUCCUUAUUAAUACCAAUUAAAUCAUGAGGGGGGAAUCCACACCUCAUGAACCACGCUCUAAUCAAUAUGGUGUUAAGGGCUUAUCGUGCCAAAUAAUAAUAACCUGUACUAGAGAGCCGGUGUAACCAAGGCGGUAUCUAGACAAUACUAGUAUUAUUUGUCAACGAGAAGUCAAAACAUCCAAAAAAACUAGAGGGGAAGAGAAAAUAAAUUUACCAAAUAAAGCCCAUGACACAUGUUGAGACUUCACCUUCAACCCAAGCUUGAAAGAAAAUUAGCUACUCAUAAUUGAACUAGGGGCAAAAUGGGAAUUUAUUAAAAUACGUAGAAAAUACAAGAUGGAGAGAGAAUUACAGAAAAUGGAGUCCAAAAAUGGAUUUAGGGAUAUCAAAUUAGGGGGAGAGGCCCCCUUUUUAUAGAUACAUUGAGUAAAUCGUGGUCAUCGGAUAAAAAAUAGUUUGGACGCUCAGGAUUGCGCCACGUCAUCAGUCAACAGUCCGCGUGAACAGUACACGAUUUGACCACGCGGAUGAACAGUAACACAGUUUGACCCGGGUGAACAGUGACGCAGUUUGGUUGAAAAUGAUCCUGUGUGUUGCAUGUACCGUACAUGAGAUUUUUGAUCCACUGAUAUGCUGCCACGUCAUCGAUCAACAGUGCAUAAGAAUUUUAGUCCAACAGGAUCGUGACACCUCAUCAGUCAAUGCCACAUCAUCGGUCAAUGCCACGUCAUCGAUCCGUCUAUGUGAACAGUGCCGUGAACAGUAACGUAGACAGUACCCGUACAUGUGAAUAGUACCGUAUAUGUGAAUAGUAUUAUUUUUCUUUUUAUGCUCCUCCUAAGAUUUUUGACCGUCCUAAGUUCAAAAAUGAUGUCCGUUUUGCCAUCUGAUCUCUCGUUUAUUGUGAAAUGACUGUGAUACCCCUAAAAUACAUAAAAUACUUGAUUAAAAUAAAACACACGUAAUUAAAUUACAAGUAAGGGUUGUUAGUAAGACAUUUUCUAACACUCAACAAACAGCUCGGCCAACUCUUGGUAUAUCUGCUCGUAUCCCCUUAUACUUCCUCGUGGUAGCUUACGAUACCAUUCUCUGGCUCGUCCUUCUAGUGUCAAUGGGAACACCCUGCACCUCUGAGCUGCUGUUAGCCCCUGUAUGCCCGUCAUGUCAUUGAAGCACUCAAUGUGCACUAGCGGGUCGCUUCUCCCGGAGUACUUGAGGUUGGGAAAGCAGAAAUCUCUUGGGAUAAUAGUGCUUAUGAUCUCGGCUGAUAGCGGAGAUUCUUCAUCCAGCAUUAUCCUCCAGCUUGGAGGCUUUCUCUUGCCCUAUAUCUCAUCCAUCACCUGCGCUAGCCUGCGCACCUCACCUUCCAAUUCCAAAGCACGGUCAAGGUCGCGCGCAGCUACUUGAUCUCGCUCCUGCUCGGCAUUAUGCAGUCGCUGUCUGAGCUCGCCUUCGUCAACAUUUACUCCUCGGUCAUUGAUUUCUAGAACUCGCCCAAGGCGAGAUUGAUCUCUCCUUUCAUCCACACGCUCCCCGGGGAUCCGACCAGCACUUCUAUGGGGAUGUAUCCCAUAGGGUUGUUCUACUAGCGGAGGGAUCUCCUCGAUUCUACGCCUUCGUAGGUUGGGUUCCGCCAUAGUUUCAUCCCUUACCACAGUGGUCUCGCCUUCCCUUCUCCGCUCAUCCCUAAAGUCAUAUAAUAUAGCUGUGAGCGUCUCCAUUUGGUUUGCCAUCUGUUCCAUUCGGUCUUGCAUCAUCCUCUCUCUAGCUUCAUUCGCGAUCUCUCGGAGAGUGAUCGAUUCACCAGUUUCAUUGUCGCCCCCUAAGGCGUCCUUCCUUGUCAUAUCCAUAACUAAUCGUUCACUGCGUCUCUGGUGAUUACUAACUUGAUGGUAGCUUUUUAUCCAGCUCCCUACAGACGGCACCAAAAUGUUGAUGCUGAAACAUGCUUGCCCUCUGCCCGGCCAGAUCGUUCCACUAACGUUUGUGUAUUCAAUGGAGAGGAUACUGCCCUUUUGCCUCCUUCAGCAACUACGGAUGCUCCAGGGGUUGGAAUUACCUUUUUCCCUUCUUUCUAAUCCUGCACUCACAGAGAUAGAUAAGAGACGCCGGUGGUUUUAUCGGCGUAAACCCUCCGAUGCUUAAGUUAGCACAAGAUGUUUUACGAGAAAAUUAUGUAACUUGGAUUGUUUGGUUUCUUGUAAUGCUUUCUAAAACUUGUAAAGAAUAUAAUCUGGUUUUAAUUUGGCAGAGUUUUCCUUUUUCUCUCAAUUUUCCAUCCCCUUUUUCAUCGGUUUUCCAGCUUCUUAUAGCUGUUGUCCCACGUUCCUGUCUACUCCUCAUGCCCCCCCUUUUAUUGGGUGAUGGCAGGCCUUCAUGGGCCUCCAACCACUGAAUUGUGGGUAAACGUGGGAUGACAUGUCCCUCUCGAUGGUUUAGGGCAUAGCGAAACUGCCGCAUUUUCGUGAGAUCGUGUCCUCCUUCUUUGGGUGAUGGGUAUCUGGUCGGUAUAUGUCUCUAGUUGAUACAUUCCUCUGGUCAAUGCUCGUCUCUAGUAGGCCCACGUUUGUAUGAGGCAUUUUACCAGGGCUCUUCUCGUGCCGCUGAGGUGAUUCGCCUCGGGGUGGGAAAUAGGGGCAUGGCCGAGCUGGUGCUCUUUAUUACUUAACAACUGUCUUUGAAAAUUUUGGCUAAGUUAGUAGGCCACAAAAUUUUAUUAACCAUCUAUGCAAUUAUAGAGCAAUCCCCUCCAAAUAGAAUGAUGCCAAUUGUAUUUAUUGUUCUAGGACUACAUUCUCAAAUCCGAAGAAUUAUUCCACCUUAUGAAUCCAACCAGUCGGAUCAUCUCCGUUGAAAUUUGGAAAGUUUAGUUUGAGAUAGUGGUGAUGGUUGGGAAAGUUUGAGGAGAAAGGUUUUAUGGCUUGGUUAGAGGAUGUUGUAGCCUGUAGGUGCAAAGGGGUUAAUUUCAGAGGCAAUUAUGUGUGAGGUUUGUGAUGCACGAAGAGAUUGAAGAUUUCUUGAACCUCAUUACGAAACUCAGCAUUUGAUUGACUUCGGGUAGCCGUAUUUCGAGCAACCUUUGUUUGAUACCAGAUGAUAGGUAAUUUCUUAGUUUAGAAAGGAAAGUAUGAAAAGUAGAGGAAGAAUAUAAGUUGUUUAGAAGGAAAAAGAUAAUUUUUAUUCCAAAAGCAUGCCCACUAUAAAUCCAAUAAUUUCUCUUAAAUAAACCUAUACAUAUACCAAAAACUAAAAAACUAGAAAAGAGGAAAAUCACUUGAAAAUAAGAACAUGAUCAAUUAAAACGGUAACAUGCACAACCGCCACGAAUCAAAACCAAUCGAUUUUAAAUAGUAUGAAUUGAAAUCAAAUUAAACCAAACCAAACUAAAUCGGACCGAACCGAAAUAUUAGGUUCGGUUCUAAAUUUUGGUUUGAUUUUGGUUCAGUUCUAAAUUUUCGGUUCGAUUCUAACUUGUUGUUUUAACACCACGAUUUAUGUUCGUUGGAAGUAUCUUCCUCGUCGUCCAAAAUUCAUCCCACUUGCAGCUCAUUCUCUCAUGCAAUCCCUCAUCUUCUGUAGUGAUUUGAUUGCUCUGAUAACUAUAAGCAAUAAACCACUGCCCAAGAAAUUUUGCCAAGAACAAUUCAAGAUGAAAAUAAGCCAAUGAUUGAUUUAAAGUUCUAAUGAUGAAACGAAACCUUAGCUCUAGGUUAAUGGAGAUUUAACAAAAGAUUGAAACAAAUCAAGAAGCAAACACACUCAAUGCAAAGACAGGAUUUUAAUGUGGUUCAAUUAUGCACAAAGUUCAUAAUCUACAUCCGCGGGAGAAGCCACAAAAAUCUCUUUAUUGAUGAUUCAAGAUGAAUUUUAUUGAGAAAAUACAGAGAUCGUUACAAGGAACAAGAUUACUCUUUCUCACUUUCUAGAAACUCUCUGAAAAGCUCAAUCACACACACGUAAUCUGCUUCAACAACCAGCCUCUUUAUACUCUCUUAUGAAAACCCAGAUUGCACAGCCCUUUGACACGUGUGUAACAGCUUCUAACGACUUGAUUCCUCCCUCACAUGCUAGCUCACGUGUUUUACUUAAGUUUCCUAAAAACGACACAAAGCAAUGUCGUUCUGCCUUAUGCUGAAGAGCCCGUGACUGCACGUGAGUUGUAAGUAAUUCCAACUGAUCAAAACGCAAUCGUUUUGGGACUCUGAGUUUUGAAUUCAUAACACUCCGGUCCACAUCUUCCUCACCCACUAAUAUAAACAAAGCACAAAACAAUUCCAAUCUCAGAAUUAAGAUCAUGCUCAGACAAAUCCUUAAGCCCAUCAGCGAUCUAUCGUCUACUGCGAGCUAAUCGAGAGUGCCAUCUAAUACGAGGUGGCUGAGAGACCGUGAGAGUGAGAUGUUGACCAGAGAUAGACAUAGUGAGAGUGAGCGUGGUUGCGUGAGUGUGGAAGAAAGGGGAUGCUGCUAUGCUGCGUGUUGUGCUUGAGAGUGAGCAUAGUUGCAUGAGAGAGAGAGGGGCUACUGCUAUGCUGUACUUGAGAGUGAGGGUGGUUGCAUGAUAUCUGCUCAAUAUGUAUGGGAUGAAGUUUCUGAUGGGUAAAAAUCAUGUUUUUAAAUUUUUAUAAAACCUUUUUAAGAUCGCUUUCAUAUAAUAUAUAAGAAUUUGUAAUCUAGAAAUCAUACCUUGAAAAUCCGAUUUAGCUUUUUCCGCUGGAAUGAUUUAGGCUCCCAGAUCACGAUCCAUCACCACCACUCCUGUUAGAUUACGAUCCGUCACCACCACGCUUGUUAGAACACGAACUGGCACCAAUGAUCUUCCAGGUUAUGACUCAAGUUUGAUCUGCACUUGACGUGUGGGCGCCUUUAUCACUACCAAAGCAACUAGCACAAGAAAACUUUUCUCUCAACAAUAGAGAGAAAAAUCUUUUUCUCUGAUCUGUAUAAAGUGCCUGCUCCCUUUUUCUUUAGAGAAAAUAAGCAUUUUAUAUCUCCCUUUAGUGAAAACCCUAAGCUCCAAAAAAUCAAAAAACAAAACUCACGUUACUUGCUUUUUCUAUAGGGGACACACCUUGUAAAAUAACAUAAUAGCCCUUACACACAAGCGAAUUAAAUGGAGCCUCCCACUAAAAGAUAUAUUUAGGCUUUUGACCCAAAUAGCUUAUCUUACUUAUUAGUCCAGUAGUGGUGCAUUCAAUUAAAUGAGCUAACCCGGGGAUCAUUUGGGAACAUACAAUAGUGGCUAUAACAAUUAGACCUGUAAUUAAACUAGCCUAAUUAUUUAAUUCCAAAUCUACUCCACUAAAAGAUUGGAAUUGACCUCCAUAAUUGUAUGCUCGAAUAAUAAUUUGUCCCAAGUCUAAUUGAUUUCUUUACUGCACAAUCCUUUGUAUCACAUCGUUAAUUCAAUUGAUAUCUCAACUGUCCAAUCAAUUUAAUAACAUCUUGUUCCUUGAUACUUAUUGGUUUUCUCUAAUGAUCAUUUUCAACAUACUAAAUAUGUUGACACACUCUGGCCAAAGAAUUCUAUGAUCAAGUGCCGAAAACCCAUCAAGAGAUGUAUUGUACAAAUUCUAUAUUGUUAAUCCAUAACUCCAAUACUCAUAAUUGCUCCCACCAAGAUACCGGGUAAUCUUGACCACAAGAAUGUGUCGUGCCCAUUGGUAACUCAAAUGGAAUAACAAUUACAAUCAUGAAAUCAUAAUUAACUCAAGAUUAAGAUUACAGUAAAAUCAAUAGAUUUAAUAAGUCUGACAGUCAUUUCAAUGUUAAUUAAAUCUCAUAUGUGAUCCUGUUCAAUGUAGUCGUACUACAUUAAUAAAUUCAUACAUGAUUAAGACAAAUCAUUCAAUGAAUUCAUUACAGUCUAUACUUAAAUAAAGUGCCCAACUUUAUUUAUCAACUGCGAACUAAAUUUAUUUAAUCAUAAGAUAACUUAUAUUUAUGUCUUCUGUGAAUCCACAUGGUGAUCACAUAAAUACAUAUAAUAUGAUUAAAUGGACUUUGAUCAAAAUAUUAAUGCAAUUAAGAUAUUUGAAUAAAAUACCUCAUUAAUUUUAUUAGUCAGAAAAAAUGUUUAUUAUAAUUAAAUAAACACAUAUACUUUUAAAGAGUAUAUUUUCCCAACAGUUUCUUCAGUUGGUUAUUUCACUUAGUCAAAAUAAAUUAUAGUAGUGGUUGCAUACCUGACUUUGGAGGUAAGGCUGGAGGCAAACUUCUACAUUAAUUUAUAACUUGUUUCACAACAUAUUACGGUUAUAAAUGAGACUUAAUCCAAAGACGGAAAGAGAGAAAUUUGCUACACUCUUUAGUAUCCAUUAUUGAGAAAAACACCAAAAUUAACUUUUACUUCUUUAAAAUCAUUUUUGAAACCUCCCAAAAGAUAUCUCAAAUGGGUUCUCAAUUUUUUAAAACAUUACUUUUGGCUAAACACCCCAUCCUCCAGUAGAUUUUGAAAAUGUCAAAAUGUAUAAGACACUCAUCCAGUGGGGGUUUCACAGGCUUACCUCUCUUAGAAGUCUUUGCAUUCUUGGAUGUCAUGAAGCAGAGUGUUUUCCAGACGAGAAGAUAGGAAUGACGCUGCCCAAUUCUUUAACUUGUCUGUCCUUUCGAGGAUUCAAAAACACAUUUAAGAAAUUGGCAAUUUGUUGUUAGUCACAGUAUCUGAUGUUCUUUUCUUUUAUAGUUUGCAGAAUCAACUGUAUUAUAUGUUGUCAUUUGCAGUAUCUGAGGUGCCUUUUGCAUUUUACUUGACCUUUAUUUGUUUUGCUAGUGACUGAAGAAUACCAACAUUGGUUAGAGAUUUGGAGAAGCAUCUGAAGAGGCUUGACAAAGUUGGAGAUGCACUUGCUCCCAAGCCUUCAAUCAUCACAAUGCAAAUCCGAUGAGUACUUAUGCCGGCAAUUAUGUAAAAUAUUUGAAAUUUUGAUUCAGGGAAAUGGUUUGUUGAUGCAAAGCUUUAAACUGUUAAGACUUACCUAGCAGGCCUGUUGGAUGUUGUAUCAACUCCAAAAUCCAACAAGAACUACGGCACCAAGACCCAUUUUUUACUGAUUCAAUCAGCUGAAAUGAUGAGGCAAAUCCCACGUGUUCGAAUCAGUCAUCCAUUUCAUGAACUGUUAUUUUCAUGAUGCUGGCUAUUGGAGUUGAAGAGGAAACAAGGAUGUGUUGGAAUCAAUGAGAACAGUGGGAAGCAUGACUCGAGCUCUGAUUAUAAAUAGACAUUUUAAAAACAUGUGCUGGUAAGUGGUGAUUAAAGAAAUUUGUGAGCUUAUUCAAGUUUCAGUAUUUGCUGUUUGGAUAAAGCUGAUACCAAGUUUGGCAAAAUCUGUGCUUUCUUUGUUCAAUCUGUGUUAUGGUUAAAGUAGAUGCUCUGAUUAAUAAGCCAGCCUACGAUAGCUGGCUCUAAUAAUCGGCUUCCUUUUUCUUGUUUGCUGUUGUAUAUUCUUUCAAUUUUUUUUCCGCAUUAGGACGAUCAGUUGAAGAACAAGUUUAUGUUUGACGAUGCAUUUAAGGAAGAGCCAGACUUGGAUGCAGAUCUGAAAAGGUUAGCAUGAACGAAAACCUUCAGAACUGACUGAAGGUUUCUGAGUUGAUCCUAAAAAUGUAGCAGUUGUCUGUUUCAUAAAGCAGAACAAAAACAGAAUAAGAGAUCACUAAUCAUGCUUGAGAAUUCAUUUAAAUAAAAUUUCAAAAAUUGCCAAACACAGCAUAAACUAGGAUGCACUUGCUUAAGAUUCAUUUUCAGAAGGAAGUUUGUACUUGCAGCUCAUAAAAUCAUGUUUAUGUUGUAUGUUUAUUCAGCAAAUGAAAGAUUCCAAGUUUGCUGAAACCAUAUUAUUUUUUUACCAGGCGCCUUCCUGAAGGUAUCGACGUCAAUUUCAAAAAUGUUGGGGAUAAGUUGCUUGAUGCAGUGCUACACAAAUAUGAAGGAUUUCUUGUCGGUGAUUACUACCACCUCGAUAAAAAAAUUCAUGGAACUGGUCAUGCCGGCAAUAAAAGAAGGAAAGGUGGUAUACGUCGAAGACAUAGAUGAAGGCCUCGAGUCCAUCAGCCCUCGUUGGGCUAUUCACUUGUCGGAAUGUCAGGAAACAACUUGUUGAAGUUGCGUGGGAAUUUUAAAACUACCAUAUGUUGUAGAAAUGCACUGAGCCAUGUGCUUUCAGAGCUUUGUGAAGAUGUCUUGGCCAUGUGUUUGAUACAGGUUAUGCUUGUUCCAUUAAAUUGUAUGCACUUAUAAAUCAAAGAUUCAGAACAUGUGUAUGUUACUGGUUUCCAGAAUCCAGAUCAAUAAAUGCCUCCAUGUAGAAGUUCAAAUUUUAAAUUUUUUGAAGUAGAGGUGUAGAGUUUCUUUUUUCAAAAAAGAAAAAGUAAAUUCUGAAGACUUUCUUUAUUUAAUUUUACAAUCUUAUUUUAUUUCUUUUACGAUAUAUUUUUAAAAUACUUAUUUAGUAAAUUAUUAACAUCUAUACCACUAAAAGAUUUUUUUUGUUAAACGCUCUACUUACAAAGUUAUAUUAAUUAUAGAUUUACUCAAAGAAGCCCUAUUUAAAAAGUUACAGCAAAAAAAGUCAUAGUUACCUUUAGUAAAUAAUAAUCUUCUAAUCUGUCUUACAACGGACUUUUGACAAAAGUGUGCUACUCCCACCUCCUCAAAGUCCACCCGACACCCCGUCUUCUCUAUUUAAAAUUUUAUAUAGUUGAAAAUUAUAUUUUCUUUUACUUGACGCCCCUCCAAAUUCUAAAACUUAGCUUCGAUGAACCUUCUUCGUUAAAUCUCGUUGCUUUCCUUUUUUCUUGUUACUUGAGAAGAAGAACCAGAGUCUAGAAGAAUGAAAGAAAAUUCAGCGUGAUAGAAAUUUAGAAAUUUCAUCCGAUCUUUUUUUCUUAAAUUUUUUGGUAUUUUGAUUCGUUCAAUGGAUUCUUGAUCAUUCUUCAUUCUUUCUAGUUUCUACCAUGAUUCGGAAAUUUUUCUUAAAAAAACUACUACUCUUGUGUAUUUAAAAAAAAAGGAAAGAAAGAAAAAAGGCAUUAAUAAAGAAUUGCGCACGUAACAUUAUUAGUACCCUGUUGAUUGGUCGUUUGGUCUUCAAGAAAUGCUAGUUAAUAUGUGCUUGAAAUUAUAUUCUGCUUUUUUUUUCCCUAUGUAUUGUUUCCCGUUUGAUUACAUUUCAAACAUUUUUAACACGAAUGAAUGUUUUAACCAUUUUUGUCACUUCAUUAUUACAAUAAGCUGAUUGAAGUUAUCUGCGUUGGCCCUGAAAAUGUAAUGGACACUACUCCGUUUACAUAAAACAGGACAAAACAUCGAUAUUUCUACCAUUGCCAUACAUAGUAUAGCCUAGGAAUACAUUUCCAUAAUUAAUAUUUAUUUCAGAAGGAACUUUUCACUUGCAGCUAACAGAAUCAUGUUAAAUUUAUGAUGUAUGUUUAUUUGGGAGAUGAAAGAUUCGCUGCAUUAUUUUAUUCCAAGUUUGCUGAAAUCAUAUUUGUUUUCCCGGCUGCUUUCCUGAAUGUAUCGACAUCUAUUUCGAAAAUGUCGGGGGUAAGAUGCUUGGUGCAGUGCUACUCAACAUGAGAAUUCAUCUUCUAACUCGUUACCUGAUAUUAUUGUCUUCUUGAAAAUUUAAUUAAGCUUAGAAGUCCCUUAACCACAAAAUCAAUGGAGUUUAACUCUAUCGAUAGACAACUUUUAAGUAAUAAACCAACACAUGAGUUCAUCUCUAUUGAUACUCAAGUUCUAAGUCCCUUAUUCAAUACUAAAAUCCAUGAGAAUUAAACUAACCGUAGUUUAACAUGUGAUUAACAAAUGGUAAAAGGUUCAAAAAAUACAUCAAUUAUAAAAGAAAUAAAAUCAGCAAAGAGACCACAUCAGAAAUUUCUUAGAUGUCCGAAACUAUUAAAAGAAUUCACAUACCAAAUCAAAAAAAGUAGAAAAUGCUUAAGCUCCUUAAGGUAAUUUGAAGUAUGAAAGUGAAUGGCAUAUAAUCCAAUAUAAAAAAAAAAUGGUUUUAGUGCCGUAUAAAGAGAAGUUAAUGGUGGUUACAGAAGUGGGGAAAGUUGAGUACAAAUCAGAUAAUGGGAGGUUCCUAAACUUCCUUAAAUCAAUUUUAAUUUCAAAAAUAAAAUAAUAAAAAAUAAAAAAUAGCAUAAAAGAAAUAAGAUAAAAAUUACUUUUCUAAAAUUGCAUGCAAGUAUACAAAAAUAACAUAUGUUGAUAUUACAUCGAGAAAGGUCCAUCAGCCCUAGUUGGGCUAUUCACUGCAUAGAAUGUCGGAGAACAACUUGUUGUGGUAGCUGUUGGGAAAAUAUGCUCUUUAAAAGCAUGUGUGUUUAUUUAAAUGUAAUAAACAUUUUUUCUGAUUAAUAAAAAUAAUGAGGUAUUUUGUGCAAAUAUCUUAAUUGCAUUAAUAUUUUUAUUAAAGUCCAUUUAAUCAUAUUAUAUGUAUUUAUGUGAUCACCAUGUGGAUUCACAGAAGACAUAAAAUACAAGUUAUCUUAUGAUUAAAUAAAUUUAGUUCGCAGUUGAUAAAUAAAGUUGUGCACUUUAUUUAGGUAUAGAUUGUAAUAAAUUCAUUGAAUGAUUUGUCUUAAUCAUGUAUGAAUUUAUUGAUGUAGUACGACUACAUUGAACAGGAUCACAUAUGAGAUUUAAUUAACCUUGAAAUGACUGUCAGACUUAUUAAAUCUCAUUGGCAUUGAUUUUACUGUAAUCUUAAUCUUGAGUUAGUUAUGAUUUCAUGAUUGUAAUUGUUAUUCCAUUUGAGUUACCAAUGGGCAUGACACAUACAUGUAGUCUAGAUUACUCGGUAUCUUGGUGGGAGCAUUUAUGAGUAUUGGAGUUAUAGAUUAACAAUAUAGAAUUUGUACAACACAUCUCUUGAUGGGUUUUCGGCACUUGAUCAUAGAAUUCUCUAGCCAGAGUGUGUCAACAUAUUUAGUAUGUUGAAAAUGAUCAUUAGAGAAAACCAGUAAAGAUCAAGGAAUAAGAUGUUAUUAAAUUGAUUGGACAGUUGAGAUAUCAAUUUAAUUAACGAUGUGGUACAAAGGAUUGUGCAGUAAAGAAAUCAAUGUGGCUUGGGACGAAUUAUUAUUCGAGCAUACAAUUAUGGAAGUCAGUUCCAAUCUUUUAGUGGAGUAGAUUUGGAAUUAAAUAAUUGGGCUAGUUUAAUUAUAGGCCUAAUUAUUGUAGCCACUAUUGUAUGUUCCCAAAUGAUCCCCGGGUUAGCUCAUUUAAUUGACUGCACCACUACUGGACUAAUAAGCAAGAUAACUAGCUAUUUGGGUCAAAAGCCUAAAUAUAUCAUUUAGUGGGAGGCUCCAUUUAAUUAGUUUAUGUGUAAGGGGUCUUAUGUUAUUUUACAUGGUGGGUCCCCUAUAAAAUAAAAAGUAACGUGAGUUUUAUUUGUGAGCCUAGGGUUUUCACUAAAGGGAGAUAUAUAAGGCUUAUUUUCUCUAAAGAAAAAGGUGAAGCCACUUUAUACAGAUCAGAGAAUAAGAUUUUUCUCUCUAUUGUUGAGAGAAAAAUUUUCUCGUGCUAGUUGCUUUGGUAGUGAUAAAGGCGCCCACACGUCAAGUGCAGAUCGUACUUGAGUCAUAACCUGGAAGAUCAUUGGUGACAGUUCGUGAUCUAACAAGCGUGGUGGUGACGGAUCGUGAUCUAACAGGAGUGGUGGUGGCGGAUCAUGAUCUAGGAGCUUAAAUCACUUCAGCGGAAAAAGCUAACUCGGAUUUUCAAGGUACGAUUUCUAGAAUACAAAUUCUUAUAUAUUAUAUGAGAGCGAUCUUCAAAAGGUUUUAUAAAAAAUUUAAAAACCUAAUUUUUCCCCAACAAUUGGUAUCAGAGCCAUCUCAUAUUAAUAUAUAAGAAUUUCGUAUGAAAUUAAUCUUGAUAUUUAUGUAUUAGAGUGGCACAAUUUAUUCAGAUAUAUAUUAUUUGUUUAAUAUAUGAAUAAAGCAUGUUUAUGGUUUGUCUUAAUUCAUGGUUAGAUUUUCUGUUGUAUUUUUCGUUUGGAUCUUUAACAAGAGGGGUGGUUUUUAUCACAAUGUUUCCCUCUUGAUUUAUUUUACUGUUAUAGAAUUUUUGUAAGCCAAAAAUUGGCCUAGGAAAUUUGUAAAUAAAUCACGGAUGACAAAUCAAAGCGACGGAGGCCGGAAAUUUCGACAUCGACCGCUGACCAGCGCACUCGCUACAACCAACGAGCGGCACACGCUGCAAGCGCAUGCUGGCAGUGCGCGCAGCAAGCAGCGCGCGCGGCCAGCCUGGCCAGCGGCGCGCGUUCCAGCAAGCAGCGCGCGCAGGGAUGGUUUGUUUCCGGCAUAUCGGCAACGGCAAACUCGACGUUGAUAGCGGCUGUCCGAUGAGAUUGGCCUGAACAGUGGCCGUUUGUGGAGAUGGCGACUGGGGAAGAAGAAAGAAAGAAAAAUAUGGAUUUAGGGUUUCAUGGCUUUUAUCAUGGAGAUCCCUAUGGUUCCAUAAUUUUUCACUUGGGCAAUUAAGUUUUAAUUUUUUGCAUUUAAGUCUAAAAAUAGUUUUCGGCUUAAAGAAUCCUAGUUUUAGGUCCAAUUGAAAUUUGGGCUUAAUGGAUUAAAAAUGCAUAGAUAAAAUUAAAUACAUUAAAAUUUAUUUUUGGUCCAAAAGUUUUAUUUUAAUAAAAAAAAUUAUUUAUUUAUUUAUUUCCUUUAAAAAUUAAAAUUGGACCAAUUAGAAAUUAUUUAUUUAUCUCUCAUUUGUACUUGGGAGACAGUCUAUUGUAAGUAGUGUGUAUUUUUGCAUGUCUAGGAAAGUUCUGUCAACAAAGGCGAUAAGUGUAUAAGGAUUCUGGUUUUUAAUUGGGACCAAGUUCCCAUCUAGUUUCCUGGAAACUUUCUUGGUGCAUUUAUUCACGCGAAAUUAACAUCAUAGAGACUGUUUUUCAAGUGAAAAUAGUUCGUUGAGAAAAUGGUAGAAGGUGAAACUUUCAAAAUUGGGGAGAGAUCUACCGAGACUAUUUCAGGAGACACUUCAGGUGGGAGGCGAGAUUUGUCAAAUCGCUAUUCAGCACCUGUAUAGAAGGCCAGAAGAUCGAUGUUGAAAAGUUUGAUGGGAAAAUCAACUUCGGCAUGUGGAGGCGCGAAGUUAUGGAUGCCCUUAUUCAAAUCGAUCUCGAUGUUGUUCUGAAAAAUAAAAGACACUUGUAUGAUGAAGAAAUUUGGGAUCGUAUGAAUGAAAAAGCAUGUGGUCAGAUCAGAUCUUGUUUGACCAAGGAGGUGAAAUACUUGGUGAAAGAUGAGGAGUGUGCGGUGACUUUGUGGCGUACAUUGGAGGAGAAGUACCUGGUGAAAAGUCCUGAAAAUCGCCUUCAUGCAAUGAGCCAAGUAUAUGGCUUUCGAAUAAAGUCUGGGGUGUCAAUGCACGAUCAUGUUUUAAGAUUUGAAAAGUUACUUGCUGAUUUGAAGAAUCUUGAUGAAGAUAUUAAGGAUGAAGUCAAGGCUAUGAUUCUGUUACACUCACUACCAGAGGAAUAUAGCCAUUUUGUGACUACUUUAAUAUAUGGGAAGAGUGUGAUCAUCUUUAAAGAUGUUUGCACAACAUUGACUAGCUUAGAGAUUCGAAAUAAUGAUAAAAAUUCUAAACGAGCAUCGUCUGAAGCUUUGGUGAGUAGAGAUUGGGCGAUGGAGAAACAAAAGAAGCGUGGUGGAAAGAAUUCUCGAUCCAAAUUGAAAAGCAGAAAUAUAGCUCGAGAUGAGUGUGCCUUUUGUCAUGAAAAGGGCCAUUGGAGGAAAGAUUGUCCAAAGGCUCAAAAGAGAGAUGGGAAGAAACCAGCAGCAGCAAACAUGGCACGGAAAGAUGAGGGCUCUGAUUAUUCACUAAGUAUUACUCUUGCAGCAUACGUGGCUAGUUCGAGUGAGUGGAUACUUGAUACUGGAGUGGUUUACGGAUUUUUAUCAUUUGUGUCCUAUUAAGGAAUGAUUUACGGAUUUUCGUAAUCUGGAAUCCGGUGCAGUUGUGAUGGGGAAUGAUCAACCUUGUCGCACAAUGGGGAUAGGAACAAUUCGGCUCAAAAUGUUUGAUGAAAUGAUCAGAGAACUCAAAGAGGUUAGAUUUGUUCUAGCUUUAAAGAAAAAUCUAAUUUCUGUGGAUUUCUGUGGGUGCUUUGGAAGCUAAAGGCUACAAGGUUACCAUUGAAGAUGGUAUAAUGAAGUUUACACAUGGGGCUAUGGUGAUUCUGCAAGGGGUUCGGUGUCACAAUCUGUACUAUUUGAAGGGAGGUACAACUGAUGAAGCAAAUGUUGUUAAGGCGCACAGUGACACCACCAAGCUAUGGCAUGUACGAUUGGGACAUGCUGGAGAGAAGUCUUUGCAAACUCUGAUGAGGCAUGGACUCUUAAAAGGUACCAAAACCUGUAAAUUAAAUUUCUGUGAGCAUUGUGUAGUAGGCAAGAAAACAAGGGUCAAGUUUGGUAUAGUUAAUCACGAUACUCGUGAGAUUCUUGAAUAUGUUCAUAGUGAUGUAUGGGGACCAACCAAGACUGCAUCAAUUGGUGGAAGCCAUUACUUUGUUACAUCUAUUGAUGAUUUCUCUAGACGUGUGUGGGUGUACACCAUGCGAGCAAAGGAUGAGGUUCUAGAGAUUUUCGUGAAAUGGAAGAAAUUGGUGGAGACUCAAACUGGCAGAAAGAUCAAAGUAUUACGAUCUGAUAAUGGGGGUGAAUAUACUUCUGAUCCAUUCUUACAAGUAUGCCAGAACGAGGGUAUUAAAAGACAUUUCACGGUGAGACAUACUCCGCAACAGAACGGUGUGGUUGAGCGUAUGAAUCGUACUUUACUGGAGAAGAUACGGUGUAUGUUAUCUAAUGCUGGUUUAGAUAAAAAGUUUUGGGCUGAAGCUGUGAGCUACGCAAGUCACUUGGUAAACCGGUUGCCUUCUGCUGCAAUUGGAGGUAAAACUCCUAUGGAAAUGUGGUCUGGAAAGCAUGCACAAGACUAUGAUUCCCUUCGUGUAUUCGGGUGUUCAGCUAAUCAUCAUGUCAAAGAUGGUAAACUGGAUCCUCGUGCUAGAAAAGCUAUCUUUGUGGGAUUCAAAGGUGGAGUAAAGGGCUUUAAGCUUUGGGAUCUCGAAGACAAAAAGUUUGUGUGUAGCAGAGAUGUCACAUUUGAUGAAGCUUCAAUGAUGAAAGCGUCAAGUUCUCAGCAGGUGGAGAACAAGACCAAAAAGGUAUUGCAGCGGGUGGAGUUUGAUGCAACUCCAUAUGUACCAGUUAGUUCUACAUCAAAUAAGAGUUCAACUAUGGAGGUGACACCUAGAGUUGAAGAAGAGGUCAUUUUUUCUGAUGUCUCACAAAAUGAAGAAACAAUUGAUGAUGUAGAUAAUGAUGAUUUUAUAGCAACAAGGAGGCCAAGAAGAGAGAUAAAGAAACAGGGAUGGCUUACUAAAGAUAUGGUGGUAGCAUAUGCACUUCCAGUUAUUGAUGAUGACAUCCCCAACACUUUUUGUGAAGCAUUACGCAGCAGUGAAAGUGAUCAGUAGAAGUUAGCCAUGGAGGAAGAGAUGAAAUCUCUCCAUCAAAACCAGACUUGGGAACUUGUAAAGUUACUAAAUGGGAAAAGGGCUAUUGGUAAUAAAUGGGUCUACACCACAAAGCAAGGAUCUCCGAAUCAAACAACUCCUCGAUACAAGGCAAGGCUCGUGGCAAAAGGUUUUGCUCAAAAGGAAGGUAUUGACUACAAUGAAGUUUUCUCCCCAGUUGUAAAACAUACUUUCAUUCGUAUCCUACUUGCCGUCGUUGCAGAAUAUGAGUUAGAGUUGGCUCAAUUGGAUGUUACGACGGCGUUCUUACAUGGAGAUUUGGAAGAGGAAAUCUAUAUGAUUCAGCCUUGUGGUUUCAAAGUUGCUGCAAAGGAGAAUCAUGUGUGUAGGUUGAUUAAAUCUUUGUACGGACUGAAGCAAUUGCCAAGGCAGUGGUACAAAAGAUUUGAUCAAUUUAUACAAGGGCAGAAAUUCACCAGAAGUGAACACGAUCAUUGUGAUUACUUUAGAAGACUACCAGAUGGAGCUUUCAUCUAUUUGUUACUCUAUGUCGAUGAUAUGCUUAUAGCUUCGAAGAAUAGAGAUGAGAUCGAAAGAUUAAAGAAGCAGCUGGCUUCUGAGUUCGAGAUGAAAGACUUGGGUGAUGCACAGAGAAUACUUGGGAUGGAGAUUCGUAGAGACAAGAAGAAUGGGAGCGUAUGAUUGACUCAAAAGUCUUAUUUGAAGAAAGUGCUAGAAAGAUUCAGUAUGGAUGACAAAACUAAACCGGUAUGUACACCUCUAGCUCCUCAUUUCAAAUUAAGCUCUUCUUCAUGUCCUAGAUCUCAAGAAGAGCGCGAUUACAUGGCUCGUGUUCCAUAUGCUAGUGCUGUGGGUAGUCUUAUGUAUGCUAUUGUAUUCACAAGGCCCGAUAUAUCUCAAGCAGUGAGCAUGGUUAGUAGAUACAUGCACAAUCCGGGUAAAAAUCAAUGGCUUGCGGUAAAGUGGAUUCUCCGAUAUUUGUAUGGGACAGUUGAUGUUGGGUUAUUAUUCAAGAAAGAUUGUGGUCAACAAUGUGUUGGGUAUUGUGAUUCUGAUUUCGCUGGAGACCUUAACAAGAGAAGAUCAACAACGGGCUACGUAUUCACAUUGGGUGGAGGUCCGGUUAGCUGGAGAUCGAUUCUACAAUCGACAAUUGCUCUAUCCACUAUGGAAGCAGAGUAUAUGGCAGCAAUUGAAGCUGUAAAAGAAGCUAUCUGGUUGAAAGGCUUGUUAGGUGAUUUGGGAGUAAUCCAGGAGAACAUUACGAUCUUCUGUGAUAAUCAAAGUGCGAUAUUCCUUGCAAAGAAUCAAACAUAUCACGCUCAGAUGAAGCACAUAGAUGUGAAAUAUCAUUAUGUGAGGGAGAUUAUCGAGAGCGGUGUUGUGUUGUUGAGAAAGAUCGAUACCAAAGAUAAUCCAUCAUAUAUGUUAAUGAAGGUAGUUUCUGGAGUUAAGUUUCAACAUUGCUUGAAACUAAUUCAAAUCCUUCGAUUGUGUUAAGAUAUGUCCUUCGGAAAUUUUGAACUACGGUUGGCUUGAUCCCAAAUUUUGGGUACGUUUGGCAGUCACAGAGAUACAGCCACUUUGCGGAUGAUGAUUGGUUGGGAGUCGGCUCAGAUUUGAACAAACCUUCGCCGAGGUGGAGAAUUGUUGAAAAGUCAAAGAAUUGCUUGCCAAUUUCAAAAGCAAAGUUGGUGGGUUUGCCAAAUUCAAAAAAACAAAGUUGGCCGGCUUGCUAAUUUCAAAAGGCAAAGUUAGGUGUUGAAAAACUUGUACAUGCAAUAUAAGAUCCAGCUCAACGUUUUGACCAAAUGAACCCAACUUGGAGCAGAAUGCACUCUAUAAAUAGAGAAGCAUUUUGCAAUUGUCAAUCAUCCCAACAAUUUGUUAAGCUUAUAAAUUUCUAAGCUUUUGAGAGUUCUAAGAGUGUGAAUAAUUGGAGAGUGUGUGUGAGAGUACUUGGUAUAUUUGGGUUCUGGGAAAGUGAGAUUUCUUUACUCAAAUAAUUAUUAAUAAUAUAAUUAUUUUUCUCUUGCUUCCGUGGACAUAGGCAUAUUGUCGAACCACGUAAAUUUUGUGUCCUUUAUUUUUCAGUAAUUAUUUGGUGUGUUUGAUUCCGCAUUCCGCGCACAACACCUACAGGUGACUAAUUAAUGGGAAAUUGACAAUGACAAAAGCAAUUUAUGAGUUUUGUAGGCUGGCAUGCCUAUGUUAUAGCAUUGUUCGAUGAACUGCCACACCACAUGUUUUUGACGAGAAAUAAAAACAUCAAGAUAUUGCCCGCUUGCCGUAUUCCACAUCGUGAAUUGUAUCUCUGUUCCUCAAUUUUCAGUGUUCCAUACAUAAAACCAUUUUCAGUUUCUCUUGUUAUCAAUUCAAUUUUCUUGUUCGUGACGAUCUUGAUUCCUUUCUUUCUGGUAAAACGGAGCCAUGUUUGCUGUUGGAGAGGUCUUCCUCAACGCUUUCUUUCAGGUGUUGUUUGACAGGUUGGCUUCUCGUAAUUUGCUCAGCUUUGUGCGUCAACUCCAAGGCGGGGUUGAUUCGGAGCUCAAAAAGUGGGAGAAAAAGCUGAAGAUGAUUCAGGUUGUGCUUAGCGAUGCAGAGGAGAAGCAACUGACUGACGAGGCUGUGAAGAUGUGGCUGGACGAACUCCAAGACUUGGCUUAUGACGCUGAGGACAUUCUUGAUGAGUUUGGUACUCAAGCUUUGGAAAGGAAGUUGAUGGCGAAAAAUCAGGAUAGCACUGGCCAGAUUCUUAGUUUCAUACCGGCUAGUUUGAAUCCGAAUGCUAUUAUGUCCAAUUAUAGCAUGGGAUCCAAGAUUAAAGAUAUUACUAGCCGGUUGGAGCAACUCUGCCAAUAUAGAAUUGAACUUGGGCUGCAACGGAUUGCUGGAGGGGCAUCAUCACCUACUGCUGCUGCACACCAGAGGCCACCCAGUUCAAGUAUCACAACAGAGCGUGAAGUAUUCGGAAGAGAAGAAGAUAAGGCCAAAAUUCUUGAUAUGGUAUUGACCGAUAUUAGAAUUCGUAAUAAGAUGUUUGGAAACAAAGAAAAACAGAGAAAAUGAAAAAGGAAACUUCACGAUUUAUUAACCAGAAUAUUCAAUGCUUAUUAAGCUUACUUAGCUAAGCUUAUAUACAAUUAUUCUAACUAAUUAAACAACUGCAAAACAACUAAUAACAACUUCAGAUUUAGUUUAGCCAUUGAGCUCUUGCCACAUGUCAUUCAGUUACAUUCAAUCUUGUCCAGCUCAGCAGCUCUGUCCAGCUCAGCAGCAACUAUAUCUUCAACAUCCCCCCUCAAGCUCAACCGAGGAAGUAAGGUUGAGCUUGUCACGUAAGUAGAGAAAAGGGUGAUAAGAAAGAGCUUUGGUGAGAAUAUCAGCAGUUUGUUCUGAGCUAGAAAUAUAUUGAACCUUAAGACAUUGAGCAGCAACUUUCUCUCGAACAAAAUGAACAUCUAAUUCAAUGUGUUUUGUUCUGGAAUGAAACUUAGGAUUAGAGGCUAAAGCAGCUGCACUUUGAUUAUCACACCAUAUGAUUGGAAUGGAGGGAAGAGUAAGACCAAUCUCAGCAAGAAGAGAACGAAUCCACAAGACUUCAGCUGCUGCCAUUGCUAGUGCUCGAUAUUCAGACUCAGCACUAGAUCGAGAGACCACUGCCUGUUUCUUAGAGCACCAAGACACUAGAUUUGGACCCAUAUAGACACAAUAACCAGCCACUGACCUCCUAUCAUCUCUGUCUCCAGCCCAAUCAGCAUCACUGAAACAAUCAAUCUGUAUGCUGCCAUGAUUGUAGAACUGUAAACCAAGAUUAACAGUACCCUUCAGAUAUCGUAAAACCCUUUUACAAGCCUGCCAAUGAUUGACAGUUGGAGAAGAUAGAAACUGACUGAGCUUGUUGACAGAGAAAGCAAUCUCUGGUCUGGUCAAUGUUGCAUACUGAAGAGCACCUAUGGUGCUUCUGUAUAGAGUAACAUCAGAAAAGGGUUCACUAUCAGCUUUAGUAAAAGCCACUCCAGAAAGCAUAGGAGUAGAACAAGGAGUACUAUCCUGCAUGUGCACCUUGGCAAGCAAAUCAGUGAUAUACUUGGAUUGAGAAAGAUGAAUACCAGAUUUAUUGUAAAUGACCUGAACUCCCAGAAAAUAAUUCAAUGCACCAAGAUCUUUAAGUGCAAAAACAGACUGGAAGUUGGUGAUGGUCUGCUGAACAAGCUGAGGAUUGGAGCCUGUAAUAAUAAUAUCAUCUACAUACACCAAGACAAGUAGCAGAUGACCUUGUGUGCUCUUAAAGAAGAGUGAAGUGUCUGAAAUAGAAUUUGUAAAGCCCCACUGAGUUGUAAGAACUAGUUUGAGUCUGUCAAACCAUGCCCUUGGAGCCUGUUUAAGGCCAUAAAGAGCUUUGUGCAGCUUACAGACAUAAUCAGGCCUGGAACUAUCUAUAAACCCCUCAGGCUGUUGCAUAUAAACUUCUUCAGUGAGGUAGCCAUUAAGGAAGGCAUUAUUAAUGUCUAUUUGCCUCAGUACCCAAUGAUUCAUGACAGCCAUACUCAAGAUAAUUCUGAUGGUUGAAGACUUAAUGACAGGACUGAAUGUUUCAUGAAAAUCCAGCCCUUGAGUUUGGUGAAAUCCCUUAGCAACAAGUCUAGCUUUGUAUCUAGAGACACUGCCAUCAGGAUUAUAUUUAAUCCGAAAUACCCACUUAUUCCCAAUUACUUUAAUGGGAUGUGUAGGUUUGACAAGAGUCCAGGUAUGAUUAUUGACUAAGGCUUGAUAUUCAUCUGUCAUUGCUUUAUGCCAAGCUGAAUCUUGAAGGGCUUUUAAGGUAGUAGCAGGUUCUGUAGGUUUGGUAGGAUUGGCUGUAAUAUAGGCUUUAGGUUUGAAGAUACCAGCCUUUGAUCGAGUGAGCAUUGGAUGACCAGUAGAUGACUGCAAUGGUGGAGUUAAAUGAUGAACAGGUGAGGUAGAUGGUUCUGAGUGUGAUUGUAUAGAAGAUUGAGAAGGAGAGUCUGGAGAGGAUUGAGAGAACCUGAGAUCAGCUGCUGUAGAGGAUGAAGACUUGGUUAUAUCAAGUUGAAUCAAAGGACAAACAGAAGAUGAACAAUGUGAAGAAGACUGAGAUGAAUGAUCUGAAGAAGAGCAAGAGUGACUGACAGAGGAAAAAUCAACUCCUGACUGAAAAGGAAAACAUGACUCAUCAAAUGUAACAUGGUUACUGACAUAGAUUCUACCAGAGGAAUGAAGACACAAGUAGCCUUUGUGAAGGGAGCUGUAACCAAGAAAAAUACAUCUAGCAGUUCGAAACUCUAACUUAUGAUGAUUAUAAGGCCUCAGAUAUGGGAAACAAGCACAUCCAAAAACUCUCAUAACAGAAUAAUCUGGUCUUUUGUUGAAUAAUUUUUCAAAAGGUGAUUUGUUAUCCAGAAUGGGUGUAGGGAGCCUAUUUAUGAGAAAUGUGGCAGUAUGGAAAGCAUUCCACCAAAAUUUCAGUGGUAAAUGUGCUUGAGCAAGAAGGGUAAGGCCUGUUUCCACUAUAUGUCUAUGUUUGCGUUCAAUCUUUCCAUUUUGAUGGUGAAUAUAAGGACAAGGAUGUCUAAAUUGGAUUCCCUGCUCAGCAAGAUAAGGAAGAAAUGGCCUAAAUUCACCUCCCCAAUCUGUUUGAAGACACUUGAUUUUCCUAUUUAGGCAUUUUUCUAUCAUAUGCUGGAAUUCAAUAAAGGUUUGUAAGGCUUGAGAUUUGGUAACAAGAGGGAAUAUCCAGGUGAACCUAGUGAAAUCAUCUAAGAUGGAAAGAUAGUAGUGAUAGCCUUGAGAGGACAGCAAAGGAGCUGGACCCCAUAGAUCAGCAUGCAACAGCUCCAGUGGUUGAAUGGUAGUGGUGUCUAUAGAAGGAAAAUGCUGCAUGUGACACUUUCCAAAUUGGCAAGCAUUACAAAAAAUUGGUUUCAGGGCUCUAUUGAUAUCGAGAGAAGGAUGCAAAUGCUUCACAAUUUGUUUAAGAGCAUGCACAGUUGGAUGACCCAUUCUUUUAUGUAAAACAUUGUAAUCAACUGAUUUUGAAUGAGUAACAGACAAGGCCAUUGAGGCAUCAUUAUUGAAUUGAGAAAUAUUUACAUCUGUCAAAAUUUCUCCAGAAUGUAUAGAGUUUGAAACAUUGGAAUGACUAAUCAUUGACACUGGAGAGGAACAGACAUUUGACACAGAACUGGAAUUUGAGAUGACACAGAAAACAUUAGACGGAACUCUAUUUGAAACUGCAGCAUGAGACACUACAACAGGACCUUCAACUUGAUAUAAUCCUCCUCUAGCAAUCCCCUUGAGCAAGAUGAUCCCUGAUUUCUUGUCCUUGACAAAACAGGAGGUUUUAUGGAAUUCAACAACAACAUCAUUGUCAGCAAGUAAUUUAGAUACACUUAAAAGGUUUUUGGUUAUAGUUGGGACAUGCAAAAUAUUAUUAAGAUAGAUAGAUGUUGCAGCAAGUGUAUUCAAUCGUGUGCACCCAACAUGUUUAAUAUGUAAUCCCAUGCCAUUUCCUACAUGUAGCUUAUCAAAACCAUGAUAAACUGAGUAAGAAGAAAAGAUACCUGCUUCCUUAGUCACAUGAUUGGUUGCCCCGGAGUCAAUAUACCAAGCAGGAUCAGCUACAACUCCAUAAUCAGCAACUGGACCAGUGGGAGCAAAUUGUGCAGUGGGAAUAGCAGAAGGAGCAACUCCAUAGUUAGCAAAUGGAGUAGCAAUUGCACCAUUGUAUUGACCUUGUAAUCCUUGAAACACAAGAAACCCUUGAGGAUACAUAACAUUUGCAUUCUGAUAUGCAACAUUCCCUUGAAACAUGGGUGCAUUAUAUCUAGGAGCACCAGUUGCAGUUCCAUAAAAAUUUCCAUAACCUCUUCCAAACAUGUUCUGAGGCUGACCAGGAAAGCCUCUAAAAUUGAAUCCACCUCUAGGCCUAAAGCCACCUCUUCCUUGUCUAGGAAUAAAGUUCUGAUUAAAUCUGUUCCUGCAUUUGUAUGCUCCAUGACCAGGUAUGAAGCAUAUUUGACAAAUUACUUCCUUAUCAACAUUAUAUCCUCCUUUGCCAUUAUCAAAAUUUCCACCAUUAAAACCUCUCUGAUUAGCAUUAUUGAACUUAUUGUAAUUCUGUCCUUUCUGAGCAAAAUUAGCUGACAUAUCAUGCAACAAUUCAUUUUGCACCUUUCCCUUACUCAUCUCAACCCUAGUUUCAUGACUAAGCAUUAAGGAAUACACUUCUUCAAUAGUGAGAUUAUCUUUUUCCAGCCUAGCAAGUAUAGUUGUCACUAAUGACUCAUAGUUGUCAUCUAAACCAGUGAGCAAAUGCAUUAUAAAAUCUGUUGAAGCAAGAGGAUUACCACCAAUAGCUAAGCUAUCUGCAAUUUUUUUCAUCUUAUUGAAGUAAUCACUUACUGACAUAGCUCCUUUCUUUGUGGUUUGAAUCUGCAUUUUCAGAGGCAUGUAUCUAGCCUUUGACUGUGACAUGAACAUCUCGGCAAGUUUCUCCCAGAUCUCAAGUGAAGUAUCACAAUCCACAACCAUGAUAAGUACAUUGUCUACCAUAGAUGACAGCAUCCAGCUCUGUAGAAGCUUGUCAGCUUUCUUCCAGUCAAUAUAGUCAGAAUUUUCACGUCUGCUUGAGCUAGGAGCUUCUGAUCUACUGGCAGCAUUCUCAUAUGAGGAAAGAAAACGAUCUGGACAAGGAGAUUCUCCAUUGAUAAAACCUUCAAGUCCAUUGGCAAUAAUCGAAGCUUGAAUUUGAGCUCUCCACACCAGAUAAUUUGUUCGAUCAAGUUUUGUUGGUUGAAUAAAAGAAAAAGAAAGUGAAGACGAUCCUGAAUUGCUUUGAUUCGUCAUGUUUCGUGGCUCUGAUACCAUAUUAGAAUUCGUAAUAAGAUGUUUGGAAACAAAGAAAAACAGAGAAAAUGAAAAAGGAAACUUCACGAUUUAUUAACCAGAAUAUUCAAUGCUUAUUAAGCUUACUUAGCUAAGCUUAUAUACAAUUAUUCUAACUAAUUAAACAACUGCAAAACAACUAAUAACAACUUCAGAUUUAGUUUAGCCAUUGAGCUCUUGCCACAUGUCAUUCAGUUACAUUCAAUCUUGUCCAGCUCAGCAGCUCUGUCCAGCUCAGCAGCAACUAUAUCUUCAACAACCGAUACCCCCAGUGAUCAUGCCAACUUUGUUGUAAUACCCAUUGUUGGCAUGGGCGGGAUAGGAAAAACAACUCUUGCUCGGGAGGUCUACAAUGACAAGGCCGUUGAAGAUUCAAAGUUUGAUGUAAAAGCAUGGGUUUGUGUCUCUGAUGUCUUUGAUAUUUUGGGCAUCUCAAAGGCACUUCUCGAAUCAAUCACCCGCAGGCCUUGUCUUCUGAACAGUUUAAAUGAAGUGCAGGUUGAGUUGAAAGUAGCUGUGGAUAAAAAAAGAUUCUUGCUGGUCUUAGAUGAUGUUUGGAACGAGGACUACAGCUUGUGGGUAGACUUAAAAGCUCCAUUCUUGGCAGCUGCACCAAACAGUAAGAUGAUCGUCACCACAUGCAAUUCAAAUGUUGCAUCAAUAAUGGGACCAAUUGAACAUUAUAAUCUCAAGAGACUGUUAGAUGAUGAUUGCUGGUCCAUUUUCAUACAGCAUGCACUUGAAUCUAGAGAUCUUAACGCACAUCAAAUUUCAGAAUCGUUCCACAAGAAAGUUGUUGGCAAGUGUGGAGGCUUGCCCCUGGCAGCAAAAACAUUAGCGGGCCUUCUACGUACUACGAGGCAUGAUGCCUGGGACGAUAUCUUGGAUAGCAAACUAUGGGAUUUACCACGACAAAAUGACGUUCUCCCUGUGUUAAGAUUGAGUUACCAUCAUCUUCCGUCUCAUUUGAAAAGAUGUUUUGCUCAUUGUGCCAUCUUUCCGAAAGAUUAUGAAUUCAAUGAGAAGGAGCUGACUUUCUUAUGGAUGGCUGGAGGUAUUAUUCGACAGUCAAGAAAGAAUGAGCAGCUGGAAGAAUUGAGCAGCAAGUGCUUUCAAGAUCUAGUGUCGAGGUCUAUUUUUCAACAAACCAGCUCUGGUAGUGCUAAAUUUGUAAUGCACGACCUUAUCCAUGAUCUUGCUGAAUUGGUUUCUAGAGAAACCAUUUUCAGGUUAGAGGAGUCCACCAACUUGUCAUCAAGAAGAUUUGAAAGGGUUCGCCAUUCUUCGUAUGCCCGUGGUAGGCUUGAUGGUAAAUCUAAGUUCGAGGUUUUCAAUGAAAUUGAACAUCUACGAACAUUCUUGCCAUUAUGCAUAAGAGGUGGCGUUACUUCUGGUUAUAUAACUAGCAUGGUUCUCUAAGAUUUGUUGCCGAAGUUCAAAAGGUUGAGGAUGCUGUCUUUAGACGGAUACCGUAUUAGUGAGUUACCAAUUCCAUUUGAAGAUCUGAGACUUUUAAGGUUCCUAAACCUUGCUGAUACUGACUUAAGAAGUUUACUUGAGUCAACAUGCGCAUUGCUGAACUUGGAAAUUUUGACAUUAAGAAAUUGUUCCCGUUUGAUAAAGCUACCGCCCAAAAUGAUGAACUUGAUCAAUAUUCGUCAUCUCGAUAUAAGAGGUGCAAAUUUGUUGAAGGAGAUGCCAUUCGGAAUGAAAGAGUUGAAGAAUCUUCAAACAUUGUCCAACUUUAUUGUGGGCAAGGGUGAAACUGCAUCUGGUUUGGAAGAUUUAGGAAGUUUAAACUUUCUUUGUGAUGAACUUUGCAUUGCUGGAUUAGAGAAUGUGAAUAAUCCACAGAAUGCAAGAGAAGCCGCAUUAUGUGAGAAGCUCAAUCUUCAUGCAUUGACUCUAGAUUGGGGGUCUCAAUUUGACAAUUCUCGAGAUGUAGCAGUAGAAGAGCACGUGCUUGACAUUCUACAGCCUCAUAAAUGUAUAAAAAAGGUGGCAAUCAGGAACUAUGGUGGUGCAAGAUUUCCACUUUGGAUAGGAGAUCCGUGGUUCUCCAAGAUAUAAUUCCUUGAAUUGGAGAACUGUAACAAUUGUGUAUCUUUGCCAUCGCUUGGUCUAUUGAGUUCACUUAAGCACCUUGCUGUCAAAGGGCUGAAGAAGCUAAAAAGCAUAGAGUCUGAAGUUUAUGGGGAGGGUUUCUCAAUGCCUUUUCCAUCAUUGAAGAUUCUACGUUUUGAGAAUUUGCCAGAGUGGUGGCAUUGGGACACCGAUAUCAAAGGAAAUGUGCACGUUGAUAUAUUUCCUUGUCUCCAAGAACUUUCCGUUGUGAAAUGUCCCAAACUCUCUGAAAAACUGCCUGAGCUUCUGCCCUCCUUGGAGAUACUUGUUGUUAGUAAAUGUGAAAAGUUGGUAGUUUCAUUGUCAAGCUAUCCAAGGCUCUGCAGAUUAGAGGUUGAUGAGUGCAAAGAACUAGUGUGCAGGAUCCCAAUUGAUUCUAAGUUGAUAAAGUUCAUGACUAUUUCAAAUAGUUCAUUAGACAUGAUUGGAUGCAAGGGGAUGCUAUACGAUAGUCAAGCUGGCUCUUCACUGCCAAAACCCAUGACCACUACAAAUGUUUUGGAGUUUGGAAAAUUACUGGAGCCUGGAUUUCAGAUAUUAGAAACUUUGGUAAUUGGCAAUUCUGAACAGCUCAAGCCAUGGAGGCAGGGAAGGGGACUUUCAAGUUUUAAUAGACCAGAACACCGGCUAAAAAUACUUGCUCACCCUGAUGAGGUAACAAUUGAGGAAAGUUGCGUAAGUCUUGUUUUGUUUCCAGAGAUCAAUUUCUUUCCCAGAAAUCUGCACUGUCUUCGAAUUUACAACAGCACUGCUUUCAAAUCCUUACCGGAGGAAAUGAUGGACAACAGUUCACAACUCGAAAGCUUGUAUAUCAAAGAUUGCCAUUCUCUACCAUUCAUCACAAGACGCAAGCUACCUUCAUCUCUAAAAAGGAUAGAGAUUGAGAAUUGUGAGAAAUUGCAACGUUUGUUCGAUGAUAAAGACGAUGCUUCUUCUUCUUCUCCUUCAUCCUCGUCUUCCCAAGUGAUGCUUCAACAUCUAAGUAUAAAGAAUUGCCAAGCGCUCUCCAGUUUGUCAUCGGGAAUUCAAUUACUUGAGUCGCUCGAAGAACUUGUGAUAACAAAUUGUCGAAAGCUGGAGUCAAUACCCGAUGGCCUGCACAAUCUUAACUGUUUACAGAAGAUUACUCUAGUGAGUUGUCCAAGUCUUGUUUCCUUCCCAGAAAGAGGGCUUCCCAACGCCAUUUCAUGGGUUGACAUUAGUUAUUGUGACAAGCUUGAAGCCCUGCCCAAUGACAUGCACAAACUCAACUCUCUCCAAACUUUAAGCAUAAUUCAAUGUCCAAAGCUUGAGUCGUUUCCAGAAGAAGGCUUUCCCACCAAUCUUAGAACGCUUAAAAUUGGAAAUUUCAAAAUGUACAAGACCCUCGUCCAGUGGGGGUUGCACAGGCUUUCCUCUCUCAGAAGCCUCUACAUUUAUGGAUGUCAUGAAGCAGAGUGUUUUCCAGACGAGAAGGUAGGAAUGACGCUGCCCACAUCUCUAACUCAUCUGUCCUUAUUGGGAUUCCAGAAAAUGAUACUUCUGUCUUCAGUGGGUUUCCAAAGACUCACGUCUCUUCAAUGUUUGAAGAUAUGGAAUUGCCCAAAUCUCACGUCAUUUCCAGAGGUAGGCCUUCCAUCCUCACUUUUGGAUUUAUACAUUAACAAUUGUCCUAGGCUUAAAAAGGCGUGCAAAAGGGACCAAGGAAAAGAGUGGCCCAAAAUUGCUCACAUCCCUUGCGUUGUGAUAGAUGGAAAAUUCAUAUACGAUCCAGAAUUGGAGGUGUAGAUUCUAUUAUUAAAGUCGGUUUAUUUAUAUUAUCCACUAUAACAAUCUCCUAUUAGUUUUUUUUUUUUUUUUUUAAUGAAAAAAAUUGCAGUUCUGUAUAAUUUAAAAUAUAUAUAUUAAUCCUCUGCCCUUAAUUGAAAAUACCACUCACUUGUUUCUGUUUUCACAAGUCAGAUUGUACGUUGAGGCUAUUUGCUUUUUAUCGGUGUUUGUUAAGGUAAUUAGUGUCUCAUAGGCUGAUUAUAGGCAGAUGAAAUUAUAACUUUUAACUUAAAAUUUAAUACCAUAGACAGAUAGAUGAUUUUUAAUCCAAAGGUUUUUAGAUGUGAUCAAAUUGUCACAUGCAUAACAUAUUAGGCAUGCAUGAUGUAUCACAAGGUUGAUACAUCUUAUAUGCCACGUGAUGAAAUUAAGGAUGUUUCUCUUACAAGGGACACAUCCUUACAUGUUCAAAUUUGAACAUGUAACUUCCAAGUGGUUAAUGGAAGUUACUUGUUCAAAAUUCGAACAUAUAACUGUCAUAUUGUUGCCUAUAUAGAGGCAUGAACGCAUCACAAAUUCAUACAUUCCAAGACAUACUUAAAGUCUUAUCAUAUUAUGAUCUUGCAGUUUUGCAUGUAGCCACCAGCCUAAGGGCAGUGUAAAACGAUCCCAAAAACCAUCAAUAAUAACAAUGGAUAUAGUUCCUAAAUAAACUGAUGAAAUUUAAGGAUGAUUGGAUGAAACAGCUAUGAUAAAAUGAACUAUCUCGAACCGAGCGAAUGGCACUGACUCAUGAAUAAGUGUGGAUUCCAAAUAUCUUCAUAUCUUCAUAGAUAUUCAUUUCCGUGUUAAUUCGAGGACUUCUAGAAAUUUAGUUAGUUAUUCUAUGAAAUAGAUAUACUAAUAAUAAUAAAACAAAAACGACGGGUGUUACACAAAUUCACAAGUAAAACUGUACUACUUGGAAACUGUGAACAGUAUAGAUUGAAGAUCAUACGAUUGCUAUUUUCAUUGAGUUUCAUGCAUAAAACUUUAUCGAUUAUUAAAUUAGACAUCUUUAUCUUUCUAUCCAUAUGUUUAUUGUUCAAAAACUUAUUGUAUAUUAAUUGUUUUGAUUUUUAAAAAUUGAAACACUGGUGCUGGAAAAUUCUGAUUUUCAGUAGCGAUUCUCAAUUCUAUAAUUUAUUUCAUAACUCCAAAUACUUCUGAAAAUUCUGGGAAUUUUUAUUACUGUACACUUAUAUGUCUAGUUUCUGUCUUUUUAAUUUCGUAAUUUUUGGCUUUAUAUAAAAAUCAUAGAGUUAGACUGCGCAAUCCCAGAAACUGUUUUCCAGAAUUGCGAGGGCUGAUAUUUAGGGCAGUUUGGGAUAGUUUUUCAUCAGUAAAUGUCUUAUAAAUCUUUAAUUCUGACUCCUAUUGUUUCCUCUAAUUGUCAAAACUAGAAUCACUAUUUUUGGACAUGUGUAACUAAAGUUAUAAAUUUUUCAAGCAACAGUCCUCUGUUUAUAUCGUUAUUGGACAGUUUGGAUAAUUUUGUGGAAAAAUAAGUUUUCAGGGGAUGUUUUUAAACUCUAAUUGAUUAUGUAAAAAUUUAAAUUGAAUGCCAAUAUGUUGACAAUAGUGUUUUGUGAUAUUUGUGAUAUUUCCGACGUACUUAUAGCUUGUUAGAAAUCAGCUCCUAUAUAAUGGUCUAGUAUAGUUUAGUGAAUUGAUGUGCUUAAGUAAGAGUGCAUGGUUUAAGGAUUUUUGGAUUUUCCUAUCUAGGUCAGAAUUGAAUAAGAUAUUGAUAGUACUUUUUUCUUAACAAUCAUAGGCCAAAAGUGAGCUCGUUUGAUUUGGGUUAUUGUUGAUUGCUUUGUAUCAUGGUAAGUAAAUUCAUGCAUAAUAUUUAUUAAAGUAUACACGUAAAUAUUUAUUAAUAGAAUAAUGUUGUCCAAAUGGAUUGGCAAGUUAUGGUUUUGAAGUUAUUUUAAAAUGUUUUCUUAAAUUUGUUUUAAAAAUAACUUCAAAAUACCUGCUUCUCUAUAAAAUGUUUUCCUUAAAAAUAUUUGUAAAGCUUUGCCAAUUCAAUGUCUUGUAAGCGUUUUAUCGAAAUAUUAUGGAAUGAUUGAUAUUGGAAAUCUGAAAACUGUUUUUAAGGUUUUGGCUCAUUGUCCGUAGUUAUCGUUACUAAUAUUACUAAAUAGCUAGUUGUAUUGUGCGCACCUAUUGACGAUUAUUGCAGGGUAAAGUACCCUGGUAGAACUAUAAGUUGGGUCACCGAGAUUAUAGGUGACAUAUUGAACUAUUGACCAGGUCACCGGGGGUAUAAGUGACACUAUGUGAUAUGAGUAAAUUGAAUGAAAGAAAAGUUUUAUUGAUAAAAGAUUUCUUACACGAUUAUUUAUUGAAAAUGAUUAUUAUGCUAUGACUUAAUUGAUUAUGAGUUUUACCGCACACAUAUGAUUACAAAAUGAUUUUUGUUUCCUAACUUGUGGUACUACAUAAUAAUGAUUAUAUACUUUUUUCCUUAUUGGUAACCUUAUGCAUGAGUUCGCUUACCGAUUGACGGCUCACCCCUCGUCUCCAACAUUUUAUAGAUUGAUUUUAGUGAUGUGCGCUUUUGGUCUAGCAAAGAGGAUUUAGCUGAAAAACUUUGGCAUUUUCUAGAUGAAUUAAUUGUAGCUAGUUUGAUUAUUGCUUAGAGCUAGAUUUUAUUUUGGAGGAUUUUUGAGUUAUUUUUUAUUUUAGAGACUAUGUUUUGUCAAUGAACAACAUUGACUUUAUUUGAAAAUAGUAAUAAGAUUAAUGUUAUAAGGUUUCAUUUGGGGUGUUACAACUUGUCUCUUAGUAAGUUUAUUUUUGUUAGCCUAUCCAGUAAGGUUUAUUAUCGACUGACAUCAUUUUCAAUGAAAUCAUCUUAUGUUGUUAAGUUUUGCAUAAAUAAAUAUUUCAGUAGGGUCAAAAGAGCAAGAGUUUACCUAUAAAAAAAAAGUCAAAAUUAGUUUAACCACCCCAGUGCGAAUUUCUGACCACGUCUUGCUUUGUAUGAUUUAACUCUAUUAUUAAUUAGUACUAAAAUAUCGAUGAAAAAAAUGGACAUGAAUUUUGAUCUCGUGUUGCUUUGUUUUGGUUGAGUGGCCAAUUUUAACUUCAUGUUAAACUUUCUCAAUUAUUAGUUGAAUUAUUUGGAUUUGAAAACUUAAAACCACCAUUUUAAUUUGUUUAGUAAUGACUAUGUUGAACUUCAACAUUUGUUUUCAAGAAAAAAAUUGAUCAAACUAUGAUGCUCUUGUUUCUAUUAUUAUGGAAUCUCUUUUUCAAUCGUCAAAGUUUGAAUUAUAUUAUGCUGCCUCUGUAUUUCCGCAGAAACAGAAUCAGUUGGUGAUCCUUCAAAACAAGAAAAACCAAAAAAAGAUGUAGUGCGUGAUAAGAUAAUGAGACAGAUGGCUCAUGUUGACAUUAAUACUCAAGUUGGAAGUUGCAUGCCCCUUGCUUGUAUGCGGACUGGGACCAUCAUCCACAAAAUUGAGGUAUACCCGGCUGAAGGUGGCAAGCUAGUUCGAGCCGCUGCGACGUCAGCCAAGAUUUUGAAGAAGACCCACUUCAAGGUACUGCUUAGUAAGGCUAACUUCUGGAAAUGAGAAACUGAUUGACGCUAGAUGUCGAGCCCACCAUUGGUACAGUGUCUAACCCCAGCCAUGGAGCUACGAAGCUUAGGAAGGCUGGUCAGAGCCGUUGGUUGGGUCGAAGGCCUGUGGUUGGAGGAGUAGCCAUGAAUCCAGUUGAUCAUCCUCAUGGUGGAGGUGAGGGACGAAGCAAAAGUAGCCGUAACCAUGGAAGGUGUUCACUUACGCCUUGGGGCAAGCCUUGUAAUUCUGGGUAUAAAACUGCAUUUCCUAAGGGAAAAAAAAAAAGAAAAAGAAAUUACCCGUCUGAUAAUAUUUUCCUUCUUUGCUAUUUAGCCUUUUUAAUAAUGUUACAUUGUUUGUCAUAUAUUUGAGGUUAGUUUUAGACCAAUUUUUAACUGAUCCAUAAUGAAACUGAAGUUUAAUUUUCUAUUGAACUUUUCCUGGUUUUACUCUUCUGUCAUUUCAAUUUAGCAAUGAUUUAAGAUGUUGAGUUCUGUGCUUGGAACAUGUAAAUGGGAAAGAGAGAUAUAAUGGGGUAGAAUAUAGAUUUUGUGUUUUGGUUUCUCAUGUUUAGAGAUAUUCUGUUCUUUUUCAUUUGUUCAAUUUGGUUAGUGGUGAUUUCUUAAAGAGUCGAUGCACGUGUGUAUAUAUACUUUUCUUUUGGCCUUGAUUCUGUUUCUUGGGGAGUUUAUGCAGUUUCUUUUUUUAUGCUUCGUAUGCCACAUGAAAGAUGAAAGCAUUUUGUGUAUUUAGAAUUGACUUGCAUCAUAGUAACUUUGAAUCACUGUUAACAUUUGUAUAAUAGCAGUCUGAGAUCUCCUUGAAGGAUUCAAAAGCAUUUUAUUUGAUGGUCUAGACCUAAAAUCAACUCCUUUAUAUAGAUAGGUUGGUCUUCUUCAAAGCAAUUCCUAUUUUAAGUAAUCAAAAUUUUGAUUUGGAAGUGUGUUUUAACACUACCAAAAGUUCUUUAAAUACUAAAAAUGUGUUUGGGAGUGAGGUGAUGUGGCUUUUAAGCUACAAUUACUGCAAAGUAAAAGUCAGUGAGUAUAAAUAAGAAAAAAUGACUGUUGAGUUGCCAAAGCCCAACUGCCGCACAUCACUUCCAAAUGCACCGUAAAAUGAUUUUGAGUCUUCUAUAUUAUUGAAACAAAAUACAUGAAAGCACUUUUGGCUACAGAAGUACACUUGGGGUUCUUUAUAAAAUUCUUCGACAGCAAUUUUUCCCCCUUUUUGCUCAUGGCGGUUUUUCUGGUUGUUCUUUUAAGAAAACACUUAAAGGUUCUUUUUAUAGAUUUCUGAAAGUACUUCCAACAUAAGCAUUUUUCAGAAAUUUUUUCUGAAAUUAAUUUUAUUUACUUAUCGACUUUUCAACUCCUGUGGUUGUUUAUGAAAUGAAAGGCAAGGGUAAUCACAAGAAAUCUGCAAACUUUAUCAAUUUUUAACUAUACCAAUUUGUUGUUUAUGCUUUACUUUUAUUUUACAGUUUUGUUUAAUGUUUAGAUGAUAGAUAUAUAGACAUUUUAGAUUGGAGAAUUUUGUCAACAAAUUCAUUCCUUUCUUUCACUUUUUCCCUUUUCAGAGGAAAGCAAUUUUGACUAAUUUUAGCCAGAAUCGGACUAUAAUAUUUUGGAGCAAGCCUACUUGAAAUGAUGCUUUUUAAAUUUGAUCUAGUUAAAAUACACUGCCGUUACCCAAAAAAUUCUAGUCUUGGAUUUCAUAGAAUGCCCUUUUAAGAUAUUUUCUCAGCUCUUUGUUGGUCGCAGCAUCUGAGAUUAGCAUUCUCACAUUUCACUUGUUUUGCCUUUGUUUUGAAGGUAACUUAGUUGCAUAGGUGAAUCGAGGUUCAAGAAUGCCGAGAUGGCUACAAGUUUCAAGAAUCAUUUAAAGAGGCGUAAUGACAGCACCAAGAUGGGCUUUGUGAUUAACAAGAUUACUAAUUGAACCAAUCUUGAUGGGACAGAGGACAUGUCAGAACCGUUGCGCACAGGGAGAAGAGUUAGGGGAGCUUUGAGAGUUGAGACCAUCAACAUCCAGAAAGGCUGCUGGUAAUGUUUCAUGUGUUACAAAGUUGCAAGGAAAUUUCAUUUAUAUUUUAACACCUUGUAUUUGAAAAAUUUAAUGUAAUUUUCUCUUUUUUCAAUUUAUUAUUCAGAUCGUAGACUAGUAAACGGUUUAGAUCGCAAGCUUUUAUUAUGCAGUUAUUUUCUCCUUUUCAGGAAGAAGUGGUCAGUUCCAUUCCAGAAUUGGAAUAUGGUAAUUAGGUGCAAGCAUACGUUGUAACAAUCAUUUCUUGUUUGUUUGAUUAUGCUUAUCUAUUUAGUUGUUUAUCGUUUGGUUGUGUUAAAUUAUUUGAAUUAGCAUUAUUUGAGAUAAAGCAUAAUUCUUUUAUUUAUUUAUUUAUUUUUUAAAUAAAUUAUUAUAGAAUAUCGUCUUUAUCGUAUAAUGUAUUUUUAUAAAAGUAAGCAUUUUUAUAAAAUUUAAACUCUUCCAAUCUCCUUAUGAUUAAAACCCUUAACCUAAUAAACGUAUAAAAGCAAAGAGUCCUAGGAUUUUCUUUUGUGCACAUUUGGAAGAAUUUUUGAGGUAAUUAUCCUUCUCUAAAACAUAUUCUCUAAUCUUAGGUGUUUAAUGAUGAAUGCAUGCAUUGUUUUUUUAAUCAUGAAUGACUAGCUAGACAUUAUGAGGCAUGAGUACUGUGAUUCUAUUACUGUUUUCCCUUUAUUUUUUAUUCAGGUUUUCACUAAAGUUUUCAUAAAAUUAAACUAGACAUUUUAAGGCUUUCAAUGAUAUAUUUUGUACGAAAAGAUUACCAGUAACCAAUUUGUUGUGAAUUUUCGAAUUCAGAACAGUGGUGCUGGAAAAUUCUGAUUUUCAGCAGCAUGUUUGACUUUGCCCAUUUUUCUGUCUGUCUAAAUGAUCCCUAAAAUUAUGCUGAUUUUUCUAUUAAAUCCUCAUUAUGUCUACUUACUAUAUGUUCACUUUCAUAAUUUUCAUUGAGUAAAAAAAAAAUUAAAAAUCAUUAUGUUGGGCUGCUGCAGUUUUGGAAACUGCUUUCCAGAAUUGCGAUGGCUGACAAUAAAAUUACUUUAGGCUAUUAAAAGGCUUUAGAAUGGCCUAUAAAAAUUAUAUUCAUAUAAUUUAUGAAUUCCUUAUGAUUUAAAGUUUAUUUGACUAAUUUUGAUAGUUAACAUUAAGUUAUGAAUUUUUCAAGUGCAAAACAUAAACCUGAAUGUUUCUGGACAGGUUUGCUGGUCUCUUAAUAUAAAUUCGUUUAAAAUAGUGUCAUAUCUUCAAAAAUUCUAGGAAUUUGAAGCUUUGUUUCUUGAUGCAUCUACUGUUUUAAAAUCAAGUGGUCUAAUUUUUAAGAGUUCUAUUAAAUAUUUUACAAAUUUUCCAGUUCAGCAACCUCUGUUUUUAUCACUGUUGGACAGUCUGGAUAUGCAUGUAAAAUUCUUUUUGCAAUAUGUUUGACUUUUAUUCAUUCUUUUGAAUUUUUAUUUGAAAUGUUAUCCAUGUUUAUGGUUUAUUUUCUUUGAUUUUACAAUUUUCCAACAUUUGAUUAGCUUGGUAAAAAUCGGCUCAGACUAGCUUUAAUGGUUUAGUGCUUAUGACUAGGCUUGAUUAUGUUAGAUUUAUAUCAAGAUCAGAAUGAGUAAUAGUAUUGAUAAGAAUGUGUCUUGAUAUUUUAGGACGAGAUUGAGCUCGAGGCUAAGGUUACUAUUCUUUAUUGUUGAGGAUUGAGAUAAGUAGAUUCAUGCAUGGUAUAUGUAUUUCACUAUUAAAUUAUUUUUAAUUCGAGGUAUCUAUUAUGUUAAAUGAAAAGUAUUUGAAACUAAUUUGUUUUAGCCUAUUACAAUAUUUUGUUAAAAUAAAAUCGUUCUUUAAAUUAUUUAUAAUAAACCUUUUAUUUAUUAAAAACUUGUUUUAUAAAUUGUCUUAAAAAAACUUUUAUUAAAUUGUUUUAAGUCAAAUACUUUGAAAUAAUUAUCAAUUAUUUAAAUGAUUAAAAGUUCAAGGAUGAUUUUAAAUGUUUUUGCUCAUUGUCUGUAAUGAUGCUAUGUUAUGUUAUAUGUUGUGGAAGGCUAGUUGGAAUAUGUGUACAUAUGAUGUUAAUGUUAAUGAUUCUCGUGGGGUACAGUACUCUAAAUGAUGUCAUACGGAUGGGUCACUGGGUCUACAAGUGAUACUAUGUGGAAUGAGCUAAGUAUGUUUUAUGUAUUUAAAAAGCUAAUUAUGUUUUACAUGUUUGAAAUGCUAUUAUUAUGUUUAAAGGAUUUAAAUGACUUUCUGAUGUUUUGAUUUAUUUUUUAUAAAUGAUUAUUUACAAAAGUAAUUUCCCUUAUUAUUAUUAUGCAUAUCUAAGAAAUUCAAACAAUUAUAAUUUAAUGGUUUUUAGUAUUGUGCAUGAAUUUACUUACCGAGUUGACGGCUCACCCCUUGUUAUCAUAUUUUUGUAGAUAGAGUUAGAUGAUGUGAGCUCAUGAUCUUAGGAGGAAGAAUGAGAGCUCGUUUAUUUUUGGGGAUUAAUGUUACAUUAAUAAUUUAGCUUCCUUUGGCAUGAUAUUUAUUUGAGAAUUUGUUAUUUCAUUACUUAUUAUCUUUUGGAAGAGGAGCAUUUACUGUUGGAUAUUAAUUUGAUGAUUUUAGAUACGAGAGUGAUGAAAUACAGUUUCACUUCAAUUUCACUUUAGUAUCUUAUUAGUGGAAUUGGGGUGUUACAUACGUGCCCGGUCAAUGAACUUGAACUUUAAAUAGUUUUUUCAACUCAUUGAUUUUUGGAACUCAUAUUGGUGCAAGGAAAUCAAAAGAAAUUUAUGAUUAGUCAAAUUCUGAUAGUUGCUAUAUAUUAUACAUUCUAAAGUUUCUUGAGUUUGUUUUCAGAUGAAAAUAUGAUCAAUUCAUUUUGUUUUUGAAGUGUAGGAAAAUAGGCUGGGAUAUUAAUGCAUAGGCAAAAACUUUUUGAGUGGCUUUCCAGCGGAUAAUUAUCGGAAACAUGACUGGAUUUUUUGACUUCCGUAAAUCUUGCAUUUUAACCUGGCAAAUUUAACAAAAGUUCAAUACAACUUUGUUAGUGCCUUGUGUUCCAGAAGCUAGAAAGAUGUGUAGAUUCCAUAUAAGCGGGCUUGUAAUUACUCUAGUAAGAAUCCAAUUAUUUGCCUUUGCACCUUCAUUUUAUUUGUGGAUCCUUGCAUGUUUCUGAAUUUGAUCAAUCCAAAAGGAAUUGCUCUGAAGAAUAGCAGUAACUAGCCUAUGUCUUAGUGCAUGGACCUGCAAACCUGAGCUGACAAAGCUGAAACUAUUAGUUUGAGGUGACAAAUCCAUGAUCGUCACCUGUUAACUUCUGCUAGUUGCUUUCGUGAAACACUUUUAAGAAAUAAGCAAUUUGUUGUUAGUCGCCGUAUCUGAUGUGCUUUCUUUUAUAGUUUGUAGAAUCAACUGUAUUAUAUGUUGUCAGUUGCAGUAUCUGAGGUGUCUUUUGCAAUUUACUUGACCUUUAUUUGUUUGCUAGUGAGUUAAGAAUACCAACAUUGGCCAGAGAUUUGGAGAAACAUCCGAAGACGCUUAACAAACUUGGAGAUGCACUUGCUUCCAAGCUUCAUUCAUCACAAUGCGAAUCCGGUGAGUACUUAUGUCUUCAAUUAUGUAGAGUGUUUGAAAUUUUGAUGCAGCGAGAUGGUUUGUUGAUGCAAAACUUUAUACUGUUAAGGACUUACCCUGCAGGCUUUUUGCAUGUUGUAUCAACUCCAAAAUCCAACGAGAACUACAGCACCAAAGCCCAGUUUUCACUGAUUCAAUCAGCUGAAAUCAUGAGGGAAAUAACAGUAUAGCACCAUCAAGCUGGACUUAGAGAAUAAUCAGAUCAGUCAUCCAUUUCAUGAACUGUUAAUUUCAUGAUGGAGGCUUAGUGGAGCUGAAGAGGAAACAAGGAUGUGUAGGGAUCAACAAACAACAGUGAGAAGCACGAUUGGAGCUCUGAUUACAAAUAGACAAUUUAAAAAUAUGUGCUGGUAAGUGGAAAUUAAAGAAAUUUGUGAGCUCAUUCAAGUUUCGGUAUUUUCUUUUUGGAUAACGUUGAUACCAAGUUUGGCAAAUCUGUGUUUUCUGCGUUUAAUCUGUGUUUUGGUUAAAGUAGAUGCUCUGAUUAAUACUUGUUUGUUUUCAUAAAACAGGACAAAAAGAGAUCACCAAUCUUGAUUGAGAAUUCAUUUAAGUAAAAUUUCAAAAAUUGCCAAACACAGUAUAAACUAGGAUGCACUUGCUUAAGAUUCAUUUUCAGACGGAAGUUUGUACCUCCAGAUCAUAAAAUCAUGUUUAUGUUGUAUCUUUAUUCAGCAAUUGAAAGAUUCCAAGUUUGCUGAAACCAUAUUAUUUCUUUCCCAGGCGCUUUCCUGAAGGUAUCGACAUCUAUUUCGAAAAUGUUGGGGAUAAGUUGCUUGAUGCAGUGCUACAAAACUAUGAAGGAUUUCUUGUCGGUGAUUACUACCACCUGGAUAAAAAAUUCAUGGAACUGGUCAUGCCGGCAAUAAAAGAAGGAAAGGUGGUACACGUGGAAGACAUAGAUGAAGGCCUCUGUAUACGUCGAAGACAUAGAUGAAGGCCUGGAGUCCAACAGCCCUCGCUGGGCUAUUCAUUGAUCGGAAUGUCACGAAACAACUGAUUGUAGUUGCUUGGGAAUUUAAAAACCACCAUAUGCUGUAGAAAUGCACAGAGCCAUGCACUUUCAAAGCUUUGUGAAGAUGUCUUGGUCAUGUGUUAGAACAGAUUAUGUUUGUUCGAUUAAAUUGUACGCAGUUAUAAAUCAAAGAUUCAGAACAUUGCAUGUAGAAGUUCAAAUUUUAAAUUUUUGGAAGCAGAGGCGUAGAGUUUUUUUCUUUUGGAAAAAAAAAUCUAAAUUGUGGAGACUAUUUUUAUUUAAUUUUACAAUCUUAUUUUAUUUCUUUCACAACAUAAUUUUAAAAUAUUUAUUUAGUAAAUUAUUAACAUCCAAACCACUAAAGAUUUUUUUGUUAAACGCUCUACUUACAAAGUUAUAUUAAUUAUAGAUUUACUCAAAGAAAGUAUAUUUAAGAAGUUAUAGCAAAAAAAAGUUCUAAUCUGUCUUACAAAGGACUAUUGACAAGAGUGGUGCGACUCCCACCCCUUCAAAGUCCACUUGACACCACGCUUUCUCGAUUUAAAAUUUUAUAUAGUUGAAAAUUGUGUUUUCUUUUAAAUCUCCUUGCUUUCCUCUAUUCUUGUUACUUGAGAAGAAGAACCAGAGUCUAGAAGAACGAAAGAAAAUUCAGCGAGAUAGAAAUUUGGAAAUUUCAUCCGAGCUUUUUUUUUCUUAAAUUUUUUGGUAUUUCUUCCUUGUUUCUAUGGAUUCGUUCAAUGGAUUCUUGACCAUUCUUCCUUCUUUCUAUUUUCUACCAUGAUUCAGAAUUUUUCCUUAAAAAAAAUCUAGAUGCAUGGCCAAAUGAAAUGACCCCCUUUAGAGCUUCGGUUACUGUUGCAUAUUCAGCGUCUGCAUUUGACAAAGCAACUAAAUGCACACUAAAGACUUGCUGUUUCCAUUCAGUAUGCAGUUACACAGACAAAGGCCUUAAUUAUUGUCAAGUUCUCCAGUAGCAUACUCCGAAAUCCACAUACCAACCCACCAGAACUCCAAUCUUGAAACUCCAUAAAUCAAAAUUGAAGUGCCUGCCUCUCUGGUACCUCUCAAGGUCCAUUUUACUACUUUCCAUGUCUUUCCAUGCAUCUACUGACAACUUGGGAAAUGCCAGGUCUUGCAAGCACCACUACUUACAUUUGAGUCUGCUAUUAUUAUUAUUACUAUUUUAUUAUUAUUAUUUAAAAAAAAACACUCUAACUAGGAGAGACAAGUUCCGUGUAGUAGGACUGAGCAACAGGGCCGUAGCAAAUAUUAUGUUUUUAAUCAUUCUUGUACCAAAGUAUUUAAGUAUGCGAUAAAAAAUAAUAAUAAUAAUUUAUUGACAACUAAAAGUUAAUAGUGGCUGGGGUGGACCUGGGUUUUGUUUAAAAAAAUUGAUUAAUAAAAUUUUCGAAAUUUCAAAUUUCUAGUACAGAGAAAAUUGAUGAAUAAAAUUCUGCAAGUUAAUUUCUAAUAUGCCAUGAAAAUAUUAUCAAGUUAAAUUGUAACAUCGUUAAUCACUUAAUCCUCAGUCUAAUAUGCCAUAUAUUUGUUUCUCAGGCUUUAAUCGAAAGUGCCGGUGAUUUAUUGUUAUUUUCAGUAAUCAGAUAGGUAUGUUAAGGCUGUUUAAUUCAUCGACAAUGUACCAACAAGACUCAGAUUGGGAGAUUGUAAAUGUAAUUAACAAUAAUCUUUUAUUCAUUUUGAAGUUCAUUCUAUUGUUUACACAGGAGCAGCGUUCUCUUAUGUUUUAUGGAUAUAAUGUUUGGUAAUCCUAAUUUAAGCUAAGGUAUAUAUAUUUCCUAAUUACAUCUAAUUUAAGCUUAUUCAAAUGCAAUCAAUUAAUGUUCAAUAGUAAAAAUUCCAAAUACUAUAUAUUGUAAGAAUUUUAAUCGUAAUGACAAGGUGAUCAUUUGAAUUAUUAUUAUUAAAUUAUAUGUAUGGUGGAGUCCACACGGUUUUGACUAGAAAUCAAAGAGUUAAGAGACAAUAUUAAUUUAUUUAAGUUAAUAGUAUUUGUUCUGUUUAGUACGUCUUUUGACCAACAAGCAUCCCGGCAUUGCACGCAUUAAUUAAUAAAGCAUUGUGCAUGUCACAUUAUUAGAGCCAAUUGCGCCCGGUACACCUCCAUACUUCAAAAAUUAUCUUAAUACCCUAAAAUCUGUUUUUACCAAAAUUUUCAUCGAUACCCUUUAAAAACGGAUAGGAAAUUACUAAGCUAUCCUCAUUUUAAAACAUUUCAACUCAACGGACAGCACCUCUCCCUUCUCUACUGAAGCAAACAAACACUCAUCUGCUGCAAUUCCCUCCAUUAUCAAACUCAAAUAAACAAACACUGCAAUUCCCUCACCGGCAUCACCUCUGCAAUUCCCUCACCGGCAUCACCUCUACCGAAACAAAUAUUCAUUCUCCAUACAUGAUAAAUUGAACUUCAACACGAGCAAACUAAGCUUGAGAAGGGGAAGCUGCCACAACUGAGAAAGAGAAGCCUAGUUCGUCUCUACAUAAUCGCCGGCGAGAGCUGAUCCUUUACUGUAAAAUAGUCAUAAUUUAACUAGUUGAGGUAAGUAAUUCUCUAUAAAUAGUUUUCUUGUUGAUAUUCAGGGAAAAAAAAAACAAAAAGUUAGGGUUUAUAUAGAAAAAUUAGAUUAAUUAGUUGCGGGUCUCUCAUUACAUGUUCAAAAACAAAUUUCUAGUUGUUUUACUACAUGCAAAUUGUGAACAAUUGAUGGAUUGUGCCGAUUAUAAUUUUGUCAUGUAACACACAAUUUGGUCGUGUAAGGUUAUGUAGGAUUCAAGGUUGUGUAUUACACGACCUUCAUGUAUUGCACUUACACGACUUCAUGUAUUGCACUUACACGACUUCAUGUAUUGCAAUUACACGACUUCAUGUAUUACACGACGUUCAUGUAUUACACGACGUUCAUGUAUUACACGACCUUCAUAUAUUACACGACCUCAUGUAUUACACGACCUCAAAAUUACACGACUUUUUUUACUGUUGUUAAUUCAUUAUAAUAACUUAGUUGUUUAAACACUUAAUUUUUGCUAAGAAUUUAUAUUUGUUGCUAUGCAGAAAAUGUCAACGAAAAGUAUUCAGGAAAAAAUGAAACGAGGCAAACCGAAAGUGAAAAUUACUAAUUUGUCAUCGUUGGAACCAAUAAGAAUAAUAAAAAAUAACCUUAGUGACGUACAAUUGGGGAUUUUUCGCAAAUCAUGUUUUGGGCACUUUUUGGACUUGAAUGAGUUUCAGUUUUGUGCCCAGUUGUUGCACAAGUUGGUAUUAAGUCAUAUGCAUUCAUCCGAUAAGGCAAUGUAUUUUAAGAUAGGGAAAAAAGUUUGUCGAUUUUCAAUGUUUGAAUUUGCAUUAGUUACUGGACUGAAUUGUGAAGAAAUUUAUAAACCUAACUUGGACAUUGUUGAUGACGGUGGUCGUGUAUGUGAUGUUUUGUUGGACGGUUGCACAAAGUUCACUAACACAACGCUAGGUCAGAUAUUUGAAGCAACUAAGUCCAAGGAUGAUAUGAAAAUGGUUAAAUUUGCCAUGUUGUACUUUUUGGAGGUUGUAUUACUUGGAAAAGAAUAUAGAUCAUCUAUAAUUAGGGAUCACAUUCUCCACAUUGACAACUUUGAAGAUUUCAAUAAAUAUCCUUGGGGCCGUGUCUGUUUUGAGAACACAUUAGAAAGUAUGAAGAAUGUGAUUGCAAUUAGACAGAAUAGAGAAAGGGCAAAUCCAGACUAUGUCCCUGAAAAGGAGGCAUACAGUCUUCAUGGCUGUCCAUUUGCAGUUCAGGUAACAAAUUGUCAAUAUUGGUUUCGUAAAGAUUAUUAAGAUUAGGAAUAUUAAUUAUUUCUUUUACUUGCACAGGUAUGGGCACUUGAAAUUUUCAGUGAAGUGUGUGAAACUUUUUCCUCGAAAUGUAAGCAUGUCAAAUAUCCAAGAAUUCUAAAUUGGACAAUCACUAAACAUGUUAGCUCUAAUUUGCUUGACUAUUCCAUAUUUGAUAAGAAAAAGGUAAUAACAAACAAUCUAGAUCGUUAGUGUCUUUCUUUUUUUCUUUUUAAUUUAUCUUUGACAUUUAUUAAUUGGCCUAAUUAUUACAGCUUAAGGUACUGGAGAAGUUGGAUGUCGCUGAUGAAAUAGAGGCAUCACAGCCUAAUCUACAAUGGUUUUGGCAAACAAAUUGGCUGCAACAACUUGAAAAUGAUUUUCGUGUUGACUCAAAGAGUAAAAAAUCAGCCACUCCAGUCUCAGAACAGAAAAGUAGCAGUGUUGUGCAGAAAAAUUAUGUGGCCAUGGAAGUUAAAGAGACUAAUAAACGUGCGAAGUGUCAAGUUAUGUCCAUGAAAUACAAAAUGAAUUAUGAACAUGCAAAUUCUGUUGAGGACAAAACUGUAAGUUUUUUUAAUCUUUUAAUAACAAUUGCAUUUUUCAAUUUUUUUUUUGUUUGCCUAAUAGGCUCUGUCUUGUUCUGCUUGCAAGGGUAAACGUCUUGGUUACAUUGAUAAUUUGAUUUCUUUUAUCGAGGACAAGUUUAAUUGUUUGGAUAAGCGUCUCAAAAAGAUCGAAGAGAAGGUGCAAAAAAUUGACUCAUUAGAGGAGAAUACAGGUGAUGUGAGGGAGAUGAGAGAACAAGUCAAUAAAAUUGUAGACUUAGUGGAGUUCCUAAAUUCAGCGGACUACAAUGUGAAGGUUCAUUUUAUUAUUAUUUUUAACUAAGUAUGUUAUUAUUUUUAACUAAGUACAAAUUGUGUAAAGUUAUUAAUAUUUGCUGCUGUGCAGAUUCCGACAACAUUUGAUGAUAACCCGAGUAUUGCCACACCUGCGACUGUGUUUCCAAGCUUCACCACAAAUGCAGGCAUAGUCAAAGAGGAUCCAAUAAUUAUUCCGUCUACACAGCAAGAGGUGAAAAAAUAUGAAAGAAAAAGGCGAUCUCGAAAGGAUGCAGCUGUUUUACGCACGCCAUAUACUAACCCAUUUCGAAAAUCGCGACAUGUCAACGUCGAUGAAGCAAAACAGCAAGUUCAGUUUGAGCAUUGGCUGAAGGAGGAUAAUAUGGAAUCGUAAUUCCUUAUUUCUCUUUGUAAACUUACUUUUAUUUGAAACAAUAUUUCCUGGUUGACUAUAACAAGCAAUAAGUUUUACUCACAUUUUCUUUUUCGUUACUGCACAGUAAAAUAUUAUCGUGGCCUAUGCAUAAAGCAACAAAGAACUUCUUCCGCAGCUUGUAUGAUGCAGACGCGUGGUUAAAUGGCGGGGUAUUAUUAAUAUAGUUUUUGUUUAGCAUGUAAUUUACUGCAGUAAUGUUUGCAUUUAAUAUUAAUUUACAUAUGUUGGUAAUAUGUACAGCAUAUAGACGUUGGUUGUUACGUGAUAAGAUAUGAUUUGGCCAAGCUCACUAUGCCACAUUUGCACCAAUGUGCAAUCAUGGAUAGUGUAUUUCAGGUACUUAGUACUCUGUAGUAAUAAACAAAUAAGAUAUGUAAAUUUGUGCACUGAAAACUUGCAAAAUUCAUUGUUUUUUCAGCAAAAGCUUUUGUUGAAGUAUGAGUUGUUUAAGAAGGAUCCAACUACAAUAUGGGAUGAAGAUCAAGAACAUGAUUUGACAAUCAAACAAGCAAAUGGCGAAGAUCUUCCAUUCGCUAUUCCAUGGAGAGAUGUUUAUAAGGUAAAGUUUAAAUUUUCUUAAUGCAUCGCUAAAGUUUAAAUUUUCUAUUUUUGAUUGGCUCAAAUUAUUGUAGGUUUAUAUCCCAAUUAAUGUACUUGAGUGUCAUUGGAUUCUUGCUGAGGUUGACAUUGUAAGGGAGACAAUUUCCAUAUAUGACUCCAUGGUUUCUAUAAUGAAUGACUCAACAUUUUUGAAAGAAUUAUUGCCAUAUGCUGUUAUUAUUCCUCUUCUACUGGAGAAGGUUUUAUGGUAUGAUUCGCACCCUGAAACUACCCAAAAAAAUAAAGUUUGGAUAGUUUUGCGUUUAGCGAAUACGCCACAGUAAGAAUCUCGGUGAGCAUACCAAAUGCUCAAUUUAUUUUCAUUUUACUGUUAUAGUUAUAUAUUCAGUAUAUAGUUAACUAUUUUUUAAAAUUCUCAGUGGAGAUUGUGGUGUGUUUGUUUUGCGUUACCUGGACACACUUGCACGUGGUGAAGAUAUUCAAACAAAUUGUACGCAGGCACAUGUCUCUUCUUAUCGCAAGCAACUAGCUGAAAGACUUUUCUAUGACCAGUCAUUACUUUCAAAGAACAACUAACAUGUGAGUAUUAUUUUUUUAAAUGAAGUCAUUGCUGUUGGAAUAGUUUGGUUUCUUAAUGUGAAACCAAAAUAGGCCAUCACUGUUAGUUUGGUUUCUAAUUAAUUUCAUGGAUUUAUUAUAUGCAGGCAUUCCUCAUGCAUGCAUGUAUGCUUCGGCAGAGGAAGAAAGCAAUUUCAAGAAAAAAAAACUUUUAAAUGGUUGUAAUAUGUUUAAUUGCGAUAUCCAUUAGUGUAUCCUAUCCAAAUAUUGACAUUGUAAACUGAUAACUUUCUUUAUUUAUAAUAAUUAAUCUCAUCAUUUCUCAAACUGUCGAAUAUGCAAACUUAUUUGUUUGCUGUAAUUUAUGAACACACAAUUUGGUCAUGUAAGGUCAUGUACACGACGGUCGUGUAUUACACGACCGUCGUGUAGUACACGAGUAUAUUACAUGACCUUAAUAUAGUACGCGACUAUUACAUGACGUUCAUGUAUUACAGGACUUCAUGUGUUACACGACUUUUUCCAAUAAUCAUCAGAUUAAUUUAGUUCUUUAAGGACUUAAUUGGGGCUAAAAUUUUAUAUUUGUUGCUUUGUAGAAAAUGUCAACUGAAAUUAUAAAAACAAAGAAGUUAAAUUAAAUUGGAAUGUAAAGAAAUUUAGUUAUUUCAUAAUGCAACAAAUUACAGUUUCCAAGCAUAACAUAUCCAAGACUAAAAAAUUGUAAAUCCAAUUAUCUAAGUUUGGUUAGCCGUAGGGCCAUGCUCUUGCUCUGAAAGUGGUGUUGUUGCAGUGCAUGUUAGUCGAUUAUGCCCCUCAAUCUGCACCUACUACACUUGCGGUGCACGAUGUCUUCCCCUUGAGAAGGUAUUCUAGUAGUUCGCGGUCGUCCUACCUCUCGCUUUUUCAUUGGCAGUGACAGCACAUAUGCACGCACCUCUUCUGAAACAUCCCAUUCCUCUUGUGGACCCACAAGAUAAAUGCUCUCUGCAUAUGCUGUAACCCAUGCAUUGACAGAAUAAUAAUGAGCACAUAAAUCAUAAAUAGAAUAGUUACGCAUAUGCUUACAUACAGCUACCACAUGUUCAUAGGGAAAUUGGUCAAUUUGAAACUCAUUACAACUGCAAGUCUUUUGUAGCACGUCAACAUGGCCAUCAAGGUCGCCAUCCUUAACUAUAAACUCAUGGAAAUUAAUCUGUAUUACUGGAUAUGUGUGUGAUUUAUCCAAUUUCCCUUUCAACUAUUUCUCAACCCAAGUAGUCAUUAAAGUACAUGCAUCCAUUGCCAAAUCUCGCCUUUUUGCAAACCAUUCUUGUAAUUUGUCAAUGAUACAAUCCAUUAACUUAUAAAUAGGCAAGGUUCGUGCUUCUUUUAAGAUAGAAUUCAUACUUUCUGCAAUGUUAGUCGUCAUAAUCCCAUAACGCCUCCCCUCAAAAUGAGAACGAGCCCACUUCUCAUAUCCGGCAUCAGUCAGGUAUUGGUGAACAUUCAAACUAACACUGCGGAUGACAUUCAUAUAUUGAGUAAACUUAAUGGGCCGAUAUGCCUUUGCAGCCAAUUCAAAUAAAGCACCCACAUCAACUUCUUUAAAAUGAGCAUUUACAUUUCGUUUUAGAUGAUGCGUACAUAUGUCAUACCCUACAGUAGGAAAUACUUUAUCAACUGCUUUCUUAAUACUUCCAUGACGGUCAGAAAUGAAUACUAAAUUAGGAACAUCACCAAUAGACUCUCUUAACUUCAUAAAAUACCAUUCCCAUGAAGCGUCAUUCUCACUGUCACCUACACCAAAUGCAACAGGGUAAAGUUGAUUGUUGCCAUCAAGAGAUGUUGCAAUGAAUAAUGUUCCUUUGUACUUGCCCCUCAUGAAUGUACCAUCAACUGCAAUAACAGGCCUAAUACAUGAAGUGAAUCCUCUCAAAGAACUUCCAAUGGCCAUGAAACAGUACUUGAAGUUGUUCGCACUGUCUUUUUUAAUGAAUGUUCGACUUCCAGGAUUUUUUUUUUUCAACCAUUGCCAUGUAUGAGGGUAAUAAAUGGUAUGAAUCAGCCGGACUGCCCCUAACCAUCUCCAUUGCAAACUCCCUUGCUCUCCACGCCUUGUGAUAACUUAUUUCAUAACCAAACUCUUUUUGAAAAUCUUGCAUAAUAUCAGCUGGCUUAUACGUAGAUGAAGCACCAUCAAACUUGUGCCGAAAAUUUUUCCCAACUAACUUGGAUGAAGCUUGACGGUUGUCUUUUUCCUGUGAAUCAAGGGAGCAAGUAUGGACAUUGUAAUACUUUCUAAUUUCAAACAUGUUGCAACCUUUAAGUCUACUUGCACGAAGGCGCCAUUUGCAGUUGUCAUCCAUACAAACAACAACAAGUAAGUCCUUGUCUGAUUUUGGGGUUUUGAAUUGGAACCUUUUUUUCACAACUAGUGCUUUAAGCUUUUCUUGCAAUGCCUCCUUUGACUCAAACACCUCUUUCACCAUCGACACAUCAGUAUCACCACUAACUUCUGUUGAUAAUAAAUUACUGCUACUAGUAAGUAAAUUUAUUCUGGGCACAUGUCCAUUGUUUGAGGUUCUUGAACUUAUAGGAGCUGGAGUAUUAUCUCCUAAUGCUAAAUCAACAGCUAAUGGUGGCUCAUCCAAACAAUCAACUUCAGUUACAAAUUCAUUAACUUCAGUAAAAUUGUUCGAACUGAGAAUAGGAAAUGAUGGAGGCACGUAGCUGGAGAAAGCAUGACUCUCUUCCCAUGAAAGACGAGGUGAAGGUUGUCUAUCCACCGGAACUGUCGAAAUUGAUCUACGUUCAAAAGUAAUGCAGAGCGGGUUUCUAAACUCCAUUCCACUAGCUACUUCCUCUAAGAAAAAUUCCACAUCAUCAUUGGUUUGAAUUGUAACUGGUGGCAUAGGAUCAGAUGUCUUAAGUUUGAACUUCAUUGUGAUUUCGAAUUCCGAAGUAUCUAUAUCAAUAACUUCAGCUAUCUUGUCCACCAAUUCGGCAUAUGUUGUCGAUCGUGGUAUCAUUAUCCCUUUAGCCUUGGAACCUUUGAACUUAUACUCGUCAUUUUGCUCAAUCCAUUCACCAUUAAAGAGAAUAGGCACACGUACCAAAACCAUUUCUGAUGAUACAAUAAAAACAAUAAUAUCAAAUUUCAUAUACAAGUAAGUACACGACUUACACGACUAUAAUACUUACACGACUUACACGACUAUAUUUCUUACAUGACCUACACGACUUACACGACUAUAUUUCUUACAUGACUUACAUGACUUACACGACUAUAUUACUUACACGACCUACAUGACUAACUAUAUGACGUACACAGUAUCAAGAGAAUGCACGGCGCGAAACAUUUUCGCUAUAAAUAAGUUAUAUUGCUGAAAAAAAUAAUUAAACAACCUACAUUGCAUAUAUUUCUACAUAUAAGAAAAAAUGGUGAAAAUAAAACAUUGUAAUGUGAGGAAAAUUUCUAAAUUUUUCUCAAAAUUAAUAAAUUUAAAACCCAAAAACAUUAACAUACCUUAUUGGGUUGUUUAAUAAGCAAUGCACCUUUAAAGAAAGAGUGGGUGUUAAAGAAAUAAAUACAUAAUUGUAUUUGUGUAAGAAGUUAUGAGAGAUUUUGAGAGAUUCUAAGAGAUUUUGAAAGAAUCGGCAGCAAAAAUGGAGUUGGGUGAAAGAAAUGAGGAAAUGAAUAUGAAGACAAUUUAUUGAAUGAAUUUGAUGCAUUCAUUAAGGGUAUUUCUGACUUUACUCACAUUUGUUAGGGUAUUCAUGAAAACUAAAAAGGGAGGGGGUAUUUCAAUAAUUUUGAAACUAUUAAAGGGUAUUUAAUUAAAAACCCCACAUUAUUAGUACCUAGUUGAUUAGUCAUUUGGUCUUCAAUAAAUGUUAGUUGAUAUAUGCUUGAAAUCAUAUUCUGUUUUAUAUGCCGAAUCAUAUUGUAAGAUGGUGAUAUUAGCAUGUUUCUUUUUCUUUGUGCUGUUUCUCGUUUGAUUACAUUUUCAACAACAAGUCGAUCUGUUGAAGAACAAGUUUGGGUUUGAUGAUGCUUUUAACUAUAAGGAAGAGCCAGACUUGGAUGCAGCUCUCAAUGGGUUGACACGAAUGAAUCCUUUCACCCUUUUUCUCACUUCAUUAUUACAAUGCGCUUUGAAGUUAUCUGUGUUGUUAAGGUUAAGGUUAACCCUGCAGGCUUGUUCGAUGCUGUAUCAACUCCAAAAUCGAACAACAUCUACAGCACCAAGACCCGGUUUCAAUCAGCUCAAAUGAUGAGGUAAAUAACACCAUCAAGCUCAGCUUAGAGACUCAUUAGAUAAGUAAUCCAUUUUCUCAGCUGUUAAUCUCUUGAUGGUGGCUAGUGGAGAAGCAGAGGAAACAAAGGAUGUGCCGGAAUCAAUUAGAACAGUGAGAAGCGUGAGGGGAGUUAUGAUUAUAUUUAGGCUUUUUGAUGAUGCUUUGAACAAAAAGGAAGAGCCAGACUUUGAUGAAGCUCUUGAAAGGUUAGCGAAAAUGAACGCUUUAACCAUGUUUCCAACUUCAUUAUCACAAUAUCUGACAUUGCAUAACUUCAAGUAAAGUUGCUCUUAAAAGGUUAGCAAAAAGCCAAAAAUGAUUGAAGUUAUCUGAGUUGAUCCAGAAAAUGUAAUGGAAAUACUCCCCUGCUUCGUAAAACAGGACAAACAGAGAUCGCUGGUCGCGCAUGGGAACUAAUUGCAUUAAAGUUUCAAACAUUACCAAACAAACUAGGAUGCAUUUGCUUAAGAUUCAUUUUCAAAAGCAAGUUGUAUGUUUAUGUUGCAGCCUAUAAAACCAUGUUUAUGUUGUAUGUUUAUUCAGGAAAUGAAAGAUUCGUCGUGUUAUUUUAUUCCAAGAAUUCGCUGAAACCAUACCUGCUUUCCCAGAUGCUUUCCUGAAGGUAUCGACAUCUAUUUAAAAAAUUCUGGGGGUAAGAUGCUUGAUGCAGUGCUACUCAACAUGAGAAUUCACGGCCGCUGCUGUAUGCUGAAAGAUCUCACCGUACAACCGUGAGAAGCCUGAAGGUGUAUUCAACUUGAUACAACUGGUCGUAGUUGCUAGGGAAGGAUAUAAGGUGUACUCAACUUGAUAUGCUGUAAAAGUGCACUAUGCCAUGUACUUUUAAAGCUUUUUGAAGAUGUUUUGGCCAUGUGUUUGAUUAGAUUGUACUCAGAUAUAAAUCAAAGAUUCAGAACAUGUUUGUUACUGUUUUUCAGAAUCCAGAACAAUAAAUACCUUGAAAUGUUUUUGUUCAAUGAUUUUGCAGAAGACCAGCUUCCUUGUUAAUGAAUCAAGAUGGCUGAAUCCGUCCCUAAGCCAAAUCUGUUUUCACUUUUAGGUUAGAAAUUGUCAUUAAAAAGUGUUUGAUAAAAUAUGCUCCGGGAACGCUAUUCGUCAGAUGGUUACUCCAAGUUUAUGAAAUCAAUGGUAUUUCAUCAUAUUCAUAACACUCUGCUUUAAUAUCUAUUCUAACAGAGAAAUUAUAUACAGAGAAUAGGUUGCGUUAGAACUUUUGCUAGAAAAAAGUGACAAGAAUUCAUCGUUCACUUGUAUCUUAAGUAAGUGUAAAAUUUAAAAUCCCAUCAUGAAAAACUCCUGGGAGAAAAAACUAUAAAAAUUAAAGAAAAAAGAGUGUGGCGUGCAUGUAAAUUAUGUCGAUUCUAUCUAUACGAUAAAUACACUCUCUUUUACAAUGGCACGGAUGCUUCAUUGAGUAAUCAUGAUUGUUGCUGGUAGUGCUUUGUUGAAUCAAUCUGCUAGAUAUUCAGCUUUCUUUCUUUCUUACUUUUUUUUUGUUUUAAUAAAUAGCUUGUGGUUGUGAAAAUAAUUUGAAUUAAACUAUGCUUAACUGCCUAUUUGGUACAACUUCUCUACUAGCCAAAAGAUUUUUUUUUAAUCAUUUAUUUAUACCUCGAGUAGAGUUUUUGGAGAUUAAAUAGGUGAUAUUUUGUCUCUAUUAAAAAGAAAACUCAAAAGGUAGGACUAUUUGAAGUUUGAAUCCACCAAACUACUCAUUAAAAAUUCAUUUGUGAAAAUAAUUUUUAAUUAUUAAAAUACCCCUAAAUUAAAUUACAAUUAUGAACACUAAAAUAUAGUAAACAAUUUUUUUUUUACUCUUUGAAAUUGUCCUUACAUUCGAUAUUAAAUUUUUUUCUUAAACUCUAAAUUAAUUUUUUUUUUCAUUUUUAAGUAAUUUUAAGGCACAUAUAAAGUGAUUCAUAUUGAUUUUAUACUAACAAACUAUUACAGCAGAUUUGGAAAAUGAUUAACUCGUUCUCAUUUUCCUAGUGAAAAUGCAAAUAGCUCAUUUAAACGUUAAGGAAUUGGAGAGUUGCUGCUGGAGAUGAAAGAUGUGAAUUAAACAUCAGAAAAAAAAAUUAUGUUUACUAUCUUACCAGACCAAGCACCGAAAAGCAUGGUAAAGAAAAAUUACAUAAUUCUGACUUAGAAGACGAAAAAAAAUGAAAUACAAUUUGAAUAAGAGAUAGAAGAUAAAGCACGUGAAUGGAGGCAGAAAGCAAGUAAUGAUAACUCUUUCGACAAAACUAAUAUAUAUCAAAAUGCAAUAUCAAAAAUGAAAAUAAAAAUUCAUUACGAAUACAUGUUAAUGAUAUCCCAAGUGUUGAGUAAUAAAAAGUACCAGGCAGGCAUCUCCCCAUUCCAUGCCUGAGAAUGAAUCUCUCCAGCUGAAUGAUACGAGCAGAUUCCUAAUAAUAUAUCCUUUAUGGAACACAUACCAACUAGAAACGAAUACCGACCAGAAGUUCAUACCGACCAGGUACUUGUCACUCAAAGAAAGAGAAUACAAUCUCACGAACGCGCGACAGUUUUGCCACAUUCCAAACCGCUAGGGAGAACACGACGCCCCACGUUUACCCACAUUCAGUUGUUGAAGACCCAUUAAGGCCCUUGAUCACCCAAAUAUGACGGGAAGGAAAAAUAUUCUGAGAAAGUGGGACGAUUGCCUAUAAAAAGCUGGGAAAUCAAUUAAGAAAGGGACAGACAAAAAGAGAGAGGGGGGAAACUCUACCGAAUUGAUACCAGGCAUUACUACAUAAUAGCCUUAAAUACAUUUUACUUUAAGAACAUCACAAUGAGUGUGCGUAACCAUAAAUCAUACAAUUUUCCCGCAAACUUCAUGUACUAACUUAAGCAUCGGAGGGUUUAUUCCGGAAAAACCACCAACGUCUCUGGUUUGUUUAUGUGAAUGUAGAUUUGAAAAGAAGAGAAAGAGUGAUUUGAGUUCAAGGAGCUCGGGCAAUUGCUAAAGUUAGUGGAAAAAAUUAAAUGAGACUCAAAAUCAAUCCAGAGGAAUAAAUGAGAAACCUAAUCCUAAUAAAAUACAUUCACAAAUCUUAAUGCUAAUUAAAAUCACGGAUAAAAAACAUAAUAUGAAUGAAUUACAGGCACAACUAUUUUAUUAAGAAAUUAAUAAAAUCGUGUAUUAAUAUAUUUUGUACAUUUUUUUUCCAUAUAUAACUUUCGGUAAUUUAGUUUUCCACUUAUCAUUUUUACUCCAAAAAAAUAUUGAGAAUAUUAUUUAUGUUUUGGUGUAAAAUAUUUGAACAAUAUACAAAUUUUCAGUUUAAUACAUCUAAACAUUUAUUAAGUUAUAAAUGAAUUUAAUGGGUUUAACUAGUACAAAUACUAUUAUUUUAUAAAUUGGGUUUAAUAAUAGUAUAUUGGGGAUUUAGGUUGAGUAAAUUUUAAAAUUUUAAAAUUAAAGGGUGGGUUUGUUUAGCAAAUGAGUUUUUUUUUUUUUUUUAUUACAUGAGACUAUUGCUCAAAUUACAGUUCAAGUUACAACUCAUAUUACAUGAGAGUAUAAUUGAUAUGUACAAUCAUAUAUUUAUACUGAGCCCUGUUGAUAUUAAUGCUGAUAUGACACCGCUCAGAUUUUUAACCCUCUCAAAUAUUUGAGGGAUGUCAAACUCCCAUCCUGGGAGAAAGACUGUCUUCACUCGAGCUCAAGGGCUCCAAGAAAGAAUAUUUAAAGUAAAACCCCUACAAUGCGACUGCGGAGGCUCGAACCCCUUCCCUCACAUUUGUGAGGGAGGGGCUUAGCCUUAGCCCAAGUGGCUCUUUUAGCAAAUGAGUUAAGGGAAUAGUUUGUUGGGAUUUAAAUAGCCCCACCCAAACUCAAAUGUAAAAUUUUUGAAAAAAGAGACUAUUACGUUUUAAAAAAAAGAAUUAAAAGGUCAAGAAUACCUCUAUUUAAUUUUAUAAUCAUAUUUUAUUUCUACCCUAAUAUAAUAUUAAAAAACUUAACUAAAAAUUUUAUAAUUUUUUAUAAAAAUUACCAUUAACAUCCAAAAAGCUAAAGAUUAAAAAAAAAAAAGGAACUGUAUUUACAAAAGUUAUAUCAAUAAUAAAUUCAGUCCAAAGAAAAAAGUUAUUGUAAACAAGUACUCAUAUUUAUCUCUACUUUAACAAUAAUCUUCGAAUCCGUUUUACAAUGGAUUUUAACCAAUGGGCUUAUGAGUCCUUUUUUGGAAAGCAUGAAAGCGAUGGCCCAAUCUCUAAACUUCAUUUUCUUUAGCCAGAAAGCCUAAAACAAGACCAGCCCAUAGAUAUAUAACUACCGGAAAAAAUUAAAAAGAAAAAAAAGAGUAAAAUUGUGUAAGAGCUUUUAGAAUUACAAUUUUAGGAUCACGUGUGUAAAUGGAACUCCAAGAUUGAUCAAGAAUUAACAAGGCAAGAUGAAGGGAUGAUCUUGUAGCAAAGAAUGAAGAAAUUGAAUCAAGAAAGUACUCUAGUGCUUUAGUGCUUUACAGUUAAGGGAUAUAGGGUGCGUUUGGGAUUGAGGUUGGGCAGCUGUAGCUUAAAAGCUACAGCACUAAAGUGUUUGGUAAACACUAGCUGCUGUAACUUUUAAGCUAUGUUGAUAUAAUUUUUCACUUGUAUAAUAUAAAAUUUAUUAUAUCUUUAAUAAUUUUGAUAAAAUUAUUAUUUACAAUUUAUAUUUAUUAUAUAUUAUUAACUUUUAUUUCAUAAUUACAACUUCUUUUUUACAGCAGCUGUAGCUUAAAAACUACAGCACCUCAAUCCCAAACACAACCAUAGUGUGAAUUCAUUACAAAGCAUUCGCAAAGAAAUUGUUUUUAAAUGAAACUCCUCGUCUUGACCAGAUUAUUUAUUAUUAUUCAAAAAAAAAAUGUUCAAAACUUAGCCAAAGUGAUAAACUCGUAAUUAUUCUACAAAGGGAACAAUUUUGAACGGUCGGAAAUUCCAUGCUUAUGAUUUUCUCUGCACUAUUUCAAUAAAAUUAUUACCCAGUGAAGACUUUAGAGACAAGUGCCCCCAUGAGAUCAAGCAAAUAUGCCCCCACAAAGAUCACAUAAUUAUUUCUUGUUCUUUUUCUUUUUGACAAUUUUAUCUGUGGUUUCAACUUUUACGCUUUAUUGUCAUUUCUCGUUGAGGGCUCCGCUGCACCCAUUACAACUUACCCCUAUAUUGUCUUUUACUGACUAAACCGUUAGAUUUGACGGAUAGCACGUUCAAUGCUGAAUUUUAAUUAUAUCAUCAAAUUUCGUUUAGCUCCUUAAACUCCAUUUUAUUUUUUAUUUCUUUAUAAAAUAUUCAAAGCUUCAUCAAGCUCCCGAUGGACCAUCAUGGCUAGGGGUGCAUUAGAGCCGAACUGAAAUAUGUUAGUUUAGUUUAGUUUGGUCAGUUUAAAUCGAAUGGUUUAGAAAAUAUAAAAUGAUCAAUUUUAAUUUUGAAUUGAACCGAACCAAAAAUUAAUUGAUUUGCUGUUAGUAUUUUUGCAUAAACAUAAAUGAUUAGUGAUUAUAAUUGAAUUGGACUAAAAAAAAUCAAACAAAAGUGAAAAAUAUAAAAUCUUAGACAAUAUAAAAGAAAAAAUAUUAAAUAUAUAAACCAAAACGAACUGAAUUAUUUUGACUCAGUUUUGGUUCAUAAUUUUUUAAACCAAACUGAUUUAUUCCCACCCCCUAAUCGUGGCCCUCUAUCUUUAGUCAUUCACCCUUGAGUUUGAUACCAAUUGUUGGGUUUCAAAUGAUUAUACACUCAAAUGGAACCCCUCAUAACCAAAAACUAACAGAAACAAUAAGAACACAAUGUUAAAAUCUUAAAUCAAUCGCAAAAAAGCACCCAAAACAGAUCGAUUAGGAAUAGUUAACAACAAAAGAUUUAAUGGUUCAAAAUCAUAAUGUGACCUACUUCCAUCCAAGAAUCAUACUAAUUGCUUUACUUGUUGUCAAAUACGAGAUCAUAAGAUUGUUUAUCACUCUACAGAGAAAAAAAAUUUAGAAGAAAUACUCCCCAAUUUUUCUCUUAAUAGUUAUGAAUCAACACCCCUGAUUUACUUUUCCUUAUUUCCUAUGAUCGGUUGCUGCUACUUAAUCCUUACCAAGCUCCAACAUAGUCCAAACACUUUUCAUGGUACAUGCACAGUGCACCUUCAGAAACUUUACAGCUCUUCUUAAAACCUCAGGCCUAUAGAGUGCAAUUUCGCACCUAUAUGCUUAGUCCUCUCAGUUCUCGUGAUGUUUUUGAUUUAUUUCUCGGACGAGUAGCACUUUUAGCUGCCAUAAUACAAUGUAAUUGACUUCUGAGCAUGACUUAAUUUUGAGAUCAUUACUUUUAGUUAAAUGAUCUCCUCCAGAGCUUCUACCUAUGUAGUGUUUUUAGACCUCUAUAGUUGAUAAAGCAUGUUCAAGGUGAAGGCUUGUUUUCCAAUCUAUAGUCCAAUUAUAGACUGGAACUGGUCAGGCUUAAUGCACCUUCAAAAGCUUCACAACUUAUAUUGAAACCUUAAGCCUUGUAGAAUGCUACAAAUUUUAAAUCCAUAUACUUAGUGCUCUUAUGAUUUGUUUGAUUUUUACUUAGAUGAAGAGCAUUUUAGCUAUAGAAUACAGAAACUAAUUCAAAGCCUGCCUUAGCUAUGAGAUCAUUCAUUCUAGCCAAAUGCCCCUUUAGAGAUUCUGCUAUUGUUGCGUAUUAAGCCUCUAUAUCAAAGCAAUUACAUGUCGAAGGCUUGCUUUGCAGUUAACAGCGCAAUUACAAUUAUAUAGAUUAAAGGUGUAAAUCCAUAAAACUACCAGACUUCAAUCUUUAGACUCCAUAGAUCAAACCAUAACUUAGUGUGCCUUUCAAUCUCAGGUAACUGUUUUCCACGUCUUGCCAUGUACUUGCUGCUAACACUAACAAUUUGAGAAAUGUUAGGCAUCGUAAGCAGCCGACAACACUCUUCUUCAUUUCUUCAUUGUCAAUUUCUUUCUUGGAACAUUGCUCCAUUGAGAGUCUGCUAUCAUUGCUCCAAUUAUUAUUAUUUUUGUUUUUGUUUUUUAAAAAAAUAACCGUGCAAUAAGAGUAUAAGACUAAGCAACGGUCCUUUUUUUUUUACCCAUUCUUGAACAUGAAGUAUUUGAGUAUGUAAUAAAAAUUGUUUAUCGAUAAUUAAAAGUUAAUAGUGGGUGGCUUUAGGUUUUGUUUACAAAAUUGACAACAAAUUAGAUUUUUCAAAUUCAUAGGUAAGAAACUUUUCAUUUAUUCAUAGAUUUUCCGGUUUAAACUUUAAAGGAAACUUAAAAGAAAAAGAUGUAUCAUUAGGUUUGUAAUUAAAAAAAUUUAAUAUUGUAUGAUCUGUUCGAUAUGCAUAAUUUAAAUAAACAUUAAUAUAGAUGUUAUAUAUCCUAAAACUUAAUUGACUUAAUUCUUAUGGUGCAAGGAAGAGGUUUCCAAGUUUAAAUCUAAAGUCUUGUAUUUAAUUUGGGGUCGGGAAAGCACUGGGAAAUAAAUGUAACAAAGGAAAAAAAAAAAAGAAUGACAGUCUGAGUGGAGCCAACGCGGUUUUAAAAAAAGUGAAAAAAAGGGUUUAAAAAAAAAAACGCGGUUUGCUUGCUUGUGGAAAUAGAAGUCUCAUGUUUCUUUGAAAGGUAAGCAAGUGUGAAUGUUUCUAUCUAGAGCUGGAAAAUGCAUUUCCGUGCAACUUACUUGAUGAAUGAAGUUUUCAUCGCUGACCCUGAUGUUUCCCUGAGCUGCAUUCAUUGCAGCUGAUGUAUUUCAUUUUGUUUUCGAAGGAGUGACACAAAAUCUCCUUCGUUAAGGUGAGAAUUUAGAGUGGCUUUAACUGUUAACAAAUAGCCUAAUAUAAGACUUAAUCUACUUCCUGCCCUGUUGUAUGCUUAUGAAAUUUGAUAGAGUUAUGAGUUUGCAGAAGCUACUGUAUUAUAUGUUGCUUGAGGCUGUAAAAAUGAGGCAGAUCAAACACACAUUUAAAUUUCAAUGACAAUUUACUGGAAGUAAAUUUCCUAUGACCCUACAUGUGACUAAUUGAUGAGAAGUUGACAAAUGACAAAAGAAAGUGUAUGAGCUUUGCAGGUUGGCAUGCCGAUACUGACUGUGUGGCACCAUCCGCCAUUUGGAAGUGAAUAUCAUUAUUCUUUAAUCAACAUGGUGGAGUCCACUGGGACCACACCACAUGGUCAGUCUUAUCUCUAUUCCUCAAUUUUCAGUAUUCCAUACAUGAAAACAACUUCAGUUUUGUUAUCAAUUAUAAUUUCAUUGUUGGUGACGAUUCUGAUUCCUUUCUUUCUGACAAAACGGAACCAUGGUUGCUGUGGGAGAGAUCUUACUCAACGCCUUCUUUCAGGUGUUGUUUGACAGGUUGGCUUCCCGUGAUUUGCUCAGCUUUGUCCGUCAACUUGGAGGCGGGGUCGAUUCCGAGCUCAAGAAGUGGGAAAGAAAGCUGAAGAUGAUUCAGGCGGUGCUCAACGAUGCAGAGGAGAAGCAACUGACUGACGAGGCUGUGAAGACGUGGCUGGACGAUCUCCAAGACUUGGCUUAUGACGCUGAGGACAUUCUUGAUGAGUUUGCUACUCAAGCUUUGGAAAGCAAGUUGAUGGCGCAAAAUCAGGAUAGCUCUGGCCAGGUUCUCAGUUUCAUCCCGGCUAGUAUCCGAAUGCUGUUAGGUUCAAUUAUAGCAUGAGGUCCAAGAUUAACGAUAUUACUAGCCGGUUGGAGCAACUCUGCAAAGAAAGAAUCGAACUUGGACUGCAACGGAUUCCUGAAGGGGCAUCAUCAACUGCUGCUGCUGCACACCAGAGGCCACCCAGUUCAAGCGUCCCACCAGAACGUGAAGUUUUUGGUAGAGAAGAAGAUAAGGCCAAAAUUCUUGAUAUGGUAUUGGCCGAUAGCCCAAGUGAUCAUGCCAACUUUGCUGUAAUACCCAUUGUUGGCAUGGGCGGGAUAGGAAAAACAACUCUCGCUCGGGAGGUCUACAAUGACAAGGCCGUUGAACAUUCCAAGUUUGAUGUAAAAGCAUGGGUUUGUGUAUCUGAUGUCUUUGACAUUUUGGGCAUCUCAAAGGCACUUCUCGAGUCAAUCUGCUGCGCAGCUAGUGAUCUCAAGACUUUAAAUGAAGUGCAGGUUCAACUGAAAAAAGCAGUGGACGGAAAAAGAUUCUUGCUGGUCUUAGAUGAUGUUUGGAACGAGGACUACAGCUUGUGGGUAGACUUAAAAGCUCCAUUCUUGGCUGCUGCACCAAAUAGUAAGAUGAUUAUCACCACACGCAAUUCACAUGUUGCAUCUACAAUGGGACCCAUUGACCAUUAUAACCUCAAGCAUCUGUUAGACGAUGAUUGCUGGUCUAUUUUCAAAACGCAUGCAUUGGAGGGUAGAGAUCAUAAUGCACUUGAAAUCUCAGAAUCAUUUCGCAAGAAAGUUGUUGCCAAAUGUGGAGGCUUGCCCCUUGCUGCAAAAACACUCGGAGGCCUUUUGCGUACGACGAGGCAUGAUGCGUGGGAUGAUAUAUUAGAGAGCAAAAUAUGGGAUUUACCUCAACAAAGUGGGGUUCUCCCAGUAUUAAGAUUGAGUUACCAUCAUCUUCCUUCUCAUUUGAAAAGAUGUUUCGCUUACUGUGCAAUCUUUCCAAAAGAUUAUGAAUUCAAUGAGAAGGAGGUGACUUUUUUAUGGAUGGCUGGAGGAAUUAUUCGACAGUCAAGAAGCAAAGAGCGGCUAGAAGAUUGGGGCAGCAAGUGCUUCUAUGAUCUGGUGUCAAGGUCAAUUUUUCAGCAAACAGCAAUCUCUGGUAGUUCUAAAUUUGUAAUGCACGACCUUAUUCAUGAUCUUGCUGAAUUCGUCUCUGGAGAAACCAUAUUCAGGUUAGAGGAGUCCACCAACUUGUCGUCAAGCAGAUUUGAAAGAGUUCGCCAUUCUUCCUAUGCCGGCGGUUGGUAUGAUGGUAAAAAUAAGUUUGAGGUUUUCUAUGAAAUUGAACAUCUACGAACAUUCUUGCCAUUACGCUUACGCAUGCGAGGUACUUUUUUCAUAACUAGAACGGUUCUAUCUGAUUUGCUGCCAAAGUUCAAAAAAUUGAGGAUGCUAUCUUUAGAAGGAUACUGUAUUGGUGAGUUACCAAUUCCAUUUGAAGAUCUCAGACUUUUAAGGUUCCUCAACCUCGCUGACACUGACAUAAGAAGUUUACCUGAGUCAACAUGCAAAUUGCUGAACUUGGAAAUUCUGAUAUUAAGAAAGUGUUCCCGCUUGAUAAAGCUUCCCCAGAAAAUGAGGAAUUUGAUCAAUUUACGUCAUCUGGAUAUAAGAGGUGCACAGCAGCUGAAGGAGAUGCCAUUUGGAAUGAAAGAGUUGAAGAAGCUUCAAACAUUGUCCAAUUUUAUUGUGGGCAAGGGUGAAACUGCAUCCGGUGUGGAAGAUUUAAAAUGUUUAAGCUUUCUUUGUGAUGAACUUUGCAUUGCUGGAUUAGAGAAUGUGAAUAAUCCACAGAAUGCAAGAGAAGCCGCAUUAUGCGAGAAGCACAAUCUUGAAGCAUUGACUCUAGAAUGGGGGUCUCAAUUUGACAAUUCUCGAGAUGUAGCAAUAGAAGAGCACGUGCUUGACAUUCUACAGCCUCAUAAAUGUAUAAAAAAGGUGGCAAUCAGGAGCUAUGGUGGUGCAAGAUUUCCACUUUGGAUAGGAGAUCCGUUGUUCUCCAAGAUAGAAUUCCUUGAAUUGGAGAACUGUGACAAUUGUGUAUCUUUGCCAUCGCUUGGCCGUUUGAGUUCACUUAAACACCUUGCUGUUAAAGGGCUGAAGAAACUAAAAAGCAUAGAGCCUGAGGUUUAUGGGGAGGGUUUCUCAACGCCUUUUCCAUCAUUGGAGAUUCUAAGUUUCGAGAAUUUGACAGAAUGGGAGCAUUGGGACACGGAUAUCAAAGGAAAUGCACUUGUUGAAAUAUUUCCUCGUCUCCAUAAACUUUCCAUUGUGAAAUGUCCCAAACUCUCUGGAGAACUGCCUGAGCUCCUGCCCUCCUUGGAGACACUUGUUGUUAGUAAAUGUGAAAAGUUGGUAGUUCCAAUGUCUUGCUAUCCGAUGCUCUGCAGAUUAAAAGUUGAUGAGUGCAAAGAACUGGUCUGCCGGACUCCAAUUGAUUUUAAGUUGAUAAAGUCUGUGACUAUUUCAAAUUGUUCACUAGACAUGUAUGGAUGCAAGGGGAUGCUAUACAAUGGUCCAGCUGGCUCUUCACUGCCGAAAUCCAUGACUAUUACAAAUGUUUUGGCGUUUGGAAAAUUAUUGAAGCCUGGAUUUCAGAUAUUAGAAACUUUGGUAAUUGACAAUUCUGAACAGCUCAAGUCAUGGAGGCAGCGUGGGGAUUUUCGACAAGAAUAUUUGGGCGUUCGCGUAAGGCGUCACAAACCAUCACAAGGGCUAGAUAUGCUCGCCUCCCCAGAAGAGGUAACAAUUGAAGAAAGUUGUGUGAGUUUUGUUUUAUUUCCAGAGAUCAAUUUCUUUCCCAGAAAUCUGCGCUCUCUUCUAAUUUGCAACAGCACAGCUUUAAAAUCCUUACCCGAUGAAAUGAUGGACAAUUCACAACUCGAAAGGUUGUAUAUCAGAGAUUGCGAUUCUCUAACAUUCAUCACAAGACGCAAGCUACCUUCAUCUCUAAAAAGUAUAGAGAUUGAGAAUUGUGAGAAACUGCAACAUUUGUUCGAUGAUAAAGAGGAUGCUUCUUCUUCUUCUCCUCCUUCAUCCUCGUCCUCCCCAGUGAUGCUGAAACACCUGAGUAUAAAUAAUUGCCCAGUGCUCACCAGUUUAUCAACAGGAAUCCAAUUACUUGAGGCGCUUGAAAGCCUCGAGAUACGGGAUUGUCCAAAGCUGGAGUCAUUACCAGAUGGCCUUCACAAUCUUAACUGUUUACAGGAGAUUACUCUAAACAGUUGUCCAAGUCUUGUUUCCUUCCCAGAAAGAGGACUUCCCAACACGAUUUCAAAUCUUGUAUCGUUUCCAGAAGAAGGUUUUCCUACCAAUCUAACAUCACUUACAAUUGGAUAUUUCAAAAUGUAUAAGACACUCGUCCAGUGGGGGUUGCACAGGCUUACCUCUCUUAAACGCCUCUGCAUCAUUGGAUGUGAUGAUGAAGCAGAGUGUUUUCCAGACGAGGAGAUAGGAAUGACGCUGCCCACCUCUCUCACUCAUCUGACACUUUCGGAAUUCAAAAAAUUGAUAUCUCUGUCUUCGACGGGUAUUCAGAGCCUCAACUCUCUUCAAUCUUUGUCGAUCGGGAAUUGCCCGAAUCUCACAUCAUUUCCAGAGGUGGGCCUUCCAUCCUCACUUUUGGAAUUACACAUUUACAGUUGUCCAAAGCUUAAAAAAGCGUGCAAAAGAGAUCAAGGAAAAGACUGGCCCAAAAUUGCUCACAUCCCUUUCGUUGAGAUAGACGGUAAAUUCAUAUACGAUCCCGAAUCAGAGGAGUAGAUUCUAUUACACAGGUCAGUUGAUUUAUAUUAUCCGCUAUAACAAGCUCCUCCUUUUUUAUUUUUUUUAAAUAAUAAUUUUGCAGUCAGUCACGUGAUUCCGUUUUCACAAGUCAGAUUGUAUGUUGAGGCUAUUUGCCUUUUAAUCGCAGAUUAAAUUAUAACACUUAUCUUAAAAUUUAAUACCAUAGACAGAUAGACGAUUUUUUAAUCCAAAGUUUUUUUUAUUCACUUCAGUUAGCAUUUUUUUUUCCCCCAAAUCAUGCAAGCCGAGAGUUUCAAUCAAGAAUUGGAGGAUGUGAAUGGGAUUUUUGUGAAAGAGUAACAUAAUGGAUGACCGAACAUUUCAUCUGUGAUCUCAAAGUCAACAGAAUUUUAUUCACUCAUUGACUUUUCAACUGCCGUGGUUUUUAUGGGUGAAAGAUAAGGGCAAUUACAAAAAAUUUGCAAAAUUUGUCAAUUUCUUAGAUGGUAGAUAUAUCGACAUUUUAGAUUUCAGAUAUUUGUCACCAAUUUGCAAAAUUGAAAUUUCUGUCUUCAAUGGGUUUUCAAAGCCUCGCCUCUCUUCGAUUUUUGUGGAUUGGGAAUUGCACAAAUCUCACAUCAUUUCCCGAGGUCGAGGAAAAGAGCGGCCCAAACUUGCUCGCAUCCCUUGGGUUAUGAUAGAUGGAAAAUUCAUGUACGAUCCAGUCAGAGGUGUUGAUUCUCUUAUUAAGGUCAGCUGAUUUCUAUUAUCCACUCUGACAAUCUCCUAUUAGUGUUUUUCCUUUUUUUUUUUUCAAAAUUUUGCAGUUCUGUAUAAUUGAAAAUGCCACUCACUUGUUUCCUUUUUCACAGGUCAGAUAGUAUGUUGAGGCUAUUUGAUUUCUAUCGGUGUUUGUUAAGGUAAUUAGUGCUCCCUCAUAGGUAUGACUAGAUUUUUUUCACUUCCGUAAAUAUUGCAUUUUAGACUGGCAAAUUUAGCAGUAAUUUUAAUACAAUUUUGUUGGUGCCUUGUGUGCCAGAAGCUAGAAAAAUGUGUAGUUUUCAGAUAAGGAGUCUUGUUAGUUCUCUAGUAAGAAUCCAAUAAUUUGCUUUUGCACGUCCAUCUAAUUUGUGGAUCCUUGCAUCAGAAUUUGAUCAAUCCAAAGGAAUUGCUUUUAGACAGAAGAAGAAUAGCAGCACCUAGCCUAUGUCAUAGUGUAUGGACCCGCAAACCUGAAACUAUUAGAUUGAGGUAAAAAAAUCAUUGACCCUCACAUGUUAACUUCUUCUAGUUACUUUUGUUGGGAAAAAAAAACAUUUAAGGAAUUUGCAAUUUGUUGUUAGUUAUGGUAUCUGAUGUUCUUUUCUGUUUUAGCGUUUGUAGAAUCUACGGUAUUAUGUGUUGGCAGUUGCCGUAUCUGAGGUAACUUGCCUUUAUUUGUUUGCUUCUGACUUAAGGACACCAACAUUUGCCAGAGAUUUAGAGAAGCAUCUCAAAACACUUAGCAAACUUGACAAACUUCAAGAUGCACUUGCCCCCACGCCUUAUUCUCCACAACGCAAAACUUGUGAGUACACUUAUGCCUGCAAUUAUUGUGAAGUGUUUGCAAUUUCGAUGCAGAGAAAUGGUUUCUUGAUGCAAAGUAUUAAACUGUUAAGAUUUAUCCUGCAGGCUUGUUAGAUGUUGUAUACUCGAAAAGCCAACAACAUCAAGAACUACAACUCCAAGACCAACUUUGCAUUAAUUCAGUCAGCUGUAAAAAUGAUGCAAAUGACACUAUAUCAAGCUGGACUUAGAGACUAGUCAGAUCAAUCAUCCAUUUCAUCAACGGUUAAUGUCAUGAUGGUGGCUAUCAGAGGAAACAAAAGAUGUGUCAGAAUCUAUACGAACAUUGAGAAGCAUGAGAGGAGCUUUGAUUUUGAGUAGGGUCAAUGAACUCAUGUUGGUAAGUGGUGAUUAAAGAAAUUUGUAAGCUUAGUAGAGUUUCAGUAUUUUCUGUUUGGAGUAUAGUUGAUAAGUUGACUCUGUUUAAGAAGCCCGAUUAUAGUAGCUGACUGUAUUAACCUUUUUUUUUUUGGUCUGCUGUUGUUUUUGGUUUCGAUUAUUUUUUCAACAUUGGGUUGAUCUGUUGAAGAACAAGCUUGGGUUUGAUUAUGUUUUAACUAUAAGGAAGAGCCAGACUUGGUUGCAGGCGUUAAGCUUUUAAUGGGUAAGAACAAAUGAAUGCUUUAACCAUGUUUCUCACUUAUUAAAAUGCAUGGAUUGAAGGCAUCUGGGUUGAUCCUGACAAUGUGAUGGAAAUACUUCUCUGUUUUCAUGUAACAGGACAAAUAGAGAUCUCUGAUCAUGCCUGAAUUUUUGUUGCAUUGAAAUUUCUACCAUUACCAAACAUAGAAUGAACUGGGGAUACAUUAGCUUAAGACUCAAUUUUGAGAAGGAAGUUUGUACUUGCAGCCUAUAAAAUCAUGUCCGUGUCGUACGUUUCUUUGGGAAAUGAAAGAUUCUGUGUGUUCUUUUAUUUCAAGUUCACUGAAAUCACAUUUGUUUUCUCCGAUGCUUUCCAGAAGGUAACAACAUCAAUUUCAAAAAUGCUGGGGCAAGAUGCAUCAUGCAGUGCGACUCAACUUGAGAAUUCCUGGCCACAUUACCCGUAUGUCGAAUGAUCGCACAGUUCAACCUUGAGAAGCUUGUAAUGAGUACACAACUGGGUGCAAGUAGUUUUGAAAUGAAUUUGCCUCAAAUGAUUUCUUGCUCGCAUCCCUUGGGUUAUGAUAGAUGGAAAAUUCAUAUACGAUCCAGAGUCAGAGGUGUUGAUUCUCUUAUUAAGGUCAGCUGAUUUCUAUUAUCCACUCUGACAAACUCCAAGACCGGGUUUUUUUUUUUUUUUAAUUUUGCCGUUCUGUAUAAUUGAAAUGCCACUCACUUGUUUCCUUCUUCACAGGUCCGAUAGUAUGUUGAGGCUAUUUGCUUUUUAUCGGUGUUUGUCAAGGUAAUUAGUGCUGCCUCAUAGGUUGAUUACUCACAGAUGAAAUCAUAACUUUUAUCUUAAAAUUUAAUAGCAUACACAGAUAGAUGAUUUUUAGUCCAAAGUUUUUUUAUUCACUUCAAUCAAAAUUUUAGAUUGCAGAUUUUUGUCAAGUAUUUCAUUACAAUUUUUUCAUUUUUUAUUUUAAACCAGAAUAUGAGUAUAACAUUUUGGAGCGUGCAUACUCUGAUGCAUGCAAUUAACUGUUUUUAAUCAUUGGAUUUUGAAAUUAAUAAUGGUAAGAUGUGUACUUAUUCUGUCUUCCAACAACCUUGGCCUCUUUCUUCGGUCGCAUAUCUAAUGAAUAUUUCUCUGUUUAGUUAAGGAUGAAUGCUUGGAGUGGGGUACUUGGUAACAUUUCUGCCUCAGAUGAAUCCUUGAAGAAAUGCCCGCAGUUCCUGAGACCAAAUACAGGUCUGAUUCAAAACAGCACCUUUCUCAGAAAAUAUGAUCCAAGGCAAAGUCAUGUUCUGAUAAUGUUUCCUUAAGUACAAAGUUGCAAGGAAACUUGAUUCAUUAACUACAGUUUUUUAUUUUUAGGACCUUGUAUCUGAAAGGUUCAGUGUUUUUUUUUUUUUCAAAUUUAUUGUUCAGAUCUCAGAGGAGUAUAUGGUUUAGAUUACAAAACACCCAUGAUUAAUUUCAUUUUUUUUUUAAUUUCAGGGAGAAGAAGUGGUCAGUUUCAAUCCGGAAUUGGAAUAUGGCAAUUUGGUUCAAGCACACACACCUGGUCACUUGGUCAGUGAACCUGAACUUUACGCAGUUUUUUCAACUCAGUGAUUUUUGGAACGCAUAGUGGUGUAAGGAAAUCAAAAGAAAUUUAUGCAUAGUCAAAUUCUGAUAUUUGCUAUAUAUUAUACAUUCUAAAGUUUCUCCAGUUUGUUCUCAGAUUACCAUCAUUUUUUGCCUUCACCAAAAAAAAAAAAUUGAGUGGCUUUCCAGUGGAUAUUUAAUCGGAGGUAUGACUGGAUUUUUUUCACUUCUGUAAAUCUUGCAUUUUAAACUGGCAAAUUUAACUUUAAUUUUAAUACGACUUUGUUGGUGCCUUGUGCCCCAGAAACUAGAAAGAUGUGUAGUUUUCAGAUAAAGGGGCUUGUAAAUUCUCUAGUAAGAAUCCAAUAAUUUGCUUUUGCACGUUCAUUUUAUUUGUGGAUCCUUGCAUCUGAAUUUAAUCAAUCCAAAAGGAAUUGCUUUUAGACAGAAGAAGAAUAGCAGUACCUAGCCUAUGACAUAGUAUAUGGACCUGCAAACCUGAAACUAUUAGUUUGAGGUAAAAAAUUCAUGACCCUCACAUGUUAACUUUCAUGAAAAACACAUUUAAGAAAUUUGCAAUUUUUUGUUAGUUUCGUAUCCGAUGUUGUUUUCUGUUUUAGCAUUUGUAGAAUCUACUGUAUUAUAUUUUGGCAGUUGCAGUAUCUGAGGUAUGUUUUGCAUUUAACUUGCUUUAUUUGUUUUGCUUGUGACUUAAGAACACCAAUAUUUGCCAGAGAUUUAGAGAAGCAUAUCAAGCUGCUUGGCAAACUUGACAAACUUCAAGAUCCUCCAUUCUUCACAACGCAAAACUUGUAAGUACACCUAUGCCCGCAGUUAUUGUGAAAUGCUUGCAAUUUUGAUGCGCUGAAAUGGUUUGUUGAUGCAAAGGUUUAAACUUUUAAGAUUUACCCUGCAGGGUAGUUGGAUGCUGUAUACUCGAAAAGCGACCAACAUCAAGAACUAUGACUCCAAGACCGGGUUUGCUUUAAUUCAAUCAGCUGAAAUCAUGAUGCAAACGACACUAUCAGCUGGACUUAGAGACCGGUCAGAUCAAUCAUCCAUUUUAUCAACAGUUAAUGUCAUGAUGGUGGCUAUUAGAGGAAACAAAGGAUGUGUCGGAAUCAAUGUGAACAGUGAGAAGAAUGAGAGGAGCUUUGAUUAUACGUAGGCUCAAUGAACUCAUGCUGGUAAGUGGUAAUUAAAGAAAUUUGUGCGCUUAGUAGCAUUUCAAUAUUUUCUGUUUGGGAUAUAGUUGAUGAGUUGAUACUCUGAUUAAGAAGCCUGAUUAUAGUAGCUGACUUUUUUUUUGUGGUUUGCUGUUGAUUUUUCUUUUGAUUUUUUCAACAUUAGGUUGAUCUGUUGAAGAACAAGCUUGGGUUGAUUAUGCUUUAACUACAAGGAAGAGCCAGACUUGGAUGCAGGCGUUCAGCUUUUAAUGGGUAAGAACAAAUGUAUGCUUUAAACAUGUUUCUCACUUAUUACAAUGCACGCAUUGAAGGCAUCUGAGCUGAUCCUGAAAAAGUGAUGGAAAUACUUCUCUGUUUACAUAAAACAGGACAAGAGAUCUCUGAUCAUGCCUGAGAAUUAGUUGCAUUGAAAUUUCUACCAUUGCCAAAAAUAGAAUAAACUAGGAAUACAUUAGCUUAAGACUCAAGUUUGAGAAGGCAGUUUGUACAUGCAGCCUAAAAAAUCAUGUCUGUGUUGUAUACUUGUAUGUUUCUUUGGGAAAUGAAAGAUUCUGUGUGUUCUAUUAUUUCAAGUUUGCUGAAAUCACAUUUGUUUUCUUAGAUGCUUUUGAGAAGGUAACAACAUCAAUUUCAAAAAUGCUGGGGUAACAUGCAUCACGCAGUGCUACUCAACAUGAGAAUUCCGGCCGCAUUACCUGUAUGUUGAGUGAUCGCACAGUACAGCCUUUAGAAGCUUGUAAGGAGUAGACAACUAGAUGUGAGUAGUUUCAAUAUGGAUUCGCAUCAAAUGAUCUCUUGCCAGUGAUUACUAUAACCUCUAUCCCAAAAUUCUUGGAACUGGUCAUACCAAUAAUGAAGUGUUGUGUAUGUUGAAGACAUUGCGAAAGCUCCGUCAGCCUUUGUAUUGGAAAACAGUUGGUUGUAGUUGCUUCUGAAUGAUAUUAUUAAUAGAUACUGUAAAAAUGAACUGUGCCACUCAUUUUCAGAGCCCUGUUAAGAUGUGUUGGUAAUGUGUUUGAAGGUUGUUUGAUUUAUGUUGUAUUCAGCUAUAAAUCAAAGAUUCAGAACAUGGUUAUGUUACUGGUUUCCAAAUCAAAAAAUUGCCUUGUGAUGUUAGUGUUCAUUGUUUUCACAGGAGAUCAGGUUCCCUGUUGAUGAAUCAUUAAGGCAAACGCAUCCAUGUCUUAAGUUCAAAUGUGUCUCUUCUAUUUUCUAUUACUGACUCCUUUAUUUUGAUUUCUUCAUUGUAAUGGAAUUGGUUUUUAUUCCAAAUUAGUCUUAAGUUCUGUUAGCAUUUGAAGAUAGAACUAGAACUAAAUGAUUGACUGGAUUAAAUUCCGAUAAAGAAUUAAGUUAUAUAUUUAGAGAUAUUAUGUUUUUUUUUUUUUCAUUUGUUCAAUUUGGUUAGUGGUGAUUUCUUAAAGACUCAAUCCAUGUGCGUUUAUGCAUUUUUCUUUUGCCUUAAUUUCUGUUUCUUGGGGAGUUUAUACAGAUUCUUAUUUUAUGCUUCACAUGCCACAUGAAAGAUCGAAUUCUUAUAAUAAGAGUCUGAGAUCUCCCUGAAGGAUUCAAAGCAUUUUAUUUUAUAUUAAACUCCUUUACGUGGGUUUGGACACUACCACAAGUUCUUUAAAUACUAAAACGAUUUUAAGUCUUUUGUAUCAUCUGAUUGAAAUACAUGAAAGCACUCGUGGCUGCAAAAAUACAGUUGGGGCUAUUUCUAAAGUCUUCAACAGCAUUUUCUUUUUAACCUUUAUCCUCAUGGUUGUUUUUGCAGUUGUUCUUUAAGAAAACAUUUAAAAGGUUCUCUUUAUGGAUUUUUGAAAAUAAUUUUAACAUAAGCAAUUUUCAGAAGCACUUUAGAUGUCUGGCAUUUAGAAAAUUUUAUUCCGGUGUCACAUAAAAUACUUAGGAAGUUAAAUUUAUUUAUUUAUGAGCAUGUGCCAGUGCCCUGUGGCAUCCUCUUCACUUGUGAUAGUCAAAUGUAUUAUACGAUACAAUAUUAGCUUGACUGUAGCACAGAGGAGAAUAGGGUUGGUGUUGGUCUGAACCAGCUUAUGUAACAGCUGCCAAAGGAUAAUUUAAUUGUACUUUGAGUAAAGCUUUUGCAAAUUAAACAAGUGAUAAUUUGUUUCUAUUAAGAAAAACUUAAAGGAUAGGGCUAUUUUAACUCACCAAACUACACAUUAAAAAUCUACUUACAAAAAUAGUUUUUAAUUAUUAAAAUAUUCCUAAAUUAAAUUAUAAUUAUGGACACUAAAAUAUAAUUUUUUUUAUAUUUUACCCUUUGAAACUAUCUUUACAUUCGAUAUUACAUUUUUUUCUUAAACUCCAAAUUGAUUUUUUUUAUUAAUUUUAAAACACAUAUAAAGUGAUUCAUAUUGAUUUUAUACUAACAAACUAUUAUAGCACAUUCGAAAAAUAAUUAAAUCGUUCUUAUUUACAUAGUGAAAAUGCAAAUAGCUCAUUCAAAUGUUAAGGAAUUGGAGAGCUGCUGCUGGAGAUGAAAGAUGUGAAUUAAACAUCAGAGAAAAAAUUAUGUUCACUGUCUUGCCAGACCAAGCACCGAAAAGCGUCGUAAAGAAAAAUUAGAUAAUUUAGAAGAUAAAGCACGUGGAAUGGAGGCAGAAAGCAAGUAAUGAUAACUCUUUCGACAAACUAAUAUAUACCAAAAUGUAAUAUCGGCCCUAAUAAAAAAUGUGUUACGUAAGUAAAAGCACCAGGUCGGUCGUGCUACUAUUUCUGUCCCGGUAUGGCUCACCUCAACUGAAUGGUACAAGCAGAGCAUGGAGACGAAUAUGGCCCGACCAGAGAUGAGUACCGACCAGAGGUGUAUGUCGAGCCGAUACCCGUCUCCUGAAAAAGCGGGAACACGAUCCCACAGAAUCGCGGAAUUUGCGUUUUUCCCAGAACCGUUGCGAGAGAUGCGAUACCCCACGUUUACCCGUAAUGUAGUAGUUAAAGUUCCGUGAAAGGCCACCACCCGAAAAAGGAGGGAUGAAGACUGAGCGGGAACGUGGGAUAACGGCUAUAAAAGAAGGAGAAAUCGAUGAAGAAGGGGACAGAAAAAUCAAAAGAGGGAAAACGCUGCCAAAUUAUUGUCAGGCUAUCUUCUUGAAAAUUCCAGAUAAAUCAAAAACUACUCUUAAAUCUAAAUUGCUCUGUUUUCCCGUAAAUACCUUGAGCUAACUUAGGCAUCGGAGGGUUUACGCCGGCAAAACCACCCGCGUCUUUGAUCCGUUUUUUUGUGAGCGCAGGUCUAGAAAGAGAAAGGAGGACGAGUCCAAGUCCCGCGGUUCGAACUUGAUAACAUAAUCGUUGGUGGAAAAUUCUGGUCGGUAACAAGGCGAGCAGAUUUAAGCAUCAACAUUUUGGCGCCGUCUGUGGGGAGCUGGAUAAAAAGCUACCACCAACUUAGUAGUUGCCAGAGAAGCGGUAAACAAUCAGACAUGGAUGUGCCCAGGAAAGACGCUCUGAGGGAGGAUAACGAGUCUGGAGAGACAAUCACUCUUAGGGAAAUUGCAAAUGAAGCCCGGGAGAGGGUAAUGCAAGAUCGAUUGGAGCGGAUGGAGAAACAAAUGGAGACUCUCGCGACCAUACUAUUUGAGCUGAGAGACGAGCGGAGAAGGGAUUGCGAAACCCCUGUGGGGAGAGAUGAUGUCGGAGCAGAACCCAGCCUCCGGACGCGUAGAGUCGAGGAGAUCCCUCCGCCGGCGGACCAACCUAAUGGGGUGCAUCCCCACAGAAGUACUGGUCGGAUUCCAGGAGAACAAAUAGAUGAAGGGAGGAACCAACCUCGCCCUGGGCGGGUACUGGAAGCUGAUGGCCGAGGGGCCAGUGUUAAUGAAGGGGAGCUCAGGCAGCGGUUGCAGAAUGCCGAACAGGAGCGAGAUCAAAUAGCUGCACGUGAUCCUGACCGUGCUGUAGAAUUGGAGGGAGAGGUGCGCAGAUUAGCGCAAGUGAUAGAGGAGAUACAGGGUAGGAGAAAGCCCCCGAGCUGGAGGAUAAUGCUAGAUGAAGAAUCUCCACUAUCAGUUGAGAUCAUGGGCACUGUAAUCCCAAGAGAUUUCCGCUUCCCCGACCUCAAAUACUCCGGGCGAAGUGAUCCACUGGUGCAUAUUGAACGUUUUAAUGACGUGACGGGUGUUCAGGGGUUAACACCAGCUCAGAGGUGUAGGGUAUUCCCAUUGACACUAGAGAGACGAGCCCGAGAAUGGUACCACAAACUGUUACGAGGAAGUAUCAGAGGGUACGAGCAGAUGUGCCAAGAAUUGGCCGAACAAUUCCGGGGGGCGGUGGCCCCAGAGGAUGAUAUGAUGGAACUAAUGGGGAUAAAGCAGGAGGAACAAGAACCCCUUCGAGAUUUUGUAAAACGAUACCACCGAGCCGUGCUUGAUUUGGGAGCUUUCAAUCACCCGCAGGCGUUGAGGGGAUUGAAGGAGGGUGUGAGAAUAGGCCGACUGUGGUAUAACCUGAGAAGCCCCCUGGUGCAGAAUUAUUCCGCGGGGUAUGAGCAAGCAAAGAGAGACAUUGAAAUCGAAGAAGAAAAAUCAGCCAGGAUAAAGAGUGAACAAUUGGAGGAGCUGAGACGAAGAGAGAUGAGAGCCCCAAAAGGAGCGGGUCAGGAAAGCAAGCUGGGGAAUCUUCAAUGAUGGGUGCAGUAUCCGCUCGAUCUCGCCUUUAUCCUAUGGCUCAGAGACCGCAGCAGGUCCAACACAAUCGGGCUCAGCCCUCACGCCCCCCAUUCCUGGAACGACAACGAGAAUUUCGGCAGUUGGCUAACCAUCCCUAUCACAACGCUCCCAGAGCACCGCAUACAGCCAACCCCAGAGCGGGACGAUCAGGUCAGCUACCUUCAAUAUCCGCUCGGGAUGAUACUCAUGAUAGCCGAGCAGUCCAGCUGAUUGACCAGAACCCAGCGUACGGACAAUAUACCCCGCUAAAAGUCCCUAUGGAGGAGUUGUAUGAGAGAAUCGAGGGACGAGGCCUGUUGUACCCUCCAGCCCCUAUAACGAAACCUGCUCACCGAAGGGAUAAGAGCAGAUUCUGCAAAUUCCAUGACACUCACGGUCACACCAUCAGCCAAUGUCGUGACUUUAAGAUUCAGGUGGAGGAUUUGGUGAGAAAUCGUUAUUUGGAUGAGUAUGUAGAUGGGGUUUCUCCCGUCAUUGAAUCACAGUACACGCGGGGUGAAGGAGAUGAGAGGAGCCUGGAACGUGAACAGCCAACUAUCCGUGUGAUAGCAGGAGGGCCAACCCUGGCUGGGGAUUCGAAUAGGGCACGGAAGAACUAUGGGAAAUACGCCAUGACCAGCAAAGAAGUUCUUUUCAAUUUGCCAGCAGCCAAGAAGGCAAAAUUGCGGCAAGUUCCCAUUAUGUGGACAGAUGACGAUAAAGAGGGUAUCCUAUAUCCUCAUAAGGAUGCACUGGUGAUUAAGGCAAUGGUGGCUGGUACAGAACUACGACGGAUACUGGUAGACACGGGCAGCUCGGUUGACAUCUUGUUUAAAUCGGCCCUAGAUGAUAUGGGGAUUGCAGACUUAAAAUUGGAACGGACGAACACAUCUUUAAAGGGAUUUGGAGGGGGACGGCUAACUCCCAUAGGAAUCGUCGAACUCCCAAUUACUAUGGGGACAAAGCUGUUUGAAAGAACAAUGAUGUUGGAUUUUGUCGUGGUAGAGGAGAGAAGCCCUUACCAGAUGAUACUGGGGAGACCGUUCAUGAAGAUAAGUCAAUGCGUUGUGUCUACGCAUUAUCUGGCACUAAAAUACAGAAUAAACGGAGCGGUUGGUGUAGUAAAAGGUGACCAGAGGGUGGCAAGGAGUUGUUAUGCUACAGCGGCCAAGGAGACGCUGCAGGUUACUUCCUUAGAUAAUCGAGGAGAACCUAAAAAGGGCCGCCAAGAACCUGUUGAGAAACUGGAGGCAGUUUCGGUAAGCAAAGGCGACCUGAGCAGAGUGGUGAAGAUCGGAUCGGGGUUGGUUGGUGCAGUCAAAGGCGAACUGGUAAAUUGCCUACAGUCUCAUGCAGAUAUAUUUGCCUGGUCUCACGAGGAUAUGCCAGGAAUUGAUCGUGGGGUAGCUUGCCACAAGUUGGCAAUUAAGAAGGGGGCGAGGCCGGUGAGACAGAAGAGGAGAUGCUUUAACCAGGAAAGAUACCCAGACGGACGAGAUGUGAAGAGGUCAUGGAACGCCGAGCACUUAAAGAAGUAUUUUCAGUAAGCAAAGUGCUCUGCUAAAUCCUCAUUUUGAUAAGUUUUCUUUGUUAACUGCAUGAUGGUUUAUUACGCAUGUACAUAGUCUGUAUUUUGUAAUACAUUCAAAUCGCAAUAAAGAUGAAUUCAGCAUGAAACCCUUCUGUUAAGCAAGGCCAUUAUAAUUUAUACCAAGGCAAGUAAGUGCCUGCUUCUGCUCGGUCAACGAAAGACCAGCAGCUAAAUUAGCGAAAUUUCUACCAAGGCAAGUAAGUGUCUGCUUCUGCUCGGUCAACGAAAGACCAGCAGCUAAAUUAGCGAAAUUUCUACCAAGGCAAGUAAGUGCCUGCUUCUGCUCGGUCAACGACAGGCCAGCAGCUAAAUCUACGAAAAUUAUACUAAGGCAAGUAUGUGCCUGCUUUAGUUCGGUCCACGAAAGACCAGCAGCUAAUACUACGAGAAUUCUGCUAGGGCAAAUAAGUGCCUAGUUCUGCUCGGUCAACGAAGACUAGCAACCAAUUUUAUUAAAAUUUUACUAAGACAAGUAAAUGCAUACUCCUGCUCGGUCCACAAAGAAACCAGCAAGCAAAAUCAGAUAAGUUGUCCAAUUAUUUUGCAGAAACCAUCUAUGAGCAAAUACCAGACAAGAAAGUCAAUAGAGAACAUCUAAAAGUUUAUAAAUGUUUGAUUGUCUACAAAAUAGAUGUAAAUCUAAAGUUUACACAGAAAUAGACUUAAAGAUUAGCAGGGUCAACGGCUCCAGCAGCUGAAGAAUCAGCAACCUCAGGAGGCGGGAGAUCGGCAAUACCGGGAGGAGGGGGCAUGGACCCUUGACCCACCUCGAAAGUACGUCCCCCGGCUUCCCCCUCCUGCACCCCCUCCAAAGGAGCCUCCGCCUGAUCCUGAUGACCUUGCUCCUUAUCUGCCUGGCCGGUUUCCGCCAUAUACCGCUGCACUCCAGCCUCCAGCUUACUCAUGUCCAGCUCGGGAUAUUCUUCUUUAAGCACGGACAUGAUACACUUAUAGGAGAAAGCAACCCCAGAGUCAUACUCGGCAUCCAGCUGGUCGUCCACAUCAGCGGAUUUGCCUUUCUCCUCAGCCAGCUGUUCAUUUAGGGAUUUGAUUUCUCCCUCAAGGGCAGUCCUCAGAGUAUCUCUUUCACUUUGAGUUACCUGAAGGUCAGACUUCAGGCUGCCCAACUCACCCUCGAGUUUGGAGGCAGUGGACUCAGCAAUUGCAGUUUUCUCCUCCAGCUCCAUAAUCUGUUUGUUCAGCUCGGCCAGUUUCUCCUUGGAGCGAUCAGCAGAUUCAGCCUUCUUUUUCAACUCCUGAUUAUCAGCUUGAAGCUUCCUCUCAUGGCGUAUGGACACGUUCUUGUAACACGAAACCAUGGUGGCCAGCCUGAAGGAAACCCUUUGAACAGAGGCAGCUAACUCGGAGAGCUCCAUACUCUCGAUGUCCUUCACCAUCUUGGGCCCAACCGACCUCUUGUAAUCCUUUUGGUACGGGCUCAAAUAGUCACCCUGAUCCCGAGAUGGAAGAGGAGAAGAUCGGUCCCCAGAUUGUAAGCUGACCUCAGGGCUCUUGUCGGAAGUUUUCUCCCCACUACUCUUACGAGGUGGAGGAGGGGGCAGAGCAGGAACUGGAGCCUGAGAAGGACUGGCACUGGCCUUUUUCGGAGGAGGAGGAGGGUGGCUGGAGCUGCUCGAUGCCCGACCACGCUUUCUGCUCAUCGCGCUGAGGAUCUUGUUAUCCAUCCCAGCGGCAAUAUCUACUAAGCCCGAACCGACCAGGUUUGUUGGUGACAGGAGGUCUUGACAAGUAGACGCGCUCACCAGAGCCGUUUCCACCUGGAGUAAAGGUCGGUCCUCGAGAGUCUUAACCAAACCCCACGAUUCUGAAAAAACAGACAAGGUUAAAGAACCCAAUAAGUGGCAAUUCGAGAAAGAAUAUAGGCAAAAAAUGAACGACCUGGGGUGACAAAUUGCGUUGGAAGGUAAAUGUCACCACCCAACGACCGAACUGCUGGACACCAAUUUCCCCCAGCAAAGAAGAAUUUGUUCUUCCAAUUUUUGCACGAGGAGGGGAAACCGGUGAUUGGCUUUCUCUUCGCAGAACUGGACAUGAAGUAGUACCAGCCCGCCUCCCUUGGGCUGCUCCGCAGCUGAUACAGAUGCUUCACUUCAACAAGGGAAGGCUCCUCCGACCCACACCUCUCCCACAACACAAACAUAGCCGAGAGAACCCUCCACCUGUUUGGGUGUAGUUGACCUGGGGCCAGGUGCAUACCCCCUAAAAUCUUGGCAAAAUAGCGCUGAAGAGGCAGCCGAGCUCCUAAUUUAAAGCUCUCCAGGUGCAUGGUCACGUACUCCCGCGGAGGCCGACUAGGAACAUCACCUUUCUCAGGAACCACAAGGAGAACCUCCUUAGGAAUAUCAUAGAGGUUCCUAAGCUUGAACAGAUCAUUUUGGGUGGUGGCACAGGCUAUGUGAUCAAUGGGGUAAGAAUCUGCCUCCAUCCUAUGCCCAAGGUUUUGUUUCUUAAGAGGUCGGCUCGGCUCGGCUCGGAGCUGCUUCCCUCACUAUCACCCGCUCCUUCAGGAACCCCGACCCCACCAGAACUGUGGUUCUCGCCAGAGCCCGACGCAGGUCCCCCUCUAUUUCCUACAAGCUCUAAUUCAGAGGAGGGUGAAAUGGUCAAGGGACGUGGGUACUCAAGGAUAUCCCUACUAUGGGAUAAGCCUACACUACGAGAGGGAUUCAAAAAAUCAGUGGGUAUGGGCAAGUUAAGGUCUGAAUCCCCAGAUUCUUCAUCACCCUCGUCUGCAAUCAACUUCCUUCUUCGAUUUGACAUACCGGAGUUCCAAAAGAAAACCAAAACAAACCCAAGUACACGAAUACAAAAAGAGACAGUACAGAACCCAAUCAACAACAGCCAAAAAAGAGGUUAAAGGCUAUACCUGGAAUGGACUAACAUUGGUAGCACUGCCGUGACAGAGAAAACACCCAGCAAAUGGAUACUCCGGACGCUGGAAAUGGGAGCAAAGUCCAGAAAAGAAAUUGGUUAGUGACGGAGAAACGAAUCGCAGAAUGAUGAUGAUUUUAGUCUAGGGAUUUGGAACGAAAAGGGGGGAAACGGAAGCAUUUAAGUGAUGGGAUAUGCCAGCUCACUCACCAUAUAUCGAGGAAGGAUAGCCCGUCGUUUCAAAUUUCAAAAUAUGAAGAGUCGGGAAGCGCCACGUCACUAACCGAUACAAGAGGCCAGACUAGAGCAAGCCCAGAUAUGCAAUGGACAGGCUCAUUAAGGCCCAUGCUCAGAAGACCAGAUGAGAAGCCCCGGGCUGGUCGGCUUCAACCAUCAGUUUCUACUCUUAACUCAUUUCACUCGCAAGACCAGAAACUGGGGGACUGGUGUUAAGUAAGUAAAAGCACCAGGUCGGCCGUGCUACUAUUUCCGCCCCGGUAUGGCUCACCUCAAUCGAAUGGUACAAGCAGAGCAUGGAGACGAAUAUGGCCCGACCAGAGAUGAGUACCGACCAGAGGUGUAUGCCGAGCCGAUACCCGUCUCCUGAAAAAGCGGGAACACGAUCCCACAGAAUCGCGGGAUUUGCGUUUUUCCCAGAACCGUUGCGAGAGAUGCGAUACCUCACGUUUACCCGUAAUGUAGCAGUUAAAGUUCCGUGAAAGGCCACCACCUGAAAAAGGAGGGAUGAAGACUGAGCGGGAACGUGGGAUAACGGCUAUAAAAGAAGGAGAAAUCGAUGAAGAAGGGGACAGAAAAAUCAAAAGAGGGAAAACGCUGCCAAAUUAUUGUCAGGCUAUCUUCUUGAAAAUUCCAGAUAAAUCAAAAACUACUCUUGAAUCUAAAUUGCUCUGUUUUCCCGUAAAUACCUUGACCUAACUUAGGCAUCGAAGGGUUUACGCCGGCAAAACCACCGGCGUCUUUGAUCCGUUCUUUUGUGAGCGUAGGUCUAGAAAGAGAAAGGAGGACGAGUCCAAGCCCCGCGGUUCGAACUUGAUAACAUAAUCGUUGGUGGAAAAUUCUGAUCGGUAACAAGGCGAGCAAAUUUAAGCAUCAACAAAAUGAAAAUAAAAAUUCAUUACGAAUACGUGUUAAAGAUAUCCCAAGUAUAGAUGUGACUGAAAUAUUUGAGAUUGAAGAAGAAUUAAGACUCAAAAUCAAUUGGGAGGAAUAAAUGAGAAACCCCAAUACCAAAAAAUACACGCACAAAUCCUAAUACUAAUUGUAAUCACGGAUAAAAAGCAUAAUACGAAUAAAUUAAAUGGGCAACUAUUCCAUUGAGAAAUUAAUUAAAUCGUGUAUUAAUAUUUUGUAUACAUAUAUUUUUCUAUAUAUAACUUUCGGUAAUUUAAUUUUCCACUUAUCAUUUUUACUCCAAAAAAAUAAUUGAGAAUAUUAUUUAUAUUUUGGUGCAAAAUAUUUGAACAAUAUACAAAUUUUCAGUUUAAUAAAUCUAAACAUCUAUUAAGUUAUAAAUGAAUUUAAUGGGUUUAAUUAAUAAAAUUACUAUUAUUAUAUAAAUUGGGUUUAGUAAUGGUAUAUUGGGUGGGUUUGUUGAGUAAAUUUUAAAAUUUUGAAAUUUAAGGAUGGGUUUAUUUAGUAAAUGAGUUAAGGGAGUAGUUUGUUGGGAUUCACAUAGCCCCACCAAAUUCAAAUGUAAAAUUUGUGGAAAAAGAAGCUAUUGAGUUAUUCUUUUAAAAAAAGAAUUAAAAUGUCAAGAAUACCUUUAUUUAAUUUUAUAAUCUUAUUUUAUAGUCAUAUUUUAUUUCCACCUUAACAUAAUUUUAAAAACCUUAACUAAUAAAUUCUAUAUUUUUUUUAUAAAAGUUAUCAUUAAUAUCCAAACGGCUAAAGAUUUUUUUUUUUUUAAAAAAAAAGGAACUAUGCUUACAAAAGUUGUAUACAUUAACAAUAAAUUUAGUCCAAAGAAUAAAGUUAUUCCAAACAAGCACUCCAAUUCAUCUUGCUAAUGAAUCAAGAUGACUGAAUCCUUCUCUAAGCCAAAUCUAUUUUCACUUUUAGGUCAGAAAUUGUCAUUAAAAAAAUGUUUGAUAAAAUAUGCUCUAGGAACACUAAUUCGUCAGAUGGUUACUCCAAGUUUAUGAAAUCAAUGGGAUUUCAUCAUAUUCAUAACAUUCUUCUUUAAUGUCUAUUCUAACAAAGAAAUCAUAUACAGAGAAUAGGUUUCGUUAAAACUUUUACUAGAAAAACUAACCACAAUUCACCAUUCAUUUAUAUCUUAAGUAAGCCUAAGAUUUUAUCAUUAAAAUCCCAUCAUGAAAAAAACUCAUGGGAGAAAAACUAUAAAAAUUGAAGAAAAAAGAGUAUGGCGUGCAUGUAAAUUAUAUCGAUUUUAUCUACAUGACAAAUAAGACUCUCUUUUACAAUGGCACGGAUGCUUCAUUGAGUAAUCAUGAUUCUUGCUGGUAGUGCUUUGUUGUAUCAAUCUGCUAGCUAUUCAGCGUUCUUUCUUUCUUUCUUCUUAUUUUUUUGUUUUCAAAUAGCUUGUGGUUGUAGAAAUAUUUCAAUUAAACUAUACUUAAGUACUUAUUUGGUAUAACUUCUUUACUAACCAAAAGAAUUUUUUUUUUUGGUUUUUUAUAAUUUAAUUAUACUUUAACUAGAGUUUUUGGGAUAAAACAAGUGAUAAUUUCUCUCUAUUAAGAAAAACUCAAAGGGUAGGGCUAUCUCAAUCCACCAAACUAUUUAUUAAAAAUCCACUUAUGAAAAUAAUUUUUAAUUAUUAGAAUGCCUUUACAUUAAAUUAUAAUUAUGGACACUAAAAUAUAAUAAAUUUUUUUUUUACUCUUUAAAACUGUCUUUACAUUUGAUAUCAUAUCUUUUUCUUAAAAUCUAAAUUGAUAUUUUUAUUUUAUUUUUUAUUAAUCUUAGAACACAUAUAAAGUGAUUCAUAUUGAUUUUAUACUAACAAACUAUCACAGCACAUUCGAAAAUAAUUAACUCGUUCUUAUUUGCAUAGUGAAAAGGCAAAUAGCUCAUCCAAAUGUUAAAGAACUGGAGAGCUGCUGCUGGAGAUGAAAGAUAAAUAAUUCUCACUUAGAAGAAGGAGAAAAAAAGGAAAUACAAUUAGAAUGAGAGGUAGCCAGUAGCCACUAGCCGCCACCACCACCAGUGAAACUAUUUCACAUAAUAGAAGAUAAAGCACGCGUAAUGGAGGCAAAAAGCAAGUAAUGAUAACUCUUUUCGACACACUAAUACAUAUCAAAAUGCAAUAUCGGUCCUAACAAAAUGAAAAUAAAAAUUCAUUACGAAUAUGUGUUAAAGAUAUCCCAAGUAUUGAUGUGAUUGAAAUAUUUGAGAUUGAAGUAGAAAUAAGACUCAAAAUUAAUUGAGAGGAAUAAAUGAGAAACCCAAAUAUUAAUAAAAUACACGUGCAAAUCCUAAUGCUAAUUAAAAUCACGGAUUAAAAAUAAUAAUAAUAUGAAUGAAUUACAGGCGCAACUGUUUCAUUAAGAAAUUAAUUAAAUCGUGUAUUAAUAUUUUGUACACAUACAUUUUUCCAUAUAUAACUUUCGGUAAUUUAGUUUUCACUUAUCAUCUUUACUCCAAAAAAAAAAUUGAGAAUAUUAUUUAUGUUUUGGUGUAAAAUAUUUGAAUAAUAUACAAAUUUUCUGUUUAAUAAAUCUAAACAUUUCUCCAGUUAUAAAUGAAUUUAAUAGGUUUAAUUAGUAAAAAUAUUAUUAUUAUAUAAAUUGGGUUUGGUAAUGGUAUAUUGGGUAUUUAAAUGGGUUUGUUGAGUAAAUUUUAAAAUUUUAAAAUUCAAGGGUGGGUUUAUUUUAGUAAAUGGGUUAAGGCAGCAAUUUCCCAAACUAAAAUUUUUAGAAAAAGACGCUAUUGAGUUUUUUUUUUUUUUAAAAAAAGAAUUAAAAUGUUGAGAAUACCUUUAUUUAAUUUUAUAAUCUUAUUUUAAAAAAUUUACCCAAUAAAUUUUAUAAUUUUUAUAAAAAUUAUCAUUAACAUCCAAACAGCUAAAGAUUAAAAAAAAAAAAAAAGAAGAAGGGAACUGUACGAGCAAAAGUUACAUUAACAAUAAAUUUAGUCCAAAGAAUAAAGUUACAGCUAAAAAGUGCUCCUAUCCUAUUUUUCUCUAUUUUAACAAUAAUCUUCUUCCAAUCCGUUUUACAAUGGACUUUAACAAAUGGGCUCAAUCUCUAAACUUCAUUUUCUUUUGCUUACCCAUGGCCAUUAGCCAGAAAGCCUAAAACAAGACCAGCCCAUAUAUAUAAUUUUUUUUAAAAAAAAGUAAAAAUGUGUGAGAGCUUGUAGCAUUACAAUUUUAGGAUCACAUGUGUAAAUGGAACCCCAACAUUGAUCAAGAAUUAACAAGACAAGAUGAAGAGAUGAUCUUGUAACUAAGAAUGAAGAAAUUGAAUCAAGACAGUACUCUAGUAAAACCCAGAAAACAGAGCUUGAAGAAUCACGCACAAAGCAGUAAAUUUGUAAAACCAGAAUUGGAGCUUCACUUCUCAAGAGAGACGAAACAGGAUACAGUCUAGCUUUAGCCAAAGUGAUAAACUCGUAAUUAUUCUACAAAGGGAACAAUUUUGAACAGUGGGAAAUUCCAUAAUUAUUCUUUUCGGUGAAUUAUUUUAAAUAAAAUUAUAAAAACCAAUAUAAAAUUAUUACCCAGUAAAGACUUUAGAGAGACAAGUGCUCCCAACAGGAUCAAGUGAAUAUGCCCCACAAAGAUCAUUUCUUGUUCUUUUUCUUUUUGACAAUUUUAUCUGUGGUUUCAACUUUUAUGCUUUAUUGUCGUAUCCCGUUGAGGGCUCCGCUGCACCCAUUACAACUUACCCCUAAAUUGCCUCUUACUAACUAAACCGUUAGAUUUUAUGGAAGCACGUUCAAUGCUGAAUUUUAAUUAUGUCAUCAAAUUUCGUUUAGCUCCUUAAACUCCAUUUUAUUUGUAAUUUCUUCAUAAAAUAUUCAAAGCUUCAUCAAGCUCCUGAUGGACCAUCAUGGCUAGGGGUGCAUUAGAGCCGAACUGAAAUAUGUUAGUUCAGUUCAGUUUGGUCAGUUUAAAUCGAAUGGUUUAGAAUAUAUAAACUGAUCAAUUUUAAUUUUUAAUUGAACCGAAAAUCAAUUGGUUCAUUAUUAGUAUUUUUUUAUAAACAUGAAUUAUUAGUGAUUGUAAUUAAAUUGGACUAAAAAAAAUUCAAACUAAGGUGAAAAAUAUAAAAUCUUAGACAAUAUAAAAGAAAAAAUAUUAAAUUUUUUUAACCGAAUUAUUUUGACUCAAUUUGGUUCAUAAUUUUUUAAACCAAAUGGAACCCUCAUAACAAAAAACUAACAGAAACAAUAAGAACACGAUGUUAAAAUCUUAAAUCAAUCGCAAAAAAGCACCCAAAACAGAUCGAUUAGGAACAGUUAACAACAAAAGAUUUGAUGGUUCAAAAUCAUAAUGUGACCUACUUCCAUCCAAGAAUUAUACUAAUUUCUUUACUAGUUGUCAAAUACAAGAUCACAAGAUUAUUUAUCACUCUAUAGAGAAAAAAUUUUUAGAAGAAAUACUCCCCAAUUUUUCUCUUGAUAGUUAUGAAUCAACACCCCUAGAAAGGCUAUUGAUUUACUUUUCCUUAUUUCAUAUGAUCGGUUGCUGCAACUUAAUCCUUGCCAAGUUCCAACAUAGUCCAAACAUUUUUCAUGGUACAUGCAUAGUGCACCUUCAGAAACUUUACAGCUCUUCUUAAAACCUCAGUUCUCGUGAUGUUUCUGAUUUAUUUCUGGGACGAGUAACACUUUUGUUGAACCUAGACCAGAUUUAGUAUCCAAUCAAGAAUUUCCAGGAUCUAGCUGAACUCUCUAAUCAAGACCUAAAGAAUAGUUAAUCAAAUCCACACAAAAGAAUCACCCAAAAACAGUAUACAAAGAACAACAAAUAUAAGUGGUUUUGAGAUAAAUGUAAUUGACUUCUGAGCAUGACUUAAUUUUGAGAUCAUUACUUUUAGUUAAAUGAUCUCCUCCAGAGCUUCUACCUAUGUAGUGUUUUUAGACCUCUAUAGUUGAUAAAGCACGUUCAAGGUGAAGGCUUGUUUUCCAAUCUAUAGUCCAAUUAUAGACUGGAAAUGGUCAGGCUUAAUGCACCUUCAAAAGCUUCACAAUUUGUAUUGAAACCUUAAGCCUCAGAAUGCUACAAAUUUUAAAUCCAUAUACUUAGUGCUCUUAUGAUUUGUUUGAUUUUUACUUAGAUGAAGAGCAUUUUAGCUAUAGAAAACAUUGUAACUAAUUCAAAGCAUGCCUUAGCUACGAGAUCAUUCAUUCUAGCCAAAUGCCCCCUUUAGAGAUUCUGCUAUUGUUGUGUAUUCAGCCUCUAUAUUUGGCAAAGCAAUUACAUGUCGAAGGCUUGCUUUCCAGUUAACAGCGCAAUUACAUAGAUUAAAGGUGUAACCAGGCAAAGAACUUAGUUAUUCUGCCAAGGUCUCCAACAUACUCCAAAUCCAUAUAACCACCAGACUUCAAUCUUUAGACUCCAUAGAUCAAACCAUAACUUAGUGUGCCUUUCAAUCUCAGGUAACAUUUUACUGUUUUCCACGUCUUGCCAUGUACUUGCUGCUAACACUAACAAUUUGAGAAAUGUUAGGCAUCGUAAGCAGCCGACAACACUCUUCUUCAUUUCUUCAUUGUCAAUUUCCUUCUUGGAACAUUGCUCCAUUGAGAGUCUGCUAUCAUUGCUCCAAUUAUUAUUAUUUUUGUUUUUUUAAAAAAAAAAAUUAACCGUGCAAUAAGAGUAUAAGACUAAGCAACGGUCCUUUUUUUUUUCCCAUUCUUGAACAUGAAGUAUUUGAGUAUGCAAUAAAAAUUGUUUAUUGAUAAUUAAAAGUUAAUAGUGGGUGGCUUUAGGAUUUGUUUACAAAAUUGACAACAAAUUAAGAUUUUUCAAAUUCAUAGGUAAGAAACUUUUCAUUUAUUCAUAGAUUUUCCGGUUUAAACUUUAAAGGAAACUUAAAAGAAAAAGAUGUAUCAUUAGAUUUGUAAUUAAAAAAAUUUAAUAUUGUAUGAUCUGUUCGAUAUGCAUAAUUUAAAUAAACAUUAAUAUAGAUGUUAUAUAUCCUAAAACUUAAUUGACUUAAUUCUUACGGUGCAAGGAAGACGUUUCCAAGUUUAAAUCUAAUUUGGGGUCGGGAAAGCACUGGGAAAUAAAUGUAACAAAGGAAAAAAGAAAAGAAUGACAGUCUGAGUGGAGCCAACACGGUUUUGAAAAAAGUGCAAAAAAGGGUUUUAGGAUAUAUUCUAUUAUCGUUUGUUUGCUUGCUUGUGGAAAUAAAAGUCUCAUGUUUCUUUGAAAGGUAAGCAAGUGUGAAUGUUUCUAUCUAGAGCUGGAAAAUGCAUUUCCGUGCAACUUACUUGAUGAAUGAAGUUUUCAUCUCUGACCUUGAUGUUUCCCAGAGCUGCAUUCAUUUCAGCUGAUCUAUUUCAUUUCGUUUGCAAAGGAGUGACACAAAACCUCCUUUGUUAAGGGGAGAAUUUAGAGUGGCUUCAACGGUUAACAAAUAGCCUAAUGUAAGACUUAAUCAAUUUCCUGCCCGGUUGCUUACCACUACUUAUCACUUUAACGUAUGAAACCUAAUCAAGAUUCCUUUGAUGAUUUUUCUAUUUGCUAAUUGAUUGAUAAGCUCUUCAGUGAAGAUAUAGUGUCCGCAAGCCAUAUGUUGAUAGAGUUAGAGUUUGCAGAAGCUACUGUACCAUAUGUUGUUAGAGGCGGUAAAAACGGAGGCAGAUCAACACACAUUUAAAUUUCAAUGACAAUUUACUGGAAAUAAAUUUCCUAUGACCCUACAUGUGACUAAUUGAUGAGAACUUGACAAUGACAAAAGAAAGUGUAUGAGCUUUGCAGGCUGGCUUGCCAAUAUUGACUGUAUGGCACCAUCCGCAAGUAAGUAUCAUUACUGUUUAAUCAACUUGGUGGAGUCCACUGGGACCACCCCACAUGGUCAGUCUUAUCUCUACUCCUAAAUUUUCAAUAUUCCAUACAUCAAACCAAUUGCAGUUUUGAUAUCAAAUUCAAUUUUAUUGUUGGUGACGAUUCUGAUUCCUUUCAUUCUCACAAAACGGAACCAUGGUUGCUGUUGGAGAGAUCUUACUCAACGCCUUCCUUGAGGUGUUGUUUGACAGGUUGGCUUCUCGUAAUUUGCUCCGCUUUGUGCGUCAACUCCAAGGCGGGGUUGAUUCGGAGCUCAAGAAGUGGGAGAAAAAGCUGAAGAUGAUUCAGGCUGUGCUCUGCGAUGCAGAGGAGAAGCAACUGACCGAUGAGGCUGUGAAGAUGUGGCUGGACGAACUCCAAGACUUAGCUUUUGACGCUGAGGACAUUCUUGAUGAGUUUGCUACUCAAGCUUUGGAAAGCAAGUUGAUGGCGCAAAACCAGGAUAGCUCUGGCCAGGUUCUCAGUCUCAUCCCGGCUAGUUUGAAUCCGAAUGCUAUUAUGUUCAAUUAUAGCAUGGGGUCCAAGAUUAAAGAUAUGACUAGCCGGCUGGAGCAACUCUGCCAAGAAAGAAUUGAACUUGGACUGCAACGGCUUACUGGAGGGGCGUCAUCAACCGCUGCUGCUGCACACCGGAGGCCACCCAGUUCGAGUGUCCGAACAGAACGUGAAGUAUUUGGAAGAGAAGAAGAUAAGGCCAAAAUUCUUGAUAUGGUCAAUACCCCAAGUGAUCACGCCAACUUUGUUGUAAUACCUAUUGUUGGAAUGGGCGGGAUAGGAAAAACAACUCUUGCUCGGGAGGUCUACAAUGACAAGGCAGUUGAGGAUUCCAAGUUUGACGUAAAAGCAUGGGUUUGUGUCUCCGACAACUUUGAUGUUUUCAACAUUUCAAAGGCACUUCUCGAGUCAAUCACCUCCGCAGCUAGUGAUCUCAAGACUUUAAAUGAAGUGCAGGUUCAACUGAAAAAAGCAGUGGACGGAAAAAGAUUCUUGCUGGUCUUAGAUGAUGUUUGGAACGAGGACUACAGCUUGUGGGUAGACUUAAAAGCUCCGUUCCUGGGUGCUGCACCAAACAGUAAGAUGAUCGUCACCACACGCAAUUUAAACGUUGCAUCAACAAUGGGACCAAUUGAACAUUAUAAUCUCAAGAGUCUGUUAGAUGAUGAUUGCUGGUCCAUUUUCAUACAGCAUGCAUUUGAAGGUAGAGAUCUUAACGCAUAUCAAAUUUCAGAAUCAUUCAGCAAGAAAGUUGUUGGCAAGUGUGGGGGCUUGCCUCUGGCAGCAAAAACGCUCGGGGACUUCUGCGCACAACAAGGCAUGAUGCGUGGGACGAUAUAUUGGAUAGCAAAAUAUGGGAUUUACAUCAACAAAGCAGCAUUCUCCCUGUGUUAAGAUUGAGUUACCAUCAUCUUCCGUCUCAUUUGAAAAGAUGUUUUGCUUUUUGUGCCAUCUUUCCAAAAGAUUAUGCAUUCACUGAGAGGGAGCUGACUUUCUUAUGGAUGGCUGGAGGUAUUAUUCGACAGUCAAGAAACAAUGAGCAGCUGGAAGAUUUGGGCAGCAAGUGCUUUGGUGAUCUAGUGUCGAGGUCAAUUUUUCAGCAAACAGCAAGCUCUGAUAGUUCUAAAUUUGUAAUGCAUGACCUUAUUCAUGAUCUUGCUGAAUUGGUCUCUGGAGAAACCAUAUUCAGGUUAGAGGAGGCCAAUACUCGGUCAAGAAGAUUUGAAAGGGUUCGCCAUUCUUCCUAUGCUUGUGGUGGAUGUGAUGGUAAAAAUAUGUUCGUGGUUUUCAAUGAAAUUGAACAUCUACGAACAUUCUUGCCAUUACGCUUACGCAGAAGAGGUGGCUCUAAUGCUGGUUACAUAACUCGUACGGUUCUAUCUGAUUUGCUGCCGAAGUUCAAAAGGUUGAGAAUGCUAUCUUUACAAGGAUACUGUAUUGGUGAGUUACCAAUUCCAUUUGAAGAUUUGAGACUUUUAAGGUUUCUCAACCUUGCUGACACUGACAUAAGAAGUUUACCCGAGUCAACAUGCAAAUUGCUGAACUUGGAAAUUUUUAUAUUAAGAAAUUGUUCCCGUUUGAUAAAGCUUCCACCCAAAAUGAGGAAUUUGAUCAAUUUACGCCAUUUGGAUUUAAGAGGUGCGAAGUUGCUGAAGGAGAUGCCAUUCGGAAUGAAAGAGUUGAAGAAGCUUCAAACAUUGUCCAAUUUCAUCGUGGGCAAGGGCGAAACUGCAUCUGGUUUGGAAGAUUUAAAAUGUUUAAACUUUCUUUGUGAUGAACUCUGCAUUGCUGGAUUAGAGAAUGUGAAUGGUCCACAGAAUGCAAGAGAAGCCGCAUUAUGUGAGAAGCACAAUCUUGAAGCAUUGACUCUAGAAUGGGGGUCUCAAUCUGACGGUCCUCGGGAUGCAGUACUAGAAGAGAAGGUACUUGACACUCUACAACCUCAUGAAUGUAUAAAAGAGCUGGCAAUCAGGCACUAUGGUGGUGCAAGAUUUCCACCUUGGAUCGGACAGCAUUCGUUCUCCGAGAUGAAGGUCCUUAAAUUGGAGAACUGUGGCAAUUGUGUAUCUCUGCCAUCGCUUGGCCUGAUGAGUUCACUUAAGCACCUUGCUGUUAAAGGGCUGAAGAAAUUAAAAAGCCUAGAGUCUGAGGUUUAUGGGGAGGGUUUCUCAAUGCCUUUUUCGUCACUGGAGAUUCUAAGUUUUGAGAAUUUGCCAGAAUGCGAGCAUUGGGACACCAAUAUCAAAGGAAAUGUGCUUGUUGAAAUAUUUCCUCGUCUCCAUAAACUUUCCAUUGUGGAAUGUCCCAAACUCUCCGGAAAACUGCCUGAGCUCCUGCCCUCCUUGAAGACACUUGUUGUUAGUAAAUGUGAAAAGUUGGUAGUUCCAUUGUCUUGCUAUCCAAUGCUUUGCAGAUUAGAAGUUGAUGAGUGCAAAGAACUAGUCUGCCGGACUCCGAUUGAUUUUAAGUUGAUAAAGUCGGUGACUAUUUCAAAUAGUUCAUUAGACAUGAAUGGACGCAAGGGGAUGCUAUACGAUGGUCCAGCUGGCUCUUUACUGCCAAAGCCCAUGACUACUACAAAUGUUUUGGAGUUUGGAAAAUUAUUGAAGCCUGGAUUUCAGAUAUUAGAAACUUUGGUAAUUGGCAAUUCUGAACAGCUCAAGUCAUGGAGGCAGCAUGGGGAUUUUCCGAAAAAAUACAUGGUCACUGACCAUGGGUUUAAGAAACCAGUACGAGGGCUGAAUAUGCUCGCUUCCCCUGAGGAGGUAUCAAUUGAAGAAAGUUGCGUACGUCUUGUUUUGUUUCCAGAGAUCAAUUUCUUUCCCAGAAAUCUGCGCUCUCUUCUAAUUAACAACAGCACUGCUUUGAAAUCCUUACCCGAGGAAAUGAUGGAAAACAAUUCACAACUCGAAAGGUUGUAUAUCAAGGAUUGCGACUCUCUAACAUUCAUCGCAAGACGGAGGCUACCAGCAUCUCUGAAAAGGCUUGAGAUAGAAAAUUGUGAGAAAUUGCAACGUCUGUUCGAUGAUGAAGAGGAUGCUUCUUCUUCUUGUCCUUCAUCCUCGUCUUCCCCAGUGAUGCUGAAACACCUGAGAAUCGAUAACUGCCCAGAGCUCACCAGUUUAUCAUCGGGUGUCCAAUUCCUUGAGGCGCUUGAAGACCUCAAGAUAGGGCAUUGUCCAAAGCUGGAGUCAAUACCGGAUGGCCUGCCCAAUCUUAAAUGUUUACAGAGCAUUUAUAUACGGGAUUGUCCAAGUCUUGUUUCCUUCCCAGAAAGAGGGCUUCCCCACACCAUUUCAGGGGUUUUCAUUGCGAGUUGUGUGAAGCUCGAAGCCUUGCCCAAUGAUUUGCACAAACUCAACUCUCUUCGAGGUUUAAGCAUACAGCUCUGUCCAAAUCUUGUAUCGUUUCCAGAAGAAGGUUUUCCUACCAAUCUAACAACCCUUGUAAUUGAAAAAUUCAAAUUGUAUAAGACACUCGUCCAGUGGGGGUUGCACAGGCUUACCUCUCUUAGAGACCUCUACAUCAUUGGAUGUGAUGAUGAAGCAGAGUGUUUUCCAGACGAGGAGAUAGGAAUGACGCUGCCCACCUCUCUCACUCAUCUGUCCUUUUGUGGAUUCCAAAAUUUGAUAUUUCUGUCUUCAAUGGGUUUUCAAAACCUCACCUCUCUUCAAUCAUUCCCAGAGGUGGGCUUUCCAUCCUCACUUUGGGGCUUAGACAUUAGAUAUUGUCCAAAGCUCAAAACAGCGUGCAAAAGAGAUGAAGGAAAAGAGUGGUCCAAAAUUGCUCACAUCCCUCGCGUUGAGAUAGACGGUAAAUUCAUAUACGAUCCAGAAGCAGAGGAGUAGAUUCUACUAUUAAGGUCAGUUGAUUUGUAUUAUCCGCUAUAACAAGCUCCUCCUUUUUUAUUUUUUUUUUUGAAAUAAUAAUUUUGCAGUCACUCACGUGAUUCCGUUUUCACAAGUCAGAUUGUACGUUGAGGCUAUUUGCCUUUUAAUCGCAGAUUAAAUUAUAACACUUAUCUUAAAAUUUAAUACCAUAGACAGAUAGACGAUUUUUUAAUCCAAAGUUUUUUUUAUUCACUUCAGUUAGCAUUUUUUUUUUCCCCAAAUCAUGCAAGCCGAGAGUUUCAAUCAAGAAUUGGAGGAUGUGAAUGGGAAUUUUGUGAAAGAGUAACAUAAUGGAUGAACGAACAUUUCAUAUGUGAUCUCAAAGUCAACAGAAUUUUAUUCACUCGUUGACUUUUCAACUGCUGUGGUUAUUUAUGGGUGAAAGAUAAGGGCAAUUACAAAAAAUUUGCAAAAUUUGUCCAUUUCUUAGAUGGUAGAAAUUGGAGUAUAAUAUUUUGGAGCAAGCAUACUUGAAAUUUCUUUCUUCAAUAUUUUGAUGCUUUCUUAUCCCAUGCACAAAAAUACUAGAAAAAACUAAUAACAACUAACCGAAAAUCCCAGGCGUCAUAUUCCUUUUUACCGCGUUUUAAAAUGCACAACAAUGAUAUUCUUACAAAUUUGCAAAAUUUGUCAAUUUCUUAGAUUUCAGAUAUUUUAAUGCUUUUUUUAAUUUUUGAUCUAGUAAAAAUACAUAGCCUUCACCGGCAAGAUUCUAGUCUUGGAUUUCACCUCUCUAACUCAUCUGUUCCCAUUGGGAUUCCAGAAAUUGAAAUUUCUGUCUUCAAUGGGUUUUCAAAGCCUCGCCUCUCUUCGAUUUUUGUGGAUCGGGAAUUGCACAAAUCUCACAUCAUUUCCCGAGGUCGAGGAAAAGAGCGGCCCAAACUUGCUCGCAUCCCUUAUUAGGUUAUGAUAGAUGGAAAAUUCAUAUACGAUCCAGAGUCAGAGGUGUUGAUUCUCUUAUUAAGGUCAGCUGAUUUCUAUUAUCCACUCUGACAAUCUCCUAUUAGUGUUUUUCCUUUUGAAAUUUUUUUUCCAAAAUUUUGCAGUUCCGUAUAAUUGAAAAUGCCAUUCAGUUGUUUCCUAAUAGUAUGUUGAGGCUAUUUGCUUUCUAUCGGUGUUUGUUAAGGUAAUUAGUGCUCCCUCGUAGGUGUGACUGGAUUUUUUUCACUUCCGUAAAUAUUGCAUUUUAGACUGGCAAAUUUAGCAGUAAUUUUAAUACAAUUUUGUUGGUGCCUUGUGUUCCAGAAGCUAGAAAAAUGUGUAGUUUUCAGAUAAGGAGGCUUGUCAGUUCUCUAGUAAGAAUCCAAUGAUUUGCUUUUGCACGUCCAUCUAAUUUGUGGAUCCUUGCAUCAGAAUUUGAUCAAUCCAAAAGGAAUUGCUUUUAGACAGAAGAAGAAUAGCAGCACCUAGCCUACCCGCAAACCUGAAACUAUUAGAUUGAGGUAAAAAAAUCAUUGACCCUCACAUGUUAACUUCUUCUAGUUACUUUCGUUGGGAAAAAAAAAAACAUUUAAGGAAUUUGCAAUUUGUUGUUAGUUAUGGUAUCUGAUGUUCUUUUCUGCUUUAGCGUUUGUAGAAUCUACUGUAUUAUGUGUUGGCAGUUGCCGUAUCUAAGGUAACUUGCCUUUAUUUGUUUGCUUCUGACUUAAGGACACCAACAUUUGCCAGAGAUUUAGAGAAUCAUCUCAAAACACUUAGCAAACUUGACAAACUUCAAGAUGCACUUGCCCCCACGCCUUAUUCUCAACAACGCAAAACUUGUGAGUACACCUAUGCCUGCAAUUAUUGUGAAGUGUUCGCAAUUCUGAUGCAGAGAAAUGGUUUCUUGAUGCAAAGUAUUAAACUGUUAAGAUUUAUCCUGCAGGCUUGUUAGAUGCUGGAUACGCGAAAAGCCAACAACAUCAAGAACUGCAACUCCAAGACCAGCUUUGCGUUAAUUCAGUCAGCUGUAAUAAUGAUGCAAAUGACACUAUAUCAAGCUGGACUUAGAGACUAGUCAGAUAAAUCAUCCAUUUCAUCAACGGUUAAUGUCAUGAUGGUGGCUAUCAGAGGAAACAAAAGAUGUGUCGGAAUCUAUACAAACAUUGAGAAGCAUGAGAGGAGCUUUGAUUUUGAGUAGGGUCAAUGAACUCAUAUUGGUAAGUGGUAAUUAAAGAAACUUUGUAAGCUUAGUAGAGUUUCAGUAUUUUCUGUUUGGAGUAUAGUUGAUAAGUUGACUCUGUUUAAGAAGCCCGAUUAUAGUAGCUGACUGUAUUAACCUUUUUUUUUUUUUUUUGGGUCUGCUGUUGUUUUUGGUUUCGAUUAUUUUUUCAACAUUGGGUUGAUCUGUUGAAGAACAAGCUUGGGUUUGAUUAUGCUUUAACUACAAGGAAGAGCCAGACUUGGAUGCAGGCGUUAAGCUUUUAAUGGGUAAGAACAAAUGAAUGCUUUAACUAUGUUUCUCACUUAUUAAAAUGCACGGAUUGAAGGCAUCUGGGUUGAUCCUGACAAUGUGAUGGAAAUACUUCUCUGUUUUCAUAUAACAGGACAAAUAGAGAUCUCUGAUCAUGCCUGAAUUUUUGUUGCAUUGAAAUUUCUACCAUUAUCAAACAUAGAAUGAACUAGGGAUACAUUAGCUUAAGACUAAAUUUUGAGAAGGAAGUUUGUACUUGCAGCCUAUAAAAUCAUGUCCAUGUUGUACGUUUCUUUGGGAAAUGAAAGAUUCUGUGUGUUCUUUUAUUUCAAGUUCACUGAAAUCACAUUUGUUUUCUCAGCUGCUUUCC